GAAUCUGGGAACGUAAACUUCAUCAUUCUCAAGCGACUGAGUGUUGGCGUGGUGACGUCUGUGGCUAAUUUUCCAAGAGAAAUAAGGGACCAUGAGAGAAGAGUGGACAAUAAGGCCAACAAGGUCAUUGAUCCAGCCAUAGUCACUGAAGGCAUCAUGAUCACACUCAUGGCCUACAACCCAAGCCCCGGUGAGGACACAGCCCUGUACAGCAAUGUAAACUGCCCAACCCAAGUAGUUGAUUGGAUGGGGUAAAUACUGGUCUAUGUAAUUUGUGGCAACAUAGUAAAGGGCAUAGGCCAUGAGGAGAUCUUGAAUAAGAUAUCGGAAAGAAGUGAUGAGUGAUUUUUCGAAGCAAUGAGCAGGAAUGGCUUUCUUGAGGUCACCUAUGGUGAAAGGGGGUUUCUCAUGAGGAGCACGUCGAAGUGCUUCUGUUUCAGUUUUUUUGCCUUUAGGAGGAUCCGACAUUCGCCCACCUGCACCCAUUGCCCCUCACAAAAGAAGAUGCAAAUGUUGCUACUCUUCAAGUCACUCUUGGUUUUUGUUGUGUGUUUAGCUGAAGUUGCUCUGUAUUUCCUUAGAACGGGCUCGCUUGUAGAUUUAUAGGAAUGUAUGAUAUCAACAUGUGCGUAGAUAGAAGUGUGGUGAAGCUUAAAGCGCCCGCCAGCCCGCCAGGCAAGGAAAAGUUUGAAUAAACAACUUUGAAUUUGUUAGUGUGUUGGAAUAAAAGAGUAGGAAAUUGCACUAGUUCAGUCGUUUUCAAUGUGUGUUUUAGAGAAGUAUGCCCACAUGAACUGAUUGAGUCGCUAUGUUUUCUCUACGUUUCAAGGUCUCCCUGGGCGGCUGUACUUUCAUAAAUUAUACUCCCUCCGUCCCUCGUGCUAGUUUACGUGCACUGUUUGCACGCAUUUCGAAACUCUUAUAAAGUAUUGUAUUAUAAUUUUUUUUGAAUAAAAGUUUAAACAUCAAACUUUUAUUCAGAGAAAUAAAAAUUAAAAAAUAUAUUAUGAAACUAUACUUUAAAUGAGUGUGGAAAAACGUGCCAAAAAAUAACGUAAAGAAAAUGAGGGGACAGAGCGAGUACUCUUUUAACAUGCAUACUUUUUGUUUUUUUCCCUGAUUUUAUUCGUUUAGUUAUUACAAUAACAGAUACGGUAGCUGACGUUAGCCUAGAAAAUCAUACAUAUCAGAACUGCAAGCAUAUAAUUUGAACUGAUAACGUUUCACUAAUUUAACAUUCAGAACCAGCAGCUUUUUCAUUUUGAUCGAUAGUAGUUUAUGCAUUCGAGUUGAAGAUUGGAAAAUACAAACAAUAGAGAAAUGAUUUUUGAGAGCAACACAAACUUCUGCAUAACAAGUCACUUUCACAAGGAAACUUACAAUGACUCCCCACAAGCUAGACCAAGUGCUUUAAAAAGAGACGAGGCUGAAUUCAAAUCUCAUUUGCAGCUCCUCGUUGUUCACUGGACUGAAGUCGAGUUGUUAACAGUACGUUUUAACUUAUCAGAUACCUAAAUGAUAAGGGGUGAAAUAGAGAUAUACCGUUAAUCAGUAAAAUAUAGCACAGCUAGUUUUUCAAAAGGAACAAUGUUUUGGUUAAGAAACAGAAUCAGAAAAUCCUAUCGUAAAGGCUGAUGCAUUAAUAUGUUGUUAUGUUCAUGCAAAAUAUUACCUUGCUCCUUACAACUAAAAAAAGGAGCUGUCAGACAGACUUCUUGGAUCCAACUGCUGGCGACGAGCUGGCUGUUUAAAACUUCCCUGGCCAUUGAGAGCCACGGACUAGGACCCAUAAUAAAAUCCUUAUUUCCUCUGUUCUUUUCAGUUUAAAAGUUUUUCAUAUCAUAUAGGCAGUUUCGGGCAAUUUAUCAUAGAGGAAGACGCUGCUGUUUACAACGCAUUGAUAAAGAGCGCGGAGCACCCUGUAUGUUUGAGGAGUCUCUGAUUAGGCUUAAAAAGAUUAUUUUUUGUACCAAAGAACUCAUGGUUCAAUGAUAUUUUCCUCGAUCUACUUGCAGGAUAUUGAGGUACCAUUUGAAAGAAAUUAGUUCGUAUGUUAUUCGGCAAUCUCCACAAAGACACAAAAUAUUCAUUUUUACCCUUAAAAUUAAUUUAAACUUGCAUUUUUUUAAUUUGUCUACUAAUUUCAUUCACCAGAACACACUGAUUAGGCAAAAGAUAGCUGAAUCCGGACCAAUUUUUUUUCAUCAAGAUUUAUAUAAAGUUGUCAGUAGCCAAUAAAAAUGAGUGACCUGUGAUCAACUAAAUUAUCUAAAGCUGUCGAGCUGUGAUAUCUUGAUGAUUUCUGGGUCAUCGUAACAUAUCAAAUAAAACGCCUCUCCUCUCUUACGAGUACAAAUCUUGUUUGGUUAUGUUUUUCCCAGACCCAGACUGAGAACUCUGUACUUGAAGAUACCUUUUCUGGUAAAGAAAUGGCAAGUCCCACCGCCCUGAAUCCGUACUCAUCAGCAAAAGGGAACUGAUUCAACAUCGGGUGGUAUGCAGAUAUCAAGACUACUGCAGACAAUUAGCUAGCUUCAUUUACCUGAAUAACCUCAUUCGUUUCAAGUCUUAAACUUGAAACUGAUGACUAAAUAUAUGCCAUUUUUAUAUGAAAUUAUAUUCUUUUGCUCGGCCAUUAAAUUAAACCAAAAGGACAGUCAACAUUAAGAAGGGAGAAUUUAAGCACGACUGCGAAGUGCAUAUAAUCAGAAAGGAAAGUUACUCCUGAUCUUGAACAGAUGAAAGGUUAUAUAUAACUCUUUAUGUAAUUGUAACACAUUUGACCCUAACGAUCUAAAGUUGGCAGGAUCAAUGGAAGGCAAUGCGAAGACAAGUGAAAGAAUAAGAUUCUUGUAAUACCAAGCACUUAAAACUAAAUAUCCUUUUUGUACCAGUAGACUCCUUUGGUCUCGCCUUCAUCUUUCUCCACGUAAAUGCAUUCCUUCAUUUCUCUGUACAUUGCCUUGAGAAUCGGAGUUCCAUCAUACUGAUAAUAUUCACCCAAUACAGGCUUCAUGGCCUCUGUGGCUUCGAGUCCGUGGUAAUGUGGGAUCAUGGAGAAUAUGUGGUGACACACAUGAGCAUUGCACACAUUGUGGAAUACCUUGUUCAAAAUUCCAUAAUCUCUGUCCACAGUGCAGAGAGCUCCCCUCAACCAAUCCCAUUCGGUUGAAUCAUAGUAAGGCACAGAGGGAUGAGUGUGGUUGAGGAUGGUGAUCAAUGUGAACCAUCCGUUGACAACGAGCAACGGACCUCCAUAAACACAGAAAACCCAGACAAAUCCUUUGGCUAAUACUAGAUUGUACAGCCCAUAGAUAACAGCAAGAAUGGCAAGAUCAGACACAAUGAUCUGCUUGCGCUCACGUUCUGUGUAAAGAGGGCUAUGGGGAUCAUAGUGUGAAGUCCACCUCUCAUACUUGUGUCCCGAAACAUUGAACAUCAAGUAUAUUGGGAAGCCUAUGAGGAGUGUGAUAAGCCAGACGAGGACACGGCCUGGUGGAUUGUUGAGAAUUUUGUAGUAGUUCCGGAUGUUGGACUUGAAUCUAGGGACAUACACCUCAUCAUUUUCAAGGGAUUGAGUAUUGGCAUGGUGACGACGGUGACUAAUUUUCCAAGAGAAGUAUGGCACCAAGAGAGAAGAAUGGACAACAAGGCCAACGAGAUCAUUAAUCCAAUUAUAAUUGCUGAAUGCAUCAUGAUCACAUUCAUGACCCACAACCCAGGCCCCUGUUAACACACAGCCUUGAACAGCAAUAUAAGCUGCCCAACCCAAGUAGUUGAUUGGAUAAGGAAGAUAUUGGUCGAUGUAAUUAGUAGCGACAUAGUAGAGGGCAUAGGCCAUCAGAAGAUCCUGAAUGAGAUAUCGAAAAGAAGUGACUAAAGAUUUUUCAAAGCAAUGGGCAGGAAUGGCUUUCUUGAGGUCACCAAUGGUGAAAGGAGGUUUCUCAUGAGGAGCACGUCGAAGUGCCUCUGUUUCAGUUUUUUUGACACUAGAGGGAGCAGACAUACGCCCACCUGCACCCAUUUUUUCUUUCGAAGAAUAUGCAAAUGCUCUUCUUCCUCUCCUUCUGGUGUGUUUUUGCUCUGAAGUUCCUAAGGUUCCAACACAGAUAUUUAUAAAGAUAUCGCAGUUGGAGUCACAGGCUACUUACUUAACAAUGCUGACUCGUGCGUGAAGUUGCAACAUAAUAAUUUGUAACAUGUGCAUGAAUAGAAUGUCUAGACAGAUAAAACUAGUGAAAAAAGCUUAAAACGCCCGCCAGGCGCCAGCCAUUAGAGGAGUUUCAGUAAAAUACUUAAAACUAGUUCGAAAUCAUUGAUGCAAAUGGCGUGCUGAAGUAGAGUGUGCCUUUAGUGUAGGACACAACGAGCAUAUUUGUUUUGCUAUUUUCUAAUUUUCGAGGUCCUAAUUGGCGGCUGUAUGAUUAACUGAUUAAGUAUGUAAGAUGGCUCCGGAUCCAUGACAUACAUAAGAUGAAGCAUAGUAUUAGCGGGUUUUUUUCCGCUAAAUGACAUUAAUUAACACUAGAUUUUUGAUGAAAAUGCAAGGGACUACUGUAUCUUUCGGCGGAAAAAUUACUCAUUCUAUGAUUUUUACCGUCCAGCGUUUUUUUUCCCGCUGAACAUAUGUUGCUUAUAAUUUGUGGACCAUUACCAUGUGAGCUAUAUUGAAGCACAUGUAUAUCUGUUUGCUUGUUUGCCUUUUUGGUUUUCCUGAUAUCCUGUUCUGCAAUUCAUAGCAUUCAUGCACCUAAAGAAACUAAAAUGAGUUCAAAAAUGAGCUGUAUAACAUCUUAAUCUUGUAAGUUGUAAAGGAUGAGCUGAAGAUCUCCACAAACAUCAGUCAGGAAACGUAAAAUCAUCACCGAAAACAACACGACGAAUUCGGAGUACUGGCAAGGAAAACAAACCUUCAUACAGCUGCCACUGGGGACUCGAAAGGUAUAUGUGUUUGCAUGAUUGAACAAAUAUAAGAGCAAAGCAGCAGCCCAUUCAUGACUUGAGGAUUUGGGUCAACACUAAUAGCACACUACUAGCUGCAAAAAUCACACCAACCUUAAAUAAAAUAUCAUUUGCGUUUCCUAUUUCUUUCCACAUACACAUAAAUUAUGACAAAGUAGAAUGCAGUGCUAGGAGUAUAAUAUGUUAUAGCCUAAAUGCAUGCAACAAAGUCCAGACAGCAACUCCAGUGGCGGGCGCUUCAACAUGCUUAUAAAUCAACACAGUUUUGAGGAGUAAUAGCACAAACUCGACAAACACCAGAAGGCAAUAGGAAGAGAGCACAAGAGGCCUUCCCCAAGGAUCUCUUUCAGGUUCUUCUUUCUUUGUUUCUUACUCGAAUCGAUAGAAACAGAAUCACAUUUUGCAGGGCAGCAUGUACUAAAUUGUAUUACAUUUGUUUUUAUUGCAGACAGCGAGGAGACGAAAAAUGGGUGCUGGUGGACGUAUGUCCGCUCCUACUGGAAAGAAAACUGAAGCAGAAGCACUCCGACGUGCUCCUCAUGAGAAACCUCCAUUCACUAUCGGAGACCUGAAAAAGGCUAUUCCUGCCCAUUGCUUUGAAAAAUCAGUCAUCACUUCUUUCCGUUACCUCAUCCAGGAUCUCAUCAUGGCCUAUGCCCUCUACUAUGUUGCCACAAACUAUAUAGACCAGUACUUACCCCAUCCUCUUAACUACUUGGGUUGGGCAGCUUACAUUGCUGUUCAGGGCUGUGUCUUGACCGGGGCUUGGGUUGUAGGCCAUGAAUGUGAUCAUGAUGCCUUCAGUGAUUAUGGUUGGGUCAAUGACCUUGUUGGCCUUGUUGUCCAUUCUUCUCUUCUGGUCCCUUACUUCUCUUGGAAAAUUAGCCACCGUCGUCAUCAUGCCAACACUCAGUCCCUUGAGAAUGAUGAGGUUUAUGUCCCAAGAUUCAAAUCCAACAUCAGGAACUACUACAAAAUCAUGAACAACCCACCCGGUCGUGUCCUUGUCUGGCUUAUCACACUCCUCAUAGGCUUCCCUUUAUACUUGAUGUUCAACGUCUCUGGACACAAGUAUGAGAGGUGGACUUCACACUACGAUCCCCACAGCCCUCUUUACACUGAACGCGAGCGCAAGCAGAUCAUUGUUUCUGAUGUUGCAAUCCUUGCUGUUAUCUAUGGCUUAUACAAUCUAGUACUAGCCAAGGGAUUUGUCUGGGUUUUCUGUGUUUAUGGAGGUCCAUUGCUCGUCGUUAAUGGAUGGUUCACAUUGAUCACCAUCCUCAACCAUACUCAUCCUUCUUUGCCUUACUAUGAUUCAACCGAAUGGGAUUGGUUGAGAGGAGCUCUUUGCACUGUGGACAGAGAUUAUGGAAUUUUGAACAAGGUGUUCCACAAUGUCUGUAAUGCUCAUGUUUGUCACCAUAUCUUCUCCAUGAUCCCACAUUACCAUGGACUCGAAGCAACCGAGGCAAUGAAGCCAGUACUGGGAAACUAUUAUCAGUAUGAUGGGACUCCAAUUCUCAAGGCAAUGUACAGAGAAAUGAAGGAAUGCAUUUAUGUCCAAAAGGAUGAAGGUGAGACCAAAGGAGUCUACUGGUACAGAAAGGAAUUUUAGGUCGUUGAGCCUUAUUAUCUAGUGGAAAGAAUAUCUCAUUACCUAUCAUUGCAUUUUCUUCUGUAAUUUUAAAUUAUUGCAAGUCAAUGCAUUAGGUUAAGAAGAUAAAGAGUUAACCAGUAACUCUAUGUAAUAAAAAGAAUUUCUAAUUCCAUUUUGGUUGUUCAAGAAUUUCUUAGCUAGCUAGUAUAUGCCUUUUUGCUUCUACAAUUUUCAGACUCUAAACUUCAUUGUUCCUGAUGUUUACUAGAAAUGUAAAGAUGAAAGAGUGCACAGAAAUUACAAACAGGACGCGUUACCAGGGAAAAAUAAAAGUCACGUUAUCCGGGGAACAAACAGUACAAAAUGAAAACACUGCAGCCAUAAGUAUCAAAUAUAACAGAAGAACAUAAACUUCAAGUGUUAACUACCAUAAUCUAAAAUCAUCACUAUUGUUGUAUAACUGAAUAAUCUUUACUCUAUAAACCCUUAAGGUGAACAUUUGAUCAAGCCAGAAUUUGAAAAAGUCCCAGGAAUUCUGCUCAAAUACUUGUGAUUCACAGAACUUUCACUUCGAGCUGAUGAAUUCAUACCCAGACCAGAGGUUUUGAAGCGAAAACCAGGUGGAACAUAAUAGCAGCCCCGUAAAAAAGGAUGCUGAAGAGCCUCCAAAGCAGUAGGCCUUUUGCACGGAUCCCAGGAGCAAAGCGAUUGAAUAAGGCCAACCACAUCCUUGCUUGCAGAUGGCAUCAGCUGAGACAGAGAAACACCAGAAUGCUGAGGAAACUGAUAACUUAUAUCAUCUGCAAGUUCAAUCCCAUAAGCCCAAUCAACUUCAGUUGGAGUCCCUAAAACACUGCAUAUUCUGUACAUUUGAUGCUGUUGAUUUACCCCAGCAAAGAGUGGGCAGCUAGUCAGCAAUUCAGCCAUAAUUGCACCCAUUGCCCACAUAUCAACCGCUGGACCAUAAAUUGGCGCAGCAAGCAGAAUUUCAGGUGCUCUGUACCAUCUUGUUGCAACAUACUCAGAAUAAGGAGGCGAAGAAUUAAUCUCGCGAGCAAGUCCCAGAUCAGCAAUCUUCAUAAUAUCUCCAUUCACUAGCAAAUUCUCAGGCUUAAGAUCCCUAUGAAAAUACCCUCUUUCGUGCAUGUAAGCAAGACCUUGAAACACUUGAAAGCACCAGUUUCUGAUUUCAGUUUCUGAGAAGGGCUUUGUCCUGGUACUCAUAAACUGGUAAAGAUUGCAGUCCAUGUAUUCAAAAACAAAGAACAAGAAGUUAUUUUCUCCGAUUAUUUCCUUGAGCUUCACAAUAUUUGCAUGGCGCAUCUUCUUGAGAGACUUGACUUCUCUCAAAUUCAGACAUUCUUCCCACGAGUGAAACUCCUUGUUCAAUCUCUUAAGAGCCACAACUUCACCACUCUGUGUAUUCAUAGCUUUGAACACACUUCCAAAAGAUCCACUCCCAACUUCCUUGAUAAUCUUAUACUUCUCCAUUAUUCUGACUUAUAUUCAACGUCACAACAAAAAACAGGGUACCCCCGAAAAUUCAAGAAUACUCACGCACUAAGUCUCUACCACGAAUAUGCCAUUGCCCUCGGAAGGAUUUCGAUGAAGAUAUGUUAUGUGAUUGUACGAUCAAAUAUAUGAUUGAUAAGACGGCAAAAUAUUUUCGAAGUAGGCUGCAUCACAAUUUAUGGGCUGGGAUGUUUUUUCGAAGUAGGUUGAAGAUGAAAGAAUGAGAAGACGAGAGAAGAGUGCUGAGAUGUGUAUAUAUAGGAGCAGAGAUUUCCGAAGGGAAGUAGGAUCUUUAAGUCGUGAAUUACUAGGUUUAAGGAUCUUACUUGGGGCUAACACAAUAUCUACCAACGGAAGCUUCCUUCUUAGUACUAGGAUGCUCUGUAAAAGAGUUACUAAUUGGUAUUCGUGGCGGUGCUUUUACUCUUUCACUGAGUUUCUUUAAACUCAAAUGAGCUUCCUUGAACUUGAACACAUUUUCAGCCCUGACAAAAAAAAUUCAUCUUCAACCUCUUCCUUGUUACCGAAUACUAAGGGUGUAAUCGAGCCGACUCGAGUCGAAACCGUCAAGGCUUGAGUUUGAUUGGAAUGUUCGGGUUCAGACUGGAGCUGCUCGAACUUUUAAUUUCAAGAUCAAAACUCGGCUCACAAAAAGUUCGAUAAACUGGAGUUCGGCUCGAACCUAUUUUUUCAAAUAUUGACAAAUACUCAAAAUAUGAUUAGUCCGGCUCGAUUGAAUAUAUUUAAUAUAAAUAAAAUAUUAAAUACUUACAUAAAAAUAUAUUUAUAGUUUAAAAAUAAUAGGAGCUUGAUAAGGCUUGCGAACUUUAUAUGGAGAGUAAUUUGAAACUCGGUUUGAGUAUGAUUAGAAAGUUCGAGCUCUAGUUUGAUCAAGUCUUUAGUUUAGAUCGAAACGAGGCUAGUAAAAAAUUUGAUGACUCGAGUUUGGCUCGAAAAUUUGAACCUAUUUUAUUUAACAAAAACUUGAAAUAUGAUCAGCCCGUCUCGAUUAAAUAUAUUCGAUAUAAAUAAAAUAUCAAAUAUUUAUAUAAAAAUAUAUUCAUAAUUUAAAAAUAAUAAAGGCUUGAUGAGAUUGGAACUUUACAAGCAGAGUAAUUUGAAGCUCGAGCUCGGUUUGAUUAUUUACGUGCCGAAUUCGAAUUUUUUACGAGUCAAACUUUAGUAACUCACGAACUGCUACAUUCAUAUUUUAUCAAAAUUUUAGUUUCUAUCUCUCCCCCUCUCUCUCUCCCACACACACGCACACUAUAACACUCUCUCCACACACACACAAACACUCUAACACAAAUCCUGCAAAACCUUACUUCACGCCCGGCGAGUGAAAAAUCGAAUCAGUUAGGUCUCGGUUAUUAUCGUCAACAACACUGCAUCAAAUCGACCAGAAAUGCGAGGUGAUCAUUCAUAUGGUCCAUCUGAUGAGACAAUAUCCUUACAACGUACUGACAGGUGUUAUCUUUCCUAGAACAUAAAAUUACAUGAUUAUGAUUAUGUGAUUAUUUUUUAUUUACAAUAUAUAUCAUUGUUGUAUGGUUCAUAUUUCAUUUUUCUCACGAUUAGGUAUAAGUGUGUGUUUGAAUCUAUUAUGUAUGAGUUGUUUCGUAUCAUAUUUCGUCAUUUUUAUAUAUUGUUUAGUUAGAUUUUAUUUGUUUUGUAUCCUCUUCUUCGGUACUUAGUUUCGCUAGUGUAGAUGUUGGCGAUGAAGGUGGUAUAGCGGUGUAUUAAUUAGUGCGUAUAGAUCAUUCUGAUUGACUAAUGUUAUUGCAUGAUUUUGUUUUAGUUUUGUAAUUUUGGAUAUUGUUUGUUGUUAAUAAUAGUAAUUGUAGACCUUAAUAUUAGUUGUUUUUUGAAUGACAAGUUGACAUUCUUUAAAUGUUCUUAUCUUUGAAAUUUGAAUCUCCAUGUUUAAUUUGAAUUUUUGUGUUUCGAUUAGAAGAUAAUUUGAUAAGAUAAUUGUUGUAUUUUAAUUUGAUAAUUACUGAUUAUUGUACCUGAAUUCCAUAAUUCAUGGGGGCCAUAUAUGAUGGCUUUAUUGUGCCUUAAUGAGGUAUUAUUGUGCCAUUAAGGGUUGAUUUGUUGUUUGGUGUAUACCAAUAAUUAGCUAAAAUCUUGAUACUUUUGUUUGUCAAGAUUUUUAAUAUUUUUGAGUAGAUAUAUUUUAGAUCUUUUUUCAAUUUUCAAUUAUAUUUUUCUAUUUAUAUUUUAAUUUUUUUUAAAUUAAUAGUCAGCUAUUUUGUUCGGAUUAAAAUUUUAUUAUCUAUCUAACCAAAGAGAUCUCACUAUCUCUUUGGUGUAGAUUUUUUUAAUGAUUUGUUUUAUAUUAGUUUUUUAUAUUACUUUCCUUAUUCUUUAAAAUAUUAUAUUAUAUUCAUAUCUUUUAAUGAGUUUAUUGACUCUUUUCGUCUUUCGUUUUAUAUAGUUUUAUUAUUUUAUUGUCUGUAUGAACUUAUUAUGGUUUUAUUUGUAUUGUAUUUUUCAGGGUACGCGAGAUGGAAGAAAGAACGAUAGCGGGAUCAUUUAUGGGUGUUUUCUUAUCGAACAUUAGAGCUUUAUUGUUUAAGCGUCCCCGGUCAUCUCUGCAUAUCCGAGGGUUAGAUGGUAAACUUUCUUGAACGAAAGGAACUCCUGACAGCGGCUAUUGUAUUCUGAUACGAUUCAUCAUACGUGAAAGUAUCUUGUGACAAAAAAAAAACUCACGAACUGCUUGACUCAUUUACGCUCCAAAAGAAAACCAAUUUUUCAAAUUGUAAUUACUUGUUUUGCAGUAAAAAUAUAAUUUAUAUUAAUAAACUUGAACUCCAUGUAAGGAUCCCAAACUCGCAGAUAUAACCUUCUCUCUCCUGAAUAUAAUCAUUCGCUAGCACUUAUCAGGCAUCAGCCAUAAGUUCAUAUUAGCAGCAUAUUAUCUAUUGAGUGAAUUUCUCCACUCAGUUUGUGCAUAUAAUUACAAGUCCCUCGCCCUUAAUUUAAUCAUCAGAAAUUUUGUCAAAGCCUUUGAUGUAAAUCCUUACAUCCAUAAUGUAGCUCAAUUCAAAUACACGAAUAUGACUGAAAAGUAUCAAUGACUGAAAUAGGCUAUCCAGGUUUUCGUGAUUCAUAAGCCAUUUCCAAUACAGCAAGAUGCAAAUCACCAGAAGUCUAGUCUUAAUUCAUUUCCCUAAUUAAGCUGACAGAAAACUCGGAUAGUCAUACCCAAAACAUACUCUCAAGCCAAUUAUUCGGAUAACUAUAAGCUAAUUCACAUGAGUGUAUGUUUUAUGUUAGUAAAUCAGUAAUGUCAAGCUCAAAGAGAUGCCAAAAAGGUAUCAGCCACACAAGGAUCAAACACUGAAGCUGCAUUACGUCUACCCAACUAAUAACAAAGCGUCAAAGCCAAAACAGUUUGCAAAUGAAGUUGUAGUUAUUUAUAUUUCCGUUAUUACUAUUGUGUAUGUGCAGGUGAGAUUUAAAAUGUGAUUAAAUCUUUUAAAAGCAUAACUGAUUUACUGUUGAUGAAGAACAUAUAAUUCACCACAACUUUCAGCAAGAGCACUUUUCACUCACAAUAAAACCAUUUGAUUACACAGCACAGUCAUUUAAAAACACAAGUGUACAAUAUGUUUGCAUUACAAAAUCAGUAUACAGAGUUAAUGCAUUAGGUUAAGAUAAAGAGUUACCAAUCAUUGCAGACAAAACAGAAAAGCCUUUCAUUACCUAUCAUUGCAUUAUCUUCUGUAAUUUUAAAUUAUCUGCAAGUUAAUGCAUUAGGUUCAGAUAAAGAGUUAACCAGUCACUCUAUGUUAUAAAAGUAAUUACUAAUUCCAUUUGGGUUGUUCAAGAAUUUCCUAACUUGCUAGUAUAGGUUUCCUGGUUUCUAUGAUUUUCUGACUCUCAUAUUCAUAGUUACUGAUGUUUACUGGAAAAGUAAAGAUGAAUAAGUGCACAGAAAUUACAAACAGGGCGCAUUAUCAGGGAAACUAAAAACUAAAAGACAGUCGCCUUAUGUGGGAAACUAAAAGACCAUUGCAUUAUCUGGGAAAGUUAAAGAUGGUUCAAGUUAUCAGGGAAACAAAGAGUAGAAGAAAGAAACUAAUGCAGCCAUAAACGAAAAAAUAUAGUAUAACAUAAACUUCCAGUGUUAACUACAUAAUCUAAAAUCAUCACUAUUGUUGUAAAACUGAAUAACCUUUACUCUUUACACCCUUAAGGUGCACACUUGAUCGAUCCAGAAUUUGACAAAGCCCCAGGAAAUCUGCUCAAAUACUUGUGCUUCACAGAACCUUCACUUCGAGCAGAUGAAUUCGUACCCGGACCAGAGGUUUUGAAGCGAAAACCAGGUGGAACAUAAUAGCAGCUCCGGAAAAAAGGAUGCUGAAGAGCCUCCAAAGCAGUAGGCCUUUUGCACGGAUCCCAGGAGCAAAGCGAUUGAAUAAGGCCAACCACAUCCUUGCUUGCAGAUGGCAUCAGCAGAGACAGAGAAACACCAGAAUGCUGAGGAAACUGAUAGCUUAUAUCAUCUGCUAGUUCAAUCCCAUAAGCCCAAUCAACUUCAGUUGGAGUUCCUAAAACACUGCAUAUUCUGUACAUCUGAUCUUGCUGAUUUACCCCAGCAAAAAGUGGGCAGCUAGUCAAUAAUUCAGCCAUAAUUGCACCCAUAGCCCACAUAUCAACCGCUGGACCAUAAAUUGGCGCCGCAAGCAGAAUUUCAGGUGCUCUGUACCAUCUUGUUGCAACAUACUCAGAAUAAGGAGGCGAACAAUUAAUCUCGCGAGCAAGUCCCAGAUCAGCAAUCUUUAUAAUAUCUCCACUCACUAGCAAAUUCUCAGGCUUAAGAUCCCUAUGAAAAUACCCUCUUUCGUGCAUGUAAGCAAGACCUUGAAACACUUGAAAGCACCAGUUUCUGACGUCCGUUUCUGAGAAGGGCUUUGUUCUGGUACUCAUAAGCUGGUAAAGAUUGCACUCCAUGUAUUCAAAGACAAAGAACAAGAAGUUAUUUUCUCCGAUAAUUUCCUUGAGCUUCACAAUAUUUGCAUGGUGCAUCUUCUUGAGAGACUUGACUUCUCUCAAAUUCAGACAUUCUUCCCACGAGUGAAACUCCUUGUUCAAUCUCUUAAUAGCCACAACUUCACCACUCUGUGUGUUCAUAGCUUUGAAAACACUUCCAAAAGAUCCACUCCCAACUUCCUUAAUAAUCUUAUACUUCUCCAUUGUUCUGACUUAUAUUCAACGCCACAACAAAAAACAGGGUACGGCGAAAUUUCAAGAAUACUCACGCACUCAAGUCUUUACCACGACCCGAAACAAAUUGACAAAUUGUCUUCGAAUAUGCCAUGCCCUCGGGAGGAUUUCGAUGAAGAUAUUAUGUGAUUGUACGAUCAAAUAUAUGAUUGAUAAAACGGCAAAAUAUUUUCGAAGUAGGCUGCAUCACAAUUAAUGGGAUGGGAUGUUUUUUCGAGUUUUUGAGAAGCUCUGACUGGUUGAUGAUAAAAGAAUAAGAAGACGAGAGAAGACAGCUGAGAUGUGUCUAUAUAGGAGCAGAGAUUUCCGAAGGGAAGUAGGAUCUUUAAGUCGUGAAUAGAUACUAGGUUUAAGGAUCUUACUUGGGGCUAACACAAUAUCUACCAACGGAAGCUUCCUUCUUAGUACUAGGAUGCUCUGUAAAAGAGUUACUAAUUGGUAUUCGUGGCGGUGCUUUUACUCUUUCACUGAGUUUCUUUAAACUCAAAUGAGCUUCCUUGAACUUAAACACAUUAUCAGCACUGACAAAAAAAAUUCAUCUUCAACCUCUUCCUUGUUACCGAAUACUAAGGGUGUAAUCGAGCCGACUCGAUUCGAAACCGUCAAGGCUUGAGUUUGAUUGGAAAGUUCGGGUUCAGACUGGAGCUGCUCGAACUUUUAAUUUCAAGAUCAAAACUCGGCUCACAAAAAGUUCGAUAAACUGGAGUUCGGCUCGAACCUAUUUUUUCAAAUAUUGACAAAUACUCAAAAUAUGAUUAGUCCGGCUCGAUUGAAUAUAUUUAAUAUAAAUAAAAUAUUAAAUACUUACAUAAAAAUAUAUUUAUAGUUUAAAAAUAAUAGGAGCUUGAUAAGGCUUGCGAACUUUAUAUGGAGAGUAAUUUGAAACUCGAGCUCGAUUCGGUAAUGAAUUCGAAAAACUCGAGUUCAGCUUGAUUAUUAACAAGCCGAAAUUCGAAUAUUUUACUAUCCAAAUUUGAGUAACUCAUGAUCUGUUUGACUCAUUUACACCGCAACCGAAUACCAAUUUUGCAAAUUUUAAUUACUUAUUUCUGCAAUAAAAAUAUAAUUUAUAUAAAUAAACUCCAUGUAAGGAUCCCAGACAGGCAGAUAUAACCUUAUCUCUUUCCUGAAUAGAGUCAUUCGCAAGCACUUAUCAGGCAUUAGCCAUAAGUUCAUAUUAGCAGCAUAUUAUCUAUUGACUGAAUAUCCAGACUCAGUUUGUGCAUAUAAUUACAAGUUUUUGUCAAACCCUAUCAUGUAAAACCUUACAUUCAUACUGUAGCUCAAUCCAAAUACACGAAUAUGACUGAAAUAUAUCCAGGUUUUCGUGAUUCAUAAGCCAUUCCCAAUACAGCAAGAUGCAAAUCACCAGAAGUCUAGUCUAAUUCAUGUCCCUAAUUAGGCAGACAGAAAACUGAGAUAGUCAUACCAAAAGCAUUCCCCCAAGCCAAUUAUUCUGAUAAUUGUAAGCGAAUUGGCCACUAAAAUUCACAUAAGUGUAUGUUAUAUGUUAGUACAUCAGUAAUACUCAAGCUCAACAAGAUGUCAGAAAGGAUAUAGGCACACAAGGAUCUAACACUCAAGCUGCAUUACAUCUCCCCAACUAAAAACACAGCGUCGAAGCCAAACUAGUUUGCAAAUGAAGUUGUAGUUAUUUACAUUCUGUUAUUACUAUUGUGUAUGUGCAGGUGAGAUUUAAAAUGUGAUUAUAUAGGAUCUUUAAAAAGCAUAACUGAUUGAAUGUCAAUGAAGAACAUAUAUUUCACUACAAUUUUAAGCAGAGCACUUUUCACUCACAAUAAAACCAUUUGAUUACAUAGCACGGUCAUUUAAAAACAUGAAUUCAAUGAACAAUAUGUUGUGCAUUACCAAAUCAGUAUACAAAUUUAAUGCAUUAGGUUAAGAUAAAGAGUUACCUAUCAUGACCUAUCGUUGCAGACAAAACAGAAGAGCCUUUCGUUACCUAUCAUUGCAUCAUCUUCUGUAAUUCUAAAAUUAUCUGCAAGUUAAUGUAUUAGGUUAAGAUAAAGAGUUAACCAGUAACUCUAUGUUAUAUAAGGAAUCACACUACUAGAAAUCUGCUAAUACUCUAUGUUAUAAAAUGGAAUUAGUGAUCACUAAUUCCAUUUUGGGUUGUUCAAGAAUUUCUUAACUCACUAGUAUAGGUUUCCUGUUUAUAUAAUUUUCUGAUUCUAAUCUUCAUAGUUACUGAUGUUUACUGGAAAAGUAAAGAUGAAUAAGUGCACAAAAAUUACAAACGGAGCGUAUUAUCAGAGAAACUAAAAACUAAAAGACAGUCGCGUUAUGUGGGAUACUAAGACCGUUGCAUUAUCAGGGAAAGUUAAAAAUGGUUCAAGUUAUCAGGGAAACAAAAAGUAGAAGAAAGAAGUUAAUGCAGCCAUAAACGAAAAAAUAUAGCAUAACAUAAACUUCCAGUGUUAACUACAUAAUCUAAAAUCAUCACUAUUGUAACGUAGAACUGAAUAAUCUUUACUCUUUACACCCUUAAGGUGCACAUCUGAUCGGGCCAGAAUUUGAAAAAGUCCCAGGAAUUCUGCUCAAAUACUUGUGCUUCACAGAACCUUCACUUCGAGCAGAUAAAUUCAUACCCAGACCAGAGGUUUUGAAGCGAAAACCAGGUGGAACAUAAUAGCAGCUCCGUAAAAAAGGAUGCUGAAGAGCCUCCAAAGCAGUAGGCCUUUUGCACGGAUCCCAGGAGCAAAGCGAUUGAAUAAGGCCAACCACAUCUUUGCUUGCAGAUGGCAUCAGCUGAGACAGAGAUACACCAGAAUGCUGAGGAAACUGAUAGCUUAUAUCAUCUGCUAGUUCCAUCCCAUAAGCCCAAUCAACUUCAGUUGGAGUCCCUAAAACACUGCAUAUUCUGUACAUCUGAUCUUGUUGAUUCACCCCAGCAAAAAGAGGGCAGUUGGUCAGCAAUUCAGCCAUAAUUGCACCCAUUGCCCACAUAUCAACCGCUGGACCAUAAAUUGGCGCUGCAAGCAGAAUUUCAGGUGCUCUGUACCAUCUCGUUGCAACAUACUCAGAAUAAGGAGGCGAACAAUUAAUCUCGCGAGCAAGUCCCAGAUCAGCAAUCUUUAUGAUAUCACCACUCACUAGCAAAUUCUCAGGCUUAAGAUCCCUAUGAAAAUACCCUCUUUCGUGCAUGUAAGCAAGACCUUGAAACACUUGAAAGCACCAGUUUCUGACGUCAGUUUCUGAGAAGGGCUUUGUUCUGGUACUCAUAACCUGGUAAAGAUUACACUCCAUGUAUUCAAAGACAAAGAACAAGAAGUUAUUUUCUCCGAUAAUUUCCUUAAGCUUCACAAUAUUUGCAUGGUGCAUCUUCUUGAGAGACUUGACUUCUCUCAAAUUCAGACAGUCUUCCCACGAGUCAAACUCCUUGUUCAAUCUCUUAAUUGCCACAACUUCACCACUCUGCGUAUUCAUAGCUUUGAACACACUUCCAAACGAUCCACUCCCAACUUCCUUAAUAAUCUUAUACUUCUCCAUUAUCCUGACUUAUAUUCACCGCGAGUCCGCGACAACAAAAAACAGGGUACGGUCUCACGCAAAAAUUCAAGAACACUCACGCACUCGUAUCUCUACCACAGCCCGAAACAAAUUGUCUCGGAAUAUGCCAUUGUCCUCAGGAGGAUUUGGAUGACUAUAUGUUAUGUGAUCGUACGAUCAAAUAUAUGAUUGAUAAAAGCGCAACAUAUUUUCGAAGUGGGCUGCAUCACGAAUAAUGGGAUGGGAUGGUUUUUCGAGUUUUUCGAGAAGCUCUGAGUGAAUGAAGAUGAAAGAAUGAGAAGACGAGAGGAGGCUGCUAAGAUACUCCUAUGUAUAUAUAGGGGCAGAGAUUUCCGAAGGGAGGUAGGAUUUUAAGUCGCUGAUAGAUACGAGGUUUAAGGAUCUUACUUGGGGCUAAAGUAAUAUCUACCAAAGGAAGCGUCCUGCCUAUUUUCCAAAUUUUAUUUAUCUGUUUUUACAAUAAAAAUAAUAUAUUAGUAUACUUAUCCAGAUCAGAGAUAUAAUAUAUCUACAUUAUUAUUAAUUAAUCUCUUAUUAUAUUCUAAUAAAAUUUAUAAAUAAUAGAAUUGAAAAUUUCAAAAUUGAACAAUGAAAGUGCGAAAAAUACAAAAAAAAGUUGCAAUAUAGUUUGUUCUUUGUUUUUAGAAUUAUGUUUUUUCAAUAUUCCAAUUUGAACGGAAUCCUGAUAGAAGAAAAAGUUCACGAGAAUAAUAGAACAUAUGAAAAAUAUUAAGAAAAGAAAUUGCAUAAUGUAUAAGCCUACAAGGUAUAUUAUAAUACGGUAUUUAUUUGCAAAACUAGUUAUAAGUCGUUUCAGACGACUUAUAAUAUUUAGUUAUUUUAUCAUAUAUAAUUUAAUAAUUCUUAUGAAUAUAAACUAUAUUAGAAUAAUAUAUAUUUCUUAAUAUUUUACUGUACAACAGAUACAUUUUACUUAGUACUAGUGCUACAUGCACAAAAUUGAGUACAGAAUUUUGCACAAAAUGAUAUACAGAAUUUUGCACAAAAUGAUGUGGCAAGUGAGGUGGGAAGUUUUAACUGGUACUAUUAAUGCAUACACAGGGGGCUCAUUUCAAUCAAAAAUUGACACAUACUCAUUAUGUGAAUAUUUUUGUACCCAAUUCUGUGCCUCUAGCAUUUUCCUUUACUUUUUUAUAGUCUUGCCGGUGCACUGCAAACAAAGAAAGAAAAAGGAUUUUACCCAUAAGAAAGUGCGAUACCAUACUGCUCAGCAAUGCACUUCGUCCAUUCAGCUACACGGUCCAGAUUUAGCAUAAGUUCUAACCCAUAAGAAAGUGCGAUAACAUCUUUAUAACUUUGUUUACGGCAUCUGCAUAUACAAUACAAGUCGCAGAGUAAUUAUUAUGGCAAUAACCGGCAAUAGAACCAACAAGCAAUGAAGGUCCUUUAGACUAUCUCCAACAAAUUAAGCAUCGGGGAAUUUACUUACUGCUGGACAGUUCUGUCGGCAGCCUAGCAAGAAACAGUUGUUCCUAAAUGGAGUCAUUCGCUAGCACUUAUCAAGCAUCAGCCAUAAGUAUAUAUUGCAACUUGCAAGCACCAUAUUAUCAUCUACUGGCCAGAUUUCCAGAGUCACUUUAUGGCUUAUGCUGCCUGAAAGGCACCUGUAUAAGAAUUUCAUAUUACAACUUUUACUAGAAUGCACCCCUACCUUCAAAUUGCAUAAUGCAGCUCACAGCAACUCAACAAUUUCAACAUUGAAACCGCAAAGUGACUUCUAUCAGGAUUUAAUUUUCAACAGGAUGACACUUCAGUAACAUUAAAACCAUUUGAUAAGUCAUUUAAACAAAUACGAAUUGCUAAAUCAGUUUAAGUCCAGCUCAACAACCAAUUGAAUCGAACAGUAAUGCCGAAAUGACAAACUCAGCUACACAAUGAAUCAAACAGGUAAGCUGCAUCAUAUCACACCAACUCAGCCAUCCAAACCACUUCAGCAAAACACCAAGACAUUUUGCAACUACUUUGCAAUUAUUUACAUUUCUUAUUCAAACACUAAUAUAUAAGCAUAGAUCUAAGAUCAAAACAAAAAAUAAAGCAUACAAACAUGCUAAAUAAACAAAAAUAAAUUCACACUAAUUCAGAACAAUAGAGCAAUUUCAUUCAUACUAUAACCAUUCAAUUACACAUCACAUUCAUUUCGAACAAACACAAUUCAACUAAAACACAACCUAGAAACCCUAGAAAUCAACCGCCGAAGCCAUAAAGAGUCCUGCCCUGCCUCUUGAGAGCGUACACAACAUCCAUAGCAGUCACAGUCUUCCUCCUAGCGUGCUCAGUGUAAGUAACCGCAUCACGAAUCACAUUCUCCAAAAAGAUCUUCAAGACGCCUCUGGUCUCCUCAUAGAUGAGCCCGCUGAUUCUCUUUACACCGCCUCGGCGAGCCAGACGACGAAUGGCGGGCUUGGUGAUGCCCUGGAUGUUGUCACGGAGGACUUUGCGAUGUCGCUUGGCACCGCCUUUGCCAAGGCCCUUGCCUCCCUUGCCACGUCCUGACAUCUUAAAUUUCGAAUGAGAGAAAGAGAGAGAGAGAGAGAGAGAGAGAGAGAGAGAGAGAGAGAUUUGGUUGUGUUGUGGAGAGAGAAAUGAGAGUGUUUGAGAUGUGAGAUUGGGAGAGAUGGUAGGGGGUUAAAUAAGGGGAGUUUUGGGGGUUUGAAAAUUUUGAAAGUUUGGGCGGGGUUUUUGUGUUGGUUUUGGUGAUCCUGGUGGUUGAUUGGUGAAUAUGAGACGUUGAUGUUAAAAAAAAUCGACGGUUGGGAAUUGUGUAAAUUAUGAGGCACGGAUCGAUGACAUGGCGCUGAUCAGCCAGUCAGGUCGGACCCAACUCAAUCUGGGGAGUACACGCGCUGUUUGUUUUAGCCUUUUUUUUUCCCUCAUAUUUGGCAUUCCUUAUUUAAAUUCUGACUUAAGGUUAGAAUCAUGGUAUUUAUAUCAUUUACGUAAAUUUUUGUCGAAAUUUCAAAAAUCGAAAAUUCUAGUUUAUGUUUAAUCAUUUAAUUUUUUUAAAAUUUGAUUUUACCAAUUGUAUAUGAUAAUUUUAAAAGAUAAUUUAUAAAAAUGUAUUACUAUUACUAUAUUAAUAAUUUGUGUAUCAAAUAUGUUGUAAACACAAAAUAAAUAAUAUUCAAACACAUAAUUAAAAGUUAUUUCUCACUCAUAGCUAAAUUCUCAUUUAUAAGCAAUAAUCACUUUUUUUUAUGUUAAGUGAAAUGUCCCCAAGGCUGGCAAUCUCCUGAUGCUGAAUUGUAUAUAUAGGUUAAUGCGAUGAAGACAUCUGAAACCGGUCACAUGGCGUGGAUAAUUAACCGAAUUGAUCGUAUAACGGUUUGGAGUGGAUAAUACCUGGUAUACAAAAUGCACGAGUUGAUCGUAUAACGGUGUGAAGUGGAUAAUACCUGAUAUACAAAAUGUAAACAAAGAGUGAAUAUGGAUAUAAUAAAAAGUCUCGCGUCCGACCCGCACUCUAUUCGUACAUAUAUAUAAAUGUACAUGUACUUACUAAAUUUAUCACAAAAAUAUAUUAUAUUUUCAUGUUACUAUUUAAUAAAUUUUAAUAUACAAAAGAUAGUAAGCUCGUAAAAUAUUCAUAAUACAACUUAUUUGAAUAUUAGUUUCAAAUUUGUGCUAAUUAUUAAAGAAAUCAUAAUUCUUUUCAUAAUUUACAAAUUAACUAACAAUGUUUGUAUUUUACACAUUUGACCAACAAGUUUUAUAAAAUCAUGUUAAAAAAAUAUGACACAACUACGCGUAACGCAUCCGUUCACCACUUUGUUCUCUACUCAUCUCACUUCUAAGACAAGCUGCCUUUAGCUAGGAGUCUCUUUUCUUUUUGUCCUGUUCUCGUUCACCACUUUGUUCUCAACUCUACUCACUUUUAAGACAAGCUGUCUUUAAUUAGGAGUCUCUUUUCUUUUUGUCCAGUUCCGCUAAAACGAUGCUCGACUUGCAUGUGUUAAGCAUAUAGCUAACGUUGCUCCUUCUGAGCCAGGAUCAAGUUCUUAUUUUAAAUAUGACUUUGAAACCUGAUGAACCAGGCCUAGUACUUCCCGACCUUAUGUGAGCUUUCCUGCUCUUAUAUAAUUGUAAUGAGAGAAUAUUUCGAAAAUCUUUUUAAUGCUUUUGAUCCGACUAUGCUCAACGAGGUGACUCGUGUAUGCGACGAGACUAAAGACAUGAAGUAGAAUGUUCAAACCAAAUGGUAUCCAAAGGAAAUGAACAACUUAAGGGAACGACAUUUUUCGAUUAGGAGAUCUGCUCCCAGUUUGACCAUCAUCAUUACUCUUAAGGUUAUCACCUUGCUCAAUUGAUUAGUUCUAUCAUCCCAAUAUUUUAGCACGAAAAAAAUGUAUUUGUCAAAAUCAUAAAAAAAUGCGUGAAAAAACUCUUACUUAUUAUUCGAACUCUGAUGAGUGAAAGGACUUUCAAGAAAGUUAUUCUAGAGGAUCAACCAGAGAUCGAUUGACUUAGUUAGUGAUACUUGAUACGACAAACUAAGUUUUAAAGUAAUCAGUCGCACUCGGCAAAGGUGAAUAAUUAAUUUUCAAAUUAACCAUCAUACAAUCACAUAGUACAAAUUUUUGUUCUCUCUCUCUUUAAAAAAUUUAAUUAUCUAAAUUAACAACAUUCCACUAAACAUGGCUAUAAUGUUAUAAAAUUUCUUUCCAUCUCAUUAAUUAAAUAUUCCGAAUAUCUUAUAUGGAUGAAUAUCUAAUGACAAGGAUUACAAACAUUUUUUUAGAACAUCUGACGGGUAAAUACUCAUUUCGGUCAUCUAGCUAAACCACAAACAUUUUUUUAGAACAUCUGACACAUUUUUUUAAACAUCUGACGGGUAAAUACUUAUUUCGGUCAUCUAGCUAAACCGCUAAAUGACAGAUAAUCAUUUUAUCCAGCAGUUUAAAAACGUUGAAUUUAUUAAAAAAAUGUUAACGGCAUAUGAUCAUUUUACUUCAAAUAGUUUAAAAAAGCUGAACAUAUUUAAAUAUUUAUCCAAUGACCUUUGCAAAUAAUUAUAGUAAUAUUUCCCAGCAAUGAAGUAAAAGUGGAAGACAGUGCCAAAAUAAAAUUUGUUACCAAGUUUAUGGGCAAAAACCAAUACAAUAGUAUACUACAUUCAACAUAAUUUUUUCAACCUCAAUGCAUUUGAAGUUUGAAUUCAACAAAGCACACGGUAAGAGUAGAACUAGUGUUGCACUCCUAAUCAACAUAACCAAAUAAACAUAAAUCGGGCAGCAAUUAAAAGACCAAGAGAGCACAUCUUAUUUUUCAUAUAUCAACACGAAGCUUACAGUUUAGGACACUGCAGACAUACCUUUUCCCAUUCAUAAAAUAAAACUGUAAUGUCUAAUCAAAUACAUAAAACAAAAACCAGAAAGCUUUUCAUUUUCAGAUCCUCAGCAACAAAUCCUAGUACCUCGAAAAACUUUAACUGUAUUCUUCAUAACCAAAAGUGACCCAGACAUAUACAUGUUACUGGAGAUCACACUUUCCUUUGGAUUCCAAGCCUCUCGCGGAAGUCACUUUCCAUGAGAGGAAGGCCAUCACGCAACUUUACCUUUGGUUCCCAACCUAACACUUCCUUUGCCUUUGUUAUGUCUGGCUUUCUCUGGCGAGGAUCAUCAGGCGUGUUCUCCACAGUUAUGAUUUGGACUUCUGGAUUAAUAAGCUGCAAAAUAAUUGAGGCCAAUCAACACUUGUCUAUUGAAUGAAAACGUAACGUCAUAUCUAAUUUUUCUUCAAAACAAUAUAUUCGUCUAACUAUCCUUUGGAUAUUGAGCACAGUUGAACUGACCUCCUUUACAUUUUCAGCAAGCUCCAUCAUUGUGAAUUCACCUAAACAUUAAAAAACAGUCGGGUCAUGUAAACACGAAAUUGGGCAUAACUUUUUAACACGCCUAACAAUAGGUAACACAAGUUAUUUUUCUUAUAACACAGAUUUGUUGCAAUGAAGAUCACAUAAUGCAGAUUCGUUGCACUUCAUAACUAACAUCUACCAAAAAAGGUGAAAACUAGGAUCUGCGACAUUGUUUUUUAAAGUACCUGGGUUCCCAAUAUUAAUUGGUCCAGUAUUAUUUCCUUCCAUAAGUUUAAUAAGGCCAUCAACCUUCAACAGAAGUCAGAAUAACUUGUCAGCAAACAAAUUUAGAUUGAAUUGUAGUGCAGGAAAAAUGCACAAAUAUGUCGCUUACCAUGUCAGAAACAUAACAGAAACUGCGAGUCUGGGUUCCAGGCAACUGAACAGUCAAAGGCUCGUUACUGCAACAUAGAGAGGAAUAUAUUAGGGUGGCAAUUAGGUUCCCAAUCCAUUUAAAUAAACCAAACUUUUGGUUUUGGUUCAGGUUAAAAUCAUAUUUAUAUAUGGGUUGGAUUUUGAGUCUCAUAAUGUAUUAAAAAUUUAAAAUGUGAUCUUUCUAAUUCCAAAUAAUUAGUGCAGAGAAAAUUAAUAUAAAAUAUAAAAAUAGAUAAGUGGUUACAUUUGUCUGUAAAACCUAGAAAAGUAAAGUUACCGAAUCGCUUGAGCAAUGAAAUUACUGACAACACGGCCAUCAUCAAUAUUCAUCCGAGGGCCAUAAGUGUUGAAAAUCCUGGCUAUCCGUAUUUCUGCAGUGACCAGUUUUAGACAUGGAAAAACUGGGUUACAAAUAUUCUUACACAAAAGAUGCUAUUCAUCCUAGAAUUUAGUUGGCAGUUGGUAAAAUAAGAGUCUGUACCAAUUCCAUGCUGCCUAUGAUAAUCAAACAUCAAUGUCUCUGCUACUCUUUUUCCCUCAUCAUAACAACUCCGGACUCCUGUAAAAAAUAUAUUGAAUGAAACUCUUUUCAAGAUACAUACAGACUUCGACAAUAAAUAGACAACCAUUAAAUUACUAAUGAAAAGUCUUAAUCUCUACAUGUUUAUUGCAUGUGUACAGCUGACAAAACUUAGCAAUACAACUUUUCAGGAGUAUGUCACAGGCUUCGCAAUAUUAUAUGGACUAAACAAAACAUUUUCUAGUUCUAAUGAUUAAAUUUUAAUUGAGCAAAUAUCAUGUGUGCAAAAACGUGCAUGCAUGUAUGCAAUUACUACUUGUUUGUGAGCUUUAAACUGCGUCAUAAUAUAUUUGAUCUAAUAAGAAUUCCCUUAUCCCUACAGAAGCUAGCAUUUUUAUUUUAUUUUGUCUACGAAUAAUAGCGAGAAGGCUUAUGAUACAUCACAUAUUCAUCUUCUUAAGUAAGAUUAAGUGGCCAAACUAAUACAAAACAGCGGUAAGAAAGUAAGAUAGUCCAUCUACCUCAUUUCCAAGAAGAUAACUCCUAUACACACACACACACGCACACCACAUAUUGAGAACUAUCAUUCUUGAGAGAUGUCAACUAAGGAAUAAUAAAACUCAAUUUCACAACAAAACCAAAUCAACACACAAGGCGGACAACUUAUGUUAAAUAAUAGGCCAGUUGUAUGUACCUAUGGGGUUGACAUUUCCCCAAUAACUCUCAUCCUGAGGAUGUACAAGGGGAUCUCCAUAAACCUCUGAAGUUGAUGUCAAUAAAAUCCUGUAGUACAGUAGUAAUAUGAGACAACCACAAUUCUACAAAUACUAUGCAGCAUGUGUAAUGGAAAUGUUCAAACCUUGCUCCCACUCUCUUGGCAAGUCCUAACAUGUUUAGUGUCCCAAUGACAUUGGUCUUGAUUGUCUGUCAAGUCAAGUAUCAUAUAAUCAGCAUUUAAUUUUGCCAAAUACAUAAACACAUCAAACCAUCCUAUAUGCUUAGCUAAAGCACCAUAUGUACUUAAAAGAGUCUCUGCUCAAAAGCAGUUAUAGUGUUCUACACAAUUAGCAACAACAUAUAUUGACGUGUAGGGUUUUGCAGAUUAGAUAAAUGACCGGGGUAUCUGAAAACAAUACAGCCUGUAAGGACAACUACUGAUAAAAUUUCCUUGCUGCUGCUGCAAAACAACUGGCAGGUUCAGAAGCAUAGAACACAACAGGUUGAAUCUACACCAGCUUUAGAACAAGUAGAUUAAAUUAUUAAUCAAAAGAGCAAAGUACCUUAACAGGAUUAUAUUUGUAGAAAAUUGGUGAAGCAGGACAGGCAAGAUGAUAUAUUUGAUCAACUUCAACCAACAAUGUUUCUGUUACAUCUGCAGAAAUAUUGAAAUGUAUGUAAAUAACAAAUUGAACUAGAUGUGGGAAAAUAGAUAAAUGAGACACAAGGCCAAGGUUGGGACUUGGAAUUAUUGUGCAAAUAAGACUGCUGACUGCAGUUAAGAUACAUACUGUAUUACAAGCCCUUUUUCAAUUUUGAGAGAGCCCUGAUUUUGAUUUUAAAUCUUUACAGGUAUUGCCUAACAUUACUACUAUAUAAUAUAUCUAUAUCGAUAUAUACACAUAUAUAUUUGUAUUUUUUGAUAUCUCAAUAACAUUUGAUUCAGGGUUAAGCUCCAAAGAGCCUGAGAUGAUCUUUUAUAUACGAAAUAUAAAGUUAAUUUGUGGACACAAUGUUGAAUGAAUGCAUUUACAUUUUGAUUAUAUAUUUCAAUAAGGGUUUAAGUAAAAAUAAAUGAAAUAACUUGGAAGCAACAAUAAACAGUCAAUAUAAAGAACACAUUUCGCAUAGAUAAUUCAAUGAUGUUCAUUAGCAUAUACACAAAUGACGCAACUUGGAUGAUAAAAGAACAAAUACCAUGUCGAAUAAGCUCAAAUCUUGGAUGACCAAUCCACUGUCUUAGGUUGUCCUUUGAGCCAGUAAAGUAGUUAUCAACCACGAUCACCUAGGAGGAACGAGAAAGUUGCAUUAUACUAUUGACCAAUCAUGCAGAAAUUCACCAAGCAGAAUCAUCUGACUACAGUAUCAGACGAAACAGAAGAUUAUGAUAGGAAGUUUAUACCUCAUUCUUCUCAUUUUGCAUCAGUCUGUCAACUAGAUGAGAGCCAAUAAAUCCAGCUCCUCCAGUAACUAAGAUUCUCAUGUUGGCCUGUCAUCAGCAAGCUAUUAAGUAACAGAAGAAGAUAUGCAGAGAGUACCAUAACUCACAUGACUCUAGUCAGUUUGUCACAAAACACUCUCCUUAACCUUAACUAUGAAGGAACAAUCAGCCAACAUAUGUUUUACAUGAAAAAUUACACAAUAAGAGAGUUCUUGACAGCUAUGACACAGAACAGUGGUGGAUAUGAAAACCAGAGAAUGUAUUGAAAAAAAUUAUAUGAUUCGGAAAACUUGCCUGCUUUUACCUAUGUACACCAGAAUUUCCGUAUAGAUAUAUUAAAAUUAUUAGCAAGUUUGGAACAAAUUUUCUGGGCACUGAAGAAAGUAUUAUGGUUAUCACAGCAGAUACUUGAUCUGACUAAUUUUAUAGCAGCAAGUGUUUUCCCAAAAGUAAAUGCGAAGGAACACAAAAAUUACCACUGGGACACCCAAUAUGCAUCUACUCAAAAUUUUGAUUCAAAUGCAGUCUACAUUAAAAUAUAUAUGGAAAACCAAACAAACAUUUAUAAAAGAAAGAGAAGAAAUUUUGUUUGCAAGUCAAUAACUUCUUCAUGUUCCAACAAACAACAUAAGGUAAGUAUAUCAUACAUCAAGCACAUAUAUUCUCCUAACCACAAAUGCAUACAGUUCACAGUUUGUGCUUAAAAAGAACCAUCUUGCUGGUUGCAACCUGAAAAAAUUUGGCAGUGCGCAAUGGAGAAGGUGUUGGAGGGGGUUUCGUGGAUCCAUUAGCAACUUCUUUCGACAUCUUCCCAGAUCCUUCUUCGAUUACUGACACCAAAAAUAUCCAAAUAAAGCACCUAUUAAGAUAAACCAAUCAAAUUCAAUACCACAUUACAAAUCACAAAUUAAUUCACAAUAAAAAAAGCAUCUUUUCCCAUAUGCCUCAUCAAAAUUCAAAAACUCAAUACCUGCAGAAAAAUAAAAUCUUUGCACAAAAAACCCACAAAUUUGCUUGAAAUUGGUAAAGAUCAAAACUUUAUAUACACAUCCAAAUGGGUUGUUGAUAAAAGGGCACAAAUCAUCCAAAAAACAUGUAAUAAUCACACCCAAUUAAAGAAAAAAAAAGAAUAUGAAAGCUUAGAGAACACGAAGAGUAAAGAGUACAAAAAGCUCAAAAGUGGAACCCCACUACAACAAACUCACCAAACAACAAUCAGAUCCAAAUCUCACCCAAAAAUCACAAAACAAAUUUGCAAAUCAAGAAUUAAACAGAGAAUUUAGAACAGUAAAAUUAGGAAAAAAAUCAAAAAAUUGUGAAGAUAGGGAUGAGAGAGAUAAAAUUAGUAGUACCUCUGAAUAAACACAAAGAUUUGUGAUCACUGAUCAAUGUGAAGUAGUGCGUGAAUAUAUGUGGGUUUUAUAUUGUAUAAGUAUAGAUAGAUAGAUAGAUAGAUGCAAUUAACAGGAGACGUGAAUUAUGUAAUUUGUGUCUUCAACAUGACGUGAACUUACUGGAUUCAUCUGCCACGUCAAUUACACAUAGGAACGGUAAUCACAUAAAUUUAUUGCUUAUCCUUUUAAUACGGUUUUGAAAUUUGGAGUUAGCAACAAAUAAUGUGUAAUUUUUGUCAGAUAAUUUUUUAUUUAAAAAUAUCUAUUAGAGGUAUUUUUAUAAUUUAUUUUAAAUAAAAAAAUUAUAGUUUAAUGAGCAUGUAAUAUAUAAUUCACUGAAAUUAUGUAAUUCUUGUCACAUAAUUUUUUCAACUAAAGAUCGCUAUCGGAGAUAUAUUUAAAAUUAAUAUUUAAAAAAUAAUACUACAGUUUUUACCUUUAAGAAGUAACAUAUAACAAUAAGUUUAAACAAGUAACCCAAAAAGUAGAUAUUAGAUAUAUUCUAUAAAUUUUAUUACUUACAUUCAUCCUAAUUCGAUAUACAAUUUGUUUAGGAAAAAUAAAAUUGUAAGUAGUUUUUGGGAAACAGGUCAGUCGCAAAAGUGCUCUGCCAACCGUUUCAACGAAGAGAUAAGCAAGUCGAUCACUAGUAUUUUACACUCACGUAAAACAGUUGACAAUGAGAUGAGUGUUAUAGAAUAGUAAGAAUAGUCAAGCACCAUGUCCAUGUAUGAUUAAAAAGCACAUGACUAUUUAACAUGGUUGGUAUAUAACCAAAAAUCACAUGACUAUUUAACAUGGUGGGUAUAAAUGGGAAUUGAAAUUAAUUAAUUAAACUAUCGGAAUUUAUCAAUUUUUUUGGAAGAAUUAAAGUUCGAGUAAAGGACUUAAAGUUUGUUUUACAAAGCAGGUGUGCCAUUUGAGUUUUGUCAAUCUCAUAAGCAGGAUUCUGUCGACAGACCUUGAUCAGUUGAUCAAGUGCAUCUGUAUUUUCUAAAAUUAUAUCCGACCUCUUCAAUUCCAAUCGCUCACUUAUCAGUUAUCAAGCCUUGUAAUUUCUUCAUCAGAUGAGUAAAAUGACGUGUGUGAUUCUACGUUUUACACCUUGUGCAUCCAGCUUCUUAAGUACAGGAAAGAACUCAGACACAUUAGCCUUACCUAUUUCAGACAAAAUUCCCUAAACCACGACUCUCAACUCCUUAGCGGAAUCCACAUAAGGGUUCACCCGGAAAACACCGUGUUGGAUAUAAAAUUCAGCGAGGUCCUAAAACCAGCUCGACUAAUAUCAACUGCCUCUCCAGUCACCAAGCUCAGUCACCUUCCUAUUACGUACAUUCUGAUUUGCAUUAACCGAAAAUAUGUUAGUAGUCACAAUUUUUCUGAGAUUUUUCCACCUCGGGCCAAUAGGCAAUUAUGCUAACGAGUACCUGGAAUGGUCACAAGCACAAAGAGCAUCUGAACAAACCUGCUAGAAAAAACAAGGUCUUGCUUCUGAAGCACUUCUCGAGCUAUAGUUGAUGAAGAAAUGACUAUUGUAGUUAUGCUCCCGAGUUAUAAACACAUGAUCGGACCAUAAAACUGGGCAAGUUCCGUGAGGGACGGACUGAUGAGGCAGCUUCCCUAUAUCGGCUAAAAUACCAAUGACAGGCCACUGGAGAGGUCCUGGAGGAAGGUUUUUGCCUCUGUUUGAGAACAAAAACAGAGAUUCUAAGAAUGCAAAAGCAAGUAUGAGAUAUACUACACCGAUUAACAAGUCCAUUUUGCUUAAACAAAGUGUUUUUAAGCCUGUGAAGUGAGAAACCUUGAGCAGUUGAGCUAUAUGCAUGAUUCAUGAAGCAACUCAAGGUGCAACUAGUGGAGAAUAAAAAUAGAAAAUUAAAUUAACGUAUUAACUAUUAAGUAGUCCUAUGAAACUUGUUUAAUUAAGGGCUGCUCCCUUAAUUAGCAGCCAUCCAUUGAGCCGCUUAUUUGGCGGUAUGCACGUGGCAUUCAUAUAAUCAUAUUUAACUUUUUUUUUUUUGGUCACAAUAUAAUCAUAUUUAACUUGACGUAGGUAAAAAAGGACCACAGUUUACGAGUCAUUGUUGUACCAAAUAAGUAAAACAAUCACUACUACCCUUUAAUUAUAAAUAACCAGCAUUAGAGUACUCUACCCUUUUUAAAGAUGGUAUUUACACUUUAUUUGACCUUGCAAUAUGUGGAAAAAUGGUGUUUCGUUGCUCUCUUUUUACACUAAAUUUGACUUUUAUUAACAUAAGGAGUGGUAGUGUUUUAUUAUUUUCAGUUUUACACUUAAAUUUACAUUUAAUUUGUAUAAAAUACAGAAAAUUCACAAAAUAAUUAUUCAUGUACGGACUAUUAUCACUUGCACCUGUAGAUUAUAUCAAAUUAAUAUUUGUAUUUGUUCUUAAUGCUGUAUUACUGUACACCGAGCUUUUUAUUAAGACCACAAAUUAAUAGUAGUUAAUCCUGAGUAAAAUCUUUUACCAUAACUGAAUAUAUUUAGCAUAAAAUACUAUACAAACAUAUAAAGUGGCUGUAGUUUAGUGGUUAGAAUUCCACGUUGUGGCCGUGGAGACCUGGGCUCGAAUCCCAGCAGCCACACUUUUUUUCCCAUUUUGCGACCCUUUUAGAAGUGUAGGGUUUUUAAAGAGCCCAAUACUCUUUUCUAUUUGCUUUUGUUUUUUUUGGAAGACGCACAAGUUGAAGAUCAACAAAACCUAGAAAAGGUAUGUAUAGAGGUCCAAUCUUUAGCUCAUAUUAUGUGAUAAUCCUGGCCUUUUUGAUUUGAUUAUAUUUCAAUGUGUUCUUUUCGGUUGUCAAGAAAUGCUGUGAAAUAAUAUGAUCUUUCUUGGGUUUAUGCAUAGUUAGUCAUCUAGAUCUAAGACCCCUUGAUGUGAAAUUUAUGUUUUAAGUAGUGAAGAUCACAAGGAAGUGCUAUAAUAAUGUAAAGGUCCAAUCUUUAGCGUUUAUUAUGUGAUUAUGUUGGCCUGAAUUAUGAGGGUGUGAAGUUGAUCUGGGUGUGUUUGAGGCUUUGCAUAAUUCAUGAUUGUAAGCUGAAGACUGUUUUGUGAGGGUAGUAAUAAAAUUCAAUCUUAUGAUCCGGUGAACAGAAUUCGGUGAUGAUGAGUCUAUGACAUAUAUAACCAAGAAAUGACUGGUUCACAUAAAUCCAAAAUCAUCACCAUCUCUAUGGCCACAUAAUUUGGGUGAGUGGAAAUCUUAGAAUUCUAUUUGAAGGAAAGCUCUGACACACACUCAAGCUUUUAAGAGGUGACUCAUUUCUAGGUCUUUGAGAAGUUUGACAUCAUUGUAUGAACAAGUUACGAUGAUGACACUUAAAAGUGACUUGAAAAGUUUAAUGCUGUUCUUUCUAGGUUUUACAGAUUAUGUUUUUCUAAUUUGCAGCAAAACCGCCUUAAGUAGACUAAAAGCAUGUCUGAUAUAGUUGAAUUGAAUAUUUAGUUCCAUACAUCUGAAAGUAUAGACAAUUAGCUCUGUUUUUGAUUGUCCGUUGUGUUUUUAAGUGCGAAACACGCUAAAAAUAUCUUCAAUCAGAACUCGUAUGGUUCGAGAUGUAGGGUUAAAGGGUUAAAUGAGCAUCUACUGUCUGUAAAGCGAAAAAUUUGAUUCUGGUGUUUUAGUAGCUCAUACAAAGAAAUUUGUCAAGAAUAAGUUUGUUGUAGAUUUCAACUUUACAAGCUCUCAAACAGAGUUUUUUGACAAUGAAAAACAUAACUCAUAUUAAAGAAAAACAAACCACAUAUACUAUGUAUGCCCUGCUUUGUAGACAAGGGUUUGGGGAGAGACGAUGUUCUAUAUGUAAACAUUACCUCUAUAUCUAAGAGUAGAGAAGUUUUUUCUGUAUUACUCAAAACUUUAAUUCAUCCUCUUGCUAUCAAAGCUUCAAUUAGAUGUUAUAUGUAUAUGUCUGUGUAGAUGUAGUAUAUAUGAUAUUACAGUAAAAGUGUGUUUAUUAUUAUGUUAAAAAUGGAGCUUGUUGCUUUUACUAUGAAUUAGAAGAAGUACGUACUGGGUAUUUUAGGUGGUUUUGAUGUUCUGCAGAUUAUAUAACUAGGAAAACUAAACGGGGCAUGUCGCUUUAUAUACAUUAUUGUGGUGUCAUCAGUAUAUCUUUUUUAACUUGUUCAUACAUUGCACGUCAAAGCAUUUGGCUGGCCCAGUAUUUCGAUUAUGUUUAAAUGGUAUAUUAUUUGGACACUCAUUCAGCUUUAAUAAUUGAAGACAAUUAAAAGUACACUUUAAUUAAUAAUUAUAACAAAAACAAAUCUAUUGAUAAAUUGGUUAAAUUUAACUCUUAAGCCAUCAAUGUGACUUUAGUUUAGGGCUUGAAUCCAAGCAGUCACACCUAUUUUUGAUUCUUUUUUUUGCAACCUUCUCUAAAGUAGGGUUUUUAUAUGAGACCAGUUGCUUAUUUUUCUUUCCUUUAUCAUUUUGGAGGGCGCAGAAGUUGAAGAUUGACUAAAGACAGCAAAGGUAAUUGCACAAUCUCAUGCUCUACACACACAGACACACACACACAAACAUCACUUAUUAGAUCACUGUAUCAUAUAUGUGUCAUUUUUUAAUGGAGUUUGACUUGGAUGUGUUCUCGUUGGUUCCUAGAAAUUUUGUAAUAUAGUGUGAUCUUUAUUGGGUUAUAUAUCCUCUAGAUCUAAAACCCCUUAUUGUGAAUUUAGUGAAGGUCAUAAAAAAUGCAAUAAUAAUGUAAAGGUCCAAUCUUUAGCUUAUAUUAUGUGCUUAUUUAGCUUAAAUAUUAAUGGGGUGAAAUUGAUCUAAAGUAUGUUUGAGGUGUUUAUUUUUAUUUACGAGGAUUAGCUAAAGAUGGUUUGUGAGGAUUUUUAAAAAAUUUGAUUCAAUGAUCAGGCGCACAUAAUUUGUUGACUACAUAGGGAAUGCCGCAUAUAUAGAAAAACUCUGAAAUGACUGAUGCACUCAAAUCACAAAUCACUGUACACCAUCUCUUUAGCUGCGUAAUUUGGGUGGAACUCAUCAGAAUUCCAAUCUGUCAAUUCAAGAAAUUCUCUCACACCCUUUGCGCCAUACAGUCUACGUCAGACCCUUUGGGUGACCUAAUAAAUAAAUGAUGGUUAAAAUUUGAGAAACGGGUUGUUAAAAUGAUUCAGGGUGUGCGUGAUAUUCCUUGAGAAGGUGUAGCAAUGGAAUUAUAUGAGUUACACCCGAAUUGCAUGGCUGAAGAGAUGGGUGUAGAAAUGGUAAGAUGGUGUGGUUUGUCGAUUGGAUGAAUUAUUGUUUCUGUCACUUGUAGUGAGUCUUUUCGUCCGUGUUAUGUUUCUCUUUGUGGUCAACAAACUUUGCUUGUAGUCACAUUAAUAAAGGAACACUGAUGGUCAGUAUUUCUUGGUACGAGUAUGAGGUACUGAAGUCUUAACAUUUGGAUCAAAAUUGUAACCUUGCAGAUGAUAGACGAUCAAGACUUGGGUUUCAUAGCCAACUUUCUUGGAAUCUUUAUAUUUGGUUUGGUAAUUGCUUACCAUUAUGUGACAGCUGACCCGAAGUAUGAGGCCAACUAGAUCCAAGAUGCAUGCAACAGUUUAUCUCAGUUACAUGUUUCCUUCAUGUUGAAGUAACAUUAAGUUGGAACAAUGCUGGCAUUUACUAUAUUAAAUGUUAGCAGUUUUUAUGCUAGACAUUUCAUUUACAUUUUGUUAAAGCUUAAUUAAAAAGUUGCACCACAAAUUCUGUCUUUGUUAAUCAAAAUCCCACCUGAAUGCUGUGGAAGACGCAAUCUGUUUUUUGACUAUGAUGCUUUCGAUUUUUAAACACUUUCCAUACAGUUUAGGGGCCUUAUCUUAAGCUGUCUGGAUGAGCUUCAAAAUUUACUUUCAAGCCCAAAGUUCCCCCAACAUGUAUACUUUACCUUGCAAGUAACUUUAAUUUCAUAGUUCAUACCUCAACAUUUUCCUGCUCAACCUGAACGAAGUGGGGAUCUGAUCGGGGUCGAGCGGUACGGGUAAAUGUCCAUCCCUGUUUCAUACCAACACCAUUUUCCUGCGCCUUUGGUUUUAUAAGGAUCAAUGUCAUAUAUCAAAUUCCAAAAGAAUAAUUAUGCGGUAAAUCACUAAACCGGUGAGGAACAUCUCAUCAAAUAUCUCGACUGGAGAUGUAAAUAUUUGUAGCUGAUUCUUACCAUCAAAUUGACUGUUUAUUCUUCAUAUCCGAUUAAGCAAAUUGUCAUUUUUCACAAAUAUGAAACAAUGUUACGCUGUUUCUGUGUGUGGAUGUAUCUGCCAAUUUGCCCUGUCACAUUUAUUUUUAAAGGUAACAGCUGUGAAUUGGUGAUUAUUUACUCUAAGAACUUAAGUAUAGCUUGCAGGCUGCAGCAGCAGUAGCAUAUGAAAACCAGUGCAAAACUACAAAAUAUCGUUACCAACAGCGAAACUUUACCACCACCCAAAAAUGCACUUGCGCAUGUAAACGUAACGAGAUAACAAGUACCUCUCUUUACGCGUUUUAUUGUACAUCAGAAUAACGAUAUUAGUUGUCACUUUUCCGGACUGAGGGAGUAUGUUACAUGAAAAUAGUGCAUAAAUCGGUGAAAACAUGAAAUAAGAAUUAAUCAGAAAUUAGUCUAAAAUUAACUAAAUGAUUAAUUAAAUUAUAAUUAAUCAGAAAUUUAAUAAAUUCAACGUCCUAUAAAUUAAUCACCUACUUUAUGCAUAUUUGUCACAUUUCUGAAUUCAGGAAAUAUGCUAGUUUUCAAGCUACUUUUUCGAGGGUGUUAACGUCGAGUCUCACAAUCUGAAAGAAAAUGUUCCCAAGCACCAAUAUCAGAGAAGACCUUCAUCUAUCAUUUUUCCAUUCAAGACACUAUAUCAUAUAGUUUCCAUCCUCCUUUUUCUUUUUAACAUUCCACGAUCUAACGUUUAAAAAUCCUAGACUCAUUACGACCUAGCAUUAGAAACCCUAGACGCUAAUUUAUGUAACGUUCUACUCCUAAAAUGCUACUCGUUUAGCAUUUUACAGUGAUUUUCAACCCCAAACGCAGUGUUUUCUUACCAAAACUGAAACACAAGAUAGUCAAACGUUACUGAAUGAUAUUUGAGGCCAUUUUUGGGCAUUAGCUAUAAGUUUUAAGACAUAUGGGACCUUUGCUGCAAUUUCGAAAAAGAGGUAGCAUGCUAGAUAUAUUUGCAGGACACGAGAGGGAUGAGGGAGUAUUGGCUGCUUUCCCAGGAAGGAGUACACCAGAAACAUUUGCGGGAUGUAAGGGAGGAGGUGAACUGAGGGAGUACGCUAGAAACAUACACGGGACUGAGGAAGAAUGCCGGAAGCAUUUGCAAAGUAAUUGCACAGCACUAAACCUCUUUUCCAGCUAAAUGGCCCAGUACCAUUAUAUGUAAGAACAGGUACAAUAACAUCUGCAACACCUAGCAUUAACUAAAAACCUAAAAAUAAUAAAACUAAAUACUAACAUCUAUAUUUUAAGUUUAAACCUCCCUCCCAAUAUUACUAUAAACUACCAUGCACAUUUUAAGAUACAGCAACUGAGUCUACAUACAAAAUCCUAUUAAAAGCAACAUCCAUCUGCUUGACUACUACAUCCAUCUACUUGACUGUUGAACUGUUGGGCUUUUGUGUGUGUGUGUGUGGGGUGGGGUUGGNNNNNNNNNNNNNNNNNNNNNNGUGGGUUGUCACGGUGCUGGUUGAGUUGCAUGUUUGGCUGCCCAUAAGUAGGCAAUAAACAUCCACAACACAACCAUACCAAUUAUAGUGGUUCUGACCACUUCUUCCCUGCUCAUGUUAGUACGAAGAUCUGAGUAGUGGGAUGGACCAACAUUCACAUGAUUAUGGUGAUUUGUGCUUGAGCUCGCCCCGGUGAUUUCUUCAUAAGUUUCAUCUCCAAUCUCUGUCGUCGUGAUUAUUUCAUCAGUACUAUCUCCAAGCUCUGUCUCGGCGUUUUCUUCAUUAAUUUCAGUUUCAAGCUCUGCUAUUGGGCUUGUCUGUAUGAUUUCUUCAUUUGUACUUGUUACAUUGCUACUGCCUAAACAGUUAACGCACGAGCACGUACCACCUAGGAAAAGAGGUAGUGUCUGUAGGAAUUCAGUGACGACCUCUUGGUAGUUAUCUCCUAUGAUCCUUACUUUCUGUCUAGUGGCAGGUUUGAGAACCUGACAAAAAUAAUAGUAUAAUACUUAAUACAUGAAAAGAUAUGACAGGCAACUUACAACUGCUCCAAAUGUAAUAUUAUAUUGGCUACCACUUGGUUCUCAUGCACAGAUAGAGUUGAGAGAGAAAACCUGCCUGAAAUAGAGUUUGAAUUAUCAUACGUGCAACCGCAGGAAGCCGUAUGAUAGCCAAGCAAGCAAGACGUGUUGGAUAGUGAUCUUGCAGCAGUGUAGCACACGAUCGCAAUAUUUGCAUCGGAAAACCAAAUGGUGAUAAUCCCUUGCAAUCCAUCAAAACCGUAAUUUGAGGAUGCCUCCUGUCAACGAGGUUCAAAACUCCGUGUUCUAUCUGGGAAACUAAAAGAGCAAACUGUAAUUGAUUAAUCUGCUUAAUAAAACAUUAUGAAUUUAGCUAGGAGAACAAAUAAAAAUAAGAUAGUAGCAUAUCAAUGGACGUAGGUAUGUGAAAUGAAGCAACUCAUCCAGUUAUCAUCUGAUAGUAACCUUUAGUUGACCAGUUAAUAUCAUUCCAGGUUUCACCAACUUACUUCAAACAAUAUAGGGUUAGUUCUCAACCUAAUGAAAGCAAUCAAUCAAGCUAGUACAGGCAAUCAGGUCAAUGAUAAGCGCUUUUACAAUAUAGCUUAAAAAGAGGAAUCAAGACUCGUCGAGCUUUACUUUGACUUGUUACUAAUUGAAACAAGUUACUUAAAUGUACUUAAUAGAGAAUACUCACCAACUGCUUUAGCAAAUACGGGCUUAUUGCUAGAACUCAGGUUGGAGCAAGCGAGCCCAAGACGGAUAAUGAGACAGGGUCUUCUCUUAACAUCAUAGCCAUGCCAGAAUACAAAGCAAUCCCAGUCCUUAAGUUCAUCUGGGGAUAACAUAGUGUAAGUUUGUCUCCAUUGUAUCGUCUUCUUCACUGCUGUAACAAACCUUGAGAAGUCACCAUUCGAAGCAGCAUAAAAUCUACAAAGCUCAUCCUCGUCAAGCCUGGAGAGGCAUAUCAUCCAGUUUAACACAGUUAAGAUACAGAUGACUAAUUUUCAAAUGGUUAAUGUUUCUUAGAUCAAAAUUUUCAGGCUUUGUGGCACAGUAAAGUAUCUAGACAUAUCAUCAAGUUUUAAUCCUUAAAAGUAAAAUUACUUUAACAGAAGCAUCAUAUCUAAGGAGUUGUGUCUGCAGUCCUUACCUUUCAGGUAAAGUCAAACCCUCCUCAUUUAACUUCUCAUGCAAGUCUUGCAACCACUUCCUGGAAACAAGAACUCUCGGAGCUUCAUUGGUGGACCUGGAAAAUCAUAUUGACCAACAAAAUGGAAUUUAUAUACACGCAAACAUCAUAUUAGCAUAUAUAAUGAUAAUCUACAUUAUCCAAAUUGCAAAGGAGUAUUGUUAUACUAGUUUAAUUCGGUGACUGAGAUCAAGAAUAUAAAUAUCAUCAAUGACCGAGACAAAUUUAAUUAAACUGGUGGCAACUCAUAGAACUGAUAUUAAUCUGAGCAGGUUUGGUACAUGUCAUGACAAGUAUACGGCUUUAAAAUUCAUACAAAGACUGGACAAAGCUGUAGCUCUAGAUUACUAGCCUAGGAAACACAAAAAGGCCAAGUGACUGCAAAAGCAAGUUUCUUCAGGGUAGUAAGAGGGCCUGACGCUACCAAACAACCAUACAAAUUUACCAGACCUCCCAAGUAUGAACAAUAUCAAAUGGGGAACACAGUAACACACUACAGCAUAUAUCACAAGAAAAAAAAAAAGCGUUCUUGCCAGAUCACAGGAACUUACUAAGCCAAAAAUAUGAGGAAUUAUUUAGUGCUUGUACUUGCAGUAGAAUUCAAUUUCUUACCUUACGUCUGGACUAGAUAAUUGAGAAGGUGACCCCGACUGUGUUUCGUAACCAUCUGGAGAGGCAUAGGAAUUGUCACAUGAAGAUUCAUCAGAGAAAAUUGUUGCGAUUGACAGAGCUAACAUUGGCUUCGACAACCCCUAGCAGAAAUAAGUAUCAUCAGUACCAUUAAUAUAAUCACAAUUUACAAGAAACAACUAUUAAAAGAAUCCUCGAAUAACGAAAACAAAAUUGUUGGCCAGUCCAUAUGAUAUAUAAUCAAGUGUUGGAUCGGAAAGAAAGUCUAUGGCAGUCCAGUUUCCUACAAAUACUGUGAUUGCGUUUCCAUCUUCUCUCAAGCCACUAAGAUGGAAUACCACAGUAUAGCUUGCUUGCUGUCCAUAAAAUUGGCCUAAUAGGAAAAUCCUAUCAGUAUCAAAUAAUCAAUACACCAAAUACAGGCUCAGAGCCAUUAGUCACCAUGCCAGUAGAGACAGAGGAACUACCUAAUUUGAAGCACUCGGAGUUAAUACCUAGAAAUCAAUGAUAUGGAGAUGCACGAAUUUAACAAAUCUAAAAAUAUUGGGAUCUGGUGCUUACUGCUUGGGGAUGCAGCUUAUCUAAAAAUGUUACAAAUAUACAUCUUGAUGAUGUUAUCGUAUAUUAAAUAUAAAAUCUAUAAGAAUUCAAGGGUAAUACAAUUCAAUAGAACCAGAAACUAUAGAAAAAUUUCACAAAAGAAAAAUCUUUAAUAUGUGACAGUAUACCAGUAGUAAAGAUUAAAGAAUUAUGUCAUUGCCCAGAAACUGCGGUACUUAUGUGGUACACACGCAAGUACAACAUAGUACACAAUGCUAUUACACUUUUAAGACAUCAUUUUUCAUUUGUUGCCUACUCUACUCUACCCACUACUCGACCCUAUAGGUGAAUACAAGACUUUACAUACAUCAUAUAUGACAGCUGACAGGAUAACGGAUAACCGAUAGAGACACAGUGGUCGGUGGACUGAAACUAUGAAAGAAGGCCAGAUUCUUUAAAACCCACUAUCUCUCAUCCUUUGAUUACAAAAUCUGCCAUCCCCGCACCCAACACCCCAACGCGCUCUUGCGGACACGUGUCGUACCCAUGCGUCUUGCCCAUUAAACAACUAAUAAAUAUGAAUAACUUGACUGAUAUAUAUUGAAUUGCUUCCUAAUUCGAAAUGGAGAAGAACUUUGAUUAUGAAAAUGAAUUUGCCUCAUUUUUGAACUCAUAUUGAUUAAAGUUUAAUCCUAUUUUGCUCAAUGCCGUGAUAAAAUAUAUAAUAUAUUUUGAGAUAAUUAAUUGAAAUAUUUUUGAAUUUUAUGACACCAAAAUUCCAAAUAAUGGAACCAAAUGCAACGAGAUCUAGCAUCGAUUUGAGAUACAAAUAGCAUAGUCUUUUAAAACUAGCCUUCUGUCACCAAAAAUUUCUAAGCAGCACAAGCUUGUCAGACUAAUGGACAUUCCCCAACUAUGUGGAGGAAUGCGAGCUAAGAAUAUCAAGGUUACCCGUAAAGGCUCCCUUUGUUUCACAGAGAACAUUUUGCUGGUUUCAGAUAUUCUGGUGUUUGUUAGAAUUCUAUUUUACAGAUUUCAUGUCUUUGUUUAGUUUAGGAAAAAAAGAUAUAUCUAUCAGAGUAUGAAAGUUACUUAAAAAAUGAAAUGCUUUAAACUUUCACAGGAAUUAGUGUCCUCCAUUUUGAGGAUUUUCCCUCCACAUAUUGAACAAUUACUCAACAAAAAUAUAUGCGAAAAUAUAAAACAUAUUUUCACACAUAUUUUUGUUCAGUAAUUGUUCAAAAUGUUAGUUCCAAAAAAAUAAUUAAUCAGCAAACAAAUUGUUCAAAAUGCUAUUUCCAAAAAAAUGUUCAAAAUUUAGGAGAAAUAUGUUUCCACUUUUUUUUUUUGAAAUUUCCGCAAACGAAUAUUAUUCCGGAUUUAUUUUCUCUGAAAAUCAAGUUAAAUUUUGGCAAACAACCGGACACGUACAGAAGUAUAUCAAGAUGCCCAUUUCUAGUAGGUGGAUUGUGAAUGAACUAGAUUACAAUGAUGCGACUCCUGUACAGUCAAUUAAUACGCAACAAAAUGAAAGAGAGCUUAAAGAGUAUUAGGAAAUGCAACUUAGGCACUAGAAACAUGGAAAUUUAAAACGGUAAGACAGUAAUAGUGAUACCAAACCAACCUGCAUAUUCUUAACCAAGCCCUUGAAAGGAGUCCAUCUCUCAAUCCACCUGAACGGUGGAUAGCACAGAAGCUGGAGAGCCUGGAGCCCUUCCCAGACAAUUGGGAACUUCGCAUUUGAGAUCCUCCGCACAACUUCUAGCGCUGCAGUUUUAAGAAGAAACACACCUAUGAUACCCACAACCGGAUGUGCUACUCCCUUUUUUAUAAAAGAAACACAUUGCAAACUCUUCUUAGAGUACGCCUCUGGAACUGAACCAACCAAACCUACUUGGUGUGCCAUUCUAGUAUUAACAUCCCUCGUCUCUAAGUUCUCACUUGAACCAGAUACCGAUACAGAGUUCCCCAUUCAACUUCCUUGCAACGUCAACUGAUACAUGUUAAAAAAAUAGUAAAUCUGCAUGCCUAUAAUAUACAAGGAAACUACACAUAAAAUUCUAAACUGAAAAGAUUCCGUAACAUACCUAUAAAAUACAAUUAAUUCAGAGAAGUCAAGUCUAACGUCAUGCAUUUGUCUUCGUGCAAAAGAGACAGAGAAAUUAUAUGGCGGUAUAAAAUGCGCUCAUAUGAAACCCUAGAUGACUUAAAACAGUAUACUGAGUAUAAUGACUGAACGCACUUAUUCCAAAAAUAUACUUUACUGCGCUUUAACUUUUUCUGGUCUUAUUUUAGAAAUCCAAUUAAAAGAAAUCCCUAGGCUGUAGCGUGAUCAACACGUCUAUUAAGACAUGACAUAUUAGGGUAGUUAUAAAUGGAUAUAUAAACUUUAUUAACAAUAAUCGCUCACCAUUUCUCAAUUGAUAUAUGUCACGAUUCUCUCCAUUUCUCACACAAUAUACGUCACGAUACUCUCCUGAUUAACAUUAUACGCAUCAAAACUUUCUAACGAUGUUCACUCCUAUUUUAAUGAAUCCAACCGUCAACUGAUCUUUCUAUUUUUUACAAUUCAAUACAACUGUCGUUAUAACCGUACUCUCUCAAUACAUUCCAGAACUUUUCCAUCAUGAUAAGAUUUCAUUCUUUCCAUAUCAUGACAACCUUACCCGAAAAUGAAGGUCACCAACAGCUGAGCUAAAUUGAGAUUACAAACACCAUUCUCUUCACAAAAAUAACGACUAAACUACCUCUAACUGAACUAAAAUAAUACUUAAUCAAAGGAAUCACUCCGAAAUCAAACUCCAACUCAAAACACAUUACAAAAUCACAUAAACAAACAUAACAGCUUAGCAAAAUUAAACAAAAACACUACAUACAGAAUCACAAAAACAAACAUAACAACUUAACAACAUCAAACAAAAACACUACAUACACAUACACAGGCUAACAAUAACAGUGAUCACAAUCAAUAAGUCAAUCACAGUGAUAUUAAACAAUCAAAUAAUAUUAAAAUGAGUAAAUUAAAUCUUCUAACAUAGCAAACAAAAAUUAUCCGAAAAAAUAUUCAAAAUAAAUACAAACACAUACACAAUCGCAUAAAAAAUAGAGGCGAAGAUGAUUUUACCUUGUUAAUUAGAGUGUUGAAAAACACAUAAUAUGAAAUGAAGAAUUUGUGACACGGAUAUGGAGGAGGAUGAGUUAGGGUUCGGGGAGAAUUGGAGAAGCUUCGUGAGUUUAUGAGAACUCAGAGUCGGUGAAUUGCGACUACUAAAUUUAUUAUUUAUUAUUUAUUACGUAUUUAAACUGGUUUUUUAUUCUGACAAAAAUUAAAAAAAGUUGGUAUUUUUCAUUUUUUUAUUAGUAUAUUAUAAUAAGAAUAAUAAUAUAAUAUAAUUUAGAACGGCGGAGGNCAGCGGCAUGCUAGGUGAAGGCAGCAGGAGUGAUUAAGUCGAAUCAAGAUGUACAAAUUUAGUUCGGUUUGAUUUUGAUUAUCUGAAAAUUCGGUUUAUGUGAUUCAGAUUUAAUAUAUCGAAACAAAAUUCAUAUUGAUCCGAUUUUUAAAAGAAUAUUCGAUCCGUGUCAAAUAAUAUAUAAUAUAAAUUUAUAUUCAUAUAUUUUUUAUAUAUAUCUUAGAGUACUGAGUAAGUAAUUAUAUUUUGAUAACUUGUACUACUUUAAAUUUACAAUUUUAAGACUGAUUUUUAAGGUCAACAAUUGUGUGGCUGAAGAAAUGUUUUUUUAACAGGUUAAUUAUCAAGUUGGUCACUGAAGUGAGCUUAAUGUAUCAAGUUGGUCACUGAACUCAAAACGGUAUCAAGAUGGUUACUAAAGUCACCAUAAAUAUCAAACAAGUACCUUGAAAUAUGAGUUCAAGUAGUAAAAAUAUUAUUUAUAAAGUUUUACACAUUAAUUUUAAAUGUUACCACAACCAGCUAAAAGGUUAUGACUUCUAGUAUUUAAAAUAAUAGAAGUUCCACCAAGAUUCAUCACAUGGAUACGGGGUUGUGUUUGCACCACUCAGUUUUCUGUCAAACUUAAUGGAGCUAGUGUGGGGUUUUUCAAGGGUGCUAAGGGGCUGCGUCAAGGUGACCCAAUAUCGCCGUAUCUCUUCACUAUUGCUAUGAAUGUGUUCUCCUCCAUUCUCAACCAAGUCCCUAGUGGCUUUCAGUUUCAUUGGAAAUGCAAAGAGCUCAAGCUUACCCAUCUUUUCUUUGCUGAUGAUGUCCUUAUCUUCUCUAGGGGCGACAGGACGUCCAUUGAGCACAUAAUGGCAUCCCUUGCUCUUUUCUCACGGGUUAGUGGUCUCUCUGCCAACCUUUUGAAAAGUACUUGUUUUCUUAACAACUGUGAUACCCUGUUGAAGUCUUGGUUUGAUCACACCUAUGCUAUCCCCCAUGGCACCUUGCCUGUGCGCUUCCUUGGCGUCCCCCUUAUCACAAAGCAGCUUUGUGUUAAUGACUGCAUGCCUUUAAUUGAAAAAUUAACUGCUAGAAUUGAUGAUUGGACAAACAUUCUGCUUUCUAUAGCUGGGAGAGUCCAACUCAUUAAAUCUGUCCUUUUGGCCAUGGUCUCCUUCUGGACGAGGCACUUCAUUCUCCCUAAGGGUAUACAUCACACCAUUCAAUCCAUCUUGACCCGGUUUUUGUGGAAGGGUUCUCUGGCUGUAGGUGGGGCAAAAGUGGCUUGGGUUGAUCUUUGUUUGCCCAAAGAGGAGGGUGGCCUCGGUAUUCCUAACCCGGCUACUUGGAAUGAAGCUCAAAUCCUCUCACACCUUUGGAAAAUUGUAAACAAAGAUUGUACAUCUUUAUGGGUCAAUUGGGUCAUUCGAACUGUCAUCAAGCACAAGUCCUUUUGGAUGCUUCCAAUCCCAACUGAUUGUUCUUGGAUAUGGCGAAAGAUUCUCACCCUUCGUGACUCUGCUCGAGGCCACCUCAAUUUCAGAAUUGGGAAUGGAGCCACGACAUUGCUUUGGUUGGACCCUUGGUUCAAUUCGACCCCUAUUGCCUCUUGUCCCAGGGAUCCUAUUAUUUCUUAUCUUGGCUCCACCCCCCAAGCCAAGGUUUCUGACUGGAUUUCUCAAGGGCAUUGGGCAAUCCCGGAUCCUAUUUCUUCUCAGCGUCGCAGCCGAGCCCGCUUUGAUGACUGGUUGGCGACCUUCACUUUUCCCCCUGUGUCCUCCAAUCCUGAUCUGCUUUUUUGGGACUCUAAUGCAGGAAGCAAUGUUACUGCUCGUCUUAUAUGGGAUACAAUUAGGCACCAUGGCCAUGGUGUGCCUUGGUUUUUUGCUGUGUGGUUCAAACAGGGGAUCCCUCGCUAUCGCUUUCACUCUUGGUUAGUUUGUAAGGAACGCCUUGGCACCCUUGACAGACUCGACCAUUGGGAUCUCACACCUACUUUACAGUGUUAUCUUUGUAUUGGUGGAGUGGAAUCUCACUCCCAUCUAUUCAUGCACUGCCCUUAUACUUCCUAUAUCUUGGAUUUGCUGUUUGCCCCUAUUUACAGGAUUCGGAUCUUACCCCACUGGAAAUGGACGCACCUCCUCGAGCAUCUCAUGACCUGUCCUGAUCCUACCAGGCGAACCAUAUCUCUCAUUGCUGCCCAGGUUACUUCCUACCACUUAUGGCGAGAGAGAAAUGCUAGAAGACACAACAGAGGCUCCUUUGGCCCACGAAAGCUUCUUCAUGGAAUCAUCACUGACUUACAGGCUCGAAUUUUUGGGGAGCCUUGGUUCAUUGCUGCUGUUCGUAGUAAUUGUAUUCUGAGAACUUGUAUAUCACAAUUUGACUAGCUCUUGGGACUGUUUAUUUAUGGGGUUGUUCUGCCCUCUUCUUUCUUUGCUCGACUCUCUAGUUUAAAUCUGUUGUCUUAGAUUUAUCUUAGAGAGUCAUAGAUGGCAGGAUAUUUUGUACAUUCUUUUCUCUUCUAAUACAUAUCUAUUUAGCAAAAAAAAAUAAAAAUAAUAUAUAUAUAUAUAUAUAUUUUAUCAAGUUUAUUUAUAAUUUAUAUUUUAUUAUAUAGUUAUUUUUUUAAUUAAAAAUAAAUAAUAAAUAAACUUGAUAAAAUCUAAAUAUAUUAUCAUAUAUAUUAAAAGUCAUAACCUUUUACUUGGUUUUGGUAACAUUCAAAAAUAAUGUGUAAAAUUUUAUAAAUAAUAUUUUUACUGCUUGAACUUAUAUUUCAAGGUACUUGUUUGAUAUUUAUGAUCACUUCAGUGACCAUCUUGAUACCAUUUUGAGUUUAGUUACCAAUUUGAUACUCCCUCCGUCCCAUUUUAUGUGACCUCAUUUCCUUUUUGGGACGUCCCAAAAAGAAUGAACCUAAAAUACUUACUAUUUUUGAACACUACUUUUUACUAUUGGGAUAAUUAAUUUAUAGGUCCUUGAACUUUGGCCCAUUUUUGGUUCGCGUCCUUGAACUAAGUUUGUCAACGUGCGCAUCCUUAAACUUUGUAAAUUUUCAACUCAGGUCCCUCCGUCAGUUUUUAACUAACGGACGUUAUCUUAAAUUUGGGGGUUUUUGAUUCGUUGAUGGAUUGAUGAAACUGAUGGCAUGGGAAGUUUCGGGAGGUCAAACUGAAGAGAUUCAUGUAGGUUUCGAUGGCGGAAGAUUGCCAAAAUGGUAGCCGGAAUCAAUGGUCAUUUUCCGGCCGCCGGAGAGAUUGUCACCAUUCUGGCAAUCCUCCGCCAUCGAAACCUACAUGAAUGUCUUCGGUUUGACCUCCCGAAGAUUCAUAUACCAUCACUUUCAUCAAUUCAUCAUCGAAUCGAAAACCCCCAAAUUCAAAACCCUAAUUCACUAACUUCCGUUAGUCAAAAACUGACAGAGGGACAUGAAUUGGAAAUUUACAAAGUUUGAGGAUGCGCAUAUUGACAAACUUAGUUCAAGGACGCGAACCAAAAAUGGACCAAAGUUAAAGGACAUAUGAAUUAAUUAUCCCUUUUACUAUUACACCCACUAACUCUAUAUUUUAUACUCUCUUAUUAUUAAAUAAACACUAUUACACCCACUAAUUUUCUCCACUAUCCCAAAUCUAUUAUUAAAUAUUGAUAGGUCCCACCACUUUACCCACUUUUCAACUACAUUUACUACUUUUUUCUUAAUCUCCGUGAAAGUCAAACCCAUUCAUAUAAAAUGGGACGGAGGUAGUACAUAUUAAGCGCACUUCAGUGACCAACCAGAUAAUUAACCUUUUUUUUAAACAUAUUAAGGGCUCUGCUCCAAGUUAUAAGAUGUUGUUGACAGUCUUAAAGACAACAUGGGCAAAAAUGUUUACAAGAGCUCUAUUUUGUAAACGCGAGCUAGCGCGGUUCGAACUCAUUUAACUAGGCUUGGUUAGACUUGUUAAACGAGCCGAAUUUGGGUAAAGGUUUCGGCUCAUUUAAAAACGAGUCGGCUCGACUCGGCUCAUGAAAUUAAACGAGCCGAGUUCGGGUAGAUGUUUAGACUCGAUUAAGUGUAAAAUUAUACGAGCUGACUCGCUCGACUUGUUAAAACCAACUCGUUUAGCUAAAUGAGCCGGGUCGACUCGAUUUGUGAAAUUAAACGAAUCGAGUUCGGACAGAAAAUUAGACUCGUUUAACUAAACGAACUGGUUCGACUCGAUUAAAUUUGACUCGAAUUAGGCCCGGCUUAAAACUCGACAGGCUCGACUUGUAAUACCCUAUCUGUGUAUAUAUGUGUCGACUGUGUGUACUGAACAUAUUCAUCUAAUCUAAAAUUCUCAAUCAAUUUGUUACGCACAAGAUGAAUUAUUAACAAUAUUUGUGUGGAAACUGGGCAGUGGACGACAACCCGACUUUAGUUUUGUAGUUGGAUGGUUAAAAAGAACAUGUACACUUUCUAACAUUGUGUUUUUUGACUUUUACGAACUUUAAUUUCUAUAAUUUAUAAUAUUUUUAUACAAAUAUAGUUUAUAGUCUUUAUUUGCAUACUUACAAAAUAUUUUGAUUAUAUUACUUGUUUAUUCAGAAAUUUUAUUUCUCAUACUUUUUACACAUCGAGAAAUUUGAUUCAGAUUUAACAAAUGACACGAAAUUUUAUUUGUGCAGGAAUUUUACUUCUUCAGAUUUUUUUUUACUCAUCCAUAAAUUUGAUUUAAAUUUAAACAAAUGAUCUCUUAAAUUACGAGAAAUCAAUAAUACUAGGUUUUUCUAAAAUAAAAUUACAAAUUUCAAAACAAAAGUAAAAAUUGAAUCUUGAGUUUCUUUAUGGGGUGAAUCUGCUUUAUAAUUCUAGGCACAUUCACAGAAGCUUGAGGUUUGGAUGUUAAAUUGAUUAGAUCAAGAUGAAAUAAGUCUCUAAGAAAGACCAGCUAAAAAAUGUAAUAAAUAAUUUAAUAACUAACUUAACAGCACGAAGCUUAGAUAGAAGAAAGAGGAGGGAGACAGAUCAAAACUAGUAUGAAUGUGUUGGGUUAAUUUUAUAUGGUAAACUGGUGACUCUUUUCAUUAGAUUUAUGAUCGGAAUAUAGUGGUUACACUAAAAAGUUUCUUUGACGAAGAGUGUUUUCUUUUGUUGAUAUUAUUGUAUCAUUCGACAACUAUGUAUAGUGUAUGCUGACAAGGCCUAAGGCCUACUGAUAUGAAACCACAAGCACAAUAGACAAUUAUACAGUAGGUGAGAUGAAGCGUUUAAAUCUAAACACAUUAGAUUACGGUUGUUAGGGAAUAAGGUGGAAAAAAGUGUUGGACGAGAAAAUAUUAGAAUUUUUUUUUUCGCUUGAUAAUAUUGUAUUUUUCAACAAUUUUUUCCGUCUUAGAAUCCGGAUCCUUGGAUUAAUUAUCUGGUUUCUUAUAAUCUGAACCGUGAUCUUUGUUAUGAGAAAUUUACUUAAAUUUAUUAAAGCGACUUAUAGAGUCUAGUCAGUCAAUGUUGUCAGCUGCUUCCUAGAAGAUAACUGAGUGGAGUUUGUCAAUCAACUUUUUCAGCAACCAGCUCUCUCCUUCCUCCCAAGUCCUGAUGAAUUUCUCAUUCUUUCUCUGAAACAUAUAAGAGCUCCUUACUUCUACUAGACACUCAAUUCUCGCAUUCUCUUUUGUUAUGCAAAAUGGCCAGAGGAGAAGAGCCUGUGAUCGGAAUCGAUCUCGGAACCAUGUACUCAUGUGUUGGAGUUUUUCAAAACGGUCAUGUAAAGAUAAUUGCCAGUGAGCAUGGUGGGAGGAAGACACCAUCUUGUGUGGCUUUCACUGAUACUGAGAGGCUUAUUGGCGAAGCUGUAAUUGACCAGGCUGGGAUGAAUGCUGCUAACACUGUCUUUAGUAAGUAUUCUUGCUAUUUUAUGUCUGUUUUCGGUAAGGAUCGAAUUAGGACAAAUUUAAAUAUUCACGCGCACAUAUUUAAGCAAAGGCCAUCGUCUUAACACGUUCAGGUUUUGGGAGGAUCGAGAACUUAACAUAUCCGUUAGGACUUGGGCCAAAUUUUAUUUAUUCUUCAUAGGCAGUGUGGUGAUACAUUUUUGUAGCGUUUCUCACUUCUUAAUGUUGCAAAAGCAUUAAUUAAGAUUCAAGUUAGCCUAUAACUGACAGAACUAUUGUUUGUAUGAUCCUAACAAGAACUCUGUAGUUUCUUCACUCCUUUACCUCUAAACCAUUUUAUAGCUUAAGAUCUAGACCUCGAAGUUCACGAGUACAACCGGCGCUGAUGUAUUUUUCAAACAAACUACUAAAAAGUUAGAUAAUGUAGCAUUAUUUUUGGAAUAAGUGUUAUUGUAGUGUCUUAAGAUUAGCAGACCUAUUUAAGAUAAUACUCCAUUCCGAUUUCUGUUUAAUCUGUCAUAAUCUCCGCAUUAUCUGUGAGAUCAGUUUCAACCCUAAAUGCUCUCCCUUGCUUACCCAAAAUAAUCAAAAACAUAGGUUGGGAGGGGACUUUUGUUACAUUUUCCGGAUGACUGAGGAAUAAGAUCUGAAGGCGCAUAAAAAAAAAUUAAGUUGAUUACAAGUUAUUCUGCUAAACGUGUCCAUGAUCUGAUGUUGCCUGUCCAAAAAAAGUAAUUCUUAUCCUUGUUACUAAUAUUGUGAUUUAUAAAACAGAUGCUAAACAGCUGAUAGGCAGAAAAUUCAGCGACUUGUCUGUACAGCGCGAUAUAAAAAACUGGCAGUGUAAAGUGUUCUCAGGUCCUUUGGAAAAGCCCAUGAUUUUGGUCAAUUACAAAGGUGAGGAGAAGCAGUUCUCGGCAGAAGAGAUCUGCUCCAUGGUUCUCGUAAGGAUGAAGGAAAUUGCGGAGAAGCAUCUUGGAACAACAGUAAGAAAUGCUGUUAUCACUGUCCCUGCUUACUAUAAUGACUCUCAGCGCCAAGCAAUUAGAGAUGCUGGAACCAUUGCUGGCCUGAAAGUAAUGCGCACAAUUGCUGAGCCAACUGCAGCUGCAGUUGCUUAUGGUUUUGACAAGAAGCUGGCAGGAAUCGUUAGUUCAGACGGGGAAAAGAAUGUGCUCAUCUUUGAUCUUGGUGCUAGUAACUGUAACGUGUCUCUUCUUACAAUGGAAGAUGGUAUAUUCGAAGUGAAGGCUACACAUGGUGCGAGUCAGUUUGGAGGGGAGGAUUUUGUUAAUCGUAUGGUCAAUCACUUUGUUGAGGAGUUCAGAAGGAAAAACAAUAAGGACAUAAGUGGUAAUGCGAAAUGUAUGAGAAGAUUGAAAAAAGAAUGUGAGAAGGCAAAAAGGUUGCUCUCCUCUGUCCCAGUGACCAACAUUUAUUUGGAUUAUUUUUACUACGAUGACAGUUUCUCUGCAAAUAUAACUCGUGAUGAUUUCAAUGAGUUAAACAAAGAUCUGUUUGAAAGUUGUGUGGAGCUGGUCAAGAAGUGUUUGAGGGAUGCGCGGAUUGAUAAAAGACACAUCCAUGAGGUGGUCCCUGUAGGUGGAUCUUCUAGAAUUCCUAAAGUGCAGCAGUUACUGAAAGAGUUUUUCAAUGGGAAGGAGCUGUCCAUGGGUUUAAAUACCGAUGAGGGUGUUGCAUAUGGCGCAACUGUCCAGGCUGCGGUUCUGAGUGGCAGAGGCGACGAGAGGUUUCAAGACUUGAUGCUGUUGGAUGUUAAUCCCUUAUCCCUUGGAAUUGAUAUUAAUGGUGAAAUGUCUGUCAUUAUUCCUAAGAACUAUAACAUUCCCGCUAAAAAGUUUAAGAUUUUUCCAACCACUACUGACAAUCAGGUUGCCGUGUUCAUCCAAGUGUUUGAGGGUGAACACAAAUUGACAAAACAUAACAAACUGUUGGGAAAAUUUGUAUUCUCUGGCAUUCCUCCUGCGCCUAGUGGUGUUUCAAAGUACAUAGUGUACUUUGAUAUCGAUGCAGAUGGAUUGUUCAAUGUUUCUGCAGAAAAUGAGAAUUCAGAGCCGUUGGAGGAGAUAAAAGUGCCAACUUACGAGGAUAGAUUUUCAAAAGAAGAGCUUAAGAAGUUGGUACAAGAAGCUAAGAAGUACAAAGCAGACGAUGAAGAGAACAAAAAGAAGAUGGAGGCAAGAAUUGCUGUAGAGUCUUACUUCUAUAACUUGAAGAACAUCAUCAGUGACGAGAGACUAAGUUCCAGAUUUGGGGUAGCCAGCAGGAAGAAAAUGAAGGAUGCUAUUGAUAUCGAAAACCUGUGGUCAAAUGGGAACCAGUUUGUAAAGUUGGAGAACUUGGAGGAAAUUAUUAAGGAGCUCAAGGGACUCGCAAUAUUUUAACAAUGCUGCACUUCUGGGAAUCUUGAUUUUGCCGUGUUGAUAAGUAAGAAUUGCUCGUUUUCCAGUUGAUCAGCUUGUGCAGAGGGGGUAUUCCUAAAGAUUGAGGAGGGUUCUGUCAAGGUCUUGUACCUGCUUGUGUUUGCUUUGGUUGAAAAUUCUGUUUUAUAUUUUAUCUGGUAUCAUGUUCCAUUAUACAGCUUAUAUUACGUGAAUAUAAUAUAAUUCUGGAAAAUAAUUAUAAAAUGUUACCUGGGUUAUAUGGUGACACAUAUGACAUAAAUAAUAUUCAAAUAUUAGAAAAAAGACCCAACUAUAUAAAAAUAUUAAAAUAUUCAUUAUAAAUGACAAGUAAGAUCUUAAUUCAUAUCCAUACCCAUAUUCCAUAUAUUCCAUAUAUACUUAAUACAUGCUAGUGAAUACAAUGGUACGGAUAUGAAUAGUAUGAAUAGAUAUAAAAUUUUAAUUAUCUAUUUAUUAAGAUUAUCGCAAUAGUAUGAAUAGAUAGUAUUUAUAAUACUAUUUAUUCAAUAGUAUGAAUAGAUAUAAAGUUUAAUUUUUUAUAAAUAAAUUUUUUCUAUAUGAAAUCAACAUGGAUAAUUUGAUAUUAUACGAACUAGGAAGAGUAAUCGUGCUCAUCGUAGUUUAUAUAAUUGUUGUUAAUACUAUUAUAAAUUUGCAUACUUUUUAUCUUUUUUUUUUGAUAAAAAUCGUGAUUUUUUUUUUUGUAUUAAUAAUUAUAAAAUCUUAAUGGGAGCUCACGAAGCGCGGGCAUAAUUGCCUAGUACAAUAAAUAACAUGUAAUAUUUGAAUAACAAAAAGAAAAUAUAUAAUUUCCAUAAAAAUCUACUCCCUCCGUCCAUCAGAUUCUUUACAGUUUUUUUUUGAUGUCCCAUCCAAUUCUUCACAUUUCAAAACUUAACAAAAUUAGUCGAUGGGUCCCACCACUACUCCCUCCGUCCCUUUUACAUGUCCACUUUGGAAAAAAAAUUUGUCCCAAAUUACUUGUCCACUUCUCUUUUCAAAGCAACUUUUUGUAUGAGUUUUCAAAAAGUAACAAUUUUCAAUGUUUAACUAAUAUAUAUAUAGGGGAGGGUUCUGGUACAAACUUACAAACUUUUUUUGUUCAACACAUAUAUAACUUGAGUUCAACGUUUUUUAAGAUAUUUUGUUGAACAUCGAUUAAAAUUGUGUUGGAGAAGUACAUAAACUAAUUUUUUAAUAUAAAAACUAAGUUAAACCUAUUAUAUAACCAAGAGAAAAGUUAUAUGGAGACCACUUUUUUUGGAGACCGUGGAGACCAUUAUAUUCUGCAAGUAAAAUAUUGCAUAAAAACAUUGCAAAACUCAUAAUUUUGCAAAUCAAAACACAUUAUUUUGUGAAAUAUGUACUACAAAUAUCACAAAUUCAUCAAAGUUAUUGAAGAACAUCUAUGUUUAAUAAGUAGAAUGUGUAUGUUCUGCAAAUUGAACAAAUGUUCUGCAAACUAAACAUAUUCCGCAGGACAAAACAUUUUGUAAUAUUCUNAUAUGUACUACAAAUAUCACAAAUUCAUCAAAGUUAUUGAAGAACAUCUAUGUUUAAUAAGUAGAAUGUGUAUGUUCUGCAAAUUGAACAAAUGUUCUGCAAACUAAACAUAUUCCGCAGGACAAAACAUUUUGUAAUAUUCUACAUGCAAAACAUACAUGAUAUUCAAGAUUUUAAAUGAUAUAAGAAUCUUUGCACAACCUGUUUUGCAAAAUUAUGAGUUUUGCAAUAUUUUUAUGCAAUAUUUUACUUGCAGAACAUAAGUGGUCUCUACGGUCUCCAAAAAUAGUGGUCUCCAUAGAACUUAACUUAUUUAUAUUUCUAGACCCUACCCAAACCCCAGAGGUAUAGUUUAAGCAUCUCUAUAAAUGUAUUCAACACAAUGAUAACUAAUGUUCUACACCCAAUGUUGAACCCCAGUUACAAAUGUGUUGAAUGCACGAUUUAUUUAUGCGUUAUUUUUAUAAUUGUGACGUUUUUUCAAUAAUUUUAAAUAUAAAUACUUUCUAUAACUAAGGAUUAACAGGUUGGGAGAAUAAAAAAAAUUCAAAAAAAAAGUUUGUAAGUUUGUAAGUUAAAAAAGUUUUUAUUUGAUCCUAUCCCUAUAUAUAUAUAUAUACACAACUCUAUCUAAUUCAUUACAUUUAUUAGAGAUAUGUAUGAAAACAAGAUAUCCAACUAACAUUUUUUUAAGAUACGUUAUUUUUUCAAAAGGGACAAGUAAAAAGGGACGGAGGGAGUAUCUAAUUUUUCCUCUCUUUUCACGCUAUAUAUAUACACAACUCUAUCUAAUUCAUUACAUUUAUUAGAGAUAUGUAUGAAAACAAGAUAUCCAACUAACAUUUUUUUAAGAUACGUUAUUUUUUCAAAAGGGACAAGUAAAAAGGGACGGAGGGAGUAUCUAAUUUUUCCUCUCUUUUCACGCUACUUUUACUCUCUUUUCACAUUACCUUUACUCCACUAUCUCCUUUUUAUACAUUAAAAAUUAAUGGGUCCCACCACUUCACCCAAUUUUCUUUCUCUUUCACUAUUUUAUACGUAUUUCUUAACCUCUGUGUCCAACUCCAAUGUAAAGAACUCACCGGGACGGAGGGAGUACUUAGAUAUGCAAUAUCUAACAAUUAAUAUCAUUUAAUAUCUAAUUAGCAAAAACAAAACAUGCAAUAUCCAAGAAAAUCCACAAGAUAUGCAAUAUCCCAGAAGAUUUUUAUAGAUUUAAUUUCUAACAAUAUUUAUUACUAGUUAAUACACAACAACUAUAAAUAUCAUGCACAUUUUAUUUCCAAGCAUCAUCCUCACAUCAAAGACAUUAUUCAUUUUGUUGAAUUUAUAAUCAGUUGUUUCUUAAGACCUAGUAUGGAGAAGGCUCGAGUCAACAAAAUUAUUUCUCUUCUUGUAUUUUGGUCAUGGUGUGCGAUAUGUCAUGUAGUUCUACAUAGUUAAUCUAUCAAUAUAUAUUAUAAAUAAUAUAAUUUUGUGCUUCGUGAUCUCUGAUGUCAAUGAAAUAUUAUUAUUUUUGAUAAUUUAUGCAGAUUUAAAAUUAAUGGGAACAAAUGCAUCAGAUACACAAUGCAAAAGUGACAAUGAUUGUGAUUUAGUAUGUACCGAUAAAGCCAAAUGUGCAAAAGGUGAAUGUCAAUGCGUACUUUUUGGUUACGUUCCUGGCCCUAUUCGUGGUCAUGGUUUUGAUGAUAUGUAUGGUAGGUAAACAAGUAUGCAAGAAUGGUGUGUGCAAAUGUGUAGGACAUAUCGGUGACGAGAAUGAAGGACGCGGGGGCAUUUAUUAACAUAUGUAUAAUGAUUAUUUUUUCAGUGAUAUCAACUUAAUGAUUAGUUCAAUUUCUUGCUCGAUUACUUUCUUUGUUUUGACUCGAUUUUUUAUAUUUUCCGACACUAAUUAAGUAUAUAAACUUUUUUCCAACACAAUACAUAUAUUAAGACAAAUGAAAGUAAAACAAACAUCAUUUACCUAAAAUUACUAACCUUCUAAUUUUUUUUAUUUCUUUGGUCACAAACUGACUUCUAAUUUAACCUUGAAUAAUUUUUUAUUUUCAACAAUAUGAAAUAUUCUCAACUAGUGACGCUUCAUAAUUUGUUUUGGGGCCAGUUGAUAGAGGAAUACAAUCGACAGAGUAAAUUAAAUAAGAGGAUGUAAAAUCGUGAUCGGUUACGUGAUUAGAGUAAAACUCAAAUAGACAAAAAAAACUUAAAUUAAUAAACAUCAGUAAAAAAUGAAUUGUAUAGAGUCGAACCAAAAUUAAAAAGUUAGAAACAAUUAAUUUUUUUAAACUUUAUUAAUAAAUUACAACCAAACGGAGAAAAUCAGACUAAUUUGAUUAUUAAGAUAAAAUCCUUUUAAUAAUAUAUAUAUACAUAUAUAUAUAGAGAGAGAAAUCUAUAUAUAUAUUAUAUUAUAAUAUAUUAUAUUAUAUUAUAUAAGUAAUAUAUUUUUAAUAUAUGCAAUUUUUUAAGUUACUAAUCUCUAAAUUAUUAAGCAAUGUGUUGUUAAUUUUCUUAAAUGGCAAGUUGUAGGGGGUGUAUUCCGUUGAGAUUUUAAUGAAUUAUAUAUUGAGUUUGUGAAUUUUAAUGGAUUGUAUUUGAUUUAAAUUUUAUACAGAUUCUUAAUAAAAAAUGACUGAGUUGAUGAGAGUCUUUAGGAUUUAAACACGAUACUUCAAAAUCUCAUAGAUUUUGGUGGAAUUUCAAAUAUCCUAAAAUACACCGAAUAAUCUAAAAUAUCCAUCAUUUUAUGAAGUUCAAAAAGAGCCAUGAGCAAUUGAAUACCAUCAAUGGAUUUUAAAUAAUCCAAAUUGAAUACCAUCGAAUUUUAAAGCAUAAUUUAAAAUCCUGAUUGAAUAUCACCAGAUUUUGUAGCAUAAUUUAAAAUCCUAAUUGAAUAUCCCAUGAUUUGAUCAUUUUUUAAAAUUCGAGUUCAAUACCCUCGAAUUUCAUAAAUAAAAAGAAAUAUUUACAAUUCCAAUUAAAUACACUCUCUAAUUUAGUUUUAUGGAUUUCUUUGAUAAUUUUAACUUGCCACUUGAGUGCUUGAGCAUGGAUUGUCCAUAUAUAUAUAUAUAUAAGGAUAUAUUGUCCUUCUAUGGUCACCUUGAUAUCUCGAUUUAUUCUUACUCAUCCUAUCAUUGGACAAAUAAUUCUGUAGACUUCAGGCCCGCGAUAUUUUCACCCGAGAGUUGCAGGGACUAAGAGCUUUAAGGUUUAUAGUAGAAAUAUUAUUUCAAUUAAAUUUUGUUUAUAUUAUCUCACUAGAUUUUAUAAUUUAAACCAAAUUAAUAGUGAUUAGCCCAUGUUUUUAUUUUAAAACUGUCAAUUACAGCUGCGCUUUCGACGUCAAAUAUCUAAUAUAUCUGCUUUCUUGUAAGAAAUGUGCACCAAUGUGAUUCGAGGAUCAUAUUACAUGUGAUUUAAAACAAGUUUGUGAGAACAAAGAACGGUAAGACAAUCGUCCAUAUCAUGAUAAAAUGCAGAACUAUAUAUCAAGAAUAACAAUAAUAUGAAAUAUGCGAUAUUAGUUUUUGAUUAUGAUCGACAAUUACACAAAGAACAUGCACCAUCGACCUAAUGCGAAAAAUGUUUGACAACAAAUUCUAUAAUAUCUGUUCCUCGAACAAUCGAGUAUGAACGAAAUCAUUGUUACCAGUAUUACAUACACAUACGCCCUUAUCACAAUCCACAAAAUCACAGGCCAUUCGAGGACAGUCCGCUUUAGUUUUGCAUCGGGCAGCAUUUGAAUUUUGUAAAGUGCCUGGAUGAAUAAAUUGAUAUACUUGUUAAAUUAAUUAACAUAUUAUAAAUUAUUCUCUAUGUAGCUCUAUAAUGUAAACAUUGCAACUUGGUGAACAAGAUAGGACAUACCGCAAAUCAUAAGCAAUAAAAUAAAAAACCCGCACGUGUUUAGUGAAAGUUUGAGCAUGUUGUGCAUAAAAGAUACUAGUACUAUUUAUCGAUAUUAUUAGUAAUUGCAACGUACAAGUUUCAUUGUAAUAUUGCAAUUGCUUAUAUAAUUAACAUGGUCCAUAUUGCAUUAAAUAAAUGUAUUAAUGAUAAAUUUAUUGUCUCCAGCUAACAUGUAAUAUGCCAGGUAACGAUAAAUUUAUUGUCUCCAGCUCACAUGUAUAUGCUAGUCUCCCAUCAACGAGUGUGAAGACUAUCAUUCAGUUUUAUACAAACGAAUCAUGAUCUUUAUUUGGGGGCUUGUGAUGGACUUGUAGAUUACUCAAAUCUUUCUUUUUAACAUCAAUCAUCAAUCCCUAACUAUCGUCAAAUUUUCAUUCAACAACAUCUUAUAGCUAUCUAUUUCUUUUUUUUUAACUAACUAAAUCUCGCUCCAACUUGGCUCAUAUUUUUUGAGAAAAUAAUUUUUUCAUAAACGACUUUUUAAAAAUUUCCCGUAUAGGAUUGGACACCUUAUUCCUCUUUACCUAUCGCCCACCUCUUAUUCAUAAGACACCAAUUAUAAGCGCUUCCCCGGAGUUGGUAGCUUGCAAGACUAAGUUUAACUUGAUGAUUUUUUUUUUCCAUCUCUAAACAGGAUGUAAUCAUUUAUCGACUUUUGAAGGUGUUAGGUAGAUUUCUCGAAAGGUUGGGGACUUGCCUUCUCAGGAUCCGUUUUAAGGUGUUGAUGAAAUUUGAUAUACUCUUAGAAAAAAUCCAUUUAAAAAAGUGAUGUAGAAAUCAGAUAACUGUUUUGCAAUUUUUUUGAUAUUUAUAUAUUUUGAGUUAUAAGAUAAAAAAAAUAAUUUUUGGUGAGUUUUAAUAGUAAAAAAAGUUUUUUCCAAAAAUAUAUGGGAACCUGCUUUUCCUAAAUAUAAUUUUUGAGCUAAAAGCCGCUAUUCGAAAAAUCUGCUUUUAAAUAUAACAAACAGUUUUUCACAUGUUUUUCAAUAAGAAAAUUUAUGUUGCUGUUUGUCAUAACAAUGCCAAACGGAGCUUUAAACUAAAGUUGACUUUUUGAUUCAGUUGUUUGUUCCCAACCAAUGUCGUUGAAGUUUCGCCAAUUAAUUCAUCAUAUUUAUAUCUUUGUUAUCAUUGUUAUUACCGUUUCCGCUUUUGUUUCGUUGGUGAGUUAUGACUGCUACAUAAUUCAUUUAUAACUUAAUCAUAGUACAAAUAGCAAACAAUAUUCGAACAAAUAUGCAUGACAAAAUAAACGCAAUGCUUGAAUUUGUACUAGUAAAUUGACUGAAAAAGAUAAUUUUUGACGACUUAUAAGCCUAUAAUAUUGUGUCACUAUGUUUUUGUGAUUUUAAUGAGUUGUAGAUUUAAUUUAUGUAACUUUCAAUUUUUUAUGUGAUACAAUAAUUCUGAUUCUACAAUAACUAUGAAAUUAUAAAAAUAUCAAAUGAGGUGUUUUAUUUGAAUUAUGAAGUUAAAUUUAUUUGUAUAACUCAAUACUUACGAAUUUACACAUAUUUAAGUUAGAAAGUGAGAAAAAUUGACUUAGAUAUAUCUAAAUUAUUAGUAAUUUAUAGAGCUUCAUUUCCUUGCAUAUAUAUUAUAUUAGACUAUAUUUUUCUAUGUUGGUUUCUAGGAAUUCUAUUAUCAUUUUGAAUUUUAUUUCCUAAUUAAUUCAUGAUAUUUCAGGUUUAGUUUUAAUGUUUAAAUGAAAGCUAACUGUCUGAAAAUUUAUAUUAAUACAUUUCAAAUUUAUUUCCGUCAAAAUACAUUUAAAAAAACUAGACAUAUUAUACUAAGUUUAGAAAAAUAGGCUUUCGGCCCAAACCAACAAAUAUUAUGCUCCAAUAACACAAUAUAAAUUGUAAAAUUCUAAUCAAAUUUUGAUUCUGAUAUUUAAACCAUAUAUGUAUGAGUUUAAUUGUAUACAUUUUAUUUGAGAUUUAUCGAGGAAUAUUAAAAUAUUAAUUAUAAAUAACAAGUAAGACCUUAAUACAAUAAAUAAUAUGUAAUAUUUGAAUAGCAAAAGAAAAUAUAUAAUUUUCAUAAAAAUCUACUAGAUAUGCAAUAUCCAACAAGUAAUAUCAUUUAAUAUCUAAUUAGCAAAAACAAAACGUGCAAUAUCCGGAGAAAAUCCAUAAGAUAUGCAAUAUCCCAGAAGAUUUCUAUAGAUUUAAUUUCUAACAAUAUUUAUUACUAGUUAAUACACAACAACUAUAAAUAACAUACACAUUUCAUUUCCAAGCAUCAUCCUCACAUCAAAUACAUUAUUCAUUUUGUUGAAUUUAUAAUCAGUUGUUUCUUAAGACCUAGUAUGGAGAAGGCUCGAGUCAACAAAAUUAUAUCUCUUCUUGUGUUGGUCAUGGUGUGCGGUAUGUCAUGUCUACAUAGUUAAUCUAUCAAUAUUUAUUAUAAAUAAUAUAAUUUUGUGCUUCGUGAUAUCUGAUGCUAAUGAAAUAUUAUUAUUUUUUGAUAAUUUAUGCAGAUUUACAAUUAAUGAGAACAAAUGCAUCAGAUCUACAAUGUAAAAGUGACGGGGAUUGCAAAUAUUAUGCUGAAUGUGUCGAUGGUAAAAUGAGAUGUGUAAAAGGUGAAUGCCGAUGCAUACAUUUUGGUAUCCCUGGCCCUCAACCUAGUCACGGUUUUGAUGAUGAUAAGAAAGUUAACAACGAGGUUAGAUGUAAAACAAUGAGAGAUUGUUUAAAUUAUCUAUGUUUAGUAGGUAAACAAGUAUGCAAGAAUGGUGUGUGCAAAUGUGAAGGACAUGUUGGUCACGAAAAUGAAGGACGUGGAGGAAUUUAUUAAUAUAUAUAUAUGUAAUGAUUAUUUCUUGAGUUUUAUCAACUUAGUGAAUUAGUUCAAUUUCUUGCUCUAAUUACUUUUCUUUGUUUUGGCUCGAUUUUUAAUAUUUUCCAACACUAAUAAAGUACAUAAAUUUCCCCCCCACAUAAUACAUGUGGUAAGACCAAUGAAAGUAAAACAAUCAUCAUUUGACUAAAAUUUCUGACCUUCUAAUUUAUUUAUUUUUGUGUGUCACAAACUGACUUUAUACUUAAACCUCAAAUAAUCUUUUAUUUUCAUUUUCAAGAAUAUGAAAUAUUAUGAACUAGCAACACUUCAAAAUUUGUUUUGAAGUUAUUUGAUAGAGGAAUACAAUCGACAAAAUAAAUAAAAUAAGAGGAUGUGAAAUAGUGGUCAAUUACAUGAUUAAAGUAAAAUAUUGGAUAGAUACAAAACUGAAAUCAAUAAAAAUUAGUAAAAACAAAAUCAUAUAGUUGAACCAAAAUUAAAAAGUUGAAAACAAAUACAAAAAUUAACUUUAUUUAUCAAUUACAAAGAAACAGAAAAAAAUCAGACCAAUUUGAUAAUUAAAAUAGCAUCCUUUUAAUAAUUUAUAUACAUUUUUUAUAUAAAUAAUUAUGUAUUUUUAAUAUUAGCAGUUUCUUAAGUUAUUAAUCUCUAAAAUUAAAAUUGAGCAAUGCAUUGUUAAUUUUUUUAUAGGGGAAAAUUCUAGGGGGUGUAUUCAAUUGAAAUUUUAAAAUUUUUUAUAUGAUCUAUGGAUUUUAAUGGAUUGUAUCUGAUUUUAAUUUUAUACGGAUUCUUGAUAAAAUAUGACAGAGUUGAUGAGAGUCUUUAGGAUUUAAACAGAAUACUUCAAAAUCUCAAGGAUUUUGUUGGAAUCUCAAAUAUAUUCAAAUACACCGAACAAUCUAACAAAAUUCAUCAUUUUAUGAAGUGCUAAAAAAUUCAUGAGCAUUUGAAUACCAUCAAUGAAUUUUAACUAAUCUCAAUUGAAUACUAUCGCAUUUUAAAAUAUACUUAAAAUUCUGAUUGAAUACCACCAAAUUUUGUAGUAUAUUAUAAAAUCCUAAUUAAAUAUCCUAGGAUUUGAUAAAUUUUUUAAAAUUCGAGUUGAAUACCCCUAAAAUUUCAUCAAAAAAACAAAUCUUUUAAUUCAAUUGAAUGCGCUUCAUAAUUUAAUGUUAUGGAUUCCUUUAAUAAUUUUAACUUGCCACUUGGGUGCUUGAGCAUGGAUUGUCCACAUAUAUAAGGAUACAUUGUCCAUCUGAGGUCACCUUGAUAUCUAAAUUUGAUUCUUACUCAUCCUAUCAUUGGACAAAUAACUUUUUAUUUGGAAAUGUUACAAGCACCGUGAUAUUUUCUCCCGAAAGUCGCAAAGACUAAGAGCUUUAAGGUUAAUAAUAGAAAUAUUAUUUAAGUCAAGUUUUGUUUAUAUAUCAUUAGAUUUUAUAAUUUAAACCAAAUUAAUAGUUAUUAGAUCAUGUUUUUAUUUUAAAUCUGUCGAUUACAAUGACGCUUUAAAUAUCAAAUAUCUAAUAUAUUUGCUAUCUUGUCAGAACUUCGCACCAAAGCGAUUCGAGGGUCAUAUCACACAUGAUUUAAAACAACUUUGUGAGAACAGAUAAAUGUAAGACAUGCGUCCAUAUUAUGGUAAAAUUUAAUUUAUUAAGCUUGUUAUAUUAAUUUUUAAAAAUAUGUUGUGAUUAGUUGGAUUUAAAAAAUCGAAUCGGCAAAGUAACUUGCACAAUUAGUCAAUCAAAUUGGCAAUUUCUGUAUUGAUAAGUUGUUCAGUUUCUUAAAUAUAUCUUGCACUCAAGUGAUUUCAUCUGUUGAUAAGAAGACCAGGUGAUUAGGUUACAUAUUAUCUUGUGUUAGUUCUCUAAUUAUUUAAUUUAUUAUGUCGCGGUCUUUAUUUAUGAAUACUAGUUGAUGAUCCGUGCCAAGCACGGGUUUAAAUAAAAUUUUAAUUUUUUUUAUUUAUUGGAAACAUAAUAUUUUUUGAAUUACAUUAUCAUAUUUUUAUUAUAUUUAUUUAAAUUAUUAUUUUUAAAUGUUAUUUAGAUUAUUAUUAAUUCGAUAUAAGACUUUCUAUAUAUUAAAAUUUGAUAUUAUUUUUGUAAAUAAUGAAUUUUAAUUAUAUAACAUAUUUAAGUUAAUUAAAUUAAAAAUUCCUUUAAACUUCGGUAUUAGUUUGUCAUACAAACAACUACUAUUCCUAAGUCUAAAAGAACUCCAACCCACAUUAGAAUUACCCAUUCUAACUCUAAAAUAAUUACGGAUUAAAUAUACAUAACACAUAUCUAUUAUAACUCUAAAUUAAUUACAAAUAUUAGAAGUCUAAAAAAAUUCUUAAGUUAAAUAACUUAAAUAUGUUUUUUAAAUAAAAUUCGCAAUAAAUAAUGAAAUAAAAAUAAAACAAAAUAAUAAUUGAGUUUCUUAGCUUAUUUUUUAUUUUAUGUUCUUAUAUCUACAUAAAAACUCUGUCGACUUAUUAUAUUUAUUUGAUAGGAAUUUUAUUGAGUUGAUUCAUAUUUAUUGGAUAGAAAUUUUACAGAGUUAAUUCCUAUGUUAAAUUGUUCGAUAAAUAUAUAAUUUGUAAUUAAUUUAGAGUUAUAAUAGAUAUGUGUUAUGUAUAUUUAAUCCGUAAUUAUUUUAAAGUUAGAAUAGGUAAUUCUAACGUGGGUUGGAGUUCUUUUAGACUUAGGAAUAGUAGUUGUUUGUAUGACAAACUAAUAGGGUUGGUUCAGCUGGUUAAAGAGAGGACAUAGGUUUACCCAGUGCGCACCCGAAGGGUAGCGGCUGCGGGUUCCUACGUUAAAAAAAAAAAAAAAAAUAUAGAAGUUUAAAGGAAUUUUUAAGUUAAUUAACUUAAAUAUGUUUUAUAAAUAAAAUUCGUUAUUUAAAUAUUUAAUUUAUUUUAUGUUCUCAUAUCUGCACAAAAGCUCUUCUGACUCCCUAUAUUUAUUUGAUAGUAAUUUUAUACAGAAUUCAUAUUUAUGUGAAAAGGAUUUUAUAGAGUUAAUUUCUAAGUUAAAUUGUUUCAGUUCUAAAAAUUACAAUAUUUAGUUAUAUUGGGAUAGAAUUAUAUACUAUGAAUAAUCGUUAUGUAAAAAAGUCAUGAGCAGUAUAAUGACCAAAUUUUGGUACUGAAACGUGAUUUCGCUUAUUAACAAAGGGUAUUGAUUGUUUCCGGAAGUUCUUGCAAAAAUCUAAUAAGAGCAAAUUUUUGUGAUUAAUUUAUGAAAGGUCCUACCAUGCACAAUCAAGCAGACAAAUGGAGAUGAAAAGAAAAGAUUGCCCAAACACGCCCUAUAUAGGAUCCAGCCAUUCAAGAUUAAUGGAUUGGUCUGAAGUCACAUUCUGAACUAUUAGCCAGGGAUUUACUUGUAGUUACCGUUGGUAGAAUUCUGGAACAUCGGUUUCGUUGGUGAAAGUGAUCACAAUGAGGUUACUCUGCUCUGAAUUAUUGCGGCCUGCAGCGGCUAAAAUUUGAGUUGGCUUGAAAAAUGAUGUGUAUGAACACAUUGAAAUUAGCCUUUUGCUGUCUGAAUUGUUCAUAGUCAACUUUAUAGCAUCCUACAUCGUCCUAUUGAUUUUUUUUUUCUAUGCAGAUUAGUUAUUUCAGCAGAAGAACUUUAUGUAUUUUUAUUGACUUUAUAUUUGCACUUUUUUUUAGGGUUUUGGAGAAUGGCUGGUGAAGCAGAAGGGCCUGCAGUUAGGAUUGAUCAUGUGCUCAUGUGUUCCAUGUACAAAUUUCAACUGUUUAUACCAAUAAAAUUACAGACCAUGGCCACACAAUAUGAUCACAAUUUUACGCCUUGUAAACCUAUAUGUUAUGCUAUCAUAUCGAAAAAUGAAUAAAUUUAACCACUUCAGAAAGAACUUAUGCGUCAAUUCUCAUCCAGAUUGCAGAAUUACUGGAUUUGAAGAAACUAAUGAAACUCAUUCAGAAAUUUGCAGUUGACUAAAAAAUGCAGUACAGUAUAUUAAGCCUUUUGUUCUCUUAAGCUGCUCAAAAGUGCGAAUGCAGAUUUUAUUUUGAAGCUGAGAAGGCAGAUUAUAUUAAGCUUCUUGUACUAAUAUUUUAAUUAGUCUUUGUUUUGAUGUUGUAUUCCCGUUUAAAAGUGUUUCAGUUCUAAAUUGGCUUAAUGACCUUUUAGCCCUCGAAGUAUGUAUGAAUGUUCCGAUGCGGCCUCGAUGUUUAAAACCGUACCUUUCGACCCUCAAAGUAUCCGAUACGUACCUUUUAGUCCUUUUCCUAAAAAACGGUAUAAAUCGGGGGGUAAAGUAGAGAAUUCCUAAUUUGGGUUAAGUUUAUGCGUACCCUUUAAACCCUAAAGAAUACAAAAAAUAGAAAACACAGUGAAGAAGCUCGAGCUGCUGCGGAUAGAAGAAACAAGGCGCGAUUGGGUGUGGAUUGAAGUCUUAGAUCGUGAUGGCUAGCAUAAGCGACAGCUCCGCUGGUAAUUUCUUAACCCUUUUCUCAAUUGAAUAUGAUGAUUAACCCCCCCCCCCCCUUGUAUCUGCAUCAUUUUCAUAGGGUUUUUGUUUUUCUGUAUGAUUAUUUUCCAAUGUUCAUCUCGUGAUUUUGUGAUUAAAAGGUGAUGAUGCUAUAAUGUUGAGUAUGUUUCAUGGUGGGUCUUUGAAUUGGGUCCCCGUUACCGAAUAUGUUGGGGGUAGAGUCACCGUGUACAAUUUUAGAGACCAGGACGAAAUUAACAUGGAGAGUCUGAGAGCAUGGAGUAAAGCUCUGGGUUAUGGGGGUUUGAGCUGUCUCUAUUAUAGGAUUCCUGAUAGAGAUCUUGAUGGAGGGUUGGUUUUAUUGAAAGAUGAGAAAGAUGUAGGAGAUAUGUUGUCAUUUGCUAUGGAAAAUGACAACAAAAUAGAUGUUUAUGUGCAACAUUCUAAUCAGGAGUUUGAAGAAAAUUUUGGAGGGGUGAAUGAUGCAGCUGAAGAACGCAUGAGUGUGGAUGAACUUGAGGACUCUGAUUUUGCUGAAUCAGAUUAUUCGAUGACUGAUGAUGACUUGCUCUUUAAUGAUAAAGUUGAUGCUGGAGUUGAAUGGGUUGGUGUAUUGAGGGCUGGACUGGGAUUAGCAGAAGAAGUGCCGUUGGAGCCAGAAGAUGAAGAACAGAGUGAGUAUGACAGUGAUGAUCUUGAAAGCUUGGAUGGCAAUGAUUUAGAGGAGGGUGAAGGCAGUAGUAGAAGGAAAACAUUUCCAAUCUACAAGGACACAGAAGAUCCAAAGUGGACAGUUGGGAUGGUUUUCACUGAUCACAAACAAUGCAGAGAAGCUAUAAUGAAACAUUCAGCUAGUGAAGGUAGAGUGAUAAGGUUUGUCAAGAGUGACAGAACAAGGGUGAAGGCUGUGUGUAAAGCUCCAUGCCAGUGGUCUCUUUUUGCCUCUCUCAACUUCAACAAAACCAUGCAGUUAAAGAAAGUGGGCCCAGGUACAUUUUGAGGUUAUUUGUGUCUUUUUACAAUGCCAACUGGGUGAAUGCAUAUUGUAUUUAUGUCUUCUUUUUCUGACAGAGCACACAUGUGCUAGAGAGCAGAGGGGGUUACCUCUGAUAAAUUCAGGAUUCUUGGCAAGGAAAUAUCUGGCAGAAUUCAGAAUCAACCCCUCUUGGCCAGUGAAAGCAUUCCACAACACAGUUUUAAGAGAUCUGCAGCUGGAUAUCAAGCCUCACAUCUUGAGAAAAGCAAGGAGAAAGUGUAUGAGAAUUAUGAAUGGGACACUUGAAGAGCAGUUCCAGAAGCUGUGGGACUACAGGACAGAGCUUCUCAAAAGGAACCCCAACUCAACAGUUGAGAUUGACAUAGAGCCAGGUAUUGUAUCUAAUUAUUUCACUUUAAAAUGCUUUAUGUGUACUUUUUUUUUAAAUUCCAGAUCUGUGCUUGUAGGGGCUGUUGGAGUCUUUAGAAGGAUGUACAUCUGUCUAGGAGGGCUCAAGCAUGGCUUUAAGCUUGGUUGCAGGAAGUUCAUAGGUUUGGAUGGCUGUCACCUGAAAAGUGCUUACAAAGGUCAGUUACUCUGUGCUGUGGGUUUAGAUGGCAAUAAUUGUAUGUUUCCUAUAGCAUAUGCAGUAGUUGAGGCUGAGAAACUUGAUUCCUGGAGAUGGUUUGUGGCUUAUCUUGUUCAAGAUUUUGAUAUAGGCCUAGGUGAUGGUUGGUCCUUCAUUAGUGAUAGGCAGAAGGGGCUUUUGAAUGUAGUUCAAGAGAUGUUACCCAUGGCUGAGCAUAGGUAUUGUGUUAGACACUUACACAAUAAUUUUAAGGGUAAGUAUGGGGGUAGGUCUUUGAAGGACAAGCUUUGGGCUUGUGCUAGGGCAUCAAAUAUUGAGGCAUUUCAGGUUGCUAUGACCAACAUUAAAGAGGAGAAUGAGGGUGCUUGGAAAUGGUUGACAGAGGUUCCAUUCCAUCAUUGGACUAGAUCUCAUUUCAAAACAGAGUCAAGAUGUGAUCUUCUUUUGAACAAUAUGUGUGAGAGUUUUAAUAGGUGUAUUUUGGGGGCUAGGGAGCAAGGAGUUCUAUUGAUGUUAGAAAUGAUUAGAGAAUACCUGAUGAGGAGGCUGCAGACAAAAAGAGAUGAAAUGGUUUCUUGGGAGGACAAAAAAUUUACUCCAAAAAUCUACAAGAUUAUUGAGAAAAACAAGAAACUGAGUGGAUCUUGCUACUCCACAUAUGCUGGUUAUGAUGAAUUUGAAGUUACUACAUUCACUGGUUCCAAGUAUGCUGUCCAUCUAGGAAACAGGACCUGUGGGUGUAUGAGAUGGGACUUGUGUGGCAUACCUUGCCAACAUGUCAUAAGUUGCUUGAAUAGGAUGGGGUACAGUGUAGAGGACUAUGUUGACAAGGUCUACACCACAGCCAACUACAAAAAAGCUUACUCUGGAAUAAUCUAUCCCAUGAAUGGUCACAAUUUGUGGGAGAAGAGUGGUUUAGUAAUGAAACCACCAACUGUUGAGAGGCAACCAGGAAGGCCCAAAAAAAGGAGAAGACCAGAGAUGCCAGACUUAGUUGAAAAGGAGAUUGAAGGUGUGAAGACUUUAAGCAAGAAAACUCAAUUAACUGUGAGGUAGUAAUUUCCUAUAUUUUCUUUAUUUUUUGCCUUUUUUGCCUUUUUCUAUGCUUUAUAAGAUUUUCUUACAUUUAUGCAGGUGUGGGAAGUGCAAGGAAUUUGGCCAUAACAAAAGGACUUGCCCUUCACUUCAUCCAGUUGAGGCAAAUGCUGAGGCAGAAGCUGCAAAUGCUGAGGCAGAAGCUGCAAAUGCUGAGGCAGAAGCUGCAGAUGAAGGAGAUAGUGCUGAACUGCAAGAAACUGCAAUUGAUUAUCCUGACCAAGGUCCACCCUUGACUCAACAAAGUCAAGAGUUUGAGGGACCUCUUGUUGAAGAAGAGGGGGACAGUGAGGGUGAAGCUGCAAGUGAGGACAAUGAGGGUGAAGCUGCAAGUGAUGCAAGUGAGGAGAGUGAGGAUGAUGAAACCCCUCUAGCAAUUGCAGCAAAGAAGAUUAGGCAAAUGAGGAUCCAAAAAAUGGGGUUGACAACAACCAAAGAUUCACCUAUCAUGGUUGCAGCUGGAAAACUGAAGACCCUUAAAGAGAUAAUGGAUUCAGAAAAGAAGAAGGAAACAAGUGUUGCAGAGGCUCAAGCUGUUGAAAUGGAGGAUGCUAGGAGGAAGACUGUGAAACAGGAAAUGCAACAGAGGAUUGACAAAGGCAAAAAUCCAAUGAAAGUCUCUGAGAUUGAACCUAGGAGAAGCUACAGAUUGUUUAGGAAAACAGCUCUUAACAAAUUCACAAACACAGUGGAUACCCCAGUUGUCAUUGAUGAGGCUGGGGAGGAGGAUAAACAACCUCCACGGGUGCAGAUAAAUUCUUACACAGGCCCUAUGAAACUAGGGAAGAAACAACCUCCACCAGUGAAGCAGUAUAAGGCCAUUGUUGGUCAAACAGAGGUAAAGUCUGCACCAUUCUUAUCACAUGGCAGAACUGUAAUCACAAAGGGUACAUUGGCCAAAGCUCUCGGUGCUUUGAAAAAGAGUUAUCUCCCAGGUUCUACAGCAAAGGGGAAGGAUAGCCAACAGCCUUGAUUUUAGCAGUUUUUCUCUAUUAUUUUGUAAUGCUAUGACAUUGGUACUUUGCCUACUUUCUGGACUUAAUUUUAUUUCAGUUGUAAUGCUUUUGGGGAUGUUUUGUAACUUGAUCUUUUGCAAAGAAUUUAAUGUAAGCUAAUGAUUUCCAUUCCAAAACAUCUACUUUCAUUUCAUUACAAUAGAUGCUAGUACAUACUGCAUAGUACAACUAGGGUAGUUCUAACACACUAGGUGAAGCAUUUUUGUUUGCCCUUACAAACACCCAUACUAUUAACAACACAAACAACAAAACCAGUAUGGACUUUUUUCUCUUCACGGGUCUGUUCACACCAGCUGCAGCCUCAUUUUUCUUUGCAUCAUCUUCGAGAUUUCGAAUGCGCCGCAACAGUCCUGGGAUUAUUGCUUUUGAUCUUGCACACAUGGGUGGAUCAAACCAUUGGUGAAAGUUACAAGCAUUGCUUCUGUUAUCCUGCAGUUAAAUUAGAUAUAGUUAGAUUACAUUUAAGAACAAAAAUGAGAGAUUAGAAUCUGCUUACCUUGAAUCUCAUACAUCCCCAGAAUUGCCUCCCCGGAUUAGAAUCAGUCCACGAUGUCUUCAAAGCAGCAGCUGUUCCACACCUACAGUUAGGCUCCAUCUAGACAACUUGUUCUGUUUUACACAAGAAAAUGACAACACACACAACUAUGAUACAUAUAUAUAUACACAAGAAACAUCAAGGGCAAAAGGGGAUGGCGGGAGACCUCCAGAUUUUUGGAGGGAAACUGAGGGUUAAAUGUCUUGUUUGUCCCCCCCCGAUUUAUACUGUUUUUUUGGAAAAGGGCUAAAAGGUACGUAUCGGAUACUUUAAGGGUCGAAAGGUACGCUUUUAAACAUCGAGGCCGCAUCGGAACAUUCAUACAUACUUCGAGGGCUAAAAGGUCAUUAAGCCUUCUAAAUUUUUAUGGUCUGCACUGUUUACUAGAAUUAUUAUCUGGGAAUUGUAGCACUGUUUGUUAGAAAAUGGUAAGUUUAAGACAUGGAAUUACCUUAAUCUAAUUGUUGGAGGUUGUUCCUUGUAAUGAGGACUUAAACUUUCAUGUUUGGAUCUAAGACAUUUUCUUAGUGUAAUCCAUAAAUAAAUUGAGUUGAAGUUAGUAGCUUGAAAGUGGUAAAAUAUGUUAUGUGGGUUAGUCCCACAUUGAUAUUGGAAAGUGAGGUUGGUGGCUUUAUAUAGUACAUGUGCAAGUGUAGUGUUCAACUACUAAGGCAUGUGGGUGUGCAAGGUUGUAGUGAGCGCCCGCCGCCGCCGCCCCGGGUCGGGUCGAAGGGCGAUUUGGGCAAGCUAAGUGAUUUCUGUCUUUUCUUGUCGAUUUAAGGUACCUGAUAUAUAACUGCCUCAUUGUUGCGCUAAUAUAUAUAGUUUAAUAUUUCCAACACUGUUCACAUAGACUCUUUUCAUCAACAUGUAGCUCAUAUGGGAGGAUCAUGUUUAACUUUGAAUGCAGGUAAGCAGUUCAAUAUUAAUAUAAUAAGGAAUAUAAUUUCUGCGAUGAAGAUAAAAUGCUUAUGGAGCAAAUAUAACUUGGUCAAAAUGAAAUUACUCUCUGAGAGGAGACUUUAGAUCUGAUCAGAGUAUCAAACAGACAGACCUUAUUAGACAAUUUGACUAAUUUAGAUUAGGAUGAAGUGCAUGUGUAUACUAUAAGUUGGUAGGGAAUUUGCGAGUCAGUUUCUCAACCUCUAACUUCAUCUUCCGGAUUUUCUAUUUUAUUUAUUUAUUUAUUUUAAACGUAGGAACCGCAGCCACUACCCUUCGGGUGCGCACCGGUUCUUUCUCUGCAAAUUAGUUUUCUAAACAGAACAUCUCUUUAUUUUUAUUCUACUUUCUAUUUUCAGUUCUGCAUUCUGCUUCUCCAAAAUGGCUGGAAGAGGAGAAGGACCUGCAAUUGGAAUCGAUCUCGGAACUAUGUACUCAUGUGUUGGAGUUUAGCAAGGCAUGUUGGAUUUUAUAUAAUCUUAAACCACGCUAGUUAAUUAUCAUUAUUGUUUUUGAUUUCAUUUGCUGUAAUAACGAGUGGCUUGAUAUAAGUCAGCUACUAGCAUCUAGGACCGUGAUUGUCUGGCAGUAGAGUUGGUUUAGGAAUUUUGUUGGACUCAUGUCCUUAUUUCUGGCUUUCCAGUUUUUGAGUCUGUAAUCUAUUUAUGCAUUUUUCAGAAUAAAGAAAAAAGCAAGACUUUGACGAGCAAAACAAAAGCUUUUCGAUCUCUCUCAGUUAUAUCAGAUUGUUGAUAUAUGUUUAUUAACAACACUUGGUAUCAGAGCUGAAGUUCUCUAUGAAUGUCAAAGACGCCAACAAUGGAGAUGAACAAAGACAAAGGCGGUUCAAUCGAUUUGAGUUACCCAAAGGCACCGGUAGAAGAGAAAUUGGCAUGGCUAUGAUUUCCAGUUUUAUACUCCUAUCAAAUGUUGAUUUACAGCUUCUUCUUUUUUUUUGGUAAGGAAUGUUGAUUUACAGCUUUAUAUUCAAAGCAUACAUGAUUUAUAUACUCUUUCUCUUAUAAACUGUUUUACAAUUAUAUCUUUCUUUUAUUCAUAUUGAUACUGCUGUUUAUUCAUAUUGAUACUGCUAUUUAUAGCUCACCCUUGCAAACUAUGUUCAUACAUGUUCCAGAUGCCUAGGACUUGAGCGUUAGCUAGGAGACCUGUAGCAGGGGCUCUAUCCAUGCCCCAACUUUGGAUCUUUUGAGGUAGAGUAAGUCAGUCUUCUAGUUCUGAUUUCAAUACUAGAGCCGAUCCUGGUUGAAAUUGAUUUUUAAUUUAAAUCAUUUUUAAAAUAUGCAAGUUUUGAAAUAUAUGUUUUUACUUUCUUUUAAAAUUAGAGGUUUUAAAUUGUUUUUCUUUUAAUGACACCAAAUUCAAAUUAUUUUUAUUGACUCCGGAGAGAUGUCACUAUGGUAGAGUUAUAUAUUAUAAUAAAAGAUUUAGAGAGCUUCAUUAUCUUGCAUUUAGAUUAUAUUAGACUAUAUUUUUUAUGUUGGUUUCUAGGAAUUCCAUUAUUAUUUAUAAAAAAAAUCUAAUUAAUUCAUGAAAUUUCAGGUUUAGUUUUAAUCUUUAAAUGAAAGUUAAUCAUCUAAAAUGCUAGGCCUUUAUAAUUUAGAUUUAUGUCUAUUAAAAUUCAUUUAAAAAUAAUUAGACAUAUUAAAUUAAGUUUAGAGUAAUAGACGUAUGGCCCAAACCAACUAGAAUUUAUCCUCCAAUAAUACAAUAUAAAUUGCAAAUUUUAGUAAUUAACUAAUAAGUAAUUUUGAUUUUGAUAUAUGUAAUUUUGAUUGUGAUAUUUAAAACUCAAAAUGACACAUAUCCAAGUAUAUAAUAUUUUUUGAGCUUAAAUACAUUAAUUUUAUUUGAGGAUCAGGGUGGAAAUAUUAAAGUUCUCAUUAUAAAUGACAAGUAAGAAUUUAAUACCAUAAACAACAUGUAAUAUCUAAUUAGUAAAGAGAAAAUAUAUAAUAUGUAGAAAAAUCCACUAAAUAUGUAAAAUUUAGGUUGUGGAAAUAUCAAAGUUUUUAUUAUAAAUGACAAGAUAGAUCUUAUCUAUUGCAAUAAGUAACAUAAAUAAUUAGCAAAAAUAAAACGUGCAAUAUUCAGAGAAAAUCCACUAGAUAUGCAUAUCGAGGAAAAUCUCUAGAGAUUUAAUUUCUAACAACAUUUAUUAAUAGUUAAUACAAAACAACUAUAAAUAACAAACAUAUAUCAUUUACAACCCAUCAUCCUCACAACAAGGACACAAUCAUUUUUGCACAACUUAUAACCAGGUGUUUGUUAUGACCUAGUAUGGAGAAGGCUCUAAUCAACAAAAAUAUUUUUCUUCUUGUAUUGGUCAUGGUGUUUGGUAUGUCAUACAACUCUACAUAAUUAAUCUAUCAAUAUAUAUUACAUAUAAUAUAAUUUUGCUUAAUGAUAUGUGAUACUAAUGAAAUAUUAUUGUUUUUUUAUCAUUUGUGCAGAUUUACCAUUAGUUAGAUUAAAUGCAUCAAAUAAAAUAUGUAAAAUAGAUAAUGAUUGCGGAAUUUCGGCAUGUUCCAGUGGUGUAAUGAGAUGUGUAAAUGGUGAAUGCAAAUGUGAACCAUUUUAUUUUGACCCUGCCCCUGUCCCAAGUCAAGUACCUAAUGAUGAUAAAAAAGUUAGCAGUGAGAUUAGAUGCAAAACAGUGCACGAUUGUGAAAAAACUGUUAUAUGUAUGAUAGGUAAGCAGUAUGAAAGAAUGGUAUGUGCAAAUGUGUAGGAUAUAUUGGUCACUAAAAUUGAAGGUCGUCAGGGCAUUUAUUGAUAUAUGUAUGAUGUUCGGUGCUUUAAUAUUAUCAAGUUAAUGAAUUAGUACAAUUCGUGUUUGAUUACGUUUCCUUGUUUCAACUUGAUUUUUUAUCCGACGCUAUAAACACACACACACACACAUACAUAAUAUAUAUAUAUAUAUACACACACAUAUAUAUACAUAUAUAUAUAUAUAUGUAUAUGUAUAUAUGUAUGUUAAUGAUCAAAUACAAACUACAAACUAAUCUAAGCCAUUAAAUCAAGCUAAUGUAAUUGCCGUCCACUCUACCCUCUCACACAUAUUCCACAGAUUCCCUCCAUUUUUAAUUUGAUUUUUCACGUCAAUCAAAUCACUUUUUUUGAAAUCCGACUUCACUGUAUUUUUCUUCAUCUCCCAGCAAUCAAUUUCCAUACCAUAUUUGAUAUAUUUCGAUGCGAUUUAUAAAUUUUUUAUUUUGGUUUUUAGUUUUUAUUCUAAGAAAUGUUUGUAGUGGAGGAGCAUCCUAUAUUAUAUAUAUCUAUAUAAAAGAAGGCUCAAUGGAGACCAAAUAUUUUGGAGUCCUUAGAGCAUCUCCAAUGGGAGGUGCCAAGAGGGGUGCCAAUGCCAUGUGGCAUGACAUGGACCGGCACUCUCGUUGGCACCCCCAUUGGAGAUGUUGGAGUGCUAUUGGGGUGCCAGGUGAGUUGGCUUUAGGGUGCCAAAAGUUGGCAACCGAUAAAGUAGGGUGCCAACUUCAUUUGUGGUCCCAAUAAUACAUAAAAUAUAGAUUUGUGGUCUCAAUAAUACAUAAAAUAUUAUUUCUCUAUUAAUAAAGUUGGCAUCUUUGGAGUGCCAACCAUUGGAGUGUAUUUUUAAAAAAGGGUGCUAAAAAUGAUUUGGAAGAGUGUGAAUAUAAAAAAUAAUAUUUUGAGUUAUGUGUUAAAAUUGGCACCCCUUGAAGGGUGCCAGCCAUUGGAGAUGCUCUUGGAGACUACAAGAUCUACCGUUAAUAUAAUCUGGCAAUUAACGAACAUGAUUAAAUAUUUUUGUCCUGCAUUUCUAGUAAUAUUCUUGUCCUGCAUUUCUAGUAAACAACAAUUGCAGAACAUUGUAAUUUGAAGAAUAGAUUCUUGAGAUAUCAUAGCUUCAGUUGCUUCAAGAUCAUCAACAUGAGUUUUAGUUUUAAUUCAAAAUUAUCUUUAUAAUUUACUGUAUUCUUGUCGUAAUGUAGUAUUAAUAAUUUGUCCCGCAUAUUUGUGAUAUAUCUAAGUGUUAUUUUGUCUCGCAACAAAUUCAAUUCGUUGCAGGACAAUAACGAUGAGUUCAGUGCCAAUCAUAGCAAUGUCCAACUACAUCUUUGUUUUGUAUCCAAUUAUUAUUUUUAUUUUAUUAGGAUUUCGGUGAUUGAACACCAAUAUCAUGGAAUUAUUAUUUUAUGUUCUGCAGGAUUUAGAAAUUCUGCAUGUUGUUCACUGAUUUAGAAGUGCUGGACAGGAGGACCUGCAGUUAGGAUUGAUCUUGGGACCAUAUGUACUCAUGUGUUGGAUUUUGGAGAUGACACCAUCUCAUGUGGUUAUUGCGAGUGUUUUUAAUGAAGCUUAGCAAGGACAUUAAUUCUGAUGAGGCAGUUGCACUGGAUGUCGCUGCCAUAGCUGACACGAUGAUUAGUGACGAAGGUGGUGGAAUGAUUAAUGUGAUGCCACUGGAUAUUACUUCUGAAGACCUUAGUAGUGGGAAUUAGACUGUUCUAUCUCCAAAAAAUACAAGCUGUCCUUGACUUGGUAUUGAUCCAAGUGUUUCAGAUUAGGGUGCUGGUCCCUGGCAUAUGAUUGCCAGGGAGGGGUUAAGUAACACAUGGUUUUCUGGCUGUCGGAUGCAUAUCUAGCGCCCAGGAUUAUAACAUUUUUCUUCAGACUUCUAGCAGUUUUUAACCGCUAGACGCUAGACAGAUUUUCCCCUUCUAGCGGUUAAAAACCGCUAGACGUGUUAAAAUUUUGUUAUAAUCCUGGCCGCUGGAUAUGCAUNUGUCGGAUGCAUAUCUAGCGGCCAGGAUUAUAACAUUUUUCUUAAGACGUCUAGCAGUUUUUAACCGCUAGACGCUAGACAGAUUUUCCCCUUCUAGCGGUUAAAAACCGCUAGACGUGUUAAAAUUUUGUUAUAAUCCUGGCCGCUGGAUAUGCAUCCAACGGCCAGAAAACCAUAUGCCAGUUAAUCAGUCCACAGCCAUCGAUGGCUGUGGACCAGGACCCUUCAGAUUAUGCCUUGUUACAAUAUGAAUGNCAUGGUUUUCUGGCUGUCGGAUGCAUAUCUAGCGGCCAGGAUUAUAACAUUUUUCUUAAGACGUCUAGCAGUUUUUAACCGCUAGACGCUAGACAGAUUUUCCCCUUCUAGCGGUUAAAAACCGCUAGACGUGUUAAAAUUUUGUUAUAAUCCUGGCCGCUGGAUAUGCAUCCAACGGCCAGAAAACCAUAUGCCAGUUAAUCAGUCCACAGCCAUCGAUGGCUGUGGACCAGGACCCUUCAGAUUAUGCCUUGUUACAAUAUGAAUGUGUAUUAUAUCGAAAAUAUAAUUACAGAUUAUGGCCACACAAUAUGAUCAACAAUUUUAUGCCUUGUUAACCUAUAUGAUUAGUGUAUAAUGUAUUAUAUCGAAAAAUGAAUAAGUUCAAUCACUUCAGAUAGUACAUAUGCAUUGGUUUUCAUCCAGAUUGCAGAAUUACUGGAUUUGAAGAAACUAAUGAAACUCAUUUAGAAAUUUUCAGUUGACUAAAAAAUGCAGAACAGUAGUAUAUCAAGCUUUUUGUCCUCUUAAGCUGCUCAAAAGUGGGAUAGUAUAUCAAGCUUUUUGUUUUCUUAAGCUGCUCAAAAUUGGGAAUGCAGAUUUUGUUUUGAAGGUGACAAGGGAGAUUAUAUUAAGCUUCUUGUUCUAUUUUUGUUAGUAUUAAUUUGUUUUGAUGUUAUAUACCCAUUUAAAAGUGUUUCAGUUCUAAAUGUGUAUGGUCUGCUGUGAUGUUUUUAGAUGGAUCUUCACUAACAAAAUACCAAUUCAAAGGAAAACAAGCACCAGCACUUAAUAAUAAGAUCCAGAACCAAGUUGCUUACAAUGAAAAGAAACUAGAACAGAUAAACUGGACAAUUCGAGAAGCCAGAGUCUCCUUACUAAAUUGAUUAAACUAAAAUGAUAUUCUCCAUAAGCCCCUCCUCUCAACCCUAAUUCCUCUUAUCCCCUCGCUUCCUCUUGCUGUUCAGUUCCCUUUCUACCCUUGGGCUUCCUUCUGUUGAAUACUAGUAGCUUAGUGGGCUGGGCCUGAUCUGUAGGCUGGGCCUGAUCUGUUACAUUACUCCCCGCCAGAUCCUGAACCUUGUCCUCAAGGUUGAAAGCUGGGAAACGUUGGUCCAACAAAGCAGCUUGUUCCCAAGUAGCAUCAAAUGAGGGCAGUCCUUUCCACUUAAUCAGUGUGACAGCCCGAGAAUCCGGGGGUCUGGAUUCUGACGUCACCACAUAAAGCCAUUUUAAAACACUUUUGAAAACCUGUAUUUAUUUGAAAAGAUAAUAAAAUCAAAGGAUUUAAAACUUGAAGACUUUAAUAAAAGAUUUAAAAGAAAACACUUUAACCCCCUAAAAACAGGAUCGCAUCCAGGUCACAGUAUUGAAAUUAGAAUCAACCGCUAUAAAUAAACAAUGUCUUACAACCUCAGAUCAUCUUCGAUGAGAAGAAUCACUGCCAAUCUAUUUAAAUUAUGAUUACAACUGAAUCUCAACAAUUCUAUCUAGAACCAACCUUGACAAUCUCCCUGAACAUUUCCACUUGUCCUCUGUAUACUCUAUACUCUGACUCCUCGCCUAGCCUUAGCCAUACUCGCAACCUCAAUCAUGCAAUUCAUCGUUAAGCUUUUCUGAAAUGGUUAAAAAGGAAUAGCAAGGGUGAGCAACAAUGCUCAGCAAGUGUAUAUAAGCAACAAUAGUCCUGAAAUAUCUUAUCAGGGUUCACAAGUUCAGGAUAUGCAAUUGAAAACUUCACAAUUCUUAUCAGCAAUUGAAAUCAGAAUUCAAACUUACAGAAGAAUUGUCGAAUUGGAUUCAUCACAUUUUUACUUAAAAACCAAAGGUUAGGCUGCUGAUCAGUCACGCACUAACCCCGAACAUGGCACACAGCCCUGUUCUCUAUACUGGAUCCAAGGCACACAUUGGCCUAUAAUUGACCACGAAUCUGGUCUGACCACGAAUCUGGUCCACAUAUUUUAUAAAAACUAAUCCAAUUCUAACAAUUUAAAUCAACAGACAAUUGAAACAACAGAACAAAAUCAUAAUCAUUAUCAGCAACAGAAAUAUUUCAAAUCAACUUUUGGGAAUCAACAUUUCAUAAACCACAGUCUGUCUUUUGAUAAAUCAUAGUUCAGGAAAUUCCUAACUAUUCAGUAUCCUCCAUUAUCGGCUAAGCAACUGAAUUUAGCCUGCUAAACCAGCAUGACAAUGGCGGGUUGAAUAAUCAAGAAGAUCCCAAUUCAUUCUAGGUUCUAACUAUCACUGAGCAACACAUGCUUCAAUGACGGUCUGAACUUCGAAUUAAUUUGUAGAACUGGUAUUUUUAAAAUCUUGAGGAUUGGAAAGAAUGGAUCAAAAUAGAAAGUUGAGAGUAAUUAGGUGUUUGGCUUUUCAAAACUUGGAAGAAGAAAACAAUCAUGGGAUUCAUUCUCAGAAGUAAGAGUUUGUUUGAGAAGGGUCUCAGCAUAAACAAUAUCAUAAUCUUGACAGAAUAAUCAGAACAUGCAAUAUAUAUAUGAGGAAGGAUUUAGGAAUACUUGCCUUAAAUCCGCCUCCACACCCAUAGCUUAAUCUCAUCUUUCCAAUUCACAAUCUAUGCAUAUCAUAACCUCCAGACCAUCUCUGUAUAUACUCUAUUCGCAAUACGACUUCGCUUUCUCGACUCGUUCCUUAUUCGCUUUGCAACAUCGUUUGACCUUCUGUACGUCUUCAAUCGUAUACGCCUCGUCCAAAUCCUUUACGAGAAUAAAAUACUACCAUAAUUACUAAAUAAUCUAUUGAUUCUUAUCUUACUUAUCAAACUCGGUAUCAUAACCUAUCGCAUAUACAUAUCACGUAUAUCGAUAGCAUUUAACACAUAAUCACAUAUCACCCUAUAUAAUCUCUAUGCACUUAUCAGAUAUCACUUAACAUAUAAUCAUGCUUUGACUCUAUCAUAUAGUCACAUCAUACUCCAUGUAGCAUACUACAACUCAAUAACCAUAUAUAUCCUAUUGAAAAUCUGACAGCGUCUUGUCUAUUUAUAGGACUAUCCAUCUGUUAAUCUAUUUCAACCAACAACCAAUCAAUCAACUCAAAUUCCUGUAAUCUACAUAUUCUUAUCCAACAUUAAUCAAGAUAAGAUGCUAUGUCUCCCAAAUCAUUUAUCAAAUCAAAUGGACACGUAUUUCAUAUAAUCAUCACUAUAUAGCAAAUAGAUCACGUAUAGUCACAUUAUGCAUUUUCAACAAUCUUUAUACACAUUGGAAACUCAAUCAUAUUGUUACAUUAUAUUAAACUAGAGUUUCUAAGCUUUAACCUCUUUUUCGUUUCACUCGAUUCUGAAUUACGGAUCAAAAGUUAUUAACAAAACAGUUUUCUAACUCCCUAUCGACAUAUAACAUAUCACACAGACAACAGAAAACACAUUGCACAUAAGGUUUCCCAUCCCAAUCGAUAUCCAAUCAAGUCUCAGGUUAAAAAUGAUUUUUCGAGAAUUUUCUGGAAUUUUCUAAACAUUUUUCGGAAUUAAAACAGGUAAAAGAAUCCAUUUUUGAAUAAAUAAUCAAAUCCGAUUGCUCAAGAUCGGAUCCGAAAUCAUUUGAAAUCAAUUAACGAGCCUCAAACAUAUUUUAGAAAAAUAAUCCAAAGCUCGAAACUAUUUCUCGGAAUUUUUAAAUCAAAAGAAAUCAUUAAAUCUAAUUAAUUAAUCAAUUAAAAUCAAUUAAUAAUUUAUUAAAAUAAUUAAUCAAUUAAUAUUAAAAUUAAUUGACCAAUUAAAAUAAUUAUUACUAAUUAAAUUUAAUUAAUAAUCUAAUUUCAGAUUUAUUUUUGAAUAAAGAAGUAAUUAAAAAGCAUUUUUGAAAUUAAAAUAAUUAAAUAAAACAAUUUUUGAAAAUUAAAAUCAAAAGGUUUAUUUUGUAAACUUUUGAAAGUUUUCGGCCAGGGUUCAAAAUGCAACUUUUCAAAGUUACAGGGGGUGUUUUGUAAGAUUCAAAACUUGGAUACGAUGACUUCAUCAUCUUUAUAAGUUGGGUGGCCAAACGGCAAUUUGCCGCCGGCCACCACUAACUUCGCCGGACACGGCGCUGCCGCCCCCCAACAUGCAUCAGAAACUCCAGAAACAAUGUAUACACUACCAGGAUCAUGUUCAAGUCGUUAAAAUCAGUAACAAAUCGAAGGGUUGGCCGUAAAAUCUUAAUAAACAACCGCCGCCGGCGGACCCAUUUCCAGACUCCGGCGACUCCAUUCGAAUUCCAACAUAUAAACUAAUUACACGAACAAAUUCAUCUCCUCAUGCUCUAUCCAGUGAUAUAAGCCAUAACAGCCCAGAUUUAGCGAAUUAAAAACCCCCAAUUUCCGAUUGAAAAUAUUCAUAAUCCUUCAAGAACAUUCAAGAACACAACCCAAUAAUCAAACCCAAUUUUAUAUAUGAUACGGAAGUCAAAAAUCGAUAUAUAAUAUACCAAAACGACGAGAAAAACACGCUCUACAACAUGGAAUCAUCAAAUCAAUCAAACAAUCACGUUUGCAAAAAUUCACUAUUUAAAUCAUAAUAAUUCGAAUUUUAUAAAAAUAAAAUAAAAUCACCUGUUCAAUCUGCAUAUAAACGGAUGAUUAUACUAGAUUCUACUCGUCAAGAGCUUCGUUUUGACUAUUUAUACGCCUCUAUCCGAUUCCAAUAACGCCUUCAAAUCCUCGUUUGAUUAUGAAGAACACGAAGAACACCCGUUCGUUUUCUCUCGGUAUUCGUGCAGAGAAACUGACGAAAUGAUUAUACGCGCGAAAUAAACUGGUAAAGGAUAUUUAUAGAAGAAGAUAAGAGAAUAUUCCUUGAAUAUGCUUUGGAAUAUUCCUGGAAUAUGCUUCACGCAUUACGAGAUAACCAGAUAAUUAUUAACUUUAAAAAUAUUAAUAAAACCGUACCGGAUCAUUUACGGGACAAACCGUACUCCGGAUCGAAAAAGUUAAAACACGAGAAAUGCUCAGAAUGUCCCAAAUAGCUUAAUGGCGAAAUUUUCCCGAACGCCCGCGGGGUUUAAAAUGCUAAAUAACUAUUUUAAUAUAAUUAAUAAUCAAACGAGAUUAAAUUCACAAAUCGAUUCUAAAAUCACGUAGCAAUCCAAAAAUCGAUAUGAACAUAUCUAAAUAAACUAUAUUUUAUCCUGAUCAUAUAGAAAUUGAAAUAUCUCAAAUCCGAACACAUAUGGGCAGUCAAUUCAAUAAACCAGAUAACACAACUCUUACAACAAUUUAUAUAAAUAUCACAUACUAUUCAUAAAUUAUCAGGAAAAUACCCAAAUGUUUUAUAUUUUAUUUUGAGAAUAUAAAAAUUGAAAACUCGUGAUUGCAACAUAUAUAAGCAAUCAAAAUAGAAAACUAGUCCUCAUAUGAUUUACCAAAUAUUCAUAUAAUAUUCAGAAAUAACCAUAACUAGUUACACGACCAUUACACACGUAACACUUAAUCAAGUAAUGCAUAUAUUCAAAUAUUAACCAUCUAACUUUCAUGACCAAUCUCUGUAUUUUCAGAAAUAAUUUUUGAAAUGAGUUUUGAAAGGACACUCAUAUAUCCAUAUAUAAAUCAUUUGAAAAUAUCUAAAUAACAUAUGACUCAUUCUGAUAAUAUCAAUAAUUAAACCCACAGUUCUAGCACAUAUAAAUAACGUUUACAGAAAUUCAAUUUGCACCAAAAUUCAUACAAUAUUCACAUUAAAUUAUCAUAACUAACUAAACUCACAAUUCCACAUGCAACACUUAGCCAUAUAACAAUAGCAAUCUUUUAAAUCUUUAAAAUCAAUUAUAUAAAAUAUAAUUUUGAAAAGACAACCCUGUAUUGAUAAAACAAUAACCCGGAAUUUAAAUAUAAAGUUUUGAAGACACAUUAAACUGGAAUAAAAUAUUGAACUUUAUUCCUUUCUCUCUAAGAAAAUUACUUUCAUAACAAUAAACAAUUUUUGAAAAAUCCGGGUCGUUCAAAUAUACGAAAUUCCAGAAGAAGAGUGCACAAUCUGUUUAAACCUUAUAAUUUUACAUCACAAUUAUACUCAUACUACACAGACUAUUCAUCUUUUCAGAUAAAAGUCAAUUAAAGCCAAUAAUAAUAUUCAAAAACUUAUCUCGAUUUUAAUAAACUAAUUCUUAAAAUCUGGGAUGUUACAAUCAGUAUCUCAACUUGCUGGUCUGGGGUCUGUCUUACUGCUAACAGCUGCUCCGGUUCCACACACAACUCCAUAUCUGCUGUUAGCUGCUCAGGGAUCGUUGCUCGCACUACUUCUGUUCCAACAUGUCUUUUGAGAUGAGAUACAUGAAAGACUGGGUGAAUUUUACAGCCCUCCGGUAGUUCCAGUUUGUAAGCAACUUCCCCCACUCGCUGUAUUAUGCGAAACGGCCCAAAGAAUCUGGGUGAUAACUUCUCACAAGGACGACGAGCCAACGAACUUUGUCGAUAUGGCUGAAGCUUAAGAAAAACCAAAUCCCCAAUAGUAAACACUAAAUCCCUGCGUUUAGUAUCAGCUGAACUUUUCAUAUGGUGCUGGGCUUUAAGCAAGUUGGCCUGCAGUUCAUCUAACACAGCGUCUCGGACGCGCAGCAUCUCGGACGCGCAGCAUCUCGGACGCGCAGCAUCUCAUCAAUGGAGUCGACUGGGGAUUGUCAUCUUCCCAACCUGUACAAUGACGGUGGUUCACGCCCAUAGACUACUUGAAACGGCCUAAACUUUGUUGACAGGUGUGGGGCUGUGUUAUAGGAGAACUCAGCCCAAGGCAACCAUUCCGCCCAAUUCUUCGGUUUGCCCUGGAUAAAACACCUGAGAUACGUUUCAAGCCCCUUAUUUACAUUCUCAGUUUGACCAUCCGUUUGGGGAUGGUACGCGGUGCUCUUCUUAAGCACUGUCCCCUGUAAGCGAAAUAAUUCAGACCAAAAAUUGCUGAGAAAAAUACGAUCACGGUCGGACACGAUAGCAGAAGGGAACCCAUGCAAACGCACAAUCUCUUUAACAAAAACUCCUGCCACUGUCACAGCACUAUAGGGAUGGCGCAAACCCAGGAAAUGAGCGUAAUUGGACAAGCGGUCCACAACAACCAAUAUCGAGUUAUACCCCUUUGGUGACGGUAAUCCAUCGAUGAAGUCAAGAGAUACCUCUUCCCACACUAAAUCUGGCAAGGGCAAUGGUUGUAACAACCCCGCUGGGGACUGUUGUAAGGCCUUUUGUUGCUGACAGGUCUUGCACUUCUGCACAUACAACCCGACAUCUUUCCUCAUACUUUCCCAAAACCAAUCUCCUGCCAAUCUCAAAUAAGUCUUCAACUUCCCCGCGUGACCUCCCAUCAUAGAGUCAUGAUACUCGUGCAACAACCCAGGAAUGAACGCUGACUUCUUAGGAAUCACAACUCUCCCUUUGAACAUGAGAGUGUCAUCAACCACUGUUGUACCCUUUGUGAGUUGUGCUCCCCUGAGUGAGCUCUGUUUUUACCAGCUGUAGCUACGAAUCCGCCGCUAUCUCUUGGCGUAGCUUGCUCCAAUCUAACACUGGGCGACAUACUAACGCCCUCAACAGAACUUCACCUGCCUGUUUACGCGACAGGGCGUCUGCCACGCGAUUGGCUACCCCAGGUUUGAACUGCACUUCAAAAUCGUACCCCAUCAGUUUUCAUACCCACUUCUGAUACUCCAACCCAAUUUCACGCUGCUAGGUGAUGAAUUUAAUACUCUGCUGGUCAGUUCUAAUUACGAAAUGUCGGCCUAGGAGAUAACUCCUCCAUUUCUGUACGGCUAAACACACAGCCAUCAACUCCUUCUCGUACACGCACUUCUGCUGAGCCUGAGGACCUAAAAGCUUGCUGAAAAAUGCCAAUGGCCGUUGGUCUUGCAUUAGUAUUGCACUAAUACCAAACCCGGAUGCGUCGGUCUCCACCACGAAGCUUUUCUGCCAAUCUGGCAUGGCCAGUACCGGGGGUUGUGUCAUCGCACUUUUCAAUCUGUUAAAUGCAGCUGUUGCCUCUUCCGUCCAUCCAAACUUAUCUUUCCGCAACUGUUCAGUAAGCGGUUGAGCAAUUUGCGCGUAAUGCUUGACAAACUUACGGUAGUACCCCGUGAGCCCGAGGAAACCCCGUAAGGCACGCAAAUUUGCAGGCACGGGACAAUCCAUGAUUGCUUGCACCUUCUCCAUAUCAACCUCCACCCCUUUCUCUGAAAUAACAUGUCCCAAGUACGAAACUACCCGCUGUCCAAACUCACAUUUCUUCUCAUUUGCGUAAAGCUGGUGUUCGGCUAAUUUACUCAACACCUGGCUGACAUGAUAAACAUGUUCACUAUCAGACUUGCUGUAUACGAGGAUAUCGUCAAAAAAAACCAGCACAAAUCUGCAUAAGUAUGGACGAAACACAUCGUUCAUUAGAGACUGAAAUGUUGCGGGCGCAUUCGUCAAGCCAAAAGGCAUGACCAGAAAUUCGUAGUGGCCGGCGUGUGUAUGAAAAGCAGUCUUAUGCACAUCCUCAGGGCGUACCAAAAUCUGGUGGUACCCGGCUUUCAAGUCGAGCUUUGUGAAAACCUUUGCACCGUAUAGCUCAUCAAGUAACUCUUCAAUGAUCGGAAUAGGGUAUUUGUCCGGUAUUGUCUCCUUGUUCAAAGCCCUAUAAUCAACGCAAAACCGCCAUGACCCAUCUUUUUUCUUAACUAGUAGUACUGGACUAGAAAACGGACUAGUAGAUGGGCGGAUCACCCCAGCUGCUAACAUAUCUUGAAUGAGGCGCUCAAUCUCAUCCUUCUAUGAUUGCGGGUAGCGGUAAGGUCUUACUCCCACCGGAUUACUCCCCUCCCGCAAUGUGAUAGAGUGGCCAUGGCUUCGCUGUGGAGGUAAGCCCGGAGGCUGCUGGAACACGGUGUGGAAGUCAUGUACCACAGACUACAAGAAUUCAGGCACCUCACCCCCCCCCCCCCCCCUUGCUCCACACCCACCCCCCCCUGUNNNNNNNNNNNNNNNNNNNNNNNNNNNNNNNNNNNNNNNNNNNNNNNNNNNNNNNNNNNNNNNNNNNNNNNNNNNNNNNNNNNNNNNNNNNNNNNNNNNNNNNNNNNNNNNNNNNNNNNNNNNNNNNNNNNNNNNNNNNNNNNNNNNNNNNNNNNNNNNNNNNNNNNNNNNNNNNNNNNNNNNNNNNNNNNNNNNNNNNNNNNNNNNNNNNNNNNNNNNNNNNNNNNNNNNNNNNNNNNNNNNNNNNNNNNNNNNNNNNNNNNNNNNNNNNNNNNNNNNNNNNNNNNNNNNNNNNNNNNNNNNNNNNNNNNNNNNNNNNNNNNNNNNNNNNNNNNNNNNNNNNNNNNNNNNNNNNNNNNNNNNNNNNNNNNNNNNNNNNNNNNNNNNNNNNNNNNNNNNNNNNNNNNNNNNNNNNNNNNNNNNNNNNNNNNNNNNNNNNNNNNNNNNNNNNNNNNNNNNNNNNNNNNNNNNNNNNNNNNNNNNNNNNNNNNNNNNNNNNNNNNNNNNNNNNNNNNNNNNNNNNNNNNNNNNNNNNNNNNNNNNNNNNNNNNNNNNNNNNNNNNNNNNNNNNNNNNNNNNNNNNNNNNNNNNNNNNNNNNNNNNNNNNNNNNNNNNNNNNNNNNNNNNNNNNNNNNNNNNNNNNNNNNNNNNNNCUUGUAGCUACACAUCCAUCCAUCUGGUUACAUUCCAUGAGAUACCCACCCCCUUCCUUCCUUAAAGUUCUGAUCAUAGCCUUCAACGACAGCUGAGCCCGGACCAAAGACGGAUCCCCAACCAACUUCACCGGCUGUCCAUUCAUAUCAAAGAUCAUCACCUGAGUUUUCCAAUUGGUAAUAACCGUUCCCAGUCUCUCUAACCACUGGACACCGAGUAUAAUAUCAGAAUUGCCAAGCUCCAAAGGCAAAAAAUCAGUCACGACCUCCACCCCUCCAUCUAAGUGUAGCUUGACCCCUUCACAGAUGCCCUUACCUCGUAUAGCCUCUCCGUUUCCCAAAUGUACCCCGAAACUGCCCGAGUCCGUCACCACAAGGCCGAGUUCCUUUACUACCCCAAGUGCGAUGAAGUUGUGCGUCGCACCCGGGUCAAUCAUGACUACCACUGAUCGAUCCUUAACCAAACCCCGCAACUUCAUUGUUUUGGGACUAGACAACCCAAUAACUGAGUUCAAUGAGACCUCAAGAGUGGGUUCCUCCACCGUGGUUACGACUUGCUCCUCCUCAUUUGGGCCCUCCAUAUCCUCCCCGCCAUCCAUCCACAACAUGCUCAACUCCUUUUUAGUGCAACAAUGGCCCAUGCUCCAUUUACCAUCACACUUGAAACACAGACCCUUAGCCCUCUUUUCCUGAAAUUCCUUGUCGGAGAGCCGACGUACUUCACCUAACAGCUUGGGCAUUGCUACAGUACUGGUCUUAGCCCCAGAAACAAUCGAAGUUGAGUUGGAAUUGUUAUUUUACACCAACUAUGAGAAAGAUUGUAGAAGGGGGGGUUGAAUACAAUCUUUUACAAAUUUAAAAGAUUCAAGAACAAUACACUAAGAACACAAUAAACAGAAAAACACCAAGUAUUAAAAAUACGGGUGGAUUGAAUGAUCCACCCGUGAGAUUUUAUAUAGAAGAAUCUGUGGAUUGUUUUACAAUUCGCACAGCUGCUGGUUCAUCACUCAAAACAAGUUCUAACUCUCAGAUUUUUCUCUCAAGUAAUUGAACAAGUUCAACUGAUGCUACUAACUUGGUUAUAUACUCCAAGUUUUACAAAGCUUUUAGCUAGAUUACAAAAUGCACUCUAAUCUAAAAACAAUGCUGCACAACUUUGUCUUAUGCAUGCUUUCUGAGAUGUCUUCAUCUUUGACCAUCAUCUUGAUUUGAUCCAGAUUGCGCUGCAUGAGAUAAGUAUGUUUCUGCUUCUUCUUUAUUUUCCUAAUUAGGCUUCCAUGUCUAUUUUAGUGUAAUUCGAUCCAUGUGAUUUGUCAGACUUAAGCUCUAGUCACUUUCAACUGCUCUUUGCUUCAUCAGUUGAAAGUUCUGGUUGCUUUCUNNNNNNNNNNNNNNNNNNNNNNNNNNNNNNNNNNNNNNNNNNNNNNNNNNNNNNNNNNNNNNNNNNNNNNNNNNNNNNNNNNNNNNNNNNNNNNNNNNNNNNNNNNNNNNNNNNNNNNNNNNNNNNNNNNNNNNNNNNNNNNNNNNNNNNNNNNNNNNNNNNNNNNNNNNNNNNNNNNNNNNNNNNNNNNNNNNNNNNNNNNNNNNNNNNNNNNNNNNNNNNNNNNNNNNNNNNNNNNNNNNNNNNNNNNNNNNNNNNNNNNNNNNNNNNNNNNNNNNNNNNNNNNNNNNNNNNNNNNNNNNNNNNNNNUAAAAAUGUUUAUGUUAUCAUCAAGUGUAAUCACCCUGAGAAUUGUGGUUGUGGUUGGAAAAAUUAUUGAUUCCUAACAAUCUCCCCCAAUUUAUGACUGGAGAAGAUGCAGACAUAAAUUCUACACUUGAUGAUAACAAAACAUUAAUAAAAUAAAAUGCAGAAUUUAAAUACAAGAGUUAGAAAAGAUUACAGAUGAUUAUGCUCCUCUAGACUGAGCAGUUACUUGUUCCUAGAAGAUCUUCUUCUUCUGGACUUAAGUUUUUCUUCAAGAAUAUUAAUCUGCUUCUGAAAGAUCCUGUAGAACCAUUCUUCAUCACUAUCUUGUCUGUUGAGCUUGGAUUGGAGAGUCUUCAGAGUAUUCAAGCUAGCAACCUUGAGUUGAUCUUUAGGUCUGAAAAAUCUCCUAACACCUUGAUUGUCCCUAAAUUCCAUGACUGGAGUAGGUUCAUGAUGAAUUUUCUUUCCAGUGUAGGGAAUUUUCAGCCUUCUUUGUAGACUAGCAUCUGAGUUCCAUUCCUUCCUGAUCUCAAGGAUUCUCUUUAGUACCAUUUGCUUUGCAGGUGGUGUAAAUCCUCCAGUCCUCUUCAUAGAUCCAUAUAUUUUUGUUAGAGAACUGAAUCCCUCAGAAUUCAGAACUCUGUGAAGAGGCCAGAUGACAUCACCCUUGUUUUUGUAAGAGAAUACCAAUCUUUCAGGUAACUUUGAAGUUGCCUCUAUUCCUCUUACUUCUUGAAGAUCAUCCAGCUCCAGAUCCAACUCAGAAAUUUCUUCAAUGUUAGCAAUGAUGAGAUAGUCAUCAAGGUUCUCAGGUUCUUUUGGAGGUUUAGGAGGGUUAGCCAUCCUUUUAGCCACAGACUUGACUUUCUUCUUUGGCUUGGAAGAUUCUUGGACAAGAAAAGCUGGAAUUGGAAUAUCUUCCAAGUCAAUUGGCUCCUCCUUUGGCAUUAUUGGCUCAUCAUGGAAGUUGACAUCUGGAUGUACUACUGUGGUAUCCUUGAUUGGAGAAGAAGGCUUUGAGAUAGGCUUUUCUGGCACUUCUUCUCUUCUCUUGGCUGCCUCAGGCAUCUUAGUUUUAGAUUUGACUCUCUUUUUCUUUGGAGAAGAUUCAAGAGGCAAUCCUUUCUCAUUUAAAAGCUCAGCUGCCAACUCCUCUUCCAGCUCAAUAGCAUACCUUUCAUCCACCUCUAUUUGGUUCAAAGAGAGUUGGGAUUCAAACUCCUCUUUUUCACAUUCUCUGGCCACCUCUUCAGCUUUUGCAAAUGAGUAGUGAGGAUGGCCAGUUCCAAUAAACAGCUUCUGGCCUUCUCUGUAGAUGAUGGCAAAAUGAGCCUUUAAGGCCACAUCUGCACAAUCUUUAUAACUUUUGAUUUCUUGGCCCAAAAGCUUGUAUUCAUUUUUGUCAGGCCUGGCUAGUGGAAAGUAGAUUGAGCUUGAGUCUUUUCCAGGCCUGGAGUAACCACAAUUGUUUGGAAACAGAAUUGGCUUGAACUCAUUCAGAAAUGAUGGCUCACCCUUUUCUGUCUUGGAGGGAAUAACAAUCUCAGGUGUAAUUACCCUGAGAAUUGUGGUUGUGGUUGGAAAAGAGAUUUGAGCUGUGGUGGCUGUAGAAGAUGUAGACGAUUUCUUGCCCAGUUGAGCCACUCUCUUUGCAAUGGAGUCCAAUUCUUUCAUCCUUGCAAUCUUCUGCUUUUCCCUUUCAGUGUGGAAAGGGGGUAGAANNNNNNNNNNNNNNNNNNNNNNNNNNNNNNNNNNNNNNNNNNNNNNNNNNNNNNNNNNNNNNNNNNNNNNNNNNNNNNNNNNNNNNNNNNNNNNNNNNNNNNNNNNNNNNNNNNNNNNNNNNNNNNNNNNNNNNNNNNNNNNNNNNNNNNNNNNNNNNNNNNNNNNNNNNNNNNNNNNNNNNNNNNNNNNNNNNNNNNNNNNNNNNNNNNNNNNNNNNNNNNNNNNNNNNNNNNNNNNNNNNNNNNNNNNNNNNNNNNNNNNNNNNNNNNNNNNNNNNNNNNNNNNNNNNNNNNNNNNNNNNNNNNNNNNNNNNNNNNNNNNNNNNNNNNNNNNNNNNNNNNNNNNNNNNNNNNNNNNNNNNNNNNNNNNNNNNNNNNNNNNNNNNNNNNNNNNNNNNNNNNNNNNNNNNNNNNNNNNNNNNNNNNNNNNNNNNNNNNNNNNNNNNNNNNNNNNNNNNNNNNNNNNNNNNNNNNNNNNNNNNNNNNNNNNNNNNNNNNNNNNNNNNNNNNNNNNNNNNNNNNNNNNNNNNNNNNNNNNUGCACACACGGGCACUCCGCACUUGUAAAUAGAAGAGUAAUUGACUUAGUAGCGAGAGAGAUGAAAUUCGAGAACAUUAGCACAAUCUGAGGUAUUAUAAUUGGCAAGGCAAUUACUUCAUAGUUCACUCAUUCAUCACGUAGUUGCAUUCAUGCAUUGCAUUGUAUUAUUGUAUAGUGUCGUUGACGCUUGAGGACAAGCAUCAGUUUAAGUUUGGGGGUGUGAUAAGUGGUAUUUAUACACACUUAUAGGCCUUCAUUUCCACUUAAAUUGGUUGGUUGUACUUAAGUGUUUAGUGUCUUUUGAUGUGUUUUUAUUGUUUUUCUGUGCAGGUCACGAGUUGAGGUGAUGAAGUGAUUUUCUAUCAUUUUAGGUUGGUUUUGGUGCAUUAUUUGCAAGAAUAGAGAAUUGUGGAUUCAUCGCGACUUGGGAUUUUGUGGGUAUAUCUUCUACAAACCCUCACGAGAGCACACUCGUCCACUAGAGCUAUCUAGGGGUUUAAAGGGCUUGUUGCAUGUGCUAAAUGCAACCGUGAUCACCUACGGAAGUGGUACUAGAAGCGAGGAAGGACAUGCACGCGAGAACGAGCGAGAAACGAAGAAACGGAGCUGCCAGUGCAGACACUAGCGCGCCCGCGCUAAGUGGUAGCGCGCCCGCGCUACUAACUGCAUCACUAGCGCGCCCGCGCUAGAGUAGCGCGGUGGCGCCCCACUGAAGCUUCCCGGGCCGAUUUUUACAGCUUUUCUGAUGGAUUUUCGCAGCGGCCGAGGCCCGGUUGACUUAGUCAAUGCAUUUUAUUUCUCGUGUGUAAAAACCCUAGCCUCAUAGUAGUUAGAAUAUCGAAACAAUAUCAUAGCUAGUUUUCUUUUGUAAUCGAACACAUUAUCAGUUGUAUUAGAUCGUUCUUCGCGAGGAAGUGACAGUUUCGAGCAAGAUCGUGAACUUCAAUCUGUAACGUGUGAUCUUUAUUAUUAAUUCAAGCAUUUUUAUUCCAAUUAAGUCUUGUCUUUUCUUUAUCAUGUUUUCAUUAGAACCCAUGAUGUCGAUUAGUUCGAUUAUGAACUAACCGCCUUCAUGGGAUUCUAAUGGAUUUAUCGAUGUAGUCUAGUAAAGAAUAUUAAUUACUCGAUUUUGUGACAUAUGUUGAUUUCUUUGCAUGAGCCGUGCUUAUUCUUCUUAGGAGCGUAGCUAACUUCUAAGUUGUUUGUUAAUUCUUUCUGAAGCGAGAGUGGAUGAUUGAAUUUAGAACUAUGCCAUGUAAACAUAGGAUUAUGUGAAUGAAACAUAAUUUGUGGUAGACUUGAACUAUUUUUAUCACCCUGUGUAAUCACGAUAGACGACUUGCUAUUAAACCUCUCUGCUUACACUACCGCUAUAGAGAUAUAGGGUCUGAGCUUUGUUGGUGUCCAUGAGAUUUCUAUCUUAAUUGUGGAUUUCGAUUGGUAUGAUAUGUGUGCAACGAGAGUUGGCAUGUAUUACUUUCGUGUUGUCUGAUUAGGAUCAACAGUCGCAUAUUAAUCAGUAAUUUCAAUUCUAGAUGAAUUCGAUAAUGAAGUUAGAAUCCCAUGUGUUUUCCUAUUCUGAAUUUGAUUAGUAAUUUUAGUUAUUAGUAUAAAAGAAACCAUCCUUGUUAAUUGUCUUGGCAGUGAAAAUUGAUCAUACAUUGUUGCAUAGGUGCGUAUUCUUAAUUCACCAGUCUCUGUGGGAUCGAACUUAAUAUAUUACUUGUGAUCACGUGCGCUUGCGUGUAGAUUUUUUGCGAACAAGUUUUUGGCGCCGCUGCCGGGGACUCGGUGUUAAUUAAUUAGUUUAUGUACUUGUCAUCAGUGUGCAUUAAAAUUCACUGACUAGGAUUCUAUUCUCUUCUCACUUUUCUUCUUUUCUUUAUUUCAGGUACUUGGAUCGCGUUUUUACUAACACGUUCUCAAGCUCGUAAAAAAGCAAUUGAUUCAUCUUCAUCUUCUUCUUCUGAUUCUGAAAAAAUGACAGAACCUGAAGCACAAACAGACAGUAAGGCAUUGAAGGAUUUCUCUAUGCCAAAGAUCGAUGAUAUCCAGUCAAGCAUUGUCAGGCCUGCAAUCGCAGCCAAUGCCUUUGAAAUCAAACCAGGAACUAUUCAAAUGGUCCAGAACUCGGUACAGUUUGGGGGUUCUCCUACUGAAGACCCUAAUAUGCAUAUACGUAAUUUUAUAGAGAUCUGUGACACUUUCAAAUUCAAUGAUGUCUCUGAUGAAGCUGUGAAGCUAAGGCUUUUCCCAUUUUCACUGAGAGAUAAGGCUAAGGGAUGGUUGCAUUCUUUACCAUCUGGCCCUAUUACUACAUGGGAAGAUCUAUCUCAGAAAUUUCUCACUAAAUUCUUCCCCAUGGCAAAGACUGCUGCACUACGAAAUGCUCUAUCUCAAUUCUCUCAACAAUCAGGAGAAACAUUCUGUGAAGCCUGGGAGCGAUAUAAGGAGAUGCUAAGGAAGUGUCCCCAUCAUGGCAUGCCGGAUUGGAUGCAAAUAAACUGUUUCUAUAAUGGUCUUGGACCUCAAUCCAGACCUAUGCUUGAUGCUGCUUCUGGAGGUGCGCUAUGGGCUAAGAGUUAUGAAGAAGCUUAUGAUCUUAUUGAAAAUGNNNNNNNNNNNNNNNNNNNNNNNNNNNNNNNNNNNNNNNNNNNNNNNNNNNNNNNNNNNNNNNNNNNNNNNNNNNNNNNNNNNNNNNNNNNNNNNNNNNNNNNNNNNNNNNNNNNNNNNNNNNNNNNNNNNNNNNNNNNNNNNNNNNNNNNNNNNNNNNNNNNNNNNNNNNNNNNNNNNNNNNNNNNNNNNNNNNNNNNNNNNNNNNNNNNNNNNNNNNNNNNNNNNNNNNNNNNNNNNNNNNNNNNNNNNNNNNNNNNNNNNNNNNNNNNNNNNNNNNNNNNNNNNNNNNNNNNNNNNNNNNNNNNNNNNNNNNNNNNNNNNNNNNNNNNNNNNNNNUUUUUUUCUAUUUUUCUCAAUUUUUUUUAUUUUACAUGUUUAGUAGUAAUUGUCGUAGUCAGUAUCACGAGCAUUUGCAUGAAUUAUGAAGUUAAGCCAAGUUAAUUGCCUAUGAUGAGUUAUGUGCGUAGUUCUUGAUUAGUAGUUUCAAUUGCAAUGCUAGGUUAGUACUUGGAAAUUGCUUGUGUUGGAAAUUGUAAUUCACAUAUGUUCUUGAGAUAGGAUUUAGACGAAAUUCCAUGAAUUCUAGGAUUGAAUUGAGCAUCCUUCAGCUUAGGUCUGUAAAUCUUAAGUUUGGGGGAACUGAGGAGUAGAUAUGCCUUUCUAAAAAAAAAAAAGAAAAAGAAAAAAAAAAGAAAAAAUAGUAGUAAAUAAAUUCACUAAAAAAAUAAGUGGUAGAAUUAACUAGGUUGAGCUCAUUAGUACUCGAGUAAUUAAGUCUGAGGGGACUUUGUGCCUAACAACCUAAAGCCCUUCGUGGUUUGGGAUUGUUGACCCAACGCUCGCUACAUGGGUACUAGUGCAUAAAUCUUUAGGGAUCUCAACCAUUGCACGGUUAAAUAAACCACUAGAAUAAAGUGAAUAAUUGGUGUGUGAAGUCUUGUGGUGUUCGUAACGCAUUUACACUGCGAAGCGCUCUGACCUUAGACCAAGCAAUUAAUCACCAAUAAAAAAAAGAAAAAAAAAAAAAUAAUAUAGUGAAUAAAAUAGAAGGGUGUGGACAUUCUUUGGGACCUUGGCUUUUAGUUGGACUUGAGUGACGGGGUGUUAGUUUAGACUUUUACGAUUCUUGAUUGGGAUUCUGUGGGAGUAGUAGUUUUUGUCUUGUCUCAAUAAAAGAGCAUGCUUGCACACACGGGCACUCCGCACUUGUAAAUAGAAGAGUGAUUGACUUGGUAGCGAGAGAGAUGAAAGUCGAGAACAUUAGCACAAUCUGAGGUAUUAAAAAUUUGCAAGGCAAUUACUUCAUAGUUCACUCAUUCAUCACGUAGUUGCAUUCAUGCAUUGCAUUGUAUUAUUGUAUAGUGUCGUUGACGCUUGAGGACAAGCAUCAGUUUAAGUUUGGGGGUGUGAUAAGUGGUAUUUAUACACACUUAUAGGCCUUCAUUUCCACUUAAAUUGGUUGGUUGUACUUAAGUGUUUAGUGUCUUUUGAUGUGUUUUUAGUGUUUUUCUGUGCAGGUCACGAGUUGAGGUGAUGAAGUGAUUUUCUAUCAUUUUAGGUUGUUUUUGGUGCAUUAUUUGCAAGAAUAGAGAAUUGUGGAUUCAUCACGACUUGGGAUUUUGUGGGUACAUCUUCUACAAACCCUCACGAGAACACACUCGUCCACUAGAGCUAUCUAGGGGUUUAAAGGGCUUGUUGCAUGUGCUAAAUGCAACCGUGAUCACCUACGGAAGUGGUACUAGAGCGUGAUUGAUUUUAAAGGAAAAUCCACAGAACACACUGUCACAGAGGAAGGAAAUGGAAGAGAAAGAUCCAACAAAUCAUCAAAAUGAUGAUGAUCAAUCUCAGAUGGGGGCUUCUCCAUGAAAUCCAAAGAUGGAGAAUUUACAAGUGUGGUGUGAAUUAAUUCCACAUCCACAGAAGAGGUUGGGGAUUGUGUUUGAGUAGUAGAGAUGGUAAGAUCAUAAAUAUGGGUGAUUUGUUGAGAUGAAGAAGGGGGCUGUGACUCCACAUUUAUUGGAGUCACAUCAAUCUGACUUUGAGAAGUUACAGGCAUAAAAUCCAGAAUGGAUGCCUGUGUGUGUGCAGAGUGCUUAAGUUUGUCACUUCUCAUCUUCUUUCUCCCAUAAGCUUUGAUUGGUGAAGAAGUGGUGUCCCUCCCCCUUUUUAUCUGUGUCCCUGGUUGGGGACUAUUUUCAAUAGCAACAUCCUUUUGGGAGGAUGCUGCUAGGGAUGUGUUUAAUUCCAUAUUAACAUCUACAGUCUUUUGGGAGACUGCAGAGUGGCCAGGCUGGUCAACACACACCUCUCCAUCCUUAUUCUUAGGGCUUCUUUUAUGUUCACCCUUUCCCUCCCCCUCACAACCUCCAAUCACACUCCCCUCAGGUUUGUGUUUCUUGGAUUUUACAACAGAUGUCUUUUGGGAGGCAUCUGAGGUUGGUUUAGAAGACUUGUUUUUAGAAGGUUUUGCCACUUGUGUGGACUGUUGAUGGGCCUCUUCAACAGCCCUGAUGGCAGAAAGCAAAGAAGGUGAGGGUUGAGAAAGAGUAGUAGGAAAGCCAUGUACCUCUUUGUGCUUUCCAGCCUCCAUUGUUGGCAGGUACACCACCUCCAAGGAGGGAUAUAAAUUCAUCCUAAAGAGGUCUUUAAAGACUCUCUUUUCCUGCACAAAACUGGGAAGCUUGGCUUCCUUGUUAGUAAUAACUAGCUUUUUGUUGAGAUGAUUAGCUAGCAUCAUGAGAAAUCUGACAUAAUAAAUAUUCCUAGGUCUACCAGUUUUAUCACCUAGUUUCUCCCCAAUUUCUUGGAUCAUCAAACCACCAAAGUUGAAAUAUUCAUUAGUCAGGUACAUGUAAAGCAUUUGUAAAAUCUGGGAAGUAAGAGCAUUGAAAUUACUAAUUUUACCAGAAAAUGCCUUAAUAAAAGCAUCACAUAAAUAACUCCAUUCUCUCCUAAGACCCCUUCUUUCUAUUUUACCUAAGGCAUCAGUUGGCAAAACAUAAUUCAUGGCAUAAAGUAAAUUAACCAACUGAUUAUCACUAGGCAAAGAUAAAACAGUAUCUUCAGGAAUCUUAAAGCAUGCUUUCAUAACAUCAGCAUUGACAGAAUGAAUUUCAUUAUUGACAGAGAAAGUUAGAGUUUCAUGCUCACUAUUAAACUCUGCAGAGGUCCACAUCUCCUCCACUAUUUCAUGGUAGAUGGUAGGAGCUUCAAGCAUAGCAUAAGAGAGCUGGCUUGACUUGAUGAACUCCAUCAUCCUGUGAUACUCCUUCUCCUCCACAGCCUUGGUAUCCACAAAUGACGCGAAGUUGUUCUUCUCAUAAAUAAACCCACUUGGUGCAGUAUACUUCUUCAUUGGUGCCAUUGUAGUUACAGAGAAAGCUUGAGGAAAAAUUAGAGUUUGCUUUUGCACAGAGAGAGAAGAGAACUUGAAGAAUUCGAAAGAGUGAGAUGAAAAGAAAUGAAAAUAAAUUAAAACACUUAAAUACUUUCUCAGAAAAUUGCUGUGAUUGGCUGAGAAAUUACCGUUGAGAAGAAAUUACUCUUAUUUAACUCUACAAAAAUUACACACACGAUCGUGUGUAUAAAGUAGGAGAGAGACAAAAGAAAUUUCAACGGCUCAGAUCUGAUAAUACUUUCAACGGAUGAAAUAAGCGCCUCUUUAAACUUCCUAUUCAACUGAUGAAGAUCAGUUGAAGGCGUCUUCAACUGGUGUCAUCAGUUGAAUGAAAAACAACGCAAGAGGAUAUUGUUUCAAGCAUCAGUUGAAACAAUUUCACUAGUUCAUCAGUUGAAAUAUUAUAGACUUUAUCCAGAAUUAUAAUUAAUUCAAUUUUGAUAAAUCAAAAUUAAUCAAAUUCUGGCUGCCAAAUUACAGAAAAAUUCACUCUAAAUUAGGAGAAAUUUAACAUACCUAAUUUACUUACCAACCUUGUGAAUGUGGAUUCAUCAAGAGGCUUUGUGAAAAUAUCUGCAAUCUGUUCUUCACUUGGAACAAAAUGCAUUUCAACAGUACCAGCCAUCACAUGUUCUCUUAUGAAGUGGUAUUUGAUGUCAAUGUGCUUGGUUCUUGAGUGUUGUACUGGAUUUUCAGUUAUAGCAAUAGCACUGGUGUUGUCACAAAAUAUUGGGAUUUUUGAGAGAUUUAAUCCAUAAUCAAGUAAUUGAUUUCUCAUCCACAAUAAUUGUGCACAACAGCUUCCAGCUGCAAUGUACUCAGCCUCAGCUGUAGAGGUUGAUACAGAAUUUUGCUUUUUGCUAAACCAAGAAAUCAAUCUGUCACCAAGAAAUUGACAGGUGCCUGUUGUACUUUUUCUAUCAAUUUUGCAUCCUGCAAAAUCAGCAUCUGAAUAUCCAAUUAGAUCAAAUCCAGAGUCUUUAGGGUACCAAAUACCAAGAUUUGGUGUUCCCUUAAGAUAUCUGAAUAUUCUUUUUAUAGCAAUAAGAUGUGAUUCUUUAGGAUCAGAUUGAAAUCUAGCACAGAGGCAUGUAGAAAACAUAAUAUCUGGUCUACUAGCUGUCAAAUAUAAAAGAGAACCAACCAUGCCUCUAUAAUUAGAGAUGUCCACAGAUUUCUCAUUAGGACUUAACUCUAAUUUGGUGGCUGUUGGCAUGGGAGUCUUAGCUUCUUUGCAAUCCAAUAAAUCAAACUUUUUAAGUAGAUCAUAGAUGUACUUAGUUUGAUUUAUGAAUAUACCUUCCUUUACUUGUUUAACUUGUAAACCAAGAAAGUAGGUGAGCUCUCCCAUCAUGCUCAUUUCAUACUGACUUUUCAUUAGAUUAGCAAACUUCUUGCAAAGUUUCUCAUCUGUAGAACCAAAAAUUAUAUCAUCUACAUAAAUUUGAACCAGAAUAAAGGCACCAUUUACAUUUCUGUAAAAUAGUGUUUUAUCCACAGUUCCUCUGGAAAAAUGAUUAUCUAACAAGAAUUGAGACAGAGUGUCAUACCAUGCCCUUGGUGCUUGCUUUAGUCCAUAGAGUGCUUUUAAUAAAAAGUAAACAUACUCUGGAAAUUCUGGAUCUUCAAAACCAGGAGGCUGACUGACAUAUACCUCCUCUUCCAGUUCACCAUUUAGAAAAGCACUCUUGACAUCCAUUUGAUAAACUUUAAAGUUUGCAUGAGCAGCAUAGGCCAGGAAGAUUCUUAUUGCUUCCAGUCUUGCAACUGGUGCAAAGGUCUCAUCAAAAUCAAUUCCUUCAGAUUGAGAGUAUCCUUUAGCAACAAGCCUUGCCUUGUUUCUGGUGACAACUCCAUUCUCAUCCACCUUGUUUCUGAAUACCCACCUUGUUCCUACAAUUGUUCUGUUUUUAGGUUUGGGUACCAGCUUCCAUACAUUGUUUCUCUCAAAUUGAUUUAAUUCUUCUUGCAUAGCAAGAACCCAAUCAGCAUCUUUGAGAGCAUCUUCUAUGACUUUAGGUUCAUCCUGUGAAAGGAAUGCACUGUACAAACACUCAUCUUGAGUUGCUCUUCUUGUUUGUACAGAUGCAUUUGCAUCUCCAAUAAUUAGCUCAAAAGGAUGAUCCCUUGUCCACUUUCUUUGUGGUGGAAGUGAUUGUCUUGAUGAUGUGGCUUCAUUAUUGAAGUUCAGGUUUCCAUGUUGGAAAGCUCCCCCUAAAUUUGACAUCUCAUUAUUUCUAGACUGAUUGAAACUUUGAGACAUUCUUUCAACUGAUGAUCCUUGAGGUGUUUCAACUGAUCCCUCCAAUGUAGUUUCAACUGAUGCUUCAGUUGAAUUUCCAAUUGCAGUUGUUUCUUGCACCAGAGAGUCAUCAGUUGGAAUAUUAAUUCCAGGAUUAAUUCCAACAUUUUGAAUAAUGUCAUCAUCAUCAUCACUGUCAUACAGAUCACCUUCACCUUCAUUUUCAAAUCUGAGAUUAUCAUGAAAUCCUUCAUCUGAGAAUCCUUGAAUCUUCUUAUCAUCAAAAACCACAUGGAUUGAUUCCAUAACAAUGUUGGUUCUCAGAUUAUAUACUCUAAAUGAUUUUCCAUCAGAGUAUCCAACAAAAAUAGCUUCAUCUGCCUUGGCCUCAAAUUUUCCAAGAUUUUCACCUUGAUUUCUUAGAACAUAACACUUGCAUCCAAAUACAUGAAGAAAGCUAAUUGUUGGCUUCUUUCCUUUGAAGAGUUGAAAGGGAGUUAGAUUAUGAGGUUUGGUAAUUAGUGAAAUGUUUUGAGUGAAGCAAGCAGUGUUCACAGCUUCAGCCCAAAAAUAGGUUGGAAGUUGAGCUUCAUUAAUCAUGGUUCUUGCAGCCUCAAUAAGAGUUCUAUUCUUCCUUUCAACAACACCAUUUUGUUGUGGAGUUCUUGGUGCAGAGAACUCAUGAAUAAUUCCCUCUUCUUCACAAAAUUCUUUCAUCACAGAGUUCUUGAAUUCUGUUCCAUUGUCACUUCUUAUCCUUCCAACUUUGACAUCUGGAUUGUUGUUUAAUGCCUUGAUAUGAUUGAUGAUGAUUUUCCCAGCUUCAUCCUUAGAAUGCAGGAAGAAAGUCCAAGUGAAUUUUGAAAAAUCAUCAACAAUCACUAGGCAAUAUUUCUUCUUUGAAAUAGACAUGAUGUUGACUGGUCCAAACAAAUCCAUAUGCAAGAGCUGAAGGGGCUUCACAAUUGAUGAAAGAGUUUUGCUUUUGAAAGAGCUUCUCUUUUGCUUUCCUAGCUGACAAGCUCCACAAAGUCCAUCUUUGGAGAAUUCCAGCUUAGGUAGACCUCUUACCAAGUCCUUCUUUACUAACUCAUUCAGGGUUUUGAAAUUUAGAUGAGACAAUCUCUUAUGCCAUAGCCAACUGUCAUCUGAGCUUGCUUUGCUGAGAAGGCAAGUGAUAGAUUCAGACUUUACAGAAUUGAAGUCAGCUACAUACACAUUUCCUUUCCUUUGUCCAAUCAGAACCACAUUGUUGUCAUCUCCUUUGGUGACAACACAGGCUGCAGGAGUGAAAUUAACUUUGUAACCUUUGUCACAGAGCUGACUGAUGCUAAGCAAGUUGUGCUUAAGACCAGACACCAAUGCAACUUCAUCAAUGAUGACAUUCUCUUUUGCAAUCAAGCCAUAUCCCAUAGUAUAUCCUUUGCUGUCAUCUCCAAAGGUAAUGCUAGGGCCAGCUUUCUCCACAAACUUUGUGAGCAGGGAGGAAUCACCAGUCAUGUGCCUGGAGCAUCCACUAUCCAAGUACCACAAAUUCUUCUUGUGGUUUCCCUGCACACAUUUCACAAACAGAUCAAGUUGAUUUUGGUACCCAAAUUGCUUUGGGUCCAGAUUUGUUAGUCUUAGCAGCCUUUUCCACUUUCUCAACCUUUUCCUUGGAUUGAAUUGGUUCAAUCUUUGGUUUUGGUUGAGAAAUUGGAAUAUCAACUCUGUUUUCAAACACAGGCCUUUGAGACAUGCAUAAAUUGUUCAUUCCAUGCAAAUUUGAAUGAAAUUGAGGCAUGUUAAAGGCAUUGAAAUAAGGAUUGAACAUAUAUGGCAUGUUAGGCUGAGAAUAAGGAUUGUGAGGCAAUAAACCAGGCAUCAUAUUCAUAGCAGAUAAAUUCAUGUGAGGAACAGAUGUCAUAGGAAUAGGCAAAGAUAAAUUAGGAGCAAUCACAGUUUUACAAUUAGCAGAUAAAUGAUUUACACUACCACACUUACUGCAGGUUUUCCUAAGAGCACUAGCAUUGGGAGUGUAAUUGGUGUGCUUGUUAACUCCUAUUUUGCCAUUUCUAUUUCCUUUCUUCUUUUUAGUCUCCUCAGAUUUAUGCUCACUAGUAUCCAACUUCUUCUUGUUCUUGUUACUGGAAUUAAGAGUGUUAUUAACACUAUCACUGGUCUCAGAAGAACUAUUCUCACCUUUAACAAAAUUCUUUUUAACAGGACCAUAUUUCUUGUUAAGCUUCUUGAGAACACUCUUGUCAACUGAUGAGUUUUUGUUCAACUGAUGACUCUCAUCAGUUGAGACUUUGCUCUUCAACUGAUGAUCAUCAUCAGUAUUCUCAUCACCUGAACUGUUCUCAGAUAUCUCAAGCACUUUCUUAUUCCUCUUCCACUCAUUCUCUACAAAGGUCUCUCUACCUUGCAUGUUGAUGAUAUUGGUGGAAACAUCCCUACCAGAUUUCCAUUUGGCAAUAAUCUCUUGUUCCUUAUCAAGCUGCUUUCUUAUGAUCUCUUCUCUUUUCAGAACAACCAAGAGAUCAUCCUUGGCUGUCUGACACUCAAUUUUCAGCUUCUCAAACUCAAUAAAUUGAGCUUCUAAGACACUGUUUCUAUCACUAAGAAAGGUGUUAGCUUCCUUAAUCCUACUAUUUUCCUUAGUGAGAGAUUUUAAAGAAACAUACAAGUGAUACAAUUCUGUAGACAUUUCAUUAAUAGUAGCAUUGCAUUCAUCUUUAGUUAACUCAACUAGGUUUGUAGUGAAUACCUGACUACUGCUUCCAGUGUUUUCUUCUUGAUCUGUGGAGUUGGCCAUUAGAGCUAGAUUGACAAACUCCUCCUCUUCAUCAGAAUCAUCUCCAGCUGCCCAAUCAUCCUUUGUGAUGAAUGCUCUUUCCUUUUGUUUGAGAAGUUCAUAAUAUUUCUUUUUGUAGUCAAUGUUUUCACUUGACUUCUUCUCAACUUUAGGCUUUCUGCACUCAUUUGCAAAGUGACCUGCAUUCCCACAGUUGAAGCACUUGAAUUUUGAUCUGUCUACCAUGCUUCUAUCAGACUUGGGAUUGCCUUUAAAAGAUUUUGCAGAAUUAAAAUUCUUUUUGAAUUUCAGUUUGGAGAAUCUUCUUGACAGGAAGGCUAGAUGUUCAUCAAUUCCAUCACUUUCUUCACCAGAAUCAGCUACUUCUUUCUCCUUUCUUCUUCCUUUGCUUGACUCUGAGCUCUCCUCUUUGACCAACUUCUCAGUUUCUUCAACUUGAGACUUUCCCUUGUCCUUGACAGUAUCCUCCAGAGAUGCAACUAGAGCCACAGAUGAAUGCCCUUUCUUUUGGCUUUUCUCAAUCUCUUCAUCUUGUUCCAUUUCAAGCUCAUAAGUCUUUAAGGUUCCAUACAGUCUCUCUAGAGUAUAGUCUUUAAACUCUUGUGUAUUUCUGAGAGAGACUGUCAUGGGUUUCCAUUCUUUGGGAAGAGCUCUUAAGAAUUUCAAGUUUGAAUCCUUAACUUGAUAUACUCUUCCAAAGAGCUUUAGACCAUUUAACAGUUUUUGAAAUCUGUUAAAUGUAUCACUCAAACUUUCACCAGCCCUGAAAUGGAAUGACUCAUAUUGUUGAAUAAGAAGCUGCAUUUUGUUCUCUCUUACUUGCUCAUUCCCUUCACAGAUGGUCCUGAUGGUGUCCCAAACUUCUUUGGCACUUGUGCAGCUAAUAACACUAUCAAUCAUUUCUUGAUCCAAACCAUUGAACAGAAGGUUCAUGGUUUUCUUGUCCUUGUGCACUUCUUCAGUAUCUUCUUGAGAAUAUUCAUGGAUAGGUUUUGGAAUCAUCUUACCUACCAUGUCUUCACCAUCAGCUCCCAUACUUGUGCAGACCUUCAUGGGGACAUGAGGUCCUUUUUCAAUGCAGUUCACAUAGCUUUCAUCAAUGGACAACAGAUGCAGAUGCAUUCUCACUUUCCAGUGAAAAUAGUUGUCUUUGUCAAGAACAGGAAUCUUCACUCCAGCAUCCUUCUUUCCCAUCUUUCUCUAGCAGUGUUGAUCUUUUUCCCUGUUUGUUGGGAACCUCGCUCUGAUACCAAUUGUUAUUUUACACCAACUAUGAGAAAGAUUGUAGAAGGGGGGGGUUGAAUACAAUCUUUUACAAAUUUAAAAGAUUCAAGAAUAAUACACUAAGAACACAGUAAACAGAAAAACACCAAGUAUUAAAAAUACGGGUGGAUUGAAUGAUCCACCCGUGAGAUUUUAUAUAGAAGAAUCUGUGGAUUGUUUACAAUUCGCACAGCUGCUGGUUCAUCACUCAAAAAAGUUCUAACUCUCAGAUUUUUCUCUCAAGUAAUUUGAACAAGUUCAACUGAUGCUACUAACUUGGUUAUAUACUCCAAGUUUUACAAAGCUUUUAGCUAGAUUACAAAAUGCACUCUAAUCUAAAAACAAUGCUGCACAACUUUGUCUUAUGCAUGCUUUCUGAGAUGUCUUCAUCUUUGACCAUCAUCUUGAUUUGAUCCAGAUUGCACUGCAUGAGAUAAGUAUGUUUCUGCUUCUUCUUUAUUUUCCUAAUUAGGCUUCCAUGUCUAUUUUAGUGUAAUUCGAUCCAUGUGAUUUGUCAGACUUAAGCUCUAGUCACUUUCAACUGCUCUUUGCUUCAUCAGUUGAAAGUUCUGGUUGCUUUCAACUGCUCUUGACUUUAUCAGUUGAAUGCCCGGCUCAUCAGUUGAAUGAAUUACAAACUCCAUCAGUUGAAUGCUGUUCCAGUCUCAUCAGUUGAAUUCCUCAGCAUCAUCCGUUGAACACUUUGUCUUCAGUUGAAUGCUUGAUUUUCAUCAGUUGAAACAUCAUCCAGUCUUCAUCAGUUGAAUAGUUACAUCUCAUCAGUUGAAUAUCCUUCACUUAGAUAAAAUUACAUGGCAUUGGAUAUUUACAAUUAGCCAUCCUAUUCUACCCAUCCGUUGAUAAUUCCCAAAGACAAGAAGUGUAACAAUUACAACUGAAAUUUGAUAAAGAUUCUAAGUAAGACAUGUUACAAAAAUGUUUAUGUUAUCAUCAAAAAUUAUUGAUUCCUAACAGGAAUCACUUACCCCAGAGAUGGUAUUGUGACGAGUGAACGGGCUAGUUACAAACCCUGAACUGGUAAAUCCUGUGGCAGAACUCUUCUGCCCUGUAGUUGCCUGCCCCCCUUUAAUACACACAGACCCAUUCUUGGAGUUGCCUACUGCCUUAUAUUUUUCCUCGACUCGCAAAGCCAUCUCCAUUGCCUGUUCGAGAUGUAUCGGGUUCAGGAGUCGUACUUCCGCCCGAAUGUCCUCCUUUAAACCAAUCAGAAAUUGCCAAAAACAAAAUGCUCUCAGGGAUGCGAUCCAAAGGAGCUGCCGUCUCAAUAUAACUACGCUUAUACUCCAAAACCGUAGAGGUCUGUUAAGUGGCCAACCAUUGUUCAUACAACGAGCCCCCAUCCGCAACCCGGAACUGCUUUAGUAUGAAAUCAUUAAGAUCACUCCAAAGCCGAAUUGGCCGCCUCUUAUUCUCCCAUUGAUACCAUCGCAGAGCGUCCCCUUCCAUAGCCACAACCACCGCCUCUAGCAUCUCCUCCUUCGAUAAGCGAUAAAAACUGAAAUAACGCUCAACCCGGAGUAUCCACCCAUCCGGAUCUGACCCAUCAAAGACCGGCAUGUCCAACUUACGAUAACGCCAGUGGCCGGGACCACCACCCGACCCACCGCCCCCAAACCCAUGACCUUCCCCAGUAGGUGGAGCAAAUCCGCGGUGGCCCUGACCGCCUCCACCAAAAGGCAUGCCGAGGUGAGUGGGGUGAGAGGAGCUUCCUUCACCACGAUCGACGCCCACAAAAUUAGUGGAAGUGAGACCUGUGAGAGCAGAUCUGAGUUCAGCCUGAAACUUGAGUUGGUCAUUGCGCAUGAGAUUAAUCAUCUGCUCAUGGCUCUCACGAGAUCUAUUAAUUCGCCCUUCCAAUCGAACAGCCAAGGCAUCGAUAUCCUCCCCCUAUUUGCGCGCUGUGGCGUUCUGCCCUUGAACUAACAACUCGGUGAGCGACGCGCGCACCGCCCCCAUCGCAGACUCAACUGCUUUCGCAACGAGCUCGGCCAUAGACUCCUCGAGCUCCGUCGCCUUCUCUUCAAGCUGAUCAAUACGCUGAGUGACUGUUGGCGGCCCCAUGGAUGCAAACGCUUUGAUACCACUUGUGAUGUUUUUAGAUGGAUCUUCACCAACAAAAUACCAAUUAAAAGGAAAACAAGCACCAGCACUUAAUAAUAAGAUCCAAAACCAAGUUGCUUACAAUGAAGAAAAACUAGAACAGAUAAACUGGACAAUUCGAGAAGCCAGAGUCUUCUUACUAAAUUGAUUAAACUAAAAUGAUAUUCUCCAUAAGCCCCUCCUCUCAACCCUAAUUCCUCUUAUCCCCUCUCUUCCUUUUGCUAUUCAGUUCCCUUUCUACCCUUGGGCUUCCUUCUGUUGAAUACUAGUAGCUUAGUGGGCUGGGCCUGAUCUGUAGGUUGGACCUGAUCUGUUACAUCUGCGCUAUGUGUAUGAUCUACAGAAUACACAAGGCGAUACUCGUUUACUAGAAUUAUCAAAUAUAAACUCGUCAAAAUGAAAUUACUUUUCAAGAGGAGACUUUAGAUCUGAUCAGAGUACCAGACAGACAGACCUUAUUAGACAAUUUGACUUUAUUUAGAUUAGUUGUUAGGGAAUUUGUGAGUCUGUGAUUGCCAGUCCAUAUGAUUCUGUUUGUGAAAUUAAAUACUGAUUUGUCCCAUCCACUUCCAUCACUGGUGUUGCUGUUCCCGGAAAUGCACUAACCUCUCUCAGCCACUUUGCGCCGAUCGUAUGAUUUUUCCUACGGGGUUCAGCUCGCAUCCAUGUACCAUAACCAUAAGGUUUUUCAAUCAGUUCUAUUGGAGUCUUGAACAAUCUUCAGCAAAAUUUCUCACUAUGCUUAAUCAUGCCGCGUAUGAAACAAAAAUAAUAUUAUUUUGAAAUUCCCUAGAUUUGAUCAAUUCUAAAUGUCCUCGUAUUAUAUUAAAUUAAAUAUAGUAUGAGGGAAUGUAAUUCCUACUCCUAAUUUCGGAACCUAAUUAAGAUCUGAAAAAUCUAUAUGUGGUUUCAUUCUGAUUUUUGAAACUAGAUGUGGUUUCAUUCUGAUUUCUGAAUUUGCACCAUCUAGUAUUUAAUGGUUUUUACACCGUUCGAACAGAAAUAAAGAUUCUCACAAGAAUUUGUGAAAAAUCCGAAAUACUUUUAAAAUAAUUACUACUUAAUAAAUUACUCAAAUAUGAAUCAAUAUAUAAUCAUGGUAUAAUUAAAAAUAAACAUAAAUUAUUAUUAAUAAAAUCAUAUAACAAUAUGAAAUAAUAAAAGUACAUAUAAUAUAUAUGAGAAUUGAGGAGCGAGAUAAAAUAUAGAAAAGAUAGCGGGGUUCUGAAUUAAAGGGUCAUAAAAUUUUCAAUUCUCCGUUCGGAAUAAAGCGAUUAAGAGCAGUCGGUGAUAAAUUAAAAUAAUAAAUAUUAAUUACUGAUCGAAGUAUAAAUUAACUUAAAUUAAAAUAAAUAAAUAUUGAUUAGUGAUAUAAAAAAAUAUAUUUACAUAAAAAUUAUACAAACAUAUUUCAUGUAAAAUUGGGAGGUGAUUUUUUUUUUCUUUUGUAACCUGAAAAUAUGACAGGGGAGCGAAAAUCAACGCAAGUCAUAAGACACGGCACAACGUUAGCAAACCAGAAUUUAAAAUAGAAUCCCAACAUAAUAUUCUUCUAUCCCCUUUUACGUAUGUUCAUUUUGAUUUUAAUUUUUAAUUAAACAUAACAAAUUAUCUAUUCAUUAUUUUUAAAAUCUUAAAAUUGCAUAUACAAAAAUAUACAAAAUAUAUUUUCUAAUGAUAUAAUUUUUAUUAUUUUUUCAAUUAUAUAAUAUGUAAAUUUCUGCAAAGUAUAGUCAAUUUAACUGAUAAAAGUCAAAAUGGACACAUAAAAGGAGACGGAGGGAGUAAUUGUCUUCCUAGUUAAAGUUGCGAAGCAAAAGAAGAUAUGCAAUCUUUCUUUCCGACAUCGACCAUCAAUCCCUAACUAUCAUCAAAAUUUUGUUUAACAUCUAAUAACUAUUUAGUUCGAAUGCAAUCUCAUGUCUCUUGACAGUCCUUCCUCAAACUGAUGCGCCUACUAACCUCCUCCUUUCUAAUCAAAGUUACAUCAUACUAACCCAUAAUGAAAAGUCAACUUCAUGCUCGGAAAUAAUUUGUUUCUCUCUUUUUUCCAAACUAAUUAAAUCUCGCUCCAACUUAGCUCAUAUUUUUUGAGAAAAUUAUUUUUUUAUAAACACCUCUUUAAAAAUUUCCCGUAUAAGAUUGGACAGCUUGCUCCUCGUUACCUUUCACCCACCUCUUAUUCAUGAAACACCAAUUAUAAGCGCUUUUGAGUUGGUAGCUUGAAAUACUAAUUUUUAACUUGCCGAAUUUUUUUCCAUCUCUCAACAGGAUAUAAUCACUAAUCGACUUUUGAAGGUGGUAGGUAGAUUUCUCUUAAGUUUGGGGACUUGCCUUCUCAGAAUCCAUUUGAAAGUGCUGUUGAAAAUUGAUAUACUCUUAAGAAAAGUAAAGAUAAAAAAAAUAAUGUUGUGCAAAUUAGAUUAAUGUUUGACAAUUUUUUUUUAUAUUUCCAUAUUUUGAGUUAUAACAUAAUUUUUUUGGGUGAAGUUUAAAAGUGAAAUCUGUAACAGCUUCCUACAAAAUUGAAAAAUCAGCUUUUUUUCAAAAAUAUAUGGGAACAUGCUUUUCUGAAAAAUUAUUUUUUAGCUAAAAACUGCUAUAUAUAAAAUAGUUUUUCACCUGUUUUAUAAUAAAAUGUUGGCAUUGUUGUUUAUAAUAACAAUGCCAAACGAAGCUUUAAACUAAAUUGUUAGGCUUUUUGGUUCCCUUGUUUUUUCCCAACUAAUAUCGUUGAAGUUUUGGCCCAAGUAAUUCGUCAUAUUUAUAUAUUUGUUUGUUGUCAUUGUUAUUGUUGUUUUCACUUUUGUGGCGUUGGUGAAUUAUGACCGCUACAUAAUGCAAUUGUAACUUAAUAUCAUAGUACAAAUAGAAAUAAUAUUGGGAGAAAUAUGCAUGACAAAAUUAAAAGCAAUGCUUGAAAUUUUACUGGUAAAAAAAUUUAAAAAUUAAUUCUUCACGACUUAUAAGCCUAUAACAUUGUGUUAUUAUGUUUUUGUGAUUUUAAUGAGUUGUGUAUUUAACUUAUGUAACUUUCAAUUUUUAUUGUGAUACAAUACUCUGACUCCACAAUAAUUAUGAAAUCAUAUAAGAUAGUAAUUGAAUGUGGUGUUUUAUUUGAAUUAUUAAGUUAAAUAUAUUUGUAUAACUCAAUACUAAUGAAUCUAAAGCAGUGUUCUAAAAGUCGGCGAUUAAUCGCGGAUUAAUCGCUGUUCGGUCGGCCACCGUCUCGAUUAAGCGUUAAUCGGUGAAAAAAAUCGUUUUUUCUGAAAAUCGGGAUUAAUCGGUCAAAAGUCGGGAUUAAUCGGAAAAAGUCGGUCAAAAAUCGGCGAAUUUAAAAAAAUUUAAAAUAAAACGUAAAAAAAUUUUAAAAUUAAUUUAAAAUAAAACAAAAGGCAUGGAAAUGACAAAACACAGAAAUUAAAGUUGUUUUUUAUUACCUUUCACUCUUUCAAUAUUAGCCUCUAAAUUCUAAUUACAUAAAUUUGCAAUAUCUUCCUUCGCAGAUUGAAUCAAAUUCAAGUUUAUAUAUGAGAUGACUAGACUUGUAUAUGUAUAUAAAGGCAUGUUUUGUAUUAUAGAAAAUCAUUAAUCUUUUGAUUUUAUAUGUCUAUAAAUUUAUACUAUAUAUAAUUUUAUUAAUAUAUAUAUAAUUUUAAAAAUAAUAUUAAAUUGAUCACGAUUAAUAAUCUGAUUAAUCACUCCGAUUAAUCUCCGAUUAUCCGAUUAAUCGUUGGACGGUGUCUUCACCGACUAAGUCCGAUUCCCNUAUUAUAGAAAAUCAUUAAUCUUUUGAUUUUAUAUGUCUAUAAAUUUAUACUAUAUAUAAUUUUAUUAAUAUAUAUAUAAUUUUAAAAAUAAUAUUAAAUUGAUCACGAUUAAUAAUCUGAUUAAUCACUCCGAUUAAUCUCCGAUUAUCCGAUUAAUCGUUGGACGGUGUCUUCACCGACUAAGUCCGAUUCCCGCUUUUUACAACACUGAUCUAAAAGUAUAUCUAAAGUUUGAAAGUGAGAAAAAUUAACUUAGAUACACCUAAAGUUUUAGUAAUUUAUAUAGCUUCUAUCCUUGCAUAUAGAAUAUAUAUGUUACACUAUAUUUUUCUAUUUUGGUUUCUAGAAACUUUGUUAUCAAUUUGAAUAUUAUUUUUUCUCUUAUUAAUUCAUGAUAUUUCAAGUUUAGUUUUAAUCUUUAAGUGAAAGCUAACCGUCUGAAAAGCUAUAUUAAUACAAUUCAAUUUAUAUCCAUUAAAAUACAUUAAAAAAUUGAGAUACAUUAACUUAAGCUUAAAAAAAUUAGCUUCGCGCCCACACCAAUAAAAAUUAUGCUUCAGCAAUACAAUAUGAAUUGUAAAUUUUAAUAAUUAUUAGUAAAUCUUGAUUUUGAUGCAGGCUAUUACGUGAGCUCGUGGGUUUAUCCAGUGCGCAUCCGAAGGGUAGCGGCUGCGGGUUCCUACGUUAAAAAAAAUAAAUAAAUUUGAUUUUAAUAUUUAUAACUCAAAUACAUUUACAAGUAUGUAAUAUAUAUNNNNNNNNNNNNNNNNNNNNNNNNNNNNNNNNNNNNNNNNNNNNNNNNNNNNNNNNNNNNNNNNNNNNNNNNNNNNNNNNNNNNNNNNNNNNNNNNNNNNNNNNNNNNNNNNNNNNNNNNNNNNNNNNNNNNNNNNNNNNNNNNNNNNNNNNNNNNNNNNNNNNNNNNNNNNNNNNNNNNNNNNNNNNNNNNNNNNNNNNNNNNNNNNNNNNNNNNNNNNNNNNNNNNNNNNNNNNNNNNNNNNNNNNNNNNNNNNNNNNNNNNNNNNNNNNNNNNNNNNNNNNNNNNNNNNNNNNNNNNNNNNNNNNNNNNNNNNNNNNNNNNNNNNNNNNNNNNNNNNNNNNNNNNNNNNNNNNNNNNNNNNNNNNNNNNNNNNNNNNNNNNNNNNNNNNNNNNNNNNNNNNNNNNNNNNNNNNNNNNNNNNNNNNNNNNNNNNNNNNNNNNNNNNNNNNNNNNNNNNNNNNNNNNNNNNNNNNNNNNNNNNNNNNNNNNNNNNNNNNNNNNNNNNNNNNNNNNNNNNNNNNNNNNNNNNNNNNNNNNNNNNNNNNNNNNNNNNNNNNNNNNNNNNNNNNNNNNNNNNNNNNNNNNNNNNNNNNNNNNNNNNNNNNNNNNNNNNNNNNNNNNNNNNNNNNNNNNNNNNNNNNNNNNNNNNNNNNNNNNNNNNNNNNNNNNNNNNNNNNNNNNNNNNNNNNNNNNNNNNNNNNNNNNNNNNNNNNNNNNNNNNNNNNNNNNNNNNNNNNNNNNNNNNNNNNNNNNNNNNNNNNNNAUAUAUAUAUAUUUGAGUGUAAUUAUAUUUAUUUUAUUUGAGAUUUAUAGUGAAAAUAUUAAAAUUUUCAUUAUACAUGACAAGUAAGAUAUUACUACAAUAAAUAACAUGUAAUAUCUAAUUAGCAAGAAAAAAAUAUAAUAUCUAGAAAAUCUACCAGAUAUGCAAUAUCUAACAAGUAACAUCAUGUAAUUACUAAUUAGUAAGAACAAAACGUGCAAUAUCCCGGGAAAAUCCACAAGAUAUGCAAUAUCCGAGAAGAUUUGUGUAGAUUUAAUUUCUAACAAAAUUUAUUAUUAGUUAAUACCCAACAACUAUAAAUAACAAGCACAUUUCAUUCCCAACCCAUCAUCCUCACAUCAAAGACAUAAUUCUCUGUGUUAUAUUAAUAAUCAGUUAUUUCUUAAGACCUAUUAUAUAUGGAGAAGGCUCUGGUCAACAAAAUUAUUUCUCUUCUUGUGUUGGUCAUGCUGUGUGGUAUGUCAUGUAAUUCUACAUAGUUAAUCUUUCAAUAUAUAUAUAUUAUAAAUAAUAUAAUUUUGUUCUUCAUGAUCUCUGAUACUAAUGAAAUAUUAUUAUUUUUUGAUAAUUUAUGCAGAUUUACAAUUAAUGAGAACAAAUGCAUCAAAUAUACAAUGUCAAAGUGACACUGAUUGCAAAUAUUUUCCUGAAUGUGUCGAUGGUAAAAUGAGAUGUGUAAACGGUGAAUGCAGAUGCAUACCAUUUGGUGUCCCCGGCCCUCAAGCUAGUCACGGUUUUGGUGAUGAUAAGAAAGUUAACAACGAGAUUAGAUGUAAAACAGUAAGCGAUUGUGCAAAUACUUUUCUAUGUUUGGUAGGUAAACAAGUAUGCAAGAAUGGUGUGUGCAAAUGUGAAGGACAUAUUGGUCACGAAAAUGAAGAACGUGGAGGCAUUUAUUAAUAUAUAUGUAAUGAUUUUUUCUUGAGUUUUAUUAACUUAAUGAGUUAGUUCAAUUUCUUGCUCUAAUUACUUCUUUGUUUUGGCUCGAUUUUAAUAUUUUCCGACACUAAUAAAGUAUAUGAAUUUUUUUCCGACAUAAUACAUAUGUUAGGACCAAUGAAAGUAAAACAAUCAUCAUUUGACUAAAAACUUCCGACCUUCUCAACUUUCUACUUAAAUCUCAAAUAAUCUUUUAUUUUCAUUUUCAAGAAUAUGAAAUACUCUCAACUAGCAACACUUCAAAAUUUGUUUUUGGGUUAAUUGAUAGAGGAAUACAGGCAAAAGAAAUAAAAUAAGAGGAUGUAAAAUAAUGAUGAAUUACAUGAUUAAAGUAAAAUACUGUAAUAGAUACAAAACUAAAAUCAAUAAAUAUCAGUAAAAACAAUAUCGUAUAGAGUCGAACCAAAAUUAAAAAGUAAAAAAAAAUAAAAAAAAAAUAACUUUAUAUAUAAAUUACAACAAAACAGGAAAAGAUCAAACCAAUUUGAUCAUUAAAAUAGCAUCCUUUUAAUAAUUUAUAUACAUUUUUAUAUAAAUAAUUAUGUAUUUUUAAUAUAAGUAGUUUCUUAGGUUACUAAUCUCUAAAAUUAAAAUUAAGCAAUGUAUUGUUAAUUUUCUUAAAUGAGAGAAUUCUAGGUGCUGUAUUCAAUUGAAAUAUUAAUAAACUUUAUCUAUGAAGUUUAAUGGAUUGUAUCUGAUUUUAAUUGUAUACGAAUUCUUAAUAAAUUAUGACGGAGUUGAUGAGAUUUUUUAGGAUUUAAACACAUAGUUCAAAAUCUCAUGAAUUUUGUUGGAAUUUCAAAUAUAUUAAAAUACACCGAACAAUCUCACAAAAUUCAUCAUUUUAUGAAGUUCAAAAAAAUCUGUGAGCAUUUGAAUACCAUCAAUGAAUUUGAAAUAAUCCCAAUUGAAUACUAUCGCAUUUUAAAGCAUACUUAAAAUUGUUAUUGAAUACCACCAAAUUUUGUAGUAUAGUAUAAAAUCCUAAUUGUAUAACCUAGGAUUUGAUACAUUUUUUAAAAUUCAAUUGAGUACUCUUAAAUUUCAUUAACAAAAAGACAAAUCUUUUAAAAUUUCAAUUGAAUGCACUUCGUAAUUUAGUGUUAUGGAUUUCUUUAAUAAUUUCAACUUGCCACUUGGGUGCUUAAGCACUUAUUGUCCACAUAUAUUAUAAGGAUACAUUCUCCUUCUGUGGUCACGUUGAUAUGUAAGUUUGAUUCUUACUCAUCAGAUCAUUGGACAAAUAACUUUUUAUUCGGAAUUGUUACUAAGCACUGUGAUAUUUUCUCCCGAGAGUCAGCACAGACUAAGAGCUUUAAGGUUAAUGAUAGAAAUAUUAUUUCAGUUAAGUUUUGCUUAUAUUAUCAUCAGAUUUUAUAAUUUAAACCAAAUUAAUAGUAAUUAGACCACGUUUUUAGUUUAAAUCUGUCGAUUACAAUGGCGCUUUAAAUAUCAAAUAUCUAAUAUAUUUGCUUUUUUUUUUGUCAGAAAUUCGCACCAAAACGAUUCGAGGAUCAUAUUACACGUGAUUUAAAACAACUUUGUGAGGAUAGAGAAAUGUAAGACAUGCAUCCAUAUUAUGGUAAAAUUUAAUUUAUUAAGCCUGUUAUAUUAAUUUUCAAAAAUCUAUUGUGAUUAGUUGGAUUUAAAAAAUUGAAUCGGCAAAGUAAUUAAUUUGUACGAUUAGUCGGUCAAAUUGGCAAUUUCUGUAUUGAUAAGUUGUUCAGUUUCUUAAAUAUAUCUUGCGUUCAAGUGAUUUCGUCAGUUGUUAAGACUUAAGAAGACCAGGUGACUGCGUUACAUAUUAUCUUGUGUUAGUUGUCUAAACUUUAUUUAUUAUGUUGCGGUCUUUGAUUUAUGAAUAUUGUUUGCCGAAGUUCUUGCAAAAAUCUAAUUUUUGUGAUUAAUCUAUUAAAGAUCCUACCAUGCACAAUCAAGCACAUGCACAAUCAAGCAGGCAAAUGGAUCGACGCCAUUCAAGAUUACAAAUGGAUUAGUCUGAAGUCACAUUCUGAACUCUUGGCCAGGGAUUUACUUGUAGUUACCAUUGGUAGAAUUCUGGAACAUCGGUUUCGUCGGUGAAAGUGAUCACAGUGAGGUUACUCUGCUCUGAAGUAUUGUGGCCUGCAGCGGCUAAAAUUUGAGUUAGCUUGAAAAAUGAUGUGUAUGAACACAUUGAAAUUAGCCUUUUGCUGUCUGAAUUGUUCAUAGUCAACUUUAUAGCAUCCUACAUCGUCCUAUUGAUUUUUUUUGAGUAUAUUGCAAAACGCACCCCCUGAUUUUUGCGAAAAGCACUUUUUACCUUAGACUUUCCAAAAUUGCACUAUCCACCCCCAUCAUUUGAAAAGCCUGGCAGUAUGCACCUGGUUUGACCACAACCGUUAGUCUCUCCCGUUAACGUUAAACUUUAAGGGUAAAGCUGUAAUUUCACCGAAGGCUUUACAGUCCACUUCUAUUUUUCUACUAAUUGUUUACCCUAAAUAUCUAAUUCCCUCCCAAAUUGAGACCCUAGAAUUGAUAUACUUGCACUAAACUUUUUGAAGCUUUGUAAUUAACAGCAAUGAGAGGGCGUUUAAGGAUCGGCGUUCAAGCCCGAAAUGAUGGUGACCUUUGGAAAGAGGAUAAAGAGAAGAAGAUUCAGUAAGCCAUGAUUCAGUAAGCCGAUUUGAAGAAGAAAAAAAAACGAAGAGAAAAGAGAAGAAGAUGCUGUGGGGUUGUAUGUAGUGUGCGUAUAUAAAGCCAACAUGAAUAAGACCGUUGCUCAGCAUUUAAUUAAAAAGAAACUGAAAUACCAAGCAUACCCUCAGCAUUAACUAACGGUAACGGAUAUAUUUAGCGGAAGGGUCUAAAAUGUCGCGCCAAAAAAAUUAUCGGGCUGGAUAGUGCAAUUUUGGAAAGUCUAGAGUAAAAAGUGCUUUUCGCAAAAACCAGGGAUGUGCGUUUUGCAAUAUACUCAUUUUUUUUCUAUGCAGAUUAGUCAUUUAAGCAGAAAAACCUUUUAUAUUUUUAUUGACUUUAUAUUUGCACUUUUUUUUAGGGUUUUGGAGAAUGGCUGGUGAAGCAGAAGGGCCUGCAGUUAGGAUUGAUCUUGGGACCAUGUGCUCAUGUGUUGGAGUUUAGCAGCGGGAUUGUGCUGAAAUUAUCUCCAAUGAUGAUAAUAAGAGGAUGACAUGUCUCAUGCUGUUAUUGCGAGUGUUUUUAAUGAAGUUUAGCAAGGACAUUAAUUCUGAUGAGGCAGUUGCACUGGAUGCCGCUGCCAUAGCUGACACGAUGAUUAGUGAUGAAGGUGGGGGAAUGAUUGAUGAGAUGCCACUGGAUAUAUAUUACUUCUGAAGACCUUGGUAUUGAAACUAUUAGUGAAAUAAUGACUGUCCUAUCUCCAAAGAAUACAAGUGUUUGAGGGACGAGGGUGACAAUAAUAUGACAAAAUAUAACUAGUGUUCCAUGUACAAAUUUCAACUAUUUAUACCAAUAAAACUACAGACCAUGGCCACACAAUAUGAUCACAAAUUUAUGCCUUGUCAACCUAUAUGGUAUGCUAUCAUAUCAAAAAAAAAAAAUUCAACCACUUCAGAAAGAACUUAUGCGUCAAUUUUCAUCCAUAUUGCAGAAUUACUGGAUUUGAAGAAACUAAUGAAACUCAUUUAGAAAUUUGCAGUCGACUAAAAAAUGCAGUCCAGUAUAUUAAGCCUUUUGUUCUCUUAAGCUGCUCAAAAGUGGGAAUGCAGAUUUUAUUUUGAAGCUGAGAAGGCUGAUUAUACUAAGCUUCUUGUACUACUAUUUUUAUUAGUCUUUGUUUUGUUGUUGUAUUCCCAUUUAAAAGCGUUUCAGUUCUAAAUGUUUAUGGUCUGCACUGUGAUGAUCUACAGAAUACACAAGGCGAUACUCGUUUACUUCUCAUAGACUCUUUUCAUCAACAUGUAGCUCAAAUGGGAGGAUCAUGUCUAACAUUGAAUGCAGGUAAGCAGUUUAAUAUUCAUAUAAUAAGGAAUAUAAUUUCUGCGAUGAAGACAAAAUGCUUAUGCAGCAAAUAUAAGUUGGUCAAAGUGAAAUUACUCUCUGAGAGGAGACUUUAGAUCUGAUCAGAGUAUCAGACAGACAGACCUUAUUAGACAAUUUGACUUGGUCAUUCUUUUUGCAAGUUGACUAAUUUAGAUUAGGAUGAAGUGCAUGUGUAUACUAUAAGUUGGUAGGGAAUUUGUGAGUCAGCAGUCAGUUUCCUCAACCUCUAACUUCAUCUUAGAGAUUUCUUUCUCUGCAAAUUAGUUAUCUAAACAGAACAUCUUUCAUUUUUAUUUCACUUUCUAUUUUCACUUCUGUAUUCUGCUUUUGCAAAAUGGCUGGAAGAAGAGAAGGACCAGCAGUGGGAAUUGAUCUGGGAACCAUGUACUCAUGUGUUGGAGUUUGGCAAGGCAGCCAUGUCGAAAUCAUUGCCAAUGAUCAUGGUAGCAGGACGACGCCAUCUUGUGUGGCUUUUUCUGAUACAGAAAUUCUGAUUGGUGAUGCUGCACGCAACCAGGGUGGAAUGAAUCCUGAUAACACCGUCUUCAGUAAGUACAUUAUGGCUUAUGCUAUGUUUUGUCCCAUUUCUACAAUUAUUAUUCAAUUUUUAUUCAAGCAAGCAUAGCGACUCAGAUGUGAAAUCACCCAGACAGUGUUUUUCUUUGUUCAUUUGUAUAUAGUUUUGCAUAAUGACAUGUGUAAUACAAGUAGAUUUUUGUUUCUCUAUUGUUAAACUUGCUCAGAAAAUGUCAUGACCUAAGGAGUAAUGAUUUUGGCUAGUGUUUGACAGUGUAUCCCAUUGCCUAUAGAAUUUUUUAUGAACCUGAUGUUUCUUUCGUAUUAUUUUUGUUGCAUAAAGGCGUUAAACGGUUAAUAGGCAGAAAAUUCAGCGACUUGAGUGUACAGAAUGACAUGAAAUUUUGGCCCUUUAAAGUCAUUUCUAAUCAUGGCGGAAAACCUAUGGUCUUGGUCACCUAUAAGGGGCAGGAGAAGAGGUUUUACGCGGAGGAACUCUCCUCAAUGAUUCUAAUAAAGAUGAAAGAAAUUGUUGAGAAGUGUCUUGGAUCAACUGUAAGAAAUGCUGUUAUUACUGUCCCAGCUUACUUUAAUGACUCUCAGCGGAAUGCAAUUAUAGAUGCUGGAGUUAUUUCUGGCAUUAAUGUAAUACGCGUAAUUUCUGAGCCAAGUGCAGCAGCAAUUACAUAUGGUCUUGAAAAGAGGAAGGCGGAUAGUAGUACAGGCGGUGAGAAAAAUGUGCUUGUCUUCGAUCUAGGUGGUAGUAAUUGUAAUGUUUCUCUUGUUGUAAUUGAAGAGGGAAUUUUUGAAGUAAGGGCUACCACUGGUGCCAGUCACCUUGGAGGAGAGGAUUUUGUCCAUCGGAUGGUGAAUCAUUUUAUUCGGGAGAUCAUGAGGAAGAACAAAAAGGACAUAACUGGUAAUGCUAAAUCUAUUAGAAGAUUGAAAAAUGCUUGUGAAAGGGCAAAGAGGACACUCUCUUCGGCUGCAAUGACAUCAAUUGAGUUAGAAUUUUUGUAUGAUGGUGUUAGUUUCUCUGAAAAUAUUUCUCGUGACAAAUUUGAAGAGUUGAACAUGGACCUCUUUAAAAGUUGUUUGGAGCUGGUCGAGAAGUGUUUGAGGGGUGGCAAUAUUGAUAAGAGAAACAUCCAUGAUGUGGUCCUUGUUGGUGGAUCUACUCGAAUUCCAAAAGUACAGCAGCUAUUGAAAAACUUUUUUAACGGGAAGGAGCUCUGCAUGAGUUUGAAUCCUGAUGAGGCUGUUGCAAAUGGUGCAGCUGUGCUAGCUGCAAUCCUUAGUGGCGAAGGCCACGAAGCUGUUCAGGACUUAAUGCUGUUAGAUGUCACUCCUCUAUCCCUUGGGAUCGGAACUAGUGGUGAAACAAUGUCUGUCCUUAUUCCAAAGAAUACAACUAUCCCCACUAAGAGGGAGCAAAUUUUCUCAACCUCCAUAGACAAUCAGCUUGAUGUGCUGAUCGAAGUCUUUGAAGGCGAAAACCCAAAUACCAAGGAUAACAACUUGCUGGGAAAAUUUGUACUCUCUGGCAUUUCCCCUGCACCUAAGGGCGUCCCUCAGUUCACCGUUUGCUUUGACAUUGAUGCAUAUGGGAGGCUAAAUGUGUCUGCCGAGGAUAAGACUACAGGGAAGAAGAUCAAGAUAAAAGUAACCAAUAACGAGGAGAGAUUGUCGAAGGAAGAGCUUGAGAAGAUGGUAAAAGAAGCUGAGAAGUACAGAGCAGAAGCUAAAGUGAACAAGAAAGCGACAGAGAAAAGGUAUGCUUUUAUUUCCCCGGGAUUUUUUCCUUUCUGCAAAUUAAUUACUUUGACAGAAAAACUCUAUAUCUUUAUAUGAGUUUUUAUUUACACUAUUAUGCUUGAUUUUAUAGAAUGGCUGGAAAAGGAGGACCUGCAAUAGGACUUGAUCUUGGAACCAUGUACUCAUGUGUUGGAGUUUGGGAAGGUAACCAUGUCGAAAUCAUUGCCAAUGAUCAUGGUAGCAGGAUUACUCCUUCUUGUGUGGCUUUCUCUGAUACUGAGGUUCUAAUUGGUGAUGCUGCAUACAGCCAGGGUGGGAUGAAUCCUAAUAAUACUGUCUUUAGUAAGUACCAAGUGCACUAUGCUAUCAUGCUAUGCUUUGUAUAUGCCUAAUCCAGGAUCUGGUUUGUGUUUCAUAAUUGUGCAUUUUAAGAUAGUCAAAACAAUAGAAAAACACGACGUAAGAGCAUCUUCAACGGGGUGUUAAUAUUUGGGUGUCAAUAUUAUCAAAUUAUUACGCUAAUAUUUUAUCCUCUCUCUUCGAUAGUACUUUUAGAACCUUUCUUACCAAAACUUACUUCAAUGAUUGGCACUCAAAGUUGCCAAUCAUUUAGACAAAUAUAUUAAUAAUAGAUAUUAAGAUACAUUUAUCUAUUUUGAAAGGGCGUCAAAAGUUGACAACUUUACUUGGCACCACUUCAACGAAGAACCAACAAGAGUGUCAUGCCACAUCAUGUCACAUGUCACAAUAGCACUCUUCUUAAAACUCUCAUCCGACUCAUUCUAAAUAUACAUAUUUCUUAACAUUUGUCUUUUCACUUUGGAAUCUAGUUUCACUGCUUCGAAUAUGUAUAUAAUUUGUUACUGUUGCAUACAUAGAUCAGGAUACCAAUAUACAAGCUGUUCAAGCAUAGUGCAGCUACCUAAAGUAAAAUCACCCAUUAAUUUUUUUGUGAAAUUUGUUAGUUAAUAUAUAGUUCUGUGCAAUGUAACAGAGAAUCACAUUAUAGCAGCAGUAGUAGUAAAGCUUGCUCGAACAAAAAUCAGAACUAAAAUAAAUGACUACUGAAGAUGAUCCUAUUUUAGACUAUACAGCACAAGACUUUUUUAAGGUCUCUCACUGGUGUUUAUGAGCUCCGGUGUAAAAGAUGUGAAGUAGAUGUAAAGAGAAUAGAUUAUAGAAGGGCUGUUAAAUGUCUUCGCCUCCCCUUCCCCGCUCCCAGUAAGAUUCAAAGAAACACAGAGAUCAUAGUGGUUAUGUUUGGGAACUUAAAUUUCAUUUAUAAUUUUGGUUUUGAUCAAAUAACGUGUUUGGAUAUAUGGUAAAAAAAAUAAUUAGAUUUGGAUUUCAGUUAAAUACAAGGCAUUGAAAUACUAGUAUAAAUUUAAGGAUCUGAAAUGACAACUCAAAUCAUUUCAUUUGAAAUCCAACGUUCGGAAUAAAAUACAUGUUCCCGAUAGCAAUUAUUUAUUCACUGAUGUUGGUCUUUUCUUUUCUUUUCCUUUUUUUGCUUCAAAGGUGUUAAACGCUUGAUUGGCAGAAAAUUCAGCGACUCAAAAGUACUGGGUGAUAUAACAUUUUGGCCAUUUAAAGUAAUCUCCGGUCCCCGUGAAAAGCCUGUGAUCUUGGUCACCUAUAAAGGUCAGCAGAAGCAGUUUCAUGUAGAGGAAAUAUCCUCUAUGAUAUUAAUGAAGAUGAAAGAAAUUGCAGAGAAUUAUCUUGGAUCAGUUGUUAGGGAUGCUGUUAUUACUGUCCCCGCUUACUUCAAUGACUCUCAGCGCAAUGCAACUGUAGAUGCUGGAGUCAUUGCAGGCCUUAAUGUAAUGCGUAUUGUUGCUGAGCCGAGUGCAGCUGCAGUAGCAUACGGCCUUGAGAAGAAGAUGGCAGGUAGUAGUACAGAAGGCGGAAAAAACGUGAUAAUCUUUGAUCUUGGUGGUAGUAAUUGUAGCGUCUCACUUGUCGUAAUUGAAGAGGGUAUUUUUGAAGUAAGGGCUACAACUGGUGCUACUCACCUCGGAGGAGAGGAUUUUGUCAAUCGGAUGGUGAGUUAUUUUGUUAAGGAUUUCAUGAGGAUGUAUAGAAAGGACAUAAGUGGUAAUGCUAAAUCUGUUAGAAGAUUGAGAAAUGCUUGUGAAAGGGCAAAGAGGACACUCUCUUCUGCUGCAAUGACUACCAUUGAACUUGAGUAUCUGUAUGAUGGUGCCGAUUUCUCUUCAAAUAUUACCCGUGACAGAUUCGAAGACUUAAAUAUGGACCUAUUUAACGGUUGUUUAGAGUUGGUCGAGAAGUGUUUGACAGAAGCCAGUAUAGAUAAGAGAAACAUUGAUGAUGUGGUCCUUGUUGGUGGAUCAACUCGAAUUCCAAAAGUGCAGCAGCUAUUGAAACACUUUUUCAAUGGGAAAGAGCUCUGCUUGAGUAUGAAUCCUGAUGAGGCUGUUGCAAAUGGUGCAGCUGUGCUGGCUGCAAUCCUGAGUGGUGAAGGAAACGACACGGUUCAGGACCUAAUGCUGUUGGAUGUCACUUCUCUAUCCCUUGGGAUUGGAACUAGUGGCGAAACAAUGUCUGUCAUGAUCCCAAAGAAUACAACUAUCCCCACUAAGAGGGAGCAAAUUUUCUCAACCUCCAUAGAUAAUCAGCUUGACGUUUUGAUCGAAGUCUUUGAGGGUGAAAACAGAAAUACCAAGGAUAACAACUUGCUGGGAAAAUUUGUGCUCUCUGGCAUUCCUCCUGCCCCUAGGGGUGUUCCUCAGUUCAUCGUAUGCUUUGACAUUGAUGCAUAUGGGAUGUUAAAUGUGUCUGCCGAGGAUAAGACUACCGGGAAGAAGAUCAAGAUAAAAGUAACCAAUAACGAGGAGAGAUUGUCAAAGGAAGAGCUUGAGAAGAUGGUAAAAGAAGCUGAGAAGUUCAAAGCAGAAAAUUCAGAAAAUAAGAAGGCAGCAGAGGGGAGAAAUGCUCUGGAGGAUUACAUCUUUAAGAUGAAGAACGUCAUGAGUGACGAAAAAUUUAGCUCCAAACUUCCAUUUGCGAGCAGAAAGAAAGUAGAGAAUGCUAUGAAGUUGGCAACACAGUGGUUGGAUAGGAAUCAGACCGCAAAGGUAGAAGAGUUGGAGGGAAUAAUGAAAGGGCUGAAGGGGUUUGCAAUUGCUUGAAUGUAUACCUUGUUUGAGAUAAAGUCCCUUUGGCCGCUGGCCGGUGCAAGAGGUGAAGGCCGGAGACGGUAAAAGCGGAUUUCCCAAGUUGUUGUAAUUUCUAGAUAAAAUUGAUUUGUUUCUAAUAUGAUUUGAUUACAUUUUCUUAGUGUUAGGGAGAAGGAUGUCCGCUAGGGACUACAGGACGGAUAAAUUUGGAACUUCAGUUCAUGUUCACAAUCAUAAGUCUGAAAGGAAGCUCGGCAAGAAUCAAAGAAAAUAUGGAAGGGCGUUGUAGAUAAUAGUCGAAUUCAAAUUAACAUUGAGAUUCUCAACUAAUCGGUUAAUUUAUUGAUCAUUUGGGAUUCACAAUUAUAAGUUUGAAAGGGAGCUCACCCAGAUAAGAAUUAAAGAAAAUAUGGAAGGGAAUUGAAGACUAUAGUCAGAAUACAAACACUUAAAACAUACUUGAAACAUAACAUAAAUUGAAAAGUGAAAAAUACUACUUAAAACAUAAUAUAAAUUGUAUAGAAGAAAAAGGCAAGAUGAUAAAGUUGAAAAAUUCAUUUAAUUUUAGUUUAUGGAAUAAAAUUAGUAAACAAAAGAAGCAGCAUGCUGUUUUAAUAUUCUUAAACCUAUCACACUAAUGCUUCUGUCAAAUCGACAUAUGCACGCUGCUCACGCCAGGGAGAAGGGCGAAGGCAUACAUGAACCUCAUGUUCUUCUGGUCCAACACGAUGUUUGGGAACCUCGAUCUCAAGCAUUGUACCUGUCUCAUCCCCAUAAGCUUCAAGUUUUGCAUCUUCUGGAAUGCGUGCUGGAAGGGUAAUUUCCCUAACAAAUUCCCCUGGUGGGCAGUGUUCCGGUGUCGGAUCUGUUAACUUGAAUGUUCUAUCUUGCCUUUUAAUGAUUGGCAUACACCCAGUGCUCACACAAGAUAUCUUCACAAUUCCAUGCGAGGGAGUGUUUCGCCAAGUGACUUUCACCCGCUGCAAAUCAGCACAAGGUAAGCUGACAAUAAUCAAAAAACCCUUAUCAUCCUCAUAAAUUGUUUUCGCAGCUGUUACUGGCCCGUAUGUGCUCCUCAUUACCCCAGUAAAUUCAUUAACCCAGUGUGGCUCAAUGGAGUGUGCGUCCACAACCCCAUCUGAAUGUGAACUGUUAUUAGCCAACGUACAAUCAUAAUCAUUUUCGGGUGCAAAAUAAUUUUUCGGCCGUUUGUUACAAUUAGCCAGAAGGUCCAUCCCUUCACCAUUUACAUGGUUUGGUUGCUGAGUUGAUAAUUUCAAACCACACCCGUUAAGCAAUCGUUUUGGUUGCUGAUUAACAUUGUUCUUUAAUGGAGGCAGUCGCUCAAUCUCAAGUUCUGUGACAGGAAGUGUCCUCCAUGAGCUGAAAUCACUAGCCUCAAGAGGAAUUGAGAAAUUCAAAUCUCUUCCAGUAAGCUCCAUCCACUUCUUGCAUUCUCCCUCGUCUAGGCCAGCAAAAUUGGGUGAAGGAACAACUUCUAUUCCAUGAACACAUUGGGGAUUAGACAGACCCCUAUAGUGUUUCCUCUGCAUUCUAUGAGAUCGAACAAACCCCUUAUCAGCACUGAAUGGAAAUGGACGUUCUCCUUGGCGUGAAUGACCAUUCAUGUAACUCCUUAGCUGCAUUUUGCCUAAUGCGUUAUCAGGCCUAUCCUUGAAAACCCACAUAUACAUAUUCUCCAUAUCAUGCUGAACCAAAAAGACAUCCAGCUUCAAAUCAGUUUUAUCAUACCCGGAAACUCCAUUAGUGUCCCGCACAGCAAUCUUAGACUUAGACUUCUCAUUUAAAGCUGGCUUAAAGUAAAAAUUAAAGAAAAACCAAGCACCCCACACACUGUCAAGCCGUUUAGCACACUUCUUUCCAACUUUAGUCAAAUUAAUAUGUGUCUCCGCCUCAUAAUGCUGAGGAGCAUGGCUAACAUCUAAGAUAUCACAAGCAUCAUUCCAAGAAGGCGGCGGCGGACUCGGUUCCGCUGACAAAGGGAGAUUAAUAUCUGGAGGACUCGAGACAUUAAUUGCACGAUUCAAUUCUCUCUCAAUUUCCUCAUGAGACGACAAACUCGAAUCCAUGGACAACAAAGUACACAAAUGACUAUCCAUAGAUAAUGUAGUAAUUACAGCUCCCCCCAUCUUUUCUUUCGUUGGCAUAAUUGUCGCUACUUCGGUGGAAUCAAUAGUCCCACCACAGUCAACACUCAAAAGCAUGAGCACCUCACACACAUAUUCACCCUCUAAUUCUAACCAAUCAAGAAACUUCCAAAGACGACCCUAAUCAAUUGACAACAUACCGAAACACCAUAACCACCUCAAAGCCAUUCUAAACUAAACCCUAAGAGAGAGAAAAACCAAAAAACAAACCAACCAAUUCAGAGAAAACCCAUCAAACCCCAAAACCUAUAAAACCAAUCAAACCCCUUAAAAACCAAAAAAACACCAAGAACUGAUUAGAUUGAACUAAAAUAUAGAAUUAUUCUAAGCAAUCAAUCAAUCCACAGCAUACCCAAAAUCCCAAAAACACUUCAUAGCCAUUCUAACCCAAUCUAAGCUCAAACCCAACAGAUCAAAUCAAUAAAAACUAGCCUAAACCCAAUAAAGAUCCAAUCUUUAAGAUUCAAACAACCCAAUAAAGAUCCAAUCUUUAACACUCAAGAUAUCAAACUAACCUAUAAAACACACAGAUUUCAAAGAUUUCUUAAAUUAGCAACAGGGCGUCCAAUCUUUAUCUUUAGCAAAAGUAAGAUAAAGAGAAGAAAUCAAAGAAAGAAUAGAACGGUACCUUUGAAGACAACGCAUUGAUCCACAAAAUGAGGGAGAUUGAGAGAGAUGAUUGAAAGAGAAACAAAGAGAGAGGAGAGAAAGAGGAGAAGAUGGGGUUAACGGAGUUAGUUUAUAGAGAGAUGGAGUUGGGACCUGCACCAGUUAGAACCGGUGAGGAAGAUAACGGAGGGGCGUUAAAAUAGACGGUGGGAAUGAUGAGAUAGAGAAAUGUAAUUAUUACUAUUAUAUGCAUGUAUGUUAAUGUUGUUGAGAUAAGAGAAGUGUCAAACUAGGCGUCUGUCUGAGUGUGUGAUUGGUUGUAUAAUGUAUGCAAGACUUUUGUGUAAUGUAGGUAACCCUAAACGGGAGUUAUGUUGUGUAUACGUAUACAAGGUUAUCUCUAUUAUGUUGUGUGGCUUUCACUUUUGCCGACUGUGGUAAGGUUAGUUGUGAUGAUAAGUCAUGUAUACGAUUUAUUGCAAAUACAAGUAGUGCGAUUUCGUUUUUUUUUACAAAGAUAAGAAGAUUUCAUUAACUUGAAUAUAAUACAGCUGGAAUAAACCCUCAACUCUUGAUAGUAUAAUGGAUCAAAAUUUAUUAAUAUCGUAAAAGAAUAAUAUUAUAUAUCAAAUUAGAUAUAAAAUUUGUUAUAGAAUAAGAUGACGUGACAUUGAUAAUGUGAUAUUUCCGAAUGACUUAAUCAGAAUAUUCAAAUAUACAUGAACAUAUCAUUUAAGUUAUAAUUAAUAAAAAUAUAAUAUGUGUCAUUUUGUACAUGUUUUUUUAAUUUAAUUUAAUAUUUUUAACAUUUUCUAUUAUAAAAUAUUGAAAUUUGAUAUUAUGUGUCACUAAGCGAUAUUUUGUGUGUAUUCAAUAUACAUGUCAUCUUAACUAAAUGACGUUGAUGAUGAUAAUUAACUGAACUAAAAUAAAAAAAAAUUGAUUAACUAAUUAUCCAAUAAAAUAAUAUUGUGACGAGCAAUUUGAAGUGACUGUAUAUGAUAUAUAAAAUGAUAUAUGUUAACUGCUUCAGCAAUAUCGAGGUUGCGUGAGACAUAAUCAGCCUCUUAUUAAUAGAUAUGAGAAGUGUGGAAAAUAUAAAUGAAUGAUGUUAGAUAAGGGAGAAGGAUAUUAGUAAAGUCUAUAUCUAUAACUUAUAUGACGGUAAUUUUGAUAAUAUUCAUGAUUGGAAUCAAGAGUCUCGAUGAUUUUUUUUGCCGAAAUGUGCUAGUUGUGUGUUAUUUUAGACGGAGAUUAGACUUUUGAGUUGUCUCCUUGUGAUCUUAUGAUCUCUACUCAUGAUUUCCUCAUUUGCUUAUAUACGCAUAUAGGGACGGAUCUAGGGAUUUUAGUCAAGUGGGGGGGGGGGGGGGGNNNNNNNNNNNNNNNNNNNNNNNNNNNNNNNNNNNNNNNNNNNNNNNNNNNNNNNNNNNNNNNNNGGGGGGGGGGGGGGGGAAUCACUUUUUAGAGACAAAACGAGACAAAUUUUCAUUUAACCAAAAUGGUUUGAGUUGAUUGAUGAGUUAAAAUAUAAAUUUAUGAUAAGAAAUAUACAAAAUAUGAACAGAAAUACUGAUAUUAGCCCAGCCUUAUGGGACUGCUGAGAGCAUGAGACAAGUAAAUAUUAGAACAGAAGGGGUUGAGACACGAGAGAUAUUAGCCCAGCCUUAUGGAGCUGUUGAGAGCCUGAGACAAGCAAAUAAGAUAUUAGCCCAGCCGAAAUUCAGAUCGAACCGAAAUUCUAAUAUUUUCCGGACCGUACCGGACCGAAAUUCUAUUAUGAACCGAAACGAAAUAAUUCGGUACGGUCCGGCCAAAAGAACUGAAAACUAAAAUAAAAAUUACAUUAUAAAUAAAUUUAAAUUUUAUGAAUUAUUUUAAAAAAUAAUAUUUAUUUAUCACCAACACUUCAUAAAAAAUAGAUUUAAUUAAAUUUACAAAUUACAUAUUAUUAUUAUAGUAUAUAAGAUAUAUAUAAAAUAUAAAUAUAUAUUAUAUAUUGUUUGGACUAUUCUAUCUAUUCAGUCUGGACCAAAAUAUUUAUUUAAGGACCGGAUCGAACCGAAUUUUUAUUUUGGUCAAUUCGACCCGAACCGAAUAGACCGAAUUUUCAGAAAAUCAAAACACUUCAGUUCGGUUUUCCGCUUCCACUUUAAUUUUGCUCACCCCUAUUAACAAUUACUCUAUUUUUUAGUUCGAUGUUGGAUCUCUAUUCGCUCUCAUCUCAUUAAUAAUGAUGAAUUGAUGAUCUUUCUGCAUGCAAAAGCUCCACACUAGAAAGACCUUUGUUAUUUUGAGCAUGAAUAUUUCAACUUUUUAUUUAAUUCGAUUCGAUACGAUACGAAACUUUUUAUGGCCCGGUUGACAUCAUCAUCACAUACUUAUAUAAUUAGUUAGAGAUGCAACAGUGAGUUUAUAUAUCUAUAUCAAUAAUUGGCUAAUUCUGCUGUCAAAUUAUAGUUUUAGUCAUCCAUAAUCUUCUGACGCGGUGUUUAGAUUUCUAAUCACCUCUUUGUAAGGCCAGUUAUCCGACACACCCACACUCCAUGUUUGUUUUUUCGUAUAUUUUAGUUGGGUGACCUAUUAUGGCACCUAACUUAUCUUUAACAUAUUGUUUAUGUAAUUAUAUAUUUUGUUGUCUACAUGAAAAUGCGGAUAUUCCUUUAAUAUAUUUAUGAAUAUCCGAUUUGGGUCUUAAGAUAAUUAUUUAAAAAAAUAAUCUUUAUUGUUUUGUAAGAUUUAGUCAAUAUGAUUGCAUUUAUCAACAAACUAUACAUAGCUUAGCAGCAUACUAUAUGCUAUCCUUCUUCUCAGUUUUCGGAUUUUUCAUGGUUGUUACUCUCAUCUCAAAUAUUAAUGAUCAUACUGAUUAAACUUUAUUUGAAAAAAUAUUAUGAUAUAUAUAAUAUAAAGAAAUUAAAAAGUAUAACUAAAUAUCUUGAUAUUAAUUUUUUCAGAUUAUAUACUUCUCGUCCUUCUGAUUACUUUACGGUUCUUUUACAUUUCUUUACAUUUAUUUUAAAGUGCAUAUAGUUUCAUAAUUUUUUAAAAUUUUAUAUAAAUAUUUAAACAUUAAUUUUUUAUUCAGAUAACAAAAAAAUUAAAAUAAUUUAUAAAACUAUAUCUUUUAUAAAAAUAUUAAAAUACCUGUCAAGCUCCCAUUACACAUAUUAUGAUAAAAAGUAUAUGGUCAAAGAGAGUAGUAUAUAGAAUCCGUAAAAAAAAAAAAAAAAUAAACACAAUAAUCAUAUUGAUUUUUCUCUUUUUAAGAGUAAGUUUUGAGAGAGAAAAUGAAAUUUUAAAAUAUUUUAAAAUCAUCAUAUAAGAAAUAUUAAAAGCAACAUAUAAAUCAGAACUAUAUAAUUUUGAUUAAAAAGAGUAUUUUACUAGUUAUCUACGAAAAUAUAGAUUGCGGUUAACCUAUUUGAAUGCGUCAUCUAACAAGUGUUUAGUUACUUAAACACUCAACAUGCUAAAAGUGGACAUAUCAUCAAAUAGUAUAAGGGUAGACUUUUCCCUUAUAUAUUUUUGUAUUAUACACACAAUGUAUAAAUUUACGUAUAGGCUAGUGGUUUCCAGAGUAGUUUUUUUUUUUUUGAUAAGCAGCAUUAAUAUUAAUAUCUCGGAAAGUCUUACAGCAAGUGUACUAAGCCACCAAAAGGAUGCACACAUGCAUCUGCCACCUAACCUUGCAGCAAAACAACUAAAGAACCUAGAGAACCUACAUAGCCAACAUGACUUCCAUAAUCUUAGCAAGAGGGUCCGAGACCUAACAUAGAACUGAACAGUUAAUAAACCGAAAAGCUAAUAAAAGCGACAAAAGAUAUGAAAGGCUAGAAGUGGUCAGAUGCUCGCGCUCCUACGCAGCUUUCUAACCCUUAACCCAGCAAGUGUAGCAUGAGAGACAUCGCGCUUUCGUUUGAGUGUUGGGGCAGGGGGAGGACCAUCCUCAACUUCUCCCAGGCCAAAGUUAGGAGCCACUUCAUCGAUCGGAGCCUGCAGCACCAUCCCCAUAUCGCGAUCCACAUGAUAUUUCAGGUCACCAAACCAGCCCGGGGUUUCAGCGAAAACAGAGAGAUGCUGUAACCCAUAGUCUGCUAGAUACCGAGCAGUUGAGUUCAUUUCAGUGGGAAUCCAUAUGAUCUUCCUAUUUGUGGUGUUCACCUUGAAGUGGUUGGCAUGCACUGUGUUGAAUAGCCUGAAAGGUUCCAGUUGGUCAUCACGCAAGAAAACAUGCUCUUGAGUUGAGAUAGUUUCAAAAGUGUUAUGGUUGGACGUUUCUAUAAGCGUCUUUUCCCAUUUUUUGUGCACAGAUUCCACACACGCCGCUUGAAUGCCAGCCAUGAUCGCCUGCUCUUCAUUCAGCCCAUUCAUUGGACCUGAGGCAGUCCACACAUUUGCACCAGCAUCAUCACGGGCAAUCACACCCACCCCUAUUGAGUUUCCAUUAGCGAGAGGCUCAGGAAGAACUUCACAAUGGACAUUAAUUUUAAUGUAACCCUCGUCAGGAAGCUCCCAAGUGACAUCCAUUAAAAACAAAGUGAAAGGAGAGUGAAAAUAGAGAAGGAAAGAGGUGAGUGAGAGAAGAUUAGAAGGAGAGAUGAAUAUAUAGUCAACUUGGGGCAGAGAAAAGGAAAGCAAAUAUACAGGUAAUUGCUACAACCCCUGGACACGGAGAAGAGACCGAUGGACAAUGCACUGGCUCGACUGCAGAAGUUAACGUUGGAAAAGCCAGCAAAUCUGAGAUUAGCCGCCAAUUUUAGAGGAAAUCUUUCAUUGGUUCCCUAAAAUCAGAGACCCCCUCUAAAAAAGCUGGCAUGAACAGUAACAUUGAAAAUGUCAAUACUAAUAGAGCUGUUCCAUGCAUUUGAAAUAGGUUAACUAGCAGAACAACAAAGAAAUGCCCGGGAAAGUGAGAUGGCAAAAUCCAGGGGUCAAGUGUCAAUGUGACUUGAGGCCCAAUAGCAAUGAAAGUUAGGCCUGUUAAGCCCAUCUUUGGCCAACUGGUCUGCAGAAUGAUUAAAAGUACUGGGGACAAAUUGGAUGCUAACUAGUCCUGCCAGCAGUUGGAGAAUGUCAAAGUCCGGUUGUAGUAGUGGGAAUGAAUCGGAUAAUCCUCUGUAUAUAGCAUUUAUAGCUCCAGUAGAGUCAGAGCAUACAACCACCCUUUUGUUAACUAAUUUACUGGAUUGAAUGUAGUUAAGGACAUGUAGAAUGGCCAUAACUUCUGCCUCCAGCACAGAGAAGGCUGGAACCUGGCCAGAGAAGCAGUAAAGAGUUUGUUUGCUGCUAUUUUUGAUACAACCUCCCACCGCACAACAUAACUUUCCCCAAGCAUUAACAUUUUUUGCACCAUCAACCAUGCAGAUGUAAUCAUAAUUUUGGUAUUUAAAAUCCCAGAACGACAUUGAAAUGGUGUGGUGAUGUAUAUUAAUUGCACCAAUUGGGUUCACCUUCCACAGAGGAUCAUCCCCAAAAUUCAUUAGAUUCGAAGCAAGUCCCCAUUUAGAUGAACGAAUGAAAAUAAUCUCUUUCAUGGCUGCUCUCGAAGUUCUCUUAGAUUGGAAAAUAAGCUCAUUUCGCGUCAGCCAAAUUGUCCACAAAGUAGCUGCAAUCACCAUUCGCCAAAUUGGAGAGACAUGUUUCUUGUGAAUUAGGCUAAAUAAUGAGUGUAGAGAAAAUUUGGGCACUCUGGCUAGUUGUGGCUUGAGGCUCCACCACUGUCCAACAUAAUCCCAAGCCCAUAUGGCUGGAGUGCAUUCCCAAAACACAUGGUUUACAGAUUCUACUUCAGAGUCACACCAAGGACAAAGUGCAGACAAAUUCUUUAGCCGGACACUGAGAAAAGACUUGGUUGGGAGAAUGGCCCAAGCAAGUUUCCAUAGGAAAGCGGUAAUUCUUGGGGGUACUUUUAUAGCCCAAAUGCAGUUCCAAUGCUUGGAUGAAGUGGAGGACGAGUGAUUAAUCCCCAGUUGAAAGAAACCCUCUCUAGAGGAAUAUGAGCCCUGGUUGGGUAUCCACUUGAGAACAUCCUCCAUGUCAUCUAACAAGAUUGCCUGCAGGUGAAAAGUGAUAUAAGAAAUAGAUUCCAGAUCACUGCUAGAGAGCUGUUCUGCCCAAAGUUUCACCCCGGUUUCUCCUUGUAGCCAGAUACCAACUACUGAGCGAACAAUUGUUAAACGCAUUGCUGAUUUUUUAUAUAGGCAGGGAAAAAGGACUGAGAGUGGUUCAUCUCGAAGCCAGCUGUCUUCCCAGAAAAGUACUCUCCUGCCGGAUCUAACUCUCCAUUUAAAAUUCCUCCUUUGUACUAGUGGUCCAACUCUCGAAGUGUUAAAAACCGAGAGCAUACUUUUUAUGACUGGAGAGGUCUUAGACAUUUCAACCUUGGAGAGGUCAUAGUUCCACUCCUUACCAUAACGCUGGACGAAGAAGUUGUUCCAAAAACAACCACGUUCCUUGUAGGCUCGCCAAACCCAUUUCGCCAACAGGAGAUUGUUUUUUAAAGAUAUAGGAACUAAACCUUGGCCUCCAGCACUCUUUAAUUGACAAAUACUCUCCCAAUUUAAUAGGUGCAUCUUUUUUUCUGAGUCCUUAAAUUGACCCCAGAAGAAAUUUCGACGCAUUUGUUCGAUAAUGUUGACAAUUUGAGAAGGCAUUUUAUACAAGCUGAACCAGAAAAGGGGCACGCUAUCAAUUACUGCUUUGAGAAGCACCACUCUCCCGGCAAUGGAAACUUUCGAAGCAUCAAAGGACUGCAACUUCCUUCGAAGUUUGUCAAUCAGAGGGGUCCAGAAGGAGAUAGAAUGUGGAGACGAACCAAUCAUUGCUCCAAGAUAUUUGAAAGGUAGGGACCCAACUUGACACCCCAGAACUCCAGCCGAAUUUGUUAAACGUGAAGUCGUUGUAUGAAAACCGAAGAGCUGACUUUUUGAGAAGUUUAUUUUUAACCCCGACAAUAGUUGAAAACAUUGUAGUAUCCUCUUGAUCCCAUACACUGAGCCUUCAUCUCCUUCAAGAAACAGAAUGACAUCAUCCGCAAAUUGCAGAUGAGUUAAAGAUUCAGAACAGCCCAGAAGAGAUAUUCCUUUGAAAAUUUUUUGAGCCUCGCCUCUGCAAAUCAAUUGAGAUAGUACUUCCCCCACCAGAUUGAAGAUUAGAGGGGAUAAGGGAUCCCCUUGGCGGAGGCCGCAUUUAGGACUAAACUCAGCUGUAGGUGAUCCAUUUACGAGGAUCGAAAUUUGAGAGGAAUCAAAAAUUUGUUGAAUCCAGUUGAUCCAUAGAGAGCUAAAAUUCAUCUUGGCUAAAACCUCAUAAACAAAAUCCCAAUUAACACGAUCAAACGCUUUCUCGAAAUCAAUUUUGAAAAUCAUUCCGGAUGCAAUCUUCUUUUGUAGCAUGAAUACAAUUUCAUUGGUGAGAAGUAUACUAUCCGAAAUUUGUCGUCCCCGAAUGAAACCUGAUUGUUGCGGGCCAACCAGAAGGUUCAUAAAUUUACUAAGCCUGAUCGACAAGACCUUCGUAAGGAGUUUCACUAAAGCAUUCAUGAGACUGAUUGGUCGAUAUUCCGAACAUUUCAUCGGCUGUAGUACUUUAGGAAUUAGAGCUAUGAAAGAGGAGUUGCAUCCUUGAGGAAGUGAACCAGUAGAAUGAAAAUUUUGAAAAAACAGCAGGACCUCAUGCUUUAUCUCAGGCCAUAGAAGAGAUAGAACGCCAGCAUUUAUUCCAUCAGGCCCCGGAGCCUUGGUCUUUUCCGUAGAAGACAGAGCAAAUUCUAUUUCGGUUAAUGUGAAUUUGGCAUCUAGAAAGCUACACUGGCUCGGGGACAGAGUAGACAAAGAGCACGAGCCCAGAUUGAAGACCAUCCUUGGAGGCUCCUUUGCUAACAAAUUGGAGAAGUGAGAGUAGAAAGCUUGCUUGAUUUCAACCGCCCUGGUAAGAGUUACUUGCUCAUACUCGAUUUUUCGAAUAGUGUUGUGAGCCCUGCGUUUAGCUAUAGCCCGAUGGAAGAAACGAGUAUUCUUUUCCCCAUAAAGCUGCCAGCUCGUUUUGGACCGUUGACAUAACAUACGAGACCUUAUCCUGUAUAACUUAUCAAGAUCGAACUGGCAUUUGGUUGAUGAUUUCGGGUUUGAAAGUCCAUUGUCUUCCCUAUCCCGAGCUGUCUCUGCUUCCUUUAUUUUGAUAUCUAUAUUACCCAUCUUGGUAGAAUUCCACCUCUUAACAGCCUCUCUUAACGACCUGAAUUUAUGAUGAAUAUUGGAGGACUGCGAGUUCUUCCAUGAAUUUCGUAAAGUAUGAGCGAGUGUGUCAUCUUCCAGCCAGCAAUUAAAGAACUUGAAAGGGCGCGGACCCCAAUCCUGAGUAGAAGUUUUGAGUAAAAGCGGCUUGUGAUCAGAUAAUUUCCGACAAAGAGCCUGAAUGCCCCAGUCUCCAGACAUAAACCACGCAGGAGAUACUAAUGCCCUGUCAAGACGACCUUUCUUAGGAGAGGGACCAAACCAAGUGAACGUGGAAUUGAGUAUUGGGAUAUCAGCUAACCCACAGGAAUUUAGGAAAGAGUUAAAAGCAUCCGAGAGCGCAUGUGAAUGAUUACAACCAAACCUUUCAUCUGCAGAACGAACCACAUUGAAGUCUCCAAGUAAACAGACGUAGGAUUCAUCUAGUAGUCCUAAUGCAGUACUAAGAUCAGCCCAAAGUUGCAGUUUAUCUCGAGCACCUUGAGGUGCGUAGAUAUUAAAACACGCAAAGCGGGUGGAAUUAGAAAUCAUGGUGCCUCUAAUUAAUAACCAAUGACGGGAAACUUCAGACGAGCUAAUGUUUACCUCUGCUGUGUUCCACACUGUAAGAAGGCCCCCCGAAAGGCCUCGAGCCGGAAAUUCAGCCCAUCCUGGAUCGUGGCCCAUACCUAAUCUUUUCACUGUAUUUGAGUCCCACAGAGUACAUUUUGUUUCCUGCAGACAACAAAUGACUGCCUUUGAAGAUUCGUUUAGUAAUCUGACAAAUUGACGACUAUCAGAGCUGCAAGCACCCCUGACAUUCCAGCUUAAGAAAGAGUGUGUAUUCAUAAAAACUUAAACAAUGAAGUAGAGAGAAACGAGAGAGAUUAAGCAGCCAGAUUCUGCCGGAUGAGUUCCAGUGAUUCUUGCCUCGAAUUAUUAGGGAGUAAUCCCAUCAGUAGUCCAGUUUCCAAAAUGGAUUCUGCCUCAUCAGUUGAGUUGUUAAGAAAGAAAUGUGAAAUCUGUUGAAGACCUUCCCCUUUUUUCCUUCUACGUUUCGGAAGUUUGAAAGAUUUGUUAAUCUUGUUUGAGUUGAGUUUACGAGGGCGUCCUCUCCUCCCUUUCACUUUCAGUUUAUCCAGAUCUUGCAAGAUGUCCAUACUCCUAUCCUGAAUUGAGAUAAAUUCAUCCAAGGAUUCCUCAUCCACAACUGAUCCAUUGGAAUCCGAAGCAUUUAAUGGGUCUGAGGGUGAGGUAUCUCUAUCACGGGGAAGCCAAUUUGUUGUGACCAAUGUGAUAGGAGACUCUUCUGAAAAGGGUGUUAGGGGGUUUAUGUCAGAGUUGGAAACUUCCCCUGCUAAGUUUUCUUCUUCAGGAAUAGUGAUAUCGCCACACCCCUCAUCCGUCAAGGUGUGGGUCUCAAUCUCUGAAUCAAUUAGAACUACAUUCCCAGUUCUAUUUUCCUCCAAGAUUACCUCUUCAUCUAAGAUCUCUUCCUCAUCUUCAGCAAGUAUUUCCUGAACUUCCUCUUCAUCAUCAACUAGUUCAUGAUCAUUGAAGUGAUUAUGCUCGGGAAGGGCAGUUGAUCCUGCUGGGUUACUUGAGAUUGACAUACAUUCCCCCUCAGAUUUCUUAGUGGAUUCGCAAGACCUCCUUGACUGAAUGAAGUCAUUAGCAGGAGAAUCCCGGGAAUAACUAAAAAAAUCAUUUGGAAUAGCAUCAUUUAGUUGAGACAAGGCCCCGGUUGUUUCCAGAAAACGUACCUUCCAGAUUUUUCCCAUGAGAUUAAUGUAUUUGAUUUCAUCGAUCUCAGAAACGCUCUGUGUUUCUAACAGGAAUUUUGGGGUUUGGUAGAAAUCCUCCUCAUCACGAGUUUUACCGAACUGAAGAAUGGUUCCAAAGCUACUAAGAAUAUUCUUGAAAUUAUCUUCCUUCCAACCAACAAUAGGCAAACCUCUAACUUCGACCCAUGUUUUCCGUGAUGGGAGGAGAUCAUCCAAAUGCAGGUCACGAACCUCAGCAAACCCAAUCUUUAGGAACUCUCGAUCAGUAUCUUGCAGAUCCAUGUAGUGCGGGAAAUAAGCAAUGAACCUAUCCCCAGAUAAACCUCUGAUUAGAGCAUUGACCGCACCUAGUCCCUCCGCAAUCAUACCCACAGUGUCUGUUGUUUCAUGUUUGACUGUCCUCAGGAAUAAGCUAUUUUCCAUGAUAUGAAUAAAAUCUUCGUCCGGCAAGAGCUCUACUGAGGCAGGGGGGGAAGGGAGAUCCCGAGGCAAUGAGUGACUUACAGAUUUAGGGGACUCAGGUGGGGUAAUAUGUACCUUUGGAGCCCGCGUAGAACUAGCAGAUUUAGGGGGCUGAGAGGGAGGCUUUUGAGCACCCUUAGCUUUAGCCAGAUAUAAUUUCCUUGAGCCAAUAAGUUUGCCAUUAAGAGCGGAAAUGAUGUUGUCAGCCUGUUUCUCAUCGGACACCAACAAGAACCCAAAUCUAUUGCCAAAUUUGUCUCUUUUCCGAGGCAGAAUAAUAUCCCUAAUUUUCCCUUCCUUUUUAAAGAGAGACCAUAGAUCUUUCAUAUGGAGGCUAUCAUCCAAUUCUGUAAAGAAAAUGGAUGAUUUAGGCGCCAUAUCACCCUUCUUUCGGGAAGAUUGGGAUUUUGGGGGAGGGGAUCGUUUAACAGUAGGGGACGGCCUUGCUGAAUUCUUAAGCAGAGCCUCUCUGAAAGUUUGUGAGGGAGACUGAGGAAGGGGUUUCGUUGAAGCGUGAUCACCCGUCAGCGAGUGAUGGUGGAUCUGUCCUAGAGCUAGGGAGAGGGCCUUGUCAUUACCACCUAAUGCGUCUUUAAGUACACCAGGCUCCACCAUAGAAGCAUGAACUUUGAGAAAAUCAUAAGUGAUGAUCUUUUGUUCUUCCACCAUGUAAUCCUUUUUAUUGGGCGAAAUAAACUUUGGUUUCUUUUGUAUUGGCCUAGCGCUGAGAGAGCCAAAAUGAAUCUGAUGGAGGGCCAUACGGACUCCUUCUUGGUCUCCAUUGCUAGCUUUAGCGAUUGUAUUUGGAUGUACCAAAUCCGCAUUCGCCCUUAUAAAGUUUAAAAGAGUAGUGUCAUUAUUAGCUUCAGAAUACUGACCUUGAGAUAGUUGCCGGAAACCAUUGAUGUAGAGGGCUGAGUCUUGAGAAUGUGGCUGAGAUUGCUGAAGGUUGACCGGGCGGACCCUAGAUCCCUGUUUCCCCCUUUUCGCCAUAACUCCUGCUUGUGCUUGAAGCUCUGAAACAUUUGCUCCUUUGUUAUCUGCUCUCUCGCCUUUCGUCAUUGAAAUCCCCUUUUGCUCCUGCCUUGCUAAUUCUAUAGAUCCAUAAUGAAUUUGAUUUAGAGCCAUUCGCACUGCCUCUCUCUGCCCUUGUAAUGCCUCUAUCCUUGUAUUUGGGUGAAUUAGAUGCUCAUAAGCUGAUAAGAAAAGGAGGAGAGGAUCCAUAGUAGCAGAAUCUCCUUCCUUGUCAUUCCUUUCAAUUUCUAGGUUUGAAGCCUUCUCCCACCACCCAUUAUUGUAGAGGAAUUCAUGUAUACUCCACAACGCCUCCUCAUCUCCCUUGACUCCUUCUUCUAACAACUCUCUUGAAACCACUCCCAAGAGAAAGUCCACCUUUGCCUCUGCCAUGGGUAGCAGAGCAUGAUUCCCUUUGUUAACUGCUGCCACUAAUUCAUGAUCAAGCAAGAACCAGAAUUUAUUGAUUGUUUCCAGCUGCUGUUGCUUUUUAAUUUCCUGUUCCGAGUUAUUUCCAAGCUGUGCUUCCUUAAAACCAGAUGAAAAGCUUCCAUUCCCUAGGUUGGUUGCUCCCUUACUCUGAAUCUCACUUCCUUUACUACUCUUCUCGCCGGAGGUGCCCUUGGAGUUGUUAUUACCUAGCGGUCCGUUGUUGGGUUUUGUGACCGUUGAAGCCAUAUUUAUAUCCAUGUGCAACUUUCCUUUUUCGGUUUCCAGAGUAGUUGAGGGAGUAGAGGAUGGCGAGUUGAUAUGAUAAUUGGAGCUUUUGAUGAAGAAAGUGGGCAUGUAACGAUAUUUGCGAGUAGAUUCUCCAGAUAUUUCGUAACAUGGGUUGGUUAUUUAUUUUCAUUAUUUUAUUUUAUUUGUUGUGGAAAUGAGAGAGCACGUGGCUUCUUAGUGGUGGUAGCCUGCCUUAUCAACAUUGUAACCUCAGUUAUCACCUUUCUCAACUUGGUAUUAUUUUAUUGUCGAGAGAAAAUGAAGGCCUUUUUCUUUGGUUAGCCAAACUUUAGUUUUAUGCAUGUGACUAUGUGAGUUAAUAUACUUGUACUUUCUCACUUUUUAGUAGAGCGAGACUUGUUGUUUACAACUUUAUUAUGAAUAUAAAUGAAUUUAGAAUGUGGAAAACAAGUGUAGAAAUAUGGGAAAGCUUGCCCAAGUUGGCAAGUAAUGCAAUCAACUACCCACUUGAAGUUGAAUAACCUAUAUUAAUGAUUUGAAUUAGAUCUUCGAUAUUUUGAAAAUAUAUGUUUCUCAAAUAUGUAUAUUAAAAUAUAAUAUGCUGUGAACUCGAUUUUAAUUUUAAUUUUUAAAAACACAAGUAAGGAAUCAUAGUUUCAUUCUCACAUCCCUAUGUACUCCCUCAGUGCCGUUGAGUUGUUAAUGUUCACCGUUUACACGUAUUUUGAGAUUCUUAUAAAGUAUAGUUCUACAAAAAAAUUUUAAUUUAUUUUUUUUGAAUAAAAAUUUAAAUAUUCAGAUUUUUUUUUGGGAAAAAAAACAUCAUGAAACUAUAUUUUAAAGAGAUCUUAAAAAACAUGCCAAAAAGUAGGGCUGGCAAUUUCGGGUUUCGGGUCGGGUUCGGGUCGGGUUGACAGUCGCGGGUCAAAAAAUUUACCCAACCCGAACCCGACCCGAAAAUUUAAUGGGUCAGAAUACUCAACCCGAACCCGACCCGCAUUACCCGCGGGUAACCCGAACCCGACCCGAAAAUUAAUAUUUAUUAAUAAAAAUAUUUUUUAAAUAAUAAAUAAAUAUUAUUUUAAUCCAAAUAAAUUAAUUUUUAUUAAAUUAAAUAAUUUUAUAUUAAAUUUAACUAAUAAAUUUUAUAAAAAUAAUAUAAAUAAUAUAAAUAUAUAUAAUAUUUAUAUUAUAUAUUAAUUUUCGGGUAAUUUCGGGUCAAUUUCGGGUAACCCGAAUUCAACCCGAAAAUGACCCGAUUUUUCUGGGUUGAUUUUGGGUCAACCCGAAUUAGACCCGAACCCGAAAACCCCCAACCCGAAUUCGUAUUUUGCGGGUCGAAUUCGUGUCGGGUUGUCGGGUCGGGUCCAAUAUUGCCACCCCUACCAAAAAGUGAUGUUAACAAUCCAACGAGACGGAGGGAGCUACGAGUUUUGAAAGAAGUCCCGAAGCUCCCUAAAAUUAUGACUCAAUGUGAUUUAUCAACGAGUAGUGCUACAUGCACAAAAUUAGGUACAUAAUUUUAUACAAAAUGAUAUGACAAUCUAGGUGAGAAAUUUUAAUGGGUGCUAUUAAUACAUAUGUAGGGGCAUUCCAAUCACAAGUUAACACAUACUCAUUCUGUGAAUGUUUUUGUCCCUAAUUCUGAGUAUGUAGCAUUUUCCUUUAACAAUUAUCGUGAUUUAAUGUGAUAAGUGGGAAAUUUAAAAUAUCUAUUUGGAUAAUUUUUGAUUUAUUAAUGACAUUAUGAGUUAUUAAAAAUAUAAUACUAGAAAUAAAGAUGAUUUAUGGGUAACUUAUGUUUUAUGAGUAAUUUUUAUCUAAAAAAUUGUUUUUAAAAAAUAAAUCAAAUAUCUCAAACUAACUUCUGUCUUUAAAUCAGUUUCUGAUUUGUUUUUAAUUUUAAGCAGACUUCUAACUUAUUACCCAAAUAAAUAUUUUGUACGCGCCAAUAAGAUCAACAAAGGCAUUCGUGACACUGGUGGGACACGGAAGUCAUGGGAAGUCAUUGGUCUGAGGCUUCGGGUGAAACCAAUAAUUAGCUCAAAAUGGAAAAUGACUUAAAUCCUGAAUUUUAAGUCGAGAUAAAUAGCAUUUUAAUAUCUUUUUUCCGGUCUAAUUUUUUAUGAACAAAAAUACAUUACACCGUGAUCAAAUAGUUUUUUUGUAUGAACGAAAAUGCAUUAUAAUGUGAUCAACUCAUAAUUGGAUGAACAAAAGCACAGUACAAUGUGAUCACCUGACGUUGGAUGAACGAAAACACGUUAGAAUGUGCUUAGUUUUGAUUAUUGUUUAUACAUCGUAUUCCAUUUCCCUAAAGAAUUGAUUAACCUUGAAAAGGGCCGGCAGCUUUUUUGAAUUGUGUUUUGGUUGAUAGUUUAAUAAUCCAGGAGGUUGCCCACUAACUUAGAACUCCAAGUCUCCCACCAGUUCGUUAUAAGUUUCAAAUGUGUUAAAUUUCCGUAGCCCAUUUCAAACACGGCCCAAAAACUAUUGCAACAAGAUCUUUCAAAAAUAAAUAAUUGACCUUGUCUGAAUGUCUGAUAUCAGAAGUCCAGAUUCCAAUUGCCAAAUGGGGUCCCAGAAAACGCCAAUUUUUCUUAAACAACAAACAUGUCCAAACUAUGAGAGCAAAUCCAAGAUGAGACAAACGUUACAUUUAAAAUAUCUGUCAAACAUUAUUUAAGGGUCUUUUGAUGUCAAUGAACAACUAUUUUUUUGGUAGUAGAGAUUUUUGAGCAUGCAAAAAACAUCAUUAUUAAUGAGAUUGAAAUCGACACAAAUAUGUCAACUAACUAAAAAUUGGUUGUCAGGGUGUGUCCUAGAAAACCGAACAUUUAAUAAUGUUCCAUAUUUUCCCCUAGCUGCAGGCCAACACACUCAGUUUCCAACUCCUCUGCAUCAUGGCACAAGACAAUGAAGGCAGCUCUAGUUCCAUCGUGCCCAAACUAGUCAUCCUCUUAGUCGCCAUAGCUUGUGCUGGCUUCAUAAUUGCGUUGUACCAUUGCAUCCGUGUCGGUUGGUGCACACAAUACCAGCAACGUCCCCCUCUGCAACCGCGAAAUAGGCCUUUUCCUUUCAGACGCGAGGAGCAGCAGAGCAGCGUUGAAAAUUCUAUUGCAGAGCUCAUUCCUGUACGUAAAUUUAGCAAGACUAAUUUGGACUUGGAGGGCGGGGAUAACCAUACGUGCUCCAUUUGCUUGUGUGAAUUCGAAGAAGGGGAGGAGCUACGUACAUUGCCCGAAUGUGUUCACUCUUUUCAUGUAAGUUGCAUUGAUAUGUGGUUUUAUUCGCAUACUAGUUGUCCGUUGUGCAGAACUGAUGCUACGCCAUCUCCACGGGGACUCAUACAUUAUUUGGAGUUGAAUUCGGAAAGGCCAGCUCCAAGGCAAGGUUUAGAAUCCAGUGAAGUUUGAGUUUGUUUUAUUGCCUAUAUUCUGAACUUGUGUCAGCCUUCUUGAACUAAAUUUUAUUUUAUCAAUGAGAUCGUCUCCUCAAUUGGGACUUUGGGGAAGUGAAAUCGUAGUGUUUUUUUUUUCGAACUUGAAAGUAGAAAUGUAAAAGUAGGGGAAGGUUCAAAUGGAAAAUUUGGUCUCUGGAAACUUGUAUAUUCUGUAUAAAAAGUGGCAUCUGCUUAAAAUUUUGUAGCUAAACUUUAUUUCGAAGAAAUUAUAUUUUUUUCUCAUAAUAGUGCUUUUAACUAUUGAACCCAUGUUUUUUUCAUAUUACAAAAUUAUAAUGUUUAAAGUGUUUUUCGAGUUCUCCAUAGAAUCCACAGUUAGUUUAACAGAUCACUGGCAAAUUACUAACUGCAAGAUUUAUGUUCACGAGACAGUAACUAAUAAGCGACAAACUAACUAACUAAAACACUGAACUGAGUAAUGUGUGAAGUACAUAUCACAGAACAACGGGAAAAGAAUUAAGAGUAUAAGUCUAUAAUGGGGAGGGUGAUCCUUGAAACAACAAUUCUGAAAACAAAGAGAUUUUCCUCCCUUAUGAAAUCUGAACUGAAAAUAUGACAAUUAAGACCAUUCUUACUUGAAACAAAAAUUCUGAAAACGAAGAGAUUUUCUUCCCCUUUUUUUCCCACUUAAAAUAUGAGAAUUAAGACCGUUCUAAUGAUCACAGGAGACCAAACUGUAAACACUGCAAAUUCACAGGAGUCCCCUUCCUCGCAAACCCCCUUAUUUCAUCCAUGCACAUGAAUACGGAGUAUACUGAACCAAGACCAGACGUCAUAGUAUUGCAGCAGUACUGUUUUCUAUUCCCAGUACUUGAUGAAUGAUGAUAAAAUUUUAUUGCCAGUUCUGCAUGUGGAUGAACUGGGAACUAGUAACUGUACAUUUUGUAUUCCAGAUAAACCUUUCGUUCUGAUUGCUGUCAUAAACAAGUUAUCCCAGAUCUCUAGUAAGAGAUUUCUUGUAAUGAUAACAUCAUAUUAUAAGUCCAUCUCUUGCAGGAUACCUCUUAAUCUAGAGGAAGAAAGCUUGUCACAUCAUAUGGAAAGCUAAUAUGUAAAAUAAAGAAUAUUUCGACACAUCUGUUAAUUACUUCAUAAAAUUCAAAUUCCCGCUCUGGAAUUGAAAAUUGACUUCCUGUACAGACUAAAUUCCAAGCGGAAUCGCCAAAAUUGUUGUCGUCAUUUUGUGAAAGAGCAGACAUAUUAAAACUAUGAAAGCAUACAGAGGCUUUACAUAGUAAGACAAACACUACAUAAUAAUUAUCAACCCAACAAUGACUAUUUGAUAUGCACUCAUUUCCAACCAUUCCUCUACCAUGGCACAAGACAACUCUAAUUCCCUCAUACCAAAAUUAGUCAUCGUCUUGGUCGCUGCAGCCUGCAUGGCCCUCGUUAUUGCAUUGUACCAUUGCAUCCGUGUUGGCUGGACCACGCGAUACCACCACAAUGAAACACCGCAGCAACAUCAUCUUGGGCAAGAGGAGCAACAGAGCUUUGAGAAUUCAAUUGCAGAGCUCAUCCCCAUACACAAGUUUAAGAAGUCCUGUUUGGAUUUGGAAGGCCGAAAUGAUCAUACAUGCUCAAUUUGCUUGAGUGAAUUCGAGGAAGGGGAGGAGUUACGUACCUUGCCUGAAUGUUCACACUCUUUUCAUGUAAGUUGUAUAGACAUGUGGUUCCAUUCACAUACUAGUUGUCCGAUGUGCAGAAUCGAUGCUACGCCAUCAUGGCACGGACUGAUGCAUUAUUUAGAGUCAGACUCAGAGAGGCCGGCAACAAGGCAAGGUCUGGGAUCCAGAGAGAUCAGAGUGUAAUUUUUUUAUUCUGCAUUUGUCGCAGAUUGGAUUAAAUUUUAUUUUAUCUCUUUGUCGCAUAUUUGGCCAAAGCAGCCGUAUCACAUCAAUACUGAUUUAAUUAUUUUUUAAGAUCAGACCAUAUGCUGAUCAGUUGAUAUAACAAUGCAGAAUGCCGGUUUAAUUAUUGUUCCAUAUCCCUCUAAUGAAAGCCAAGGCAAAGCUCAUUGGAUAUAUAAGUUUCAAAAUAAAAUAUUACACUAAAGCUGUUCAUAGUAUUUAGCUCUAAAGAGAGAUUCGGUUCAUGAGAGUGUGCUAAUAAUUCUUAAAAGUUACAAAGUCGAGUUAAAAGUAUCCUUAAAUUUCGCCUAAAGGAUACCCCUCUCUUAGUCGUUCAAUGUCAAUGAUCGAGUAUUUAUAGAAGUAUGAACUUGUGUGUACUAAACUAUUAUAAAAUCCAACUUCGAUUACAAAAAUUAUACAUGACACUGGCAAACGGACCAAGGAAAUUUUGCCCUUCCCUAAAAAAGAUCAAAAUAUUAUCACUUGGCAAGACAAAUUUUGACUCAUUCACAUUAAACAACUACAAUUAUCUUGUAAUAACCGUCAUGGCUACAUAGAUUUUGAAAUGGCCUUUCUAUCUAGCUAGUAAUUCUCUCCUAAGCAACUGAAAGAAGGUCUUCACUUGUCUUCACAAUGUCUAGCCUCAAUUUUCUGAGUCAUUUUUAUAUCCUCUUUCUUGUAGUUGCAUCCAUGGCCUUCUUCGUUACAAUUUAUCACUGUAUUAUGGUGAGUUGCCAAAAUAGAAUUGAGCGUCACAAUUCUGAUCAAGUGUCACAGUCCACUGUCAUCAGAAUACAGAACUUCUUACUUUGGCGCAAUGGACAAGAACUUAACAGUGCUCAAGAUCGUGGUGCCACGGUCCUGGGGCUUGAGAACUCGAAGAUUGAGCUAAUUCCAAGACAUAAAUUUGAAAAAGGUAAAGGGAUUCUUGAUGCAGAGUGCGCUGUUUGCUUGAGCGAGUUUGCAGAGGAUGAAGAAAUACGAACUUUGCCAGAAUGUUUGCAUUCUUUUCAUGUAGAGUGCAUUGACAUGUGGCUUCAUUCACAUCCUAAUUGUCCAACAUGUCGGGCCAAUGCUUCACCACCAUCCUCCUCCUUGCUAUUACAUCCUUGCCCAAAGUGAUACCGUGGUUAUGGCAUAGCAUAUUAGGAGAGAUGAAGAAUUGAAGAAAGGGACCGUGCAGUUAGCUUGGUUACAUGCAAAUGAAAGGACAGCGCAGGGCCGGCCCUUCAUAAGGCGAUCAAGGCGAAUGGCUAGGACAGCCCUUCAUAAGGCGAUCAAGGCGAAUGGCUAGGACAUCACUGUCCCACGGGCACCAAAAAAAUCUAUGCAUAUGUAAUAAAUAAUGAUAAAUUUAUGCAUUUAUAGACAUACAUUUAAAUUGAUUGUGUUGUUAAUUUUAAAAUAACGUUUUUAUUAAAUCAUUGUAUAUUGAUUUGAAUGUAUGUAAAAUUUUCAUUUACUAUCUUGAAAAAUAGGGACAUCAAUCACAUCAUUAUCAAAAUUCGUCUAGGACACUCAAAUCUGUGGGACGGCCUGGGUCAGUGCGUCUUUCUUUAAUGUAGCAGAACUUGCAUUACAUGAAAACUGAAAGACUUGUUACCAGUUCCUUAUGUCAAAAUUAGAAGAAGAAUUUAAUUCGGUUAUAUUGCAAGCUGCUGCAGCUGUUAGCUGUUACCCUAUCUUUUCUAAUUUCUGUAGACAAUGGUAUUAGAUUUUUACACGCCUAACUAAAAAUUAUUACAAUUCUAAAUCAAUAGAACAAGAAGCACAUCUGUCAUCGUUUGGCCAUUAGUCUGUGACCUUCAGAUGAAUAAAAUCAUGAACUCGAAAUCUUGCUUUAUUUUAGCAACGCAGAAAACAAAGCACAAAUGUAUUGAUGUAUAUAAGAUUUAAUUUCCAUUACACUUUAUUGAGAAUGAAUAAGAAGGAUGGUCAAGACUUGGAUAUUACUAAGUGCAGUUACAUGCCUAAGGUUUCAUACCCCUAAGACCACGUCUGUGAAUUUGAUCUUGUUUCCCAGUACAAACGCAAAGACCAUCGACACACUUGCCUCCAAACGGACACACGUUCGAACAUCCAGUAUCAAUGCAUUUUGAAAUUUGAUCUUGUUUCCCGGUACAGACGCAAAGACCAUCGACACACUUGCCUCCAAACGGACACACGUUCGUACAUCCAGUAUCAAAGCAUUUUGAAAUUUGAUCUUGUUUCCCGGUACAGACGCAAAGACCAUCGACACACUUGCCUCCAAACGGACACACGUUCGUACAUCCAGUAUCAAAGCAUUUUGAAAUUUGAUCUUGUUUCCCGGUACAGACGCAAAGACCAUCGACACACUUGCCUCCAAACGGACACACGUUCGUACAUCCAGUAUCAAAGCAUUUUGAAAUUUGAUCUUGUUUCCCGGUACAGACGCAAAGACCAUCGACACACUUGCCUCCAAACGGACACACGUUCGUACAUCCAGUAUCAAAGCAUUUUGAAAUUUGAUCUUGUUUCCCUGUACAGACGCAAUGACCAUCGACACACUUGCCUCCAAAAGGACACUCUGUCAAACAAUUAGUAGUGCAUCCAUGUACAUGCACCAAUGACACAGUAAACACCAGGACUAGUGUUAAGACUAUAGAAAACUGCUUCAUAUCUGAUGGUUUUUCUGGAGAAUAUAUAUCUGAAAGAUUUAAAAGAGAAAAUGUUUUCUCCUCUCCUUGCGAGUGUUUUAUUUCCGAUGAAGAUCCUCCACAAUAUAUACAGACAUAUUAUACAAUCACUCCAUCCGAAAGACAUAACUGUUGGAUUUCAUAAUAAAUUCAUAUUAAUUGUCAUUAAUAUGAUAAUUAACUUAUGUAACUUGCAACUAUUCACUUAAGUAUAUAUUUUAGGAUGUAUCAAUGGAGAUUUUCAACUGUUCGGUAGGAAUGAAAAAUGAAACCAUCUGGUGGUAUAUCACAGUUAAACUAGCAUAAAAACCCGUGCGAGGCACGGGCCUCUAGUUUGUGUUUCUGUUUUAAAUAAUAUUCAUGUCUCGUCAUAUUAUUUCGAGCGUAACUAUCACGUUUUAUUCAUUGACAAAGUAUGUAAAUAUGAAAAUGUAAUAUUUGCAACCUAGCAUUAAUAGUAAUAAUAAGUAUUAUAUUUUUAAAAAAAAUUAUGGAUCAGAAACUACAUUUGAACAGAUUUUUCUAUAUUCAAAGUCGUUAGGAUAUAGAGGCCACUACCGUACAAUCUACAUGUUCAAAAUUAUAUUCGAAAUUAAUAUUGAAACUUUUAAAUUUUAAAUAUAUUAUACAUCAUUAAAAGUAUCUGUAAUUAAAUUAUUUCAUCUAAUAUAACAUGAUUUUGAUUUAAACUUGUUCUUGAUAUGUGAAUUACGAUAUCUUAAAUCAUGAUUAAAUGAAGAUGUGUGGUCCGUAUUGUUUUAUAUUUAUUUCUUCUUUUUUAAGUGUAAGUUUGCGUAAUAAUUAAGUGAUACAUGAUGUGGCAUAUCAUCAACACAUUUUUUUUUAGCAUUGUUGCACACACCUUGUAUAAGUAGAAAUUGAACUAUGUAAAAAGACUCAUACCCUAUUUUAUUAUAAAAGUGUCUAUUGAAUUACUAACCUUAUAGUUGUACCCAAAAAAAUUCUGACACCUUUGAUAUGGCUUACCCUUUUAAUUUUCAUCUCAAUUAUAUGGUAUUUCAAUGUCUUAGAUUUUUAUUGUUAAUAUGUUAUAAUACUGUCUCGUUAUAAAAAUUUUAUUUUUAUCAUUAGUUAUCUAAGCUUGUUGAUUAGUACUUUUAAUGAUUUUCCAUUUAAUUGUUAUAAACCAGAUCUCAAAAUAAUUUUCUGGAAUUUCAAAUAGCAAAACGAGAGUAUAUAUGAGUUAGGCCUCAAGUUCAUAAAAACAUGAAAUGUAAUUACUUUUUGUAGUUUUGUACAAACUCACAUUUUUUAAAUAUUUUUAUACUCGUAUUUCUUGGGGGUGAGCAAUGUAGCAUAUCAUUUUCAAUUGUUAAAGAUCAGAUCAGGUAUUCGAUAUUCUGGAUUAUGGAAAAACUAUCCUUGUUCUAGUCCCGUUUAGUAAGAUAUUAGUUUUCAUCAUAUCGCGUCGGAUUAUCCGGCUCAGAAUUAAUUAUAUUUUAUUAGUUUAAUUUGUAGAUGAUUAAUUAAUUUAAUUGUAGUUUGAAUCAAUUUAUUUAACUGGUAUGUUAUAUAUUGAUUGAUGGCAUGUUAAAAUUAUAGCUUUAAGAUUUUAAUAUAUAUGACUUAUUUCUCUGUGUUAUUUUAUUUUAACCAAGUAAAAUUUAUAACUCAAUUCUUUUAGUUGGUCUCAUAAACAUUUAUUAUUAUUAUUAGUUGACUUUUGAUUAACAAUAUAGUGGGGCUGUUUGGGAACCGGAAGCAAUUUCUGCUUCUGGCUUCUGCUUUUCUUGACCCGUUUGUGUAAAGAAGUAGAAGCACUUUUAAGAAGCUGAGAAUGCUAACUUCUCUUUCACAGAUUCUGCUUCUUUUCCAAACACUUUAUUAACUUAUUUAUUUCUCACUUCUACUCCACUUCUUUACUUUAAACAUAGAAUCACUUUUUUUAAGCUUGGCGAAACGGCGAAACGGCCCCAGAAUUUUUCUAAAUUCACCUUCAUAUCACAAAUUACUAUAUUUCAAAUUCAUUUAUCAUCAAAAUUACAUCAUUUAGAUAUAUUUUCUAACACCAAAUUUGAUAUCUUUGUCAUUGUUCUUAUAUUUAUAAUUUUCUCAAAAAAAAAUUUAGUUACACGCCGAAUUCUGAAUUCAUAAGUUUAACAUAAAAAAUAUUUUAAGUAAGAAUAUUCUUUCAUUUACAUUAUUUCGUGUUAUUCAAAAUAUUGUAAUCUCUUUAUAAAUCGCCUUUUAUAAAAAAUAAAUAAAUUAAUAUGACAUUGUCCAUGUUGAAAGUCCAUCAAUUAUUUCUUUCAAAGAUGCUAACUAAAUCCUUAGUUUUUGUGCUUAUUUCUCACAUUUAUGACUUAAAAUUUCUGUAAUAUUGUAUUCGUACUCGUUUAGAGUAUUAAGUUGGAUUUGAAUUCUUUCAUUUUUAUUCGAAUAUGAAUUAUAUCUAUUUUUAGAAAUCUGAAUCAUGAUUCGAGCCCGAUCAUUCAGAUUCUUUUUCUAUUCUAAAUUUAUUUACGUAAAUAAUUGAUUUAUAAAUAUUAAUUAAUCAUGUAAGCAAUAUAUGAGACUUAUCUGAAAUAAUAACUUGUCUCAAAGAAAUAAGAAAUUGAAGAGAAUGUAAAUACAACAGUUUUAAUGCACGUGGUUAAUGCUUUUGAAUAACAAAACUAAUUGCUUAUGUAGCUCAAGUGGUUUGAGUGAUGUAUUUGUAUUGGAGAGAUCUUAGGUCCAAGUCUUAUGAAAAACAAUUUUUUUAUAUAUAUGAGGAGGAGGCAGGUUCGGAGUUAGGCUCGGGUUCGGAGCUAGGUAAUUUAUUUGCUCAGGAGGGAGGCUUAACACGAACCUGUUGUGCUAUUAUAUAUAUAAGUAGAAGUCCCCUGCAUUGUCAAUUUAUCAUAGUAACUUUCACUCAUUUGCCGUAAAUUCAAAUUUCCAUAAUUAUGCGUAAUUAAAACAAGUACAUUAUUUUAUUUCCUACCUAUUUUUGAUAUAUAUACUCUCUUGUUUUUGCUUUUUAUUAGAUUUACUAUCAUUUUUACAUUAAUUAAAAUCUAUAAACAUAUAUGUGUGUGUGAUUUUGUUGUAUAUUGAUUUAUAUUUUGUUUGUUUGUUUUUUCUCCGUAUAUCAUGGAAGCGAGCUGUUAUGUGACUUAUGGGUAUUAUUUUCUCAUUCAUUUAUGCUCUGUUGUCUAAACGUCCGGAACUAUACUUGCAUGACUUUAGUUAGAUGAUAAACUUUCUUUGAAAGAAAGAAAUCUGGAGACGGUUUAUUGUAUACCGUUCAUCAGCCGGAACAUAGACUAAAAUUAUCUUAUAAUGACCGUCACGACUACAUAGAUUUUGAAAUGGCCUUUCUAUCUAGCUAGUAAUUCUCUCCUAAGCAACUGAAAGAAGGUCUUCACUUGUUUUCACAAUGUCUAACCUUAAUUUUCUGAGUCAUUUUUAUAUCCUUUUUCUUGUAGUUGCAUCCAUGGCCUUCUUCGUUACAAUUUAUCACUGUAUUGUGGUGAGUUUCCAAAAUAGAAUUGAGCGUCACAAUUCUGAUCAAGUGUCACAGUCCACUGUCCUCAGAAUACAGAACUUUUUACUUUGGCGCAAUGGAGUAAUGGACAAGAACGUAACAGUGCUCAAGAUCGUGGUGCCACGGUGCUGGGGCUUGAGAACUCGAAGAUUGAGCUUAUUCCAAGACAUAUAUUUGAAAAGGGUAAGGGGAUUCUUGAUGCAGAGUGUGCUGUUUGCUUGAGCGAGUUUGCAGAGGAUGAAGAAAUACGAACUUUGCCAGAAUGUUUGCAUUCUUUUCAUGUAGAGUGUAUUGACAUGUGGGCUGUGGCUUCAUUCGCAUCCUAAUUGUCCAACAUGUCGGGCCAAUGCUUCACCACCAUCCUCCUUCUUGCUAUUACAUCCUUGCCCGAAGUGAUACUAUGGUCGUGGCAUGGCAAGGCCAUGUGGUUAAUCUAGCAUAUUAGGAGAGAUGAAGAAUUGAAGCAAGGGACCGUAAAAUACAGGAUUUUAGUGCAGUCUGAUGCUUGGUUACGUUACGUGCAAAUGAAAGGUCAGCACUGGGCCAGCCCUUGCUAAGGCGAUCAAGGCGAACGCCUAGGACACCACUGUCCCACGAGCACCAAAAAAUCUAUGCAUAUGUAAUAUAUACAGUAAUAUAUAAUGAUAAAUUUAUGCAUUUAUAUAUAUAUACAUGCAUAUAAAUAUACAUGCAUAUAAAUUGAUUGUGUUGUUAAUCUUAAAAUAAUGUUUUUCUUAAAUCAUUGUCUAUUGACUUAAAUGUAUGUAAAAUUUUCCUUUACUAUCUUGAAAAAUAGGGGCAUCAUUUUCAAAAUUCGUCUAGGACACCCAAAUAUGUGAGACGGUCCUGGGUCACUGCGUCUUUCUUUUAUGUAGCAGAACUUGCAUUACAUGAAAACUGAAAGACUUGUUACCAGUUUCUUAUGUCAAAAGUAGAAGAAGAAUUUAAUUUGGUUAUUUUGCAAGCUACUGCAGCUGUUACCCUAUCUUUUCUGUAGAAAAUGGUUAUAGUUUUUUACACGCCUAACUAAAAAUUAUUACAACUCUAAAUCAAUAGAACAAGAAGCACAUUUGUUAUCGUUUGGCGAUUAGUUUGUAACCUUUAGAUGAAUAAAAUGAUGAACUCGAAAUCUUGCUUCAUAACAACGCAGAAAACAAAGCGGAAAUGUAUUGAUGUUUAUAAGAUUUAAUUACCAUUACAUUUUAUUGAGAAUGAAUAAGAGGGAUUGUCAAGACAUUGGCAAUCACAAGUGCAAUUACAUGCCUAAGGUUUCAUACCCCUAACCAUGUCUGUGAAUUUGAUCUUGCUUCCCAGUACAAACGCAAACACCAUCGACACACUUGCCUCCAUACGGACACACGUUCGUACAUCCAGUAUCAAAGCAUUUUGAAAUUUGAUCUUGUUUUCCGGUACAGACGCAAAGACCAUCGACACACUUGCCUCCAUGCGGACACACGUUCGUACAUCCAGUAUCAAAGCAUUUUGAAAUUUGAUCUUGUUUCCCGGUACAGACGCAAAGACCAUCGACACACUUGCCUCCAAACGGACACACGUUCGUACAUCCAGUAUCAAAGCAUUUUGAAAUUUGAUCUUGUUUCCCUGUACAGACGCAAUGACCAUCGACACACUUGCCUCCAAAAGGACACUCUUUCAAACAAUUAGUAGUGCAUCCAUGUACAUGCACCAAUGACACAGUAAACACCAGGACUAGUGUUAAGACUAUAGAAAACUGCUUCAUAUCUGAUGGUUUUUCUGGAGAAUAUAUAUCUGAAAGAUAUUAAAGAGAAAAUGUUUUCUCCUCUUCUUGCGAUUGUUUUAUUUCCAAUCGAUGAAGAUCCUCCACUAUAUAUACAGACAUAUUAUACAAUCACUCGGAGUGAUUGAUAUUUACACGAGUGAAUCACUCCAUCUCAAAGACAUAACGGUGGGAUUUCAUAAUAAAUACAUAUUAAUUGUGAUUGAUAUGAUAAUUAGAGUAUAUGUGUUGGUAAAUCAUACAUUCUUUGUUUUAAAAAAUUUGAUUACAAUCAUAGUCGACUUGAUUAUUCCGUGAAAAUCUCAGAGAAAUUGGGUUCUUUUUAAAAAUAUCCAUCUGUAAAAUUACUUUUCUAAAAAUACUACCAUCUUUAUCAUUGUUUUUAAGAAUAUCUUUUCAUAAAUUGUUUUUUUCAAAAAUACGAUUUGCAACUCCAGGCGGCGCCAGCCGUGUUGCAACUUCAUUUGCAACCUCAUUUGCAACUUUUGCAACCUCAUUUGCAACUAUAUAUAGUUUUCAGUUGCAUUUAGUUGCAACUGAGGUUGCAAAUGAAGUUGCAACUGCAGUUGCUUGCAACCUCAUUUGCAGAAUUUGCAACUUACAGUUUUCAGUUGAAUUAGUUGCAAUUACAAUUGCAAGAGUUGAAACUUUCUAUUUUUAUUUGCAACUUUUGCAACCUCAUUUGCGACUUUUGCAGCCUCAUUUGCAACUGAAAUGGUUGCGCCGCCCAAGGUUGCAAAUGAGGUUGCAAACCGUAUUUUUGAAAAAAAAAAAUUUAUGAAAAUGUAAUUUUAAAAAUAAUUCUGAAAGGUAGUAUUUUUGAAAACAAUAAAAGAAAAGGUAGUUAGUUUUGUAGACUUCCCAUAGAAAUUCCAUUUAACUAGGGUAGGAUAAGUGUUAAUUAACUAAUCCUACUAAAAUAUUGAUAGUAAUAUUUACAUGAUCAUAUAAUAUUUUAACAUUUUUCUUAUUUAAUCCAAUUUUAUAUCGAGCUUGAAUUGUGGGUGUACAUAAGUUUGCUUUAGUCUCCACAAGUCUAAACUCAUAUUACUCACUCCGCUCAAUUUAUAAGUCCUUUUGUUUAAGUUUCUUUUACUUUUCCAAGAGUCUUAACUAAUUUUGGAUCAACUAUUACAAAAUAUUAUUUGUUGUUUUAGAAAAUAAAAAGUUACAUAUUAAAAUUGAUUUGAUUUAUCUUUUGAUGAUUUUUUUUGCCAGAGAAAACUCAAGUAUGAAGAAAAGCGAGAAAAUCUGUGUUAAUUACGUACAAUGUAUAGUAUUCUUUUCUUAAUUGCAAUCAUAAAUAUAAGGGCAAUUUUGGACAGAAUCUUGUGAAUAAUUACAUAUCUUUUAUUUAUGGUAUUUCCAAAAUUCAAUUUCUGCCACAAUUAAUGUGAAUUACAUUUCCAAAAUUCAAUCAAUUAAAUUAAUUUUGAAUAUAUCUUAAUAAAUAUAUUAACUCCUAAUAAAACACUUAGUGGAAUCAACCAAAUAAUAAAUUUAGCAGACAUAAGAUUUUACAAAAAAUCGUACUAAUAAAUACAUUAUGAUUCUAUUAAGAAUUUUAUUAAUAUGUUACAAAAAAUGUCAUAUCAAUAUUAUUAAGAUUUUACUAAGUAAUUCACUAAUGACAUCGGAUUUCUACUAUUUUAAUAUUCGAUAAAUUUAUUCCAUAUUAUUAAGUUCUAUCAUUUGAUUCCCUAACUAUAUCAAGAAUUUAUUAAAAAAUUGUUUCGUCCGUUAGUCAUAUAUUGACAUUAUUUAUUAUGUAUUCUUUUUAAACAAUGUAGAAUUUAAUAUAAUAAAUUUUAAUGAUACAUUAAUUAAUAUUCUAAUAAUUAAUGCAUUAAAUUUUCGAAUCUUAAUAAAAUAAAAUACUUAAGAGAAUUUUAACAAAAUAUUUUGUGUUGUAGAUUAAUUAGUAUUAGUAAUAUGUAAUAAAACAUUUUUAAGUGUCUUCAAAUAGAAAUUUUUAUUAUUUAUUUUAAAAGAACAUAUAAUAUAUUUUUAUAUAUUAUUAUUGUCUAUUCUAGAUAUUUAACAAUAUUAUUAAAUUUGUAAUAAGAUUUCACUAACAAUAUAAAAUUAUUAUAAAUUUCUAAAUCAUGUGAAUAAGUGUAUUUUAUAAAUACGUUAAGAUUCUAAUAAAAAGUUUUAUCAGGUUAUUCGUUAGAACAAUUAUUAGAGAUUCGUUAGAAACACGAGUAGAAAACAUUAGAAUUUUUUUAUAUUAUAUAUAAUCAAAUUAUCAAAAUACAUAAUAAAACUUUUCGAAGAAUCUUAGUUUAUUUAUUAAAUAAGUUUAAUAAUAAAAUUAAUAAUAAAAUUUAAUUUAAUAAUAAAAUUAAUAUAUAUAGAAGAUUCUCUAAAAUAUUCUAUUAUUUAUAAGUAAUAAAUAUUUGUAUCAUGCAAGAUUCUUUUAGAAUAUUUAAUUUUUUUUAUAUAUUAUUCACUCUAUAAUAUUCUUUUGACUCUUCAAAUAUUUUUAAAUUAAUAUUAUUUUGAAAAAUUUCAAACUAAUUAAUAUUUAAGAAUUCUAAUUUAAAAUUAUAAUAAUAUUUAAAGGAACACUUUAAGAAACCUUCAAAUGUUAAAUGUUAGAGGUGAAACACUUAACAGAAUCUUAAUAUUAUUAAUAUAUAUAGAAAAUUCUCUAAAAUAUUUUAUUAUUUCUACUAAUAAAUAUUUGUAUCGUGCAAGAUUCUUUUGAAAUAUUUAAAAUAUUUUUGUAUAAAUUAUACAUCCUAUAAUAUUUUUUUGACUCUUCAAAUAUAUUAUUAAAUUAUUAUUAUUUUGAAGAAUUUCAAACUAAUUAAUAUCAAAGAAUCUAAAUUAAAAAUUAUAAUAAUAUUUAAAAGAACACUUCAAGAAUCUUUCAAAUGUUGAAAGUUAUAGGUGAAACACCUAAUAGAAUCUAUACAUAUUAUUAACAUAUAUAGAAGAUUCUCUAACAUAUUUUAUUAUUUCUAGUAAUAAAUAUUUAUAUCGUGCAAGAUUUCUUUAGAAUAUUCAAUGUUUUUUAAGAAAAUAUUCACCCUAUAAUAUUCUUUUGACUUUUCAAAUGAUUUUAAAUUAGUAUUAAAUUAAUAUACAAGAUUCUCUAAGAUAUUUUAUUAUAAAUAUUAUAUGUUAAAUGUAAAAUGUAAAAUAGUAGUUUUCAAAUCUUUUCAAAGUGAAUCUUUUAAAAUUUGAAAUUUGAAAUUCAAACUGAAUAUACAUUAAAUGAUUGAUUGAUUGAUUGAGAUAUGAAGAAUCUAUUUAAAUAUGAUAUUAAUGUGCGAUUGAUUUUAUAUAUAUUUAUGUUACAAAAUUACCCUAUAUACUCUAGAGUUGAUUGACAUAAUUAAUAUGUACAAUACAUAGUAUUAUUAAACAAGUAUACGUGAUCAACGGUGAUUAACAGGGUUCCUCAGUUUUCUUAAUAACAGCAUCUCCAACGGGGUUGGCUAUAAUCGUUGGCUAAAUUGAACCUGUAAGACAAUAUGUAAAAUUUGCCGAACCUGUAAGACAUUGUACUUCAAUGGUGUUGGCUAUAUUGGUUGGCUAUAAUUUAAAAAUAGGAUGUUAUUAAUAUUUUAGAUUUUUAAAAUAGAAUAUAUCAAUUUAAUAUGGUACUAAAUGAUGUGUAAUCUUCCUACAGAUCUCUUACAAGCCUGUAGAGGUUCGACAAAUAUAGCCAUCUAUAGAAGGUUGACUAAAAUUAUUGAUAACAGAUUAACAUGGUUGGAGGGAGACCUUUUCAACAGAUUGGCUAUAUUUUUUAUAUUUGGCAAGACAACUCAUCAUUUAACUAAGAGGUUUGUAUGGUUGGAAAUGCUCUAAGUGGGUUUUCUUAGGAUCUUCCUCAUGAUAAUUAACUUAGGCAUCGAACCCACAAAUCCGUCCAUACUCCCUAUAAAAGACAUAGGCAUCCUCAAUAGUAGCGAAUUGCUGAUUCGCAUAGGGUGUCUUACUGACGCAUUUAGGAGUAUAAUAUUUUAUCCCAUUUGCUUCAACACAUGUCAUUUCAGGUUCCUCAAUACUGUUAAAUUCAACAUUACUUGACUGUGUUGACAAAUGUUCAAUUUCAUCAUCCGAAUAUGAACUACCAAUGUCUGGAACAUCAGAUUCAUGAUCAGAUCUCUCUGAGUCUGAGCUCUCAAUAUGUGGGGCAGACACGGAACCUACAUCGCAGAAGUAUAUCGUUAAACGUACUUCGGAACAUACACGCUAGGAAAAACAAACUCAAAAAACAAUGUAAUUAAAAGAUGUUCUGCAGUAUACAAAAAAUCAGAUACAAGUACAAUGUAAUGCUUUGUAUGUCAAACACUAUUGAAGAACAUAUAUAUAUAUAAUCUGUUCUGCAUUAUAACGCGAAAUACUAACAAAAGCCAGAUUAUAAAUCAGAAAGAGGAAAAAACGAAAAAAAAGAACCAUUCCCAUCAGACACGAUUAAAACAAACGAACACACAAAUCACAUCAAAUCAAAUCAUCAAACCUAGGAAGAAACACAAUAACGUACUUGGUUCUUCAUAUUGAGAAGCCAUGUCAAGCACAGAACACAAAAAUCGAAAAAAUAUUUACUCGUGAAUCUUUGGUUAAAAAAUUGUAUCAAAAACAGAACACAGAUUGCAAGCCCAAUAAGGUGUGACUUAUCAAGCGUAAUUGUUUCCCCAUAAUUCUGCACUGCACUUACGUGAUGUUAACAGCGUUAAAACUAACGGAUUAGAUAAAAGAAACUGUAAAACUAUUUUUUUAUAUUUUACUUAAAAUAAAAGAGACAUAAAAUAAUGACCAUCAGAUUAAAAUGUAAUGGAUGGCCAGGAUCUUGGACUCCUAAGACUCCAAAAAAUGUGUGAACUCCAUAGAACUUACUUCAUAAUAUAUAUAUAUAUAUAUAUAUAUAUAUAUAUAUAUAUAUAUAUAUAUAUAUAUAUAUAUAUAUAUAUAUANNNNNNNNNNNNNNNNNNNNNNNNNNNNNNNNNNNNNNNNNNNNNNNNNNNNNNNNNNNNNNNNNNNNNNNNNNNNNNNNNNNNNNNNNNNNNNNNNNNNNNNNNNNNNNNNNNNNNNNNNNNNNNNNNNNNNNAUAUAUAUAUGCCCAACAUUCAAAAAGAGGGACUCCUUAUAUGGAGUUACAUAGUGCGCCACUAUAAAUCAUCAAUUUUAUUAUAAAUUCUGUUAUAGAAUACAUAUAAAACGUGAUUCUAAUAUAGAAUACUAUAAAAUAAAUCCAUUUUAAGUAAUUUAACACUUAAAAUUUGAUUAAAAAAAGUAUAUUUUCGAAACUGUUCUACAACAGAAUAAUUCUGGAUGAUUAUUAUUCUGUUAUAGAAUCAUGUUGAGAUAUUGCAUAAUUGUAGAUGAUCUUUGGAAUAAAAAAAAUGUAUAACUUCGUUUUCAGUUUAAUAAUCAAAAUUUGUAAUUAUAUUUCAUAAAAAAUAUAACAUAAUAUAUAUUAUGUAUAUAUUUAUAAUGAUGUGCUACGUAACUCCAUAUAAGAGGGUAUGCUAUGUAGUGCUACCCUAUAUAUAUAUAUAGGGAGCUAUUCUAGUACAAACUCAACUAAUCUAAAAACCUACAAACCUGGUCCGAUCCAAUAGCAAAGCCCAGUCCAAUAAACAUAUUAUAACACCGCCCAGUCCAUCAUACAAAACAUCCGCCAGUCAGACAAAUUUAAUAUUAUAGUCAGAUAUACCUAUACAUACAUUACAGUGACGCUGCUUUUGCUCUCGCACUGUUCAUCUUCCUCAAAACAAAAGGUACGAAUAACAUUUUCUUUCAAUUACUCACUGAUUUCUUCGUGUAUUUGAUACAACGGUUCAAUUUCAUAGCGAAAUCGAGCACUGAAGUCGAGCAAUGAAUUAAGCAAAAUCAGUUUCAAAAAUCUUCAAAAGGUACAUUCCUAUGCUUUUUUAGUGAUUUAAGUGAAUAAAUCUUUCGUAGUGAUUGCAUGUCAGUAUAAUGAUGAUUCCCAGGGUUUAUUUUUGAUUUUUGACAAAAGCUAACUGUUCAUUUUAAUGUUUCUCUAUGACAGCAGGUAAAUCUUAUUUAUUUCAUAGUGAAGGCAUAAUUUAAUGGCUAGAACUAAAGGAGGUAUGAUUUUGAAAAUUUUCUAUGAUUGCAUACUUUUUUUUUUAUGAUUUGACUGUUAUUGAAUAUCAAACUGCUAGUGAUUGUAUUUCUCAGCACAUUAUGUGUUAGUGAUUGUAUUUAUCAUAAAAAAUUUUGUUAUUGCAUACUUGUUUUUUAUGAUUGUAAGUUUCAGCACAUUAUGUGUUAAUCACUAUCUUCUGACUCAAAUUAAGUUAGUAAUUAUUUGUUUAUAUUUUAGUGAUUGUAAUGCUGAUUGUGAUAACAAAUUGAAUGUAUUAAGUUCUCCUAUUGAAACUCCAGUGAUUGUAGAGCUAUAUUAGUGAUUGAACAGCCCAAGCUAAUGACAUUUCAAUAAUUAAAUAACAUUGUUGUUAAUUGCUAGUAAAUUUGUAGCCAAAUGUAUACAUACAUUAAUGUCCCUUAAGACUGGAUAAUUGUAACUUUAAAAAAUCUAUAUCUACAUAUAUAAGAAACUACUAAGAGUCAUGUGAUUAAUUUAGUACCUUAGGCUUGUAUUAUAGUGACUGAUUAACUUAUAAUUGUCAUUGUAGUCAUUCUAGACUUGUUUUGUAGUGAUUGCACGCUCUUAUGAUAAAACACAGAGUAUACCUUCACCUUAGUGCUAGCAUAUAUAGUAUUAUCACCAUAUAUGUUGUUGAUAAUUUUGUUAGUGUCAAAAUAUUUGGUGCCAUUCACUAUGUUAUUAGAUUCAAAAUUGUUGUUAUGAACUUGAAAUUACUUUUUUAAUGUGAUAUAAUAUUAUAUCUGCAUAAACUUAAAUGGCAUACACUUGUGCAAUAUUAUGUUGAUUAGUGCAUAAACUACAAAAUUUUUAUGUCACUGAAUAUUUAUGACUUUUAGAGCGGGGGAUGAUUACUUUUAGAGGACGGGUGAUGACUUUUAGGAGGGAUGAUGAAUUUUACAGGGCGGGUGAUGAAUUCUGGGGGGGGAGGGAUGAUGAAUUUUAUAGGGCGGGUGAUGACUUCUGGGGGUGGGGGGUUUAACUAAUUUAGUUUUUAUUUUGUGGUUUUUGUUGGAGUUGUUUAUAGUGGUUUUUGCAAUACCAAUUUGUUUAAAAACAGCAUGAUAUUGUGGUCUGUCUGUUUUAGUUGAUUGUAGAGUUAUAUAUUUUAGUGAUUCUGAUAAGAGUCCUCUGAUUCUUUUUUUAAUUUAGGCAUGAAUAAUAGUGAUUGUAGGCUUAUUUUAUAGUGAUUGUUUACAUUACAUAGAGUACUGUUAAGAUACAAUGUUAAUGUUAAAUAUAGUGAUUAAUCCACUAAAUAAGCUGAAAAACUUAGUGAUUCUAGUCUUGUUUUUCAAUGAUUAUAGGCUUUAUUAUGGAAAGACCAUUAUUGUCAUAUAAACUACUAAAAUACAGAGUGAUUGUAGGCCUAUGAUGAAUUGAUUGUAGCCCCUAGGGGCAUCAUGACAUAUGGGGGGGGGGGGGGGGGGAGCUUCUGGAGUUCUACAUGUCAAAAAAUGGCAUGUAUGUUUAAUCCCUUUCCGAGAUUCAUGUUUGCAGGACAUAGACCACAGCUUAGAAGAAGCUCCAAAAUAAGACAACAAAGUUUCCCCAAAAGUACAAGCACGGAAGCAAUAUAUCUUGUACAAUCAAGCAGUGCUUCAGAGCCUGACGAUAAUAUGGACCGCCAAACAAAGAUAUAUCGUAAGUCGGGAAAUAAGGCUAAAGUCACAGCAGGAAGACCAGUUGAAGAUCCUCAUCACACCACUGUAUAUCUUUGUUAUUGUUCUCAUAUACUUAAUGUUAACAUUUUACAAAAUUGUAUACUACUAAAAUAUUUAUUCUGUAUCUAUUUACCAGGAAUCAAGCGGACGUAACUACACACUAGCAAAUUUGCAAAAAAACUCACCACCAGUACUCUUAAAGAAGCCGCCCACCACAACCAAUGAUUGUUUCAACAACUACUUUUGAUGAAAUCCAUGACGACAACUUGACAAACAAUGAUUGUUUAAGAACUAGUUAGCUUAUUUUUGUGAAUACUCGACAAGCAAUUAUUGUAUGGCAAAUUAUCUGUCGUAUUCUAUCUUAAUUAUUCACUUUUUCAUGAUGCUAUUGUACAAGAGAUUCUAAACUGUUCUACAAGUAUCAAUUUUACUUUUAACUUCUUCAGAGGUUGCAAAUUCAGUUCAGUAAUAUGAGUAAUUUAAUUUAUGCUAUUAACAUGUUCCAAAUUUGUAGUAUGUGCUUCAAAUUUUACUAUAAUAUGUACAAAUCUCAAUCCAUUGAACUGCAAAUACAAAAAUAACGACUAAAAAACAUAACUACUGUUUUUAAAAUACAGCUAAACUUCAGUGAUUGGAACUCACAUUCUAGUGAUUACAACAUCACAUUUUAGUAGUUGGACCAUAAAAAAUUAAUGAUUGGAAAAUAUAUUUACUAUAUAAUCCACAAUAUAUUCAUUCAAAUGAACAUAAACUGUCAAAAACUAAGUAAUAUCAAAUUCAUACUAACUACUGUACAUUUUAAACAAAAUAUGACCACUUUUACAACAACUUUUCUUCAAUCUACACUUUCUUCAAUCUGUGCUUUCUUCUUCUUCUUAUCACAUGUCCUGGAGUCAUGAGUAGUUGCACCACACUCUUUGCAUUUUCUUACUCUUUUUUUGGCUUUCUUCUGUUCCCUUACGAACAUCAAAACCUCCUAAAUGACCAUAAUUCUUGUAAAAUAAAAACGCUUUUUCCAAGCUGUCAUGAACUUGAUUAACAGCUGGCACACAACUAAGAUCAACAACAGAUGGUAAAUAAUAUUUCCGUCCACCAGGAGACAAAACAUAGCUUGAUACUGAACCAUCAUUUUCACUAGAAGAAGGAUCACAACUCGCAUUUGAACUACUAAUAUGAGAUAAGUCACCACAACUAGAACCUGCAUCCGCACAUGAAUAACAAUUAAAAGCAAAAACUACACACACUACUAAUCAACUGCAUAACAAUUAUAAACCUAUAUUAUAUUGUAGUGAUUUACAUCAUCAAACUAUAGUGAUUGUAGAUUUAUAUUAUAGUGAAUAUGGAGUUACAUUGAACAGAUAACUUUGAUACACUACAAUAAACCACAAAAUUAGAUUAAGUUCAGCCAUAACAAAACAACAAUAUCUCACUGAACAAAACAAAUUUAUAUGUGACCAAAACACAGAACAAGUUGAAUAAUAAACCAAAACAUAAACAUGAAAUUAUCACUGAAUACCUAUAUUACUAAUUAAACUCAUCUGAUUUACUAGUUAACAUCAUAUAUUAUUAAAAACUACUAGACAUUCAUACAUAUGCAAAUUGAAAACAAGAAACUACAACUUUCAAACAAAACAUCUAGUACAUCAUCAUCUCCAUAUCUCCAUAUAAUCAUUCACAAUGAGAAACUACAAAUGUAAUAAAAAAAACUGUUAAUCAGCAUCAUUUGGCAAAAGAAAAAACAGUACAAUCACUAAACAACAUAUACACUACCAUCAUAUCACAAACAUUACACACAAGAACAAAAAACUGAAUUUACGGGGAAAAUACAUACUUGACCUCAAAAAAACAAAAAACCACACAGGAUAAGCUAAUUUCAACAUCAAAACAACACAUUUUUUAACACUAAAAAUACUAAACCGAAUUGCAAUAACAACAUUAUUAAAAGCGACAAUUGCAAAUAGUAAAUUAAACACAAAUUUCAUAUAAUCGAGGACAUGAAAGCAAAAAAGUAACUCUUGCCUUGAUUAUCACUGAUUUUGAUAAGAUCUCUUGUAAUCAUCGUGUACAACUUCAAUCACCGACUCCGACAAAAGCUUCAACACGAUAAUGAACGCCUCCAGUACGAUACUACCUCAAUUGAGCAUAAGAGCAAGCAUACGAAAAUCUCUCCAGAAGCUCGAAGAGAACGAGAUGAAAAUCUGAAGACAACAGUAACGAUAAAACAUGAGAGAGAAAGAGAGAUAGUAGAGAGAGAAGCAGCAACGCGUUAAAUGACACGUAAUCCAUAUCUUUUGUUCUUAUUUUAAAGCAAAUAAACGGAUGGCUACGAUUAAAACUAGCUACACAUAUAUCAAGGGCCCAGAUUAGUUCCUAGUUUUUAUUAAAAAAUAGGUUUGUAUUUGAACAAAAGCCUAUAUAUAUAUAUAAUAAUUUUUACCUAAGAGCUCGGUAGGAAGAAAAUUGAAACCCUCUGGUAUGUCACAGACAAAGUCCCCUGCAUCGUCAAUUUAUCAUAGUAACUUCCCCUCGUGUGCCGUAAAAUUCAAAUUUCCAUAACUAUUCGUAAAAAAAACAAGAGGAUAUUUGUGUAAAUAGAGGACAUCCACGUAUACAAACUGAAUGACACAUCACUUUUUUAUAUUACCUGAUCCCAUGUGAGCAUUUCUUGGACAACGUGACAUCUUUAGUCUCAACAUUAAUUUAGACAAGGAUAUGUUAUGCCCACCCUUUUUCCCACUCUUUACUUACCCCCUCCAGCUGUGAUUUUAUUAUUAUUUUUUUCUGCCCAAGUUUUUAGAGUUUUGAGAUUAAAAACUAUUAUUAAACUCAUGGUUAGCACAAAGUCAUAUUCCAUUUGUUGUUCAUUUUUCUGUUUAGUAAUCAUGUGAUUAUCCCCAUUUUAUAGAUUGUCUUUUUUGGUUUUAAUAAAGUUGCAAAGAUAGAGAGAUAAGUUUUUUGUAAUCAUACUUCAUGAUUCAAUAAUGUGAUUUUGUGUAAAAAGGGUCUUUGGUCAAAAGUGUUAUUCACUCUUGGAUUCUUGUUUUUGUGUUGUGUCUUGGUGAAAUGAGACUACUCAUUUAUAGUACCUAAAAAGACUUCAACUCUCUUUCUUGUGUUUUUUUUUGUACUAGUUUUGUGGUGUAAACAAUCUGCUUGCAGUUGAGGAAUCAGGAUUUUGGAUUAGUGGGAGCUGAAGUAGACUAGAUUGAGAUCAGAUGCAAAGAUGAAAUCUUUAAAUACAGUAGGGCUAGCUCUGAGUGUUGUGUUUGGGUGUCUUUUGCUAGCUCUUGUUGCUGAAAUUUACUACUUGUUAUGGUGGAAGAGAAGGUUUAGAAGUAGAGAUUUAGAAGAUGGUUAUAACAGCAGCCCAGCUACAAGAGAGUUCUUUUACAUGUUUUGUUGGAAAAAGCCAUCAUCUUUGAGCUCAACAGCUUUAAAUCCAGGGGAACUCACAGAAACUAGCAGCACCCAUGUUCAAGAAUCACUGUCAAAUGGUCAAUCUAGCAAGGACUUUUGGUUCAGACCAUUUGGUGAAGAUAGUGUAGAAGCUGAGCUCUUGGGCCUGCAGAAUCUCUCUGGCCCACCAAGAUUUCUGUUCACUAUCAAGGAGGAAACUAAAGAGGAUUUGGAAUCUGAAGAAGGUGGUGGCAAGUCAAGAAAGAGCUCAAGAACCAGGAGUUUGAGUGAUUUGGUUCUUAAUCCAGAGACUCCAUUUUUGACACCUCUUACUUCACCAUCUUAUUUUACACCUCCUAGAACACCUAUGGAUACUUUGUACAAUCACAAUGGAUUCAACCCUCUCUAUGAAUCAACAAGUGAUGCUGAGUUCAAUAAGAUAAAGUCAUCCCCACCUCCAACUUUUAAGUUCUUGAGAGAUGCAGAAGAUAAAUUGCAGAAGAAAAAGUUACUUGAAGAAGCUGAGAAUUGCUCUCAUAAGAAAGAAAGAUUUGUGACAGAAGAUGAAGAUUCUUCUUUUAUCACACUCAUUGUGCCUAGACAAAACAAAGAAAGAGACACAUUUUACUCUUCUAGCUCCUCACAGGUUCUUCCUCUGUCUGCUUCACCUCCCUCCUACAAACACUCAUCUAACAAGAAACCAUCUUUACAUUAUAAUUAGAGACAUUUUUGUUGUAUUUGUAAGAUUUCUCAUCUUAUUUUGUAUGAAUCUUUAAUUUUUCAGUAAAAAAAGUGGUAUUUAUUCUAGAUAAGUUUAAGAAUGAGCGAGAAUCGAACUCAGAACCGCAAUCAGAUAAACCAUGGCAACUUGGCUAUGCCAUUCUUUAGUUUUUAGAAAUCCUUACUGCUAGACUUUUUUAGUUAGUUUGUUUUUUGUUACAUGAGUGAUGAAGUUGAUGAUGCAAAUGCCUAGUGCUAGAGAAUUGCAUCCUGAAUUUUCAGAAGGAGACAGCAUUUCCUUAGAGACUUUAACUGAUUGUAAGUUUGGUGAAAUGAUGCCAUUGGAGGGGCUAGUGAGAAUGAUUUGUUUUUAUUCAAUCUAUGUGUCCCUUCAGCUGUGUAAUGAUUCAACACAUGUUAUCAUUCUUGUGGAUGAUGAUGCUAGUUUAGAACUCAUUGUAUGAUAUUGUCAAAAAGGUCAUUGUAUAUUCUUAUCAAAAUUUAAUGUAAAAUCAACUUUUUGUUGUCCAAUAAAUCUCUGUAAGCUGGGACUUAUCUAUUGUGACCAACUCAUUCAUCCAUAUCGUAAGUUUCAUUGGAGGCACUUGCUCCAUUUCCCGGAUGCUAGUGGUCCUGUCUCAGUUCUCAACCAGAAACUGCCUUAUAAUGUUAAUCGAUCAUCAGAACUAACCGAUUGACCUUUUAUCAGAAAUUUAUCAUCAAUUUUUUCGAUAAAUCAGAGAUUUUAGUCUGAUCGAAGUAUGAUCAGUAAAUCGGUAAAAUAUUUUUUAAUGAUCAAUCAGAUAUUAAUCGAGAAUCUUCAAAAUAUUCCUAAAACUUACGGAUAACUUUUACAACCGACAUGAGAUAACCCGUAAAUUUCGACGAAAUUUCUAACUUAUAAUGUUAACCAAUUUAUAUUCGAACAAAGUCCUUUCUUCAAAAUUUAAGAUUCUGCACCUUGCACUGAAGCUGAAGCAUGAGUGGUCUGCGAGCACUGGGGAUAAGGAAACCUCAUAGAAAAAGUGCAUGAGUUUGAUUGUUUGCAUAAAUUAUUAAUAUUCUAUAUUCUCUCGUUCUAAUAAAGUAUUGAAUCUUAUAGCACUAUAUUGUAGAAAAAUGUGAUAGUUUUGGUCAUUUACCUAAACAACAAGGAACGAGAAGCAAGCGUUCGUGACAAUAUCUGGUUUGGUAAGGCCGAAAGGCAAUGCACACACUGAAGAAUCAUUACAGAGUUUACUUUGACAGAGCACUUGUAUAUAAAUAUAUGUUGUUGAAUUUUGUGGGUGAAAUUUACAGGCUUUAGAAUAGGCGCCAAUCAUACACAUGGGUCUGUCUAAUGUAAAAUUAUUACAUACGAGACCGUAAGAUUAAAAAUAAAAGUUAAUUUGUCCAGUUUCUCAUGUCACGUUGCAGGAUUUUUCCAACUGUUAAAACCUGAUUUGUGAGGUUAAAAAAUGCAAGGUACAGAGUUACAGGUGAACUUUUUUUUCAUGAAGGUAAAUAUAAAAAGUAAGAGCCUGUUUGUCCCGACUUAAAGCCGGGAUUUAAAGUUUAUCCAAAUUUAAACUGAAAAAUGUCAGUUUGUGUAAUAAAUUAGAAGUCAGUUUAAAGUCAAAAAUAAGUCAGGAAGUUGACUUAAAGUGAGAAGUCAGUUUGAGGUAUUUUUUUUCAGGGACUUAAUUUUUUUGAACUUUUUUUUGAUAAAAUUUACCCCUAAGUCAUAAGCUACCAAUAAAUCAAUUUUAUUUUUAUUUUUAUAUUUUUAAUAACUUUUAAGUCAUUAGUAAGUCAAAAUUACCCAAACAUACAUUUAAAACUUUUAGUUUAUCACAUAAAUUUCGUUAAGUCAUAAGUCAUAAUUCCAGUCGAACGGGCUCUAAACCUAAAAGGCUUUUAAAGUUAUGUAUUACUCCCUCCGUUUCAAUUUACAUGUCCACUUUUAAGAAAAAUUUUUGUUUCAAAUUACUUGUCCACAUCAACUUUCAAUGCAAAUGUAUAUUUCCAAAGUCAAUUCUACUCCACAUAUCUUUUAUUUAUAUUUCCUAGAUCAAUCUCACUCCACAUAUUUUGAUCAUUUAAUGCAAUUAAUUUGUGAAUAUUCACUUUUCUUAAAUUGUGUGAUUUUUUAAAGUGGACAUCUAAUUUGAAACAGAGGGAAUAUCUAAUAUAUACACCGUCAUAUGAAUAAACAUGAUUAUAAAUUGUUUAUUUGUAAAGGAGGAAGAACAGAUAAAAGUCGCAAGGGACAUGAAAGAACACAUGUGGCCUGUUUGAUUUCUAAUUUAGUAUUUUAUGUACUCAUAUUAUAAUAUUUACUAACAUGCAAGUUCUACUGGGGGAGUGGACUGGUGAAAUAUACACGAUCACUUGAUUUUGGUUUGUGGACGGUUCAUUGAGAUUUGUUAAUUUAUAGAUUGGAAUUUCCCGACUUUAACUCUUUUAAAAGCUUUGAGAUUUAAGAAAAUUUUGAAUCUGAAGCUUUGAUUUUGGUAUGUAUUAUUUGUAUAUAUAAUUUGCAUGUAAUUAUUGGCCAACAUGUUUUCCGAGUAAUAUCAUUGAAAAAAAUUUAUGAACAUUUUGUUGGAUCAGACUUUUAUGCUUUUCAAUAUUUUUCAACAUAUCUGGCUGUGAUAAUGAAUUAUGAACCAAACCAACAUAUUCGUUAUAUCCCGUUUUAAAUCGGGCCUGAAGUGGGUAAAAUAUACCUCCUACCCUUUAACUUAACUAGAGAGGUGCUUUCUUUUAUCUCUCGUUUUGAGAGUCGACUCCCGUAUUAGGGUUUCAGCCGUCACUUCUCCGUCUUCCAGAUUUUCAUCUUCACACCAAUUAACCAAUUCGCUCUCUCAUCCCUUUUAUUAUUUUACUAGUUUUUUAAUAAAAACAAGAUCUAAUCUUGUUUGAGUACCUUGUUAUCAAGGUUGUGUGCCCAUCUUUUUGGGAUGUCAGUGUUAUGUUUUCGUAUUUUUAUGUGUCUUGAUGUGUCGUUCGAUUAUCAAUCUGAAAAGGAUUUAUACGGUAUUUUGGGAGAUCGGUAAGACUCGCAUCGAUUUCGGAACGAUGGUGGAUAUCGCAAGAGCUCACCUUUCACAACAAAUAAUUGUUCAUGUUUUGGAGACGUUUGGUGCUCCAAGAUCAGUUGAUUUGACUGAUAGUUCUGAACAUUGGGCUACAGGUGAUGCUUAUGUGAAGGUCAAUUGCGAUACUACUAGUUUCAUAACUGAUGUAGGUUGGAUUGCUCGAGAUAUCAUUAUAAUACUUUUUAGAUCAAAGAAUAUGAAUAUUCUAUUUGUUAAGCGAUCUGAAAACAAAACGACUAUUUGUUUAGUUCGUUCUUUGUUUCACAAUCAGAUUGUAAUUGACAGUUCGGGGGUUUGUCCUGGCUGGUUUUAUGCUUCGUAUUAAAAAAUCCUUUGUUUGUCAAAAAAAAACUAGAGAGGUGCUUUCCGUGAAAACUCCGACUUAGUGCAUAAUAAAUAAAACAGUGUGAUAUAAUAUUAAUAUAAUACAUUGACACAUGACCUUUUUCACAUGGGACUUACUUAAAUAGUUUCGAUUGUCGAUGAUGGGCGACAAUGAUUUGGAACCAAGAUAUCAGAACUGUCAUUGCACACUUUCUUAAAUUAACUUGAUUCCUUUUUGUGUAAUUCAUUAUUCUCCAUUAUCUACGUUGCUAAAGCAACAACCGCCAAUACACUAACUGCCAUCAUUCCAACGGAGCCUAUUUCUUUCAUGCCCUCACUCCCAUUCCCAUGUAAUACUAUUGUAGAUGCCGACACGAAUUCUGACGCUUCCACCACAAAAAUACGGUUGUCAAAUUUAGAAACAGCGUGAAACCUUGCCAAAUCCUUCAACAAACCAACAUCAGUAAUGAUUCAUUGGUAUGCGCGGGUUAAUAUAAAUGAUUCUAAACUAUGAACGUUGAUCCUAUUUUGAUAUAUAUAAAUCUAUGUAAAUGAAGAAAUUAUAAUAGUAUAUUGAUUUUUUUUCCUUUAAGGAAUGAUGAAAUCAAGUUGCAACCAUAAUUUCUUGAAACAAAGAAGAUAAUUGGUAUCAUAUAAAAUUUACUACCUCUUUCAUAAAAAUUCUUAAUAUUUAUCACUCAUUUUAAUAUAUGUAAAAGAGAUCUAUAUAUACUAUUUAAUAUGUAUUGUAAUUUUAUCAAAUAUAAAAUUUAUAUAGUCUUAAAAUAUUGUUUCUCGUAUCGUAUAUAUUCUAAUAUGUUAAACCUGUAAAUAAAUAGGUCGUAUAUAUUUUUUUGAUAAAUAUUUAAAUAUAUAUAAUUAGAGUUAAGUUCUAUGGAGUACACAAAAACAUUGGAGUAUUCGAGUACAAGUCUUAAUUUUUUAGUUUAAUCAUAAAUAAUAUAUUUGAUUAUACAAAUUUAUAUACAAUCUAUCAUUCAUAAGUUGUCUUGCACAUAAUUGUCUAUCAAUCUUUAAUAUCUUUCAACUUUAACAAGUAUUAACAUUAUUGUUCUGCUUAUUAGUUAUAUUGCAGAACAUAGAGUCCUGUAAUUUAUAAAAGUCAUUAUUCUACCUUUUGUUUACAAUGUUUAUGUUGUGUAGAACAUAAUGUGCAGGUUAUUAAAUGUUUACGAAUAUUAUUGAACAAAAAAAUUGAAAUUUAGAUGAAUAGAUUAUAUUUUAUCCAACUUUGUACUCCAAUACUCCAAUAUAUUGUGUACUCCAUUGAACUUUACCAUAUAAUUAUAAUAAAAAGUAUAUAUAUAUGUGUCAAAAUAAUGAAGAAAUCUAUAAAUGGACAUAUAUCGAUCAAAAUAGUUAUUAAUGCAAUAAUAUAAUUCAGUAUAAAUUAGUUACUCCCUCCGUGCCUCUCAUUUCUUUACACUUUUUUUUGCAUUGUUCGAUGAGCAUUUUAAGAUAGAAUAUAAUUUUAUAACCUUUUUCUGAAAAUUUUCUUUUCUUAUAAAAAUUUAGAUAAUAACUAUUUAUUCUGAAAAAAAAUUGAAAUAUAUUUUCAAACUAUAUUUUUCCCUUCCCCCGACGUAAACGGAGGGACGGAGGAAGCAGCUGAUUUGAGGUCGUUUACGUGAGCUCUCAGGCCCAUGUUACGGCAUGCUCUUUCUGAUCCGUCCAUGGAUUUCCAACUUUGGGUUAUCUACACGGGCCUGUUCAGCGAGUUUACUAUUCGAGAGUCAGAUAUGCCCACAUAUCGUAGUCAUAGUACCACUGUACUAGUAUGCAAGGUCGGAGCCCAUUCCAUAAUAUUUAAACUUCUGAGCUUCAUAUAUAAUGCCAAUGUCUAUACCAUUACUAGCCUCAAAUUAUAUUUUAAUAUUAUUUAAUAUAAAAUGUUCAAUUAUGUUGUGAAUUAUCAUAAUUACUUUGUUUAGUAUGGAAAGUGAAAACCAUCGUAAUUAUUUAGCCAAACACAAUAUAUUUCAAUUUUCCUAAACUUGUAAGAAACAGUACAUAGCAGUAUUCUUUGCGGAAGACUUGGUAAACCUUUGCUUGAUAAAAUGAAAAAAAAGUAAUUUUUCUAAAGUUUCCGCAUGUUUUUUAAAAUAUUACUUUAAAAUUUAUGAGAAGCAAAUCUCUAUAUAAAAUCUUAUAAAAGUUAAUUAACUUCGUGCAUUCUGCUUGCACGGUUUCAAAACUUUUAUCACAUUGUUGUUAGAUUUCUACAGCAACCGAACUUUUUCGCUAGCACUGUUUUGAGGGACACACCUUUUGAACAGGAUUCUAAAAUCAUUACUUACUCCGUCUCAUUUUACCAAUUUCAUGUAUUUUAAGUUGUUAAAAAAUUCACAUCUAAAUAUAAUUUUUAAAAAAAAAAUUAUAAAAAUCUAAAAUUAAAUUUAUAUAAGAAUUGAUUUUUUUUAUUGUGUGUAGAUAUUUUUUUUUACACCUCAAUGUAUUCAAUAUAGGUGUGAAACAGUCAUGGGAAUAACAAAUAUUUGAAACUUUAGUGAUAAUAUAUAAAAUAUUACAUAUUCCCUCAAUUAUGGCGGUAUCGUACACAAACCCUGUUGAGUAAACUGUAAACCAUCAAGACCCCCGCUAUCAUAAGUCAUAACAGCACUUUUAAGCUCUCUGAGCUAAUUUCACAAACACCUGGUGUGCGUUUUGCUGAUCAUCCAUGAAAGGAAGCAAAACAGCUGUAUCUGUCGUUGAAAAAUGCAAGGUAGCAUCCCUUUAUCCCCCUCUAAUAUCUACUUGCGCAUAUAUGUGUGUAUAUAUUUUUGAUAAUUUAAUUUUUAUUUGCUUAUAAUGUAUUAUGUUCAUUUUGUAGACUAUAUUGACAUCAAAUUGGCAAGGGAAUCUCAAUACCAUCAUGGCUGACGCUCAAGGAAGGUAUUCACUGUGCCCCCAUCACGCUGAAAAUAAAUUAUUUUGAAUGUUUGAUCAGUUACAUUUCUAAUGCAGCAAAGGGGAGAUUUAUACGUCGAAAGUUAAUUACUUCAUUAAGAAAGGGAAGCCGUACUUAUGGGUACCCGAAGAGGACUUGCACAAUGUGGUAUGCAACUUGUUUUUGAUUGGUUUAUUUUUGUGGAUUAUAUUAUGUGAAAUUUUUGCAAGCAUGUGUGUUGCUUGUGUUUAUUCGUAAUUAUAUUGGUGUGUUUUGUUAAGCUCCUGAGAAGUGAAGCAGUUCAUUGAAGUGUUUUUGUAGAUCGUUGUUUCUGUUAUAUUGUAUCAUAAACAUGAUAAUUUUAACUAUGUUGUUAUUACUGUAACUGUUAUUUUUGUUGUUAUCGGUGCUGCUUUUGAAUUUGGUUUGGGGGUACUAUAGCCUUGAAUCUCUAGUGCAUUUUGGCUUGCACGGAGAGAGAAAGUUUCGAAACAAUUUUUUCUGGCAGUGUAAGUGUGUAACCAAAAAGACGUGCCAGAUAACGGAAAACCGGUGAGUGGUGGCUAUCGAGAAGUAUGUGUAACAACCAAAAUAACUUAAACCCAAUUGUUUGAUUAAUGUAGAGUAAACCUCAGAGUUGUGGCCAAAGUUUACAUCGAUUUUCAAAACGUUGGCUAUAGUUCCAAAUUCUCAAAAAGAUGGCCAAACUUUGGCUUCGCUUUUUAAAAGUGUGGCUCUCGUUAAAUGUCACUAACGGGAGCCCAACGGGAGCUCAUUUUUAUCCUUUUGUUUAUUCCAAAUUCUCAGAAAAGUGGCCAAAUUUUGGUCCGCUUUUCAAAAAUGUGGCUCCCGUUAAUACAUUUAACGGGAGCCACACUUUUAAAAAUCGGAGCCAAAGUUUGGCCAUCUUUUUGAGAGUUUGAAACUCUGGCCAACUUUUUGAAAAUCGGUGUAAACUUUGGCCACAAUUUUGAAGUUUACUCUUAUAGUUGUGUGUAAGAAGGUGAGACAGGGUGAGACAUAACUUGGAAUUUGAGAUGAAUGUAUGUCUUUAAAUGGCAAGACUGAGUGUAAGAUAUCAUUAAUUGAAUGACUGAAGUACUGCAUGGGCAACUGUUUUCAUUUCUUGUUGUGUUGAAUAUUUAAAAAGUUAUUGAUGUCAAGUAAUUUGGCUUUUCAACCAAUUUUAGUGGAUUAGAGAGAAUCACUAAAUGAGUGAUCACAGUUCUCCAAUAACACAAUGAAAUAACUUUGCAUUUCAUCUAUAAAUAGCUAGAUUAGUCUAGUUUUAGGAUAUUUUACUACCAUUAGCAGUAGUGCUCUUCACUCCUGCUAGCACUGGAAUGCAAAUGUGCACAUUACUUAGCUGUACGACAUUUUUGAUACUAAUCGGAACCAAUUCCUGGUAAUGGCGUGUUAGUAUAGUAACUAACUCCAAGAAUCUUCUGACUAGUCAUCAAUCCAGACGGUGAAUGUAUCUGCAUAUCUUUCUCAAAAGAAAUUAAUAUUUGUGACUCCCGCCAGAUCAUCACCAGCCGCGAACCUAAACUUGGAUAAUAAUUUCAGAAGUAUGAAAUGUCGUUGUGCUUGAGCUUCGUCCAAAAGUAAUUGUUCUUGUGCAUCGAAAGUGAUUUUUAUAAGUUCUGUUUUUUUAAUUUUUUUGUUACAUAUAUAGUACUUGUGAUAUAAUUGACAGUGAAAUCAAAUCAAAUUUGUAAUUUUUGCAACAUGAAUACUGGUUAUUAUUUUUUCUUGUACACCUUAGUUGUUACCGAUCUUCUAUUUAAGCUUCUCCUUGACGAAUUUACAAACAUGUUAUUGGUUUGCUGCAUGGUUCAAAGUCGUGGACAAAAUUAACUGCUCAAUUUGACUUCUCUUACUUUUCUAGUAACAGUGUGUAGCUAAGUAAUUGAACUCGUCUUUGUGUCUUUUUAUUAUGUAGAAUACUAUCAUCGACGAACGCGGAUCAUUUGCUGUGGCCACACCUUUUCCAGGCCCGCUUUUAAACAUACUCCGGUCAAUGAAAAAGGUUUCUUGUAUAUAAUUCUAUUUCAUUCCAUUUCUUCAAUUGAAAUUAUCUCUUUUUUAUUGCAUAUAUAUAUACAGUAGCUGGCCAAUCAUAUAUGAACUUUGUAAAAUAGGAUCUUGGAUUCUUCAGACAAGUGACUUAAGACACAAUGACACUUUUAAUAUAACAUAUUAGAUGGUCUGUUAAAAAUAUUCUUGGUUAAUAUAUAAACUGGAAUUAGAGAAAAAUAUGACUUUUGGAAAAUAAUUUCCUAAAUAGCAUACAUGUGCAUCAGACAUGUAUCACUUAUCUAUAUUAUCAUUUUUUUAUUUUAUUGAUCACUCACUCAAACAAAUUUCUAAUUGUAAACACGGGCUCUGCAAUAGCACAUUUAUUAUAAUUUCAUGUAAUAUUGUGCAGUUACCACCUCGAGUUGCUCUAAUGGGAGACAUUGUUCCUCUUAAAGAUGAAAAGGUAUGAUAUCUAUUAAAUCCAUCAGAUUCAUAUAUAAAACUUCUUUCGAAUGACUUCGAAAAUUUUCUUAACUGUUUCCCUAGAACUGUUUUCUUUUGAGGUGAUAGGUCUGUACUCUGUAGCAUGACAUAGGAUUUGUCACAUUAACUGUUCUGAUAUUCUUCCAAGUUGGUGAUUCUUAUUCCUUUGGGGUUUUCGUCAUCUUAGAGUUUCUUGCUGUUUCAAGUGUUGGUUUUGUGGCUGCAGUGAAAUUUUAAUGGGAAAUUGCUUAAAUAAUUAUUCAGGGUACUUGUGUCGCACAACCUACAGUUACGCCCCAUUAAGUUCGAAGGAAAGAUCAGGGGGACAAUGGAAUGAAAUAUUUACUAUUCAUCAUAAGUUUAUUCCUUUCCUCAUUUUGCUCGAGCAAAUUUUGCAAAUCACACUAUAGCUCAAUUCUGCCAAUCAAGGGACCGAUGCUUGUUCCCAUGUUCCUACCUCCUGCUUACAUCCUUUACAACCCUUAUUUGUAGAUUAUUGGUGCCUGUUCUUGUUCACUUAUUUCUACUGUAACCUUUUAAUCCAAUCUUGAUUUCCUUGCAAUUUCUAAUUCCAUUCCUCCUAGCCGAAUGAAACAUAAGCAUUUAACAUGGUUGCUUGUACACAAGGGAUAACUGACGGGGACCUAAUUCUUUGGGAAUUUUUGUAUUGAGUUUAUUGCAAGUAGUUAUAGACUUUCUGAUGUAUUAUGCAACUUCUAAUUAUCGCAGGUAAAACUUGUAUUUUCAUGAAAUAUAAUUUAAUUUGUUGGAUUUGAAACUCCACCAUUUGAUUAGUCGCUACUCUGUGAAGCACCCCUAUACAUGUGAUGUAGGUUUAGCUUUUUAGGUUAACUGCUAGUAUUAACUCCGUAAUUUCUAUUUUCUUUCCGUCAUGUCGCAGGUUCAGUUAGCUACAGAAUGCCUUAGAGAAACCAUAACUUCUGAACAGAAAGCAUUUAAGGAAUCUAGCUAUUCAGUUUCUGGUGUAUUAAGCACUGCCAAUCUGGAGUCCACUUCAAGAAGCCAAAAUCUUCAGGAUCUCCUUGAUAGCAAUAAAAGCUACACAGUAUAUAAGUUGGAUUUAAGGUAGCAAAUUUUAUUAUUAUAUCGUUUACUUUAUACAAUAUUUCAUCAAAAUGUUGUUUUGUAUGGAACAUAGAAAGUUAGAGAAAAGUACUUGAAGUAUAAGACAAACACACAUCGAAGAGGAUAAACUAUUAAGCAAAGCAAAUUUAUCUGUUAUAUUUCGCUCGUAGAGCAUGAGUCUGGAGUGUAAGAUGUUUGCAGACCCUACCUUGACUAGUUGACUCAUGAAAGGAUAGGCUGUUUAUGCAAAGACCCUCAUCCCUAAGCCUUGACAACGCAAUUACAAUAAUAAAACACAUACAUAAAAGCAGUAUAGACACGAACACAAUACAGUAGGAGCCCUCUAAGUUAAUACGUUCUAAACCUAUAACUCUCUAAAUUGAUAAGAGGUCCCUGUCCCAAGUUGGGACCAAUAUUAAAAUUUAAUAACCCUUCUGUUGUGAUAACUAAUAUAUUUUAAGAUAAUCCCAGUGUUAAAUAUCGGUCCCAACUUUUGCAUAAAGUGAUGUUCUCGACUAUAUACAAUUUUGUAUACACUUUGUGAUCGUGAUUUUUUUUUUUUUUAAAUAUUUAUCGGUGCAAUUUUUUCUUGUUAAACAUCCACACCAUGUAUUAUUAUCUAAAUUACUUUUAAUUCAUCUUUAUGAUAUCUUUUAUGUCAUAUUGAUGAUUUUUUUUUCAAUUUAGGGAAUGUUAUUUAAAUUUAUAUGUGUUAUUUUGACCCCGGAAGCAUGGUUGUCAUGUCGGUCGACUAGUCGCGACUAGUCGGCGACUAGUCGAUUAAGCGAUGAAGGGAUGUCGACUCAACAUUUCGACUAGCUGAAUGUCGAUAUUUCGGUCGCCUGGUCGACUAGUCAGUCGACUAGUCGACUAAGCGGUCGACUAGUCGACUAUUUCAGCUACAGAUUGAGCAUUUUGACUUUUUUUAUUGCCGACUUCUUAUUGUUUCCACUUUCCAGCAGAAUGUGUUUACUGAUAUGUUAAUGGUUUCUGGUUAUGUGUUUCUUGCAUUCUGUAUUUCUAAUUUCUGCACUCCGCAGUUUGAUUUCUGUUACUGUUUGUUCUGCACUUAUGCAGAUUUCUGCUCUUUAUUCUACAGAUUAUUGCUUUUGCUCUGUUUAUUUGUAAUCUGCAUUGUGCAUAAAUAAUUCUGUACAUAUUAUUUCUGUAUAAUUUUGUUGUGCACUGCACUACCAGUACCAUACUUAAUUACAAAUUACAACACAUCACAGUAUCACACAAUUGUUAAUUUGUUAAUUGUUACAUAUUUUACAUGAUCAGAAGUACUUUGCUUUGUUGUUAUUUGUUAACUCUUUCCACUUUUCCGUCAUUCUCUUCACGUGUUCGAUCUUUAAUUCCUUAGAUUCUGGAAUAUAAUAUUGUGAAGGUGUCAGAACUUGGGAAACCUGAAUUACAUAAUGUAUAUAUAUUAUAUUCAAUAUAUAAUAAUAUAUUAUUUUUUGCCGACUAGUCUGCGACUAGUCUACGACUAAUCGACUAGUCAACUAGCCGAAGGUCCAUCGACUCGCUUCGACUUACCGACGUGACAACCAUGCCCGGAAGUGUUAAUGCAUAUAAAUAUAAGUAAAUCACUUGAAAAUAAUGGAUAUGAUAUGUAUUAGUAGGUAGAAUAUUUAUUAUAAUUAUUUUUAUCAAAAAAUAGAAACCUCUCUUAUAUGAUAAGUUGAUAACCUCUCUUAAGUGAUAAACUUCUCUAGUCCCAAAAAUAUAACUUUACAGGAUUUCUACUUAUAGAACUCUAUAAAGUGAAUACCAAGAGGUAAAAUGUCAAGCACUAAAUGGACGGAGAACAAACGGGAAGCAUAUUACACCAAAAGAAAUUAACCAUUAAGCACUCCCGUCCGCACACCCACCCACACUCCUAUACUACAUUACUACCAUCCCCUUUACCCCCAAUUACAGGAACUUUCAACCCUUUAGGAAUGUCAGCUGUUAUGUCCUCAAAUAAGGUUCAACUUUAGAUGUUGAUGUAAUGAAUUUUAGUAUUAACUGCUCCAUUCACCACGAUGAACUAUGUUAACCUUAACAAAUCUGCUUUUUUGUAAUUCUGAAAAUUCGAAUACCACAAAAUACAAUUAGUGUUGAAAUAUAAUGUAGUAAAUGGUUAAUUUUGCCAUUUGUUUUGUCUUUGCUUUUCUGUCUUUCGUGUUCCAAUUCUUACCACCUUAUUCUGAGUUCUUAUAUACAGUAUAUCUUAUUGCUUGUUUCACCCAUGUACUGUUUAUUGCUUGGCUGAGACUAGGGGUGAAUAAUCAUCUUAUCUUCUUAGUAUUUGUUGUCUGUUUUGAAAUUACAAAUUGAUUACCAGUACUGAAAGCUACUUUUUCACCUCCCUUUACUUUACAUGGUAAAUUAUUUAUCUAUGGUCAAAAUGGUAUCACCCUUUUAUUUCUUAAGUAUCUUUUUGCACAUUAAAGAUAUAUUAAUAAAAAGUUUGAGUUUCAGUUGAAACUCUGAUUGGAGUAAUCUAUGUGGGUGAGGUAACAAGGCAGAUAAUAGUUGUAAAGUGUUAAACACACUGUUCACAAAGUUUAAAACUUUCAUAGCAUGAAGCUUAAAGCUAAUCACCGUUGCUAUCCGAGGUACAAUUUUAGAGAUUUGAGACAAUGUAGGCCUGUAGGGCUCAAUUUUAUAUCUACCACUUAAUUUACUAUAAUUAAAGUAUGUACUAGCCAUGUGAUUAGCUAUUACUUAUCUACCAACUUUUAACAUUUUAAAGUCCUGGUUAUCUUCUUAGUCCUGGUUUGUCCGAUUUUUGGCCCUGGUUUGGUGUUUAUCAAGGCAAAGCCUUGAAUUUGAUAAUACUAGUACCUUGUUUGGGAUACAAGAUUCUGAUUAACAAAAAACAUAUAAUUGCUAUAUUUACAGUAUCAUAUGUAUGUACCUGAAACUCUCACAGUUAACCCAAGGGUCAUGUGUUCAUAUCUGAAAUUCCUCUACCGCUGUUGCGAUUCCGAUGAUGAUUCCAAAAUAAUCCCUACCCUAACUGCUUCCCCAACAUCACAGUUUUCAGUUACUGUCCAUUCAACUCGUGUCACCAAUUUUCAUCCCAAUAUUAACAUUUUUAUACUCUGGAACUCACUGCAAAGGAUUGAAGCAGUGGAGUUCCUAAAUAACAUUAGAUCUGUAGCAGUUCCUCAGACAUAUGUCAUUUCUAAAAAGCGAUAUGUUGUAAUAUUGUGAAACCUGAUUAUUUGUAAACCAUAUACUCGAAAGACAAUGUAAUGGGACUCAAACAGAUUGGUAAGUUUUGAGAUUUAUUCUUUCGGUAUAUAAAAUUAAUAUCAACAUUGAAGGAAAAUUUAUUCAUGAAGUCACAAGGUAAAAUACGUUCAAGCUGGAAAAAACAAUCAUGCGUCUGGCGUAAAAAUGAAAUCAGACCAAUUUUCCAAUGGAUUCUUACUUGGGAUACUAGGAUGACAUUGUUCAGUAUGCUUACUCCUGGUAGCGAAAUUAAGACUUUCAUGCAAAAGAGUUUUAUUCAUCCCGUAUUGACAUUACAAAAGGACCCUUGUAGAGAUGGCAGAAAAAACCGAUCCGAAUGGAUACUCGACCGUUUCGACCCGAAUGGAUAUUACCGAACCCGAUAUUUUGGAUUUGGAUUUGGAUACUAGGUUUUCCUUAUCGAAACCCGACCCGAAAUCCAAACCCGAUCCAAACCCGAAGCCCCAAAAAAAAUCAAAUAUAUAUAUAUAUAUAUAUAUAUAUAUAUGUGUGUGUAUGUAUACUAAUAUACUUUUUUUCAAUUUUAAAUCUACUAAAUUUUGUUUAUAUAUAUAUAGGUAGAGUGUGAAUGUGUAUAUUCUUGGGUUAUAGUGACUUUUUUUGUUUAACUAAUGAGUUACUUUAAAAUUUCAUACUCCAUAUAGCGAAGAUUUGUGUUUAGAAAUUAUUAAAUACUGUUCAAGAUUUUAUUAAUGUGUAAUAAUUUAUUAUUAAAGUAGUUUAGUUUUAAAUAUAAUGAAAUUUAAGGGCGAAAAAUCAAAAAUAAUAUUUUUACAAUAUUAUAUAAAUUUCGGGAUUCAGGUUUUGGAUAAACCCGAACAAACCCGAACCCAAUCCGAAACCAAUCCGACCCGUUGCCAUCUCUAGACCCUUAGUAUGUAAAUAAAUAGAUUUUAGUCGAAUCAGUAAAGGUUAAGUUAUUGAUACCACUUUCUUGAUCUGAAAACUUUUCUGCUAUGUGUAUCUCUCCGCAGCUCAUGUACUUACAUAGACAGCAACGGAAGUACCCAUGAAGUAGAUUUGGAGACAAUUAGAAAAACUAAAGCAGACGCUCUAUGUAAGUUCAUAAAAUUCUUGUCUUCCCUCCCCCCAUCUAAGCGAGUCACUCAUGAGCAGUAAUACCGUGUGUGUGUGUGUGUGUGUGUGUAAUAGUUGCUGGUAACUAUAAUAUUUUAGUUUAAUCCUUCUUAGUCCUUACGCUACGAAAUUGUCUUCUGUAGCACCUUUCUCUAUGAGUUUAAUCGAUGGAAUUAAUCAAAGUGAAGCAAGGAGGAGAGCACUGAUCUUUUUCUGCAUCACAUAUUUAAAUAAGAAUGUCAAGGUAAGUCAUUAAUCAUCAAAUUUCUGUGAACACCAAGGAACCAUGUAUAGUAUGCAGUGAGAUAUAGGAGAAAUCAAAUAGGGCUUACUUAAGGCUUUUCUCUGCACAUUUGAGUAAAUAAUACUUCCUCCACUUUCGAUGAAUUGAUAUAUGAAGUUUGGAAACAAUGAGAAAUUGGUUUGCUGAUAUUAUAAUAAUUUAGAAAAUUCACUAAUUAAAAAAGCAUGAGUUUUGUAGUUCAUGUGUAUACAGACAACUGGAAACUUGGGUAAAAGCCGCUAAAUAAUCUUUACAUUUUAUUUCUGGAGAGAAUAAGUUGAGAUAAAUGAUAAUUUGUGUGGUUAGUCAAUAAGUCAGAUAGUUGUAGUAACUGAUAACUCUAAUAUGAACACAUAUUUACAUAUUCUACGGCAAGGUUGCUAUCUUAAUGGGAAUGAGGAUACUAAUAUGUGUUCAAAGGCGUAGCUUGUGACUCACUCGAGUCUAGCAGAAUCAAAUAAGAAUUUCAAAUAAAUGAACUUGAGCCAUAUCUGAUUGAGGCAAAACAAAAAUUAAUUGGAAUCUGAGCGAGUUAUAUGAAUUCGAGUAGAAUCUGACAAUGUAAGUAUUCGUAGGCAUUUUAUUUGGUUUCACCCCUCUCCUAGUAAUUAAUAUGUGUGGAAUAUUAAAAAUUUGGUGCGUUCACUUGCCUAAAUAAAUUGAGGUUUGAGGUUGUAAUUUGAACACUUUACUUGCUGGAAAAUAAAUAUUGGAAAAUAUUACUAGUUCUACUUUGAAUCACAUGAUAACAGACUUGUACCUGUACUGUAAUUUAUGUAGUAAAAUAAUAAAUUGUGGCAACAUAUACUUCCUAGAAGGCUGAAACUUAUUGUAAAUUCUAGCACUGAUAAUUUGUAAUCCAUCAUGCAAGCUACAGAGAACUAAAAUGUUAUACUAUUAUCUCUGAUGGAAUAUACUUGAUCGACCAUGAACUUUCACGUUCUAGUUCAAAGCUAUGUGAUGUUAAGUGCAUUGCUAAAGUCUUGGACUAUCAAUCCAUAAUAAACUAUUGUCAGCAGUUUCCUAGAACCUGUUAUUCUUUCACCCAAGUUCUUUCCCUUGUAUCAUACGGAUUCCUUCUUCAAGUAACCUUUACGUUUCCUGAACAGGACGCGUUAAUGCUCUCUGCCGAUAGGAAAGGCUUUGACGUUCUAGGCAAGACUCUUGGGCCAGUGAUGAAUGAUGGUUCCCGUCAGUACCUGUGGGAAGAACUCAGAUUUGAGCUCAAUGAAGAAGCAAAAGAUAUUGAAUCAUUCUGUCAACAGCUUGUCUCAAUGGAAGUGGAGGCCCUUAAAACUGUCUCCAAGUUCAGUGGUAUAUGAUGCGCAUAGCCAUAUUCAUACCAGUAGUGGCCUAUGAGAAUGAGACAUGAUGUCUGCAAAAUUGAGGUAAGACUGGAGAAUUAGAUUAAUUUUGCCAAAAUAGUUGUAUGCUUCUGUCUUUGUAUACUACAUUUAUGAUUGUGUUUUUUUGAAAAAAACUUCCGAUCCUUGAAAUUUCUAAUCAAUUCGUCCAAGCCAGUUUUCUUAGGUUCAGCUCUCACAGAUAUACACGGUCAUGGACCUUUGGAUAUAUGAUUUGGUGGAAUUGGCUUGGGUUGUGAAACUGGUGUACCAUAAAUUUUACAGUUUAAGAUUUUCUAUUCACUUCAUUGUGCUAAGUCUGCAAAUUUGUCUGGUGGCUGCAAUACUCCAGAGAGAUUUACAAGUAUAGGAAAGGAUUCAAAGUGAUGAUCAGUACACAAUAAAAGCUAUGAUCUUGUACCACUAUUUUUUUAAAGCCGGAUUUCAACACAAUAUCAUAUUCUCAUGCAUGAUUCGUAAAUACGCAGUAAUAUGUAUAAUUUCGAGUAAAAUGCAUGACUGCUAUUGGGUUGGCUUCGGAACUUAAAACUUGUCAGUUCUGUGCAGAAAUAUCAUUUUGAACAAUGCAUGUAACAAAGAUUUGUCCUCGCUUGUUCAAAAUGUUGUUUUUUAUUUGAAAUUAGUUAAAAUCCAUAUAUUUUUUUGUAUUUCGUGUUCCCGUGUCACGUGUCAAAUCGUCGGGUCUAGAAAUAAGUCAUGCGACAUAAACCCUCAAAGAAAGACUUCAAGACUAUAAAGUCCGUUAACCACAAGAAAUGGAUUACUAUCAAAUAUAGAAAAAAAUGGGGGUUUACUAUGAGCAAACUCGUGCGUUUACCAGCUUCUUUUAUACAUAUAAGAGCCAGGCAAGAAAUGAAGAAGAUGAAUGGGGAGACCAUUCAGAAGUGACGUGGCACGUGAAGAAAAGCAGUAGGAGACUACCAAGUCCGACCAUAAGCAUCUUCUGCUUGCGGUAGAGCCUCCUCAGCUCAAACUAUAUACUUUAUAUAUCUUACUUUAUCAUAUGUGUCCAGUGGUGAUAUCAGACACGACUCGAACCCGACCCGAACUUGUAACCCAUUUACUGAAACAAAACUCGAAAGUGACUCGAAAAUUACCUUCAAUUUUCGAAAUUUUCAAUUUUCAGUUUUAUUUAAUUUUAGAUGAUUUUACCUUGACCCGAAAUCGACCUAAUUGCUGACAUGAACACGACUCGUUAUCCGAAAUUGCCACCCUUGCCUCUAGUAAAGUUCAUACUGCCCCAUAAUUUCGUUGUUAUUUUAUUUUCCGCAAGGCUCAUGUAAAUUGUUUCUGAUGACCCCCCGCCCCGCCCCACAUUUCUUGUUCAUGAAUGUAGAUGUAUUGCCGGUGGCAAAAUCGACCAGGAGAUUCCAGCCUAAUGUUUGUACAAUUUGACUUUAUUAUUUAAGUAGUUUUUAUGGUCUUGAUUCAGUUAUAAGGAUUUUAUGGUAAUGUAUUUCUUCUCGAUUGUUCAAAAAAAUAGUUGUAAUACUAUAAUAUGUAUGAGUAAUGUUAAGUACAUCAAAAUCUUUUCCCAAAUUUAAUAAUAUUUUCGCAAUAUGUGAAAUAAUAAUAUUUAAAUUUGCGGGACGAGAUUGGAAUUAAGAUGAACAUGAUCACAACAUCCAGCAGUCCCUUAUUGCAGCUCGAUCUUUAAAAAUUCCGUGCCUUGUAAGAGUGAGAUUCUCUCCCAAACACGUCACAUUCAGAUCUCUUUGUAGCAAAAGCAUAAAUCACGAACAUCAAGCUCAUAGCAAAAUGUUGUGGAGCCUUACAUAAUAUAUAUAUUCAUGCAUAUGUUCGUUUGCAUGUGUAUCAUGUCUUGAGGGUCGCAUCAGUCGGCUGCACAUAUUUUCAUCCCCUUUCGUCACCGGAAAACUUGGAGCUUCAUAGUUGAGACCUGAAUGUGUUUUCAAAUUUUGGUCACGACUAGGGUACUCCUGUGUUUAGAAUUUUAAAUAAAGUGAUGUGACACUUUUUAUGUUUAGACGCUUUUUUGAUUUGGUCUCAAACAAUUGUUUUCUGCAGUAUGCAUUUUAAAGUUCGAAAAACGCUUCGCUUUGCACCCCAUGACCAUUCUCCGUUUAAUUGACCGUUAAAGUUAACAGAUUUCAGAUUUUCAUCAGAUUUUCAUUUUGCACCCACAAGUAUAAUUUUUUUUCAUGAGCAUUUUGAUUUUUUUUUCAUGAAUCAAAAAUUUGUUUAUCAUUUUCGUCUGCUAGGAUAUUAAUAAUCCAAAUUAUCCGAAACUUAAUGUGGAAAACGAUACAUGCAGAUGGAUAAGCCCUCUAUACUCGGGGAUGCUGCCCUAUUGUUCUUAUCGUAAGAUGAAAAACAAUCAACAUCACCGCAAAUGACAAGAACAUUUUGCAUUCAUGAAAAAAAUAUAUUUCAAAAUACUCAUAAAAAAAUUAAAAUUGUGGGGUGCAAAGUGAAAACCUGAAAUAUGUUAACUUUAACGGUCAAUUAAACGGAGAGUGGUCAAAAAAGUGCAAAGCGAAACGGUUUUCAAAUUUUAGGGUGCAUACUACCAAAAAAUUUGUUUGAGACAAAAUCAAAAAUGCGUUUAAAUAUAAGGAAUGCAAAGUGUCAAUCACUCUUUUAAAUAUAUAAAUGAAAUUUAGAGAGCUAGCUAGGCUGUAUAUGAACUUAAAUGUAAACCCGAUUCAUUCGUUUUCAUGUCUUAACUAGGAAAAUUUAAAGUGCAUGAGUAUCAACUUAUAAACCCCAUCCAUUUAUAUAUAUAGUCUUUCUCUGUGUCCUAAUUUAUUAGAAAAAUCUAGUGCAUAUUUGGCAUAGUCUGCUUCUAACUUUUUUCAAUAAGAAACCUGCUUCUACUUUCCAUCACCCGUUUGUGUAAAAAAUCAGAAGCACUUAUAAAAAACUAAGAAUACUAACUUUUGUUUCGGACUUCUACUUCUUUCCAAAAUAGUUUAAUCAUUUAUAAGUCUUAAUUUACUUCUCACUUAUAAUCCACUUCUUUAUUUUAAGUAAGUAAGAAGCAUUUUUUUUAAAUUUAUCCAAGCGGGCUUACUCUAGUUCCCCCACCCCAGAGAUCGACAGAUCAACUUUCUCAAAUGUUAUACUCUAACAUUGCGUUAACUUAGAUGGAAUAAAAUGGAAAGAGAAUGUAAUGAAAUUUAUGCUGGGGUAAUCGAAAAAAAGUCUAUAAGAUCAAUUUCUUCUAUCAUUACAUUCCAAAAUAUUUAAAUAAGAAAUUUCAUGUGUUUUAGAAGGAAUGCUCAUUUCACUUCUUCACUAUAAUUUUUUAUUAAUAGAAAAUUAAACUUACCUAUAUUUAGUUAAUUACUACAUUCUCCUUCUUUUCUUUUUCUUCAUAAUACUUCUUUGAUGUUUCUCAUAUUUCAUUUCAUCCAAGUUCAUUUCAUCCAAGUGAAUACAACCUAACUGUGCUGUGAUCAUUACAACUUUAAUCCCUAUCAUAUAUAAUGUUAUAUGUGUGACCACUACAACUUUUGGUAACCGUAUAAAAUCACAUAAGAAAUCUUCCUCAAAACCCUAACAAAAUUUAUAACUAAAGUGAGAGUGGGCUAUAUAUAUAGGUAGCCAUCAAGAAAUAAAUAAACAGACACACACUUCUUCCUUUAUCUUUUCAUCCUCCACUUCUUGCUUUCUCUCUCUCAGCUUUAGUGACGCAAAUUUCCACCAUAAACCACCCAAACUUUAUCAAAAGAAAGAAAAGAAAGAUUAAAAGAUCAAAGCACUAUGGUUUUCUCAUCUGUUCCAGCCUUUCAAGUACUGGAUCCUCUCAAUUGGCAAUACCAAGUAAGUUUUUACAUUUAUCUCUUCAUCAUGAUUAACUUUAUAUCUACUUCUUGGAAAAAUUUGGAAUCUAGUAGCUAGUUGUAAGAUGUGUAUAUACUCUUAGACAUGUUACAAGAAAGAAUUCCGCACUUUCACAUGGACUUUUGACACCAAAUUUGUCGGAUUGACUUUAAAUUUAAGUAUGAUAUAUAUAUAUACAGAGAAGUGCUCAAAUACAAACUAUAAUCGAUUGGUUUUGGCUUUAAAUUUACAGCCACCAGGAGGAUCAGUAUCGGAUAACAAUAACGAUGAUAGCAAUCACAACCACCUCACACUACCACCUAUGCCUCCGUCUCACGGCCUUCCAAUCGGGCCUAAUUCAAUGGCAGAGAGACCUAAGUUAACAAAGCUUCCACCUCAAGAAACAGCCUAUAAAUGCCCGCGUUGUGCAUCCACCAACACGAAAUUUUGCUACUACAACAACUACAGUCUCUCACAGCCAAGGCACUUUUGCAAGGCCUGUCGUCGCUAUUGGACUAGGGGCGGUGCACUGAGAAAUGUACCUGUCGGUGGUGGCUUCCGGAGGAACAAGAAAAGUAAAAGAAUUAGGUCAAAGUCUCCGAUUACAUGUAAUAGCUCAGCAAGUGGAGUUUCUUCUGGUAGCUGUACCACGAACAAUAUUUUAGGUCAUUCAGCCCCUUCAAUUUUACCACAAUUUCCUUUGUUGCCCUCGAUGAAAUUCACUGAGAUUCUUGGAGCUGAGGAUAUUAACAGCUUGAUUUUCCGGGGAAUUCAGUCCCCAGCUGCCGCGUCUGGUGAGUAUAGUGAUCAAUGGAGAUUGCAGAAAUCCGCUGUUGCGCCUGGAGUACUGGAACCAUUAUCAACAGGAGUGACGUAUCAGUUUCGAGGUGAAGGUCUAGGGGAAGCUACCACCAGUCAGCAUGAUUUUAAGACAGCAGACUAUUCUAGUGGCCCUUCUCAAGCUGAGUUGAUAAAAUUUGGAGAAGAUCAAGGAUUCAUGAGUUUGCCGAAGAACGUUUUGGAUUUUCCGGGGAAUGAACAACAAGAGUAUUGGAGUUCUGUCUAUGCAUGGAAUGAGCCAAAUGGUUUAAAUCCUUCUACAGGUCAUCUCUUGUGAUUUAAAUAAUUUUUUGUUUCCUUCGAAACCCUAUUUUAUCCAGCGCUGGACUAUAUAUUAUUUUUGUUUGAUUAAUCUCGUGUGUUUGAUGUAUAUUGAAUAUAAAUCUCUCUGCUAUCUUAUACAUGAAGACUACCGUAAUUUAAGAAUUUGUACUCAGAUCAAGGGUGAAAGAAGCAUUGGCCGAGUGAAUGAACGUGUUCUGUUAUUUCUACGACUGAAAACCCUAAUGAAGAAGAAUGGAUUAGUAUGUUUGUUUUGAAUUUUGAUAUGUAUUGAUCUUCUCUAUAAGAAAGAUAUUCUUGUGUAACUACAAUUUAAGAUCAACAUAUCAAGGGGAUGAAUAUAUGUUUAUUUAUAUAUAGUAGAUAACCUUUGAGCACUGAUAAUUGGUUCCUGCAUGCGUACUUUUAUGUUGUGUCUGGUUAAAGUGAAUGAAUUAGGAGAAACGGAAUGAAAUUUUAAAUAUGUUAUGGACAAUAUAAUUGUUUAUAAUUUUCAUUCCUUCCCCCAUUCUAUUCCUCCUUAGCUAGUAAGUACUUUUUACGAGUAUAGGCUCGUAAAAAUGUUUCAUUUCCACAGAUGUGUAGGCAGUUGCCAGUCACUCCCCAUGCAUGUUUGUUCAAGCAAAUAUAGUAGUACGUCUAGUAGUCCUAGCUCGAUGAGCAUCAACUCAUAAAGAACGUACUGAUGAAUUAAAUUUUGUACUUCUCUCCCAUGCCCUAAAACAACCCUCUUUCUUGGACAGUUCAAUUCCCAAUGUUGAAUAGUAAGAUGAUCACUUCAGAUUCAUCAGCUUUUUAUGGUGGGAGAUAGGUGUCGUCAAAGUGGAGUAUUCGAGUAAUUAAUGAGGUUCGGCCAUGCUUGAAUACUACUCUACUCUCCCUUAAUUUCCUUUCUCAAAGCUAGCUUCUGGUAAUUAUAAAGAUCGACAAUAAAAGCCUAUUCUCCAGUACACGCACUCUCCUUUAGAUUCAGCACUUCUGUGCAGGGUAAUAACAUAAAUUGGGACCUCAAUGUAUCCCAUGUUUUAGUGUUCGAUUAAUUUGCAUUUUAGCUUUCCUAAGUGAGAACUGAGAACCUCAUAUUCAUCAAGUCGUAGGUAAAUAAUUUACAAUACAUCUCUUUUUGUGAUACAAUAGCGUUUCCAUUCUUAUUUACCUCAACCUCAUAUUCAUCAAGUAGGUAAAUAAUCUACGAUACAUCCCUUUUUGUGAUGCAAUAGCGUUUCCAUUCUUACUUACCUCAAUUCGACUAUUCUCAUACUCUUCAUUCCAUUUUCAUUAUCAUCCGCCAUCGGACAAUGCCCUUAGUCUAGAGAAGCACAUGAAUGUCAGUGUGAUGGGAAAUAAUUUUGUAAGAAUGAUACAACAAUGAUCCAUAUAUAUGAUUGAGACAUAAUUAAAGUGGUGGCAAAAGAGUAAUACAUAAAGAAGAGCCGCUGAGUGUAACAACUACAAAUUAUUUAGUAACAGAAUCUGUACUUAAAGUUUGUUGGGGCUGCCAAUUGCUUUUGUGAUAACCAGGACAAGGCAAAGGCAAAGCAAAACCUCGCCCCCCUCCCCCUCUGUCAAAAAGCUUCUGCGCAUAUAUUACACGCACGCACUCGCUUUCUAUCAAUGUGUGCAUGAUUUGUGAAAUAAUUUAGCGAUGGUUGUAGUGGUUGUGUCCAUUUGCUGAAGAUAAAAAAAUGUGGGGCGCGACUGCCACACAAUCACUUCCUACACCGUAUUUUUUAUCUUUAAAAAACACGAUACUUAAUAUGAUUAUCAGCGAAUUCUAUGAAUAUACCAGAUAUUGAGAUUAUAUAUCGAAUAUUAUUUUUCAAUGUCUUUUAAUAUUGAGUCUAUUUUAAAAAUAAGGGUGAGUGUACAAGUCCGGACAUGUUUUGUAUAAAUAUAAUUCAGUCUCGGUUAGAAGAAUUGAACACAUAUCGGAGCAAGAAAAAAAGAUGUCAGCCUUAUCGGAUAUAGGCUGAUUAAUUAAAUGUAUACAUGAUAGUUUUAAAUCUUGCAGGUGAUAUAACAUUAAAUAAGAAAAAUGGAGGACGGCGUAUUAAAGUUGUUGAGUCUUGAUCCAUGGUUUAGAGAGUAAGUUCACUUUGAAAAAAUCUUGACUUUGGUCUCAUGGCUUACAGUGGGUCACUUCAUUUUGAAGAAUUUCAUAGGCUAUGUCGACUUCAAUCUGAAGUGUUAUGUCAUUUUGGUUUGAAAAAAAGGCUCGUAUCAUUCGAUGACAGAGAAUUUCAUGACAAAAGCGAGUAUCAUGUUUAGAAAAUUAUAGAUCAAGAUACUAUUUAGUAUUUACAUAUAUAUAUAUAUAUAUUACACUCACACACACACACACACACACACACACAUAUAUAUAUAUAUAUAUAUAUAUAUAUAUAUAUGAGGUCGAAAAUGACAUUUGAAAACUGAAACUUGAAAUCAGGAAUUCAGUGGNNNNNNNNNNNNNNNNNNNNNNNNNNNNNNNNNUCCCUACACUUUUAUAAUAAAGACAUGGUUUUCGUAUACAUUUUACCCUUCCCACACCUUAAUCUAAGUGGGAUAUAGUUUGUAUGUUUAGUCUGGUUUAGUUUAUCUUUCAGUAAAUAUAAACACAUUUACGAGUUACGACUCAUUCUUGAUUUUUUUUUUUUUAAAUUCGCUCACCUAAUCCUAAAAAGAAUUAUCUAUUAAUUUACUGAUUAUAUUUCGAUUUAGCUAAAAAUUCCUAUUUAUCCAAUUUUUUUUAAUAAAUUCUAAAUUAAUAGAUCAAUCGAUUAAUUUCGAUACUAAUUUUUACGAAUAAUUAUAUAUGUUGUCACAUCGGAGCUUUUAUUUGUGUUGCAUGUUCUGCUCCGCCCAUACCAUGGUCGAUGUACCCUCCUUACUUCUGAUGAUAAACAUACUAAUUAAAUGUAGUGUAUGUAUGUUUCUCUUUUGCUAGCCUAUUGUUUCUUUAAACAUUCAACCGGUAGUCAUUCCAAUUGUUCAAUUUUAAGCAAUAAUAAUUAAAUUAUUCGAGGACUCUCAACACUACAAAAAAAAAAGGACAAAAUCGACCGGAUAAAAUCGACUGCCUAAAAAAAAUGUCAACUUAAAAUCGACUGGCAGCAAUCGGUCGGUCAUGAGACAGCACGACAUCGUUUUGCCUUGCUGACAAGUUCCAAGAACUCUCGUGAAUCGGAGAUAUGCUCUUUCUAGCUCGCUCGUCCGCUGAGAGAUAUAGCAAAAGAUAACGUGCAUGAGAUCAGGUAGAUUAGUCCAACACAUUCGUUUUAUAAUAUUAACACUUGUGUCUUGGUAAUUAUAUAUCUAGCAAUUUUACAUACGCUACGCGUUUGAUUGUGAAGCGAGAAGCAGUUGACUAGGCUGGUAUAUCAUCCAGCGACUCCUUGCGAGUUUCCGUCUCACAUUACUAAAUUACUGUAUUUUCCUAUCACGAAAAAGACGCGAAGAACUCAUAUAUUAUUCUACACUUAAUUUUUUAAAUUUUGUUUAAAGUAAACUUCAGAGUUGUGGCAAUGUUUACAUCGAUUUUCAAAACGUUGACUAGAAUUCCAAAUUCUCAAAAAGAUGGUCAAACUUUGAUUUCGCUUUUCAAAAGUGUGGAGUCUAAUGAGAGCCACAUCUUUGAAAAACGGACCAAAAUUUGGCCACUUUUCUAAGAAUUUGGAAUUCAUUUUUACCUUUUUGUUACAUUCCAAAUUCUCAAAAAAAUGGUCAAAGGUUUUCUUACAUAACAGCGUGGUCUAGGAACAAAUGAUGCAAGUCGACUUGUUCAUUUGGAGUUUUAUGCAGCUUCUGCUAUUAUCCGAUAGUGAUCUCAUUUUAGCCUUUAAGCUCAAGAGAAAUUUCUGUUCGCUACUUCUUCAAGCAAGUUGCAAAUAUUUAGCUCACAACCACAUCACUAGUCAACCAGAGCAGCUGUCAUAUAUGUUUAAUUUAUCUUCAAAAAUGUAUUCAUAUUUGUUAAGAACUUUCUUUUUAUUUUUUUUAUUUUUAAUCAUCGGUCAACGUACGUACGAGGCAGUUGACCACAAGCCUGGCUAAACAUUCAAAGUAAACCCUACAAGCUGGAAGAUGCCCAGUACUUAUAAAUCCAUCAUUUUUCUCAAACUCAAACGCUGACUUUACACUAUAAUUCUAUAAAUAUAACAAGAACAAGUGUACAUAAUUCACAAAACAAAAAACACACAAAUUUUCUACACUAAAGAGAUUAUACAGUUGACAUAUAUAGCUGAGGAUAUAUGGCACCACCUCCAACGCCGCCCGUCGUAGCGCCGCUAGUAAAACUAGUGGUGAGAGUGCUUACUUUCAUUUGCUUGCUCAUAGGACUCAUCAUCCUCACCACCAACACCGCCUCCAUUUUCAUCAACUUUGCGGAAUUUAAGAUCCGUUUCCAGGAUGUUAAAGCCUAUAGGUAUAAAUCUUCAUACUUUUUUUUUUUGCUAAAUAUAAAUCUUCAUACUUGUGUUUAGUAUUUUCGGAUGGAUCCUAGCUAGUUUAAAUAAAAUAACACACAACAAAUUAAUACGUAAUUAUUUAAAUACAUUGUCAUCCAAAAAAAGUCUGUGACAGCGGGUACAAUCCUAGUUUUACGUAUUUAGUGAUGAAUUAUAUAUAUUGAUCAGGUACAUGCUUGCGACUAUUGUAAUUGGCAUCGCGUAUACUCUCAUGCAAACUGCACUCACCGUCUAUGAAGCAACCAGAGGAAACCGCAUUGGUGGCCAAGGCUUCCUUCUCUUCGACUUUUACGGUGACAAGGUAUUCACACCGAGAACUUCAGAUUUCAGCACAAAAAGAUAAAUAUAUCCAAAAUUAAUUAAUUGAGAAUUAAUGCAAACAUAAUUAAUUCAAAUCUGUGCAAAUGUGCAGUUUAUAUCGCUGUUGCUGGCAACGGGCACCGGUGCAGGGUUCGGCGUGACAGUAGACUUGAAAGAUCAGUAUGGCGCAAUAACUUCGGGCUACGACAAGUUUUUUGACAAGGGUUAUGCUGUUUCUAGCAUGCUUCUCAUUGCAGUUCUCUUCUCGGCUGUUUCUUCUAUUUUCUCAUCUUUAUCGCUGCCUAAGAGAGCUUAGUUCCGUUAGUGAGUCUUGUGUUAAUUCAUCGUUGUAUUUAGAUUUGAAUACGAUAAGUUUCUGUAAUUUAGAUCAUUUGCAGUUGUUGUACUUCCAAGAUUAUUCAUUGUAGUAUUUUAUAUUCAUUGUAUUCAUUGUAAUUGUUGUAUUAUGUUGUCAUGCAGCAAGAGUUCAUAAUCUCGAAUAAAUAUAUCUUCACGCAAGACUAGCUAUUAUGGUAGUUUAUAUGAAAACUGAAAUGAAAUUCCCUUGGUAAAUAAUGUUCAUGCGAUUCAUCUCACUAUUACAAUUUACAAAGGUCACAAUUACUAAAAAUUUGGAGAAAUUAAGGAUUCUCUGAUUUGAUGAUAUCGGUCCUCACAAAAUGGGUGAUCUUCUGUAUAUCCAUGCCGAGAACUGAAUCCAGAAUCAGUUUUUUCCCUUGCAUAGUCCGGUAUGAAUCUGUAACCUUCGGAAAAUUCUGGUAAAUUUUGUACUCUUUCGUCGAAAAAAUAUCUGUUGUUUGGGUCGUCCUUGUUGUUUUGGGAAGUAUUGUAAUGUGAAUUGCAUCUUCCGUAUUGUUUAGAGUUUGAAUCUGCGGAAAUAGAACGCUGGCAAAAACUUCCUGAACCUUUUAUCCCACUUGUUAUCUUUCGAGCUUUAUCCCUCUCUUGUUUAAGAUAUGACUCGUCUUUAAGCAGCUUCAGUAUUCUCUCAGAUUUGUUUCGGACACUUAAUCCCCAGUUGAACCUGCAUCACAAGUUAACAUGCAUUACUGCCACAAGAAUACUGCAUAUAUGCGUUGACCAUGUUGACGGGACCAUCAUGAUGUGGUGGCCUGGUGGGCCCCACAAAGCUGACUUGUCAAUGAUGCAUGUGUGAGUCUCGACCCACGUGUCAUUAACAUAUGAUGACUUCUUGAUAGAUAAUAUUUUUAAUAAAUAAGUAUAUGUGGUUGUACUGAGACUCUAAACUCAACCUCUUAUUACCGAGAGAAAAGAGAUAUCCAGCAAAAUACAGUGCUAGAAACUCAACCUCUUGUUAUCGAGAGAAGGAAAGUAUUUAUUAGAAUAUAAGACUUGAACUGAAUAACCUCUUGUUAUCGAGAGAAGAGAGGUAUCCACUAAAAUACGCUAGUUGAAACUCAACCUCUUGUUACCGAGAGAAGAGAGGUAUCCACUAGAAUACACCGUAAUGGAUCAUCUAUGAAAUAAUCGCAAUUUGUGACAUUAGCUAAUAGAAAUACUCACCCUUUCUCAUCAACAAAUUUGAGGCUUCCCAUCUCCCAAAUAAUGUCUUUAUCCUGCUGAAAAUCCUCUGCAACUCUCUUGGGACCAUGCGUUAGAAGUCCCUCCAGCAAAAUAAGCGCCUUAUAUGAACACUGCCACUGCUUUUUGUCGUACAUCCACAGCCUGCUAGCACAAAAAAAAUUCAAUCAACUUUUGUGAUCCUUCUCUAAAUUAAUUAUUCUUUUCACAAGCUAAAAAGCAGCAUAAACCUCUUAUGCAGAACGUCCACAAUUCUCCAGUACUCAUCAACUUCAAACGCUGCACGCGACAAGAAUCUGACAGUUCUACUAUCCAAUGUCAUCAAACUUCCAUCCGUAGCCUCUUCCGUCAGACUUCAACAGAACAUGCACAUGUUAACAGAAAUAAAAAUUGAUAAAAUUCGAUACAGAAAAAAGAAUUUAACAUACAUUUCUGCAGGUGUAACAUCAGUGAAGGCGAGCCUGGCGACCUUGAUCUGUUCUUUGAAGAAGAAAGAAGUCUUUCUCUUGAAUUCAUGUAAGGAAGGACUAGCCAUUGCUUGAAUUCUUGUAGAACUUCAGAGAAAUACUUAUGAGAACGUAUAAGAAGCUAUGAUCUGUUAAGAAUGCAUGUUAAGUAAAUAUGGAUGCUUAAUUAUGUAUAAAUUUAAUAAUAAUCAGAUAAUGCAAGUUCAACUGCUCCAUUACCUUUAGGCUUUAACUAAUUUUACCAACUACAUUCUCUAAGUGGAUUUGCAUAUGCAAUGAGCUAGACGCGACCUGAUAGAGACAAAUUAAUGGUUAUUGCAUUCUUUUCCUUAUCAAACAAUUUUUUUAAUUAAAUUCGAUGAUCAAUUUCUAACUUCUGGUCUGCAUUUUCCAUUUAGUACUAUAUAUGAAAUGCAUACAAGUAGAGGUUGACAAAUAGUAGAAGUUAAGAUACUGACUAGCAUUUGAACAAAUUAAAAACUAAACAAAAUUACAUCAGACACUUUGUGUAUAUUCAUGAGAUAAAUCUAAUAAUUUUGUGAUGGAUUCUUGUGGAUACAGAUCAAAUGGCAACACAACUGACAAAUGGAGGUCGAAAGCCACUUUGAAGUGCAUUGGGAACUUGUUUUUGUUUAAUUUCAAAACAGGUACCAAAUUUUGAAGUCCAAAAAUACCAAACAGGACCAAGAUUUUUUGGCUUUCAAUAGAAUUUCGCCGUGCCUAAAUUCUGAUCAAUCCUGUUGUGAUCUUGUAACAUUCUAGCCCUCUCAUCUCACAUGCUUGCAAGAGUCUCCUUUCUUUUCUCCAAAGCUUGAGAGUUCAUAUACCAAAACACCCACAUCGAAAACAAGGUUCCAAUCAGCACCCAUGUCACCAAAAGAUUCCUCCACCAGCUUUUUCGAAAUCUCUUUAGACUAAAAUACUCAAAAUAGAAAUUAUAAAUCUUAUAAGCCCUGAUCUUAGUGCCUACGUUCAUUGUUAUAAGAAAAUGUUAAUUAGCUUCUUAACAUCCGCACUGUAGAGCCAGCUAGACCUGUCAAUUCGUUCAUAUGGUAUACUUAUAUGUCGUGUACUCAAAGACCAAAUAUAAAACCGACCCAUUUAGGGUUCGUGUACUUUCGUGUCAUAUUCGUGCGUGUUUCGUGCCGUUCUCGGGCGUGUUUCGUGUAAAAUUGAAUAUAAAUAUAAAUAAAUAUUCGUGUGUCGUAUACUUUUUCGUGUCGUGUAUUCAAAUACCAAAUAUAAAACCGAUCCAUUUAGGGUUCGUGUACUUUCAUGUUGUUCUCGUGCGUGCAUGUUUCGUGCCGUUCUCGUGCGUGUUUCGUGUAAAAUUGAAUAUAAAUACAGAUAAAUAUAUUGACUUAAAUCUAAGAUUGAGAUCAAUUUGCAUGUUUUAAAUUUGAGGAUAUGCAUCCAUUUGAAAGACCAAAUGUCUAUAUAUAGUGUGAAAUGAUUGUCGGAGCCUGUCAAACAAUGGCCUAAUUAAAUGGGCUAUUUGCUUUUGGGUCAUUAUCAUAAUCUAAGACGGUUGCCAGAGCAAUUGGGUGAUAUGAAAUGGCUAAAGGAGCUUGAUUCACGCCGCAAUUGAGGAACUGCCAGAUUCAAUUACUCAGCUCAAGGAGUUGGUUCCAAUGAAUUUGGAUGGUUGCAAGAUGCUUAGAAAGCUACCACAGCAGAUUGGAAAUAUGAAAGGCUUAAUUAAGGACAUUUCUUGCGAGUUGUAGUGCAGUUGAACAACUUCCAGAUUCGUUUGUAGGCCUCGUUAAUUUGGAGAGACUGGAACUGAGCUGCCGCAGAAACCUUGGGAAUCUUCCAAAUAUCAUAUGGAAGCUCCAGUUGCUUCAAGUACUAAAUCUGGGGCACUGUUCAAAGCUGGAGCGAUUGCCUGAGCAAUUGGAGAUGAUGCAAUGCUUAGAAAAGCUUAAAGCAAAUGGAACGGCAAUUGAAGAAGUACUAGAUUCUAUUGGGCUACUUAAUUAGUAGGUUAAGGCUGUUGAAUUUGUCUUAUUGCCGUAAGCUAAAAUAACUGCCAAGUAAUGUGUGGAAUGGUGCAUCACUUGAAAAAUUAAUUCUUCCCCGAGAGGACAUCGAUAGAAUUAAUUUGCCUGAUGCAGUGAAAGAUACAAAGUUGGUUUCGUUAACUUUGAACUGUAAUAUAAGAUUAUGGUUGCCUACGAUUCUAAGUUUUCCUUCGUUGAAAAAGUUAUUCAUCUGCGAUGAGACUGAGAAUUUAUCUUCAACCAAUCCUUUCGGUCUCUCUGGGCUUUACAACCUACAAGUUCUCGAAUUCUCUGGUUGUGCAAUUUUUGGUUCAUCGUUUCUGGAACAUCGUCUUAAUAUAACACACUUAUGCCUAUCUAACCAUGCAACACUGGUACAUCUACCCGAUUUAUCAAGCUUGAAACAGUUGAAGAAGUUUCAUAUAUUCCAUCACAUCAGCCUUGAAUCACUUCCUCAUCAUCUUCAAACACUUACAGUUUAUUAUUGCCCAAGCUUAAAGAACUCUCAAACAUGUCAUUUUUGAAGGAAUUGAGUUAUUUGAAUUUUGGUAGCUGCAGCAAUCAGAAAUCAUUUAGUACCGAAAGAGUCCCCUGCAGGUAUGUUUCCGUUUGAUCUCCCUCCCUCCCUCUGUCCCAAAAUGAUACACAAUCACACUUCUAUAAAUCCAACUACAUUCUUUCAUGUCACAGGUAAUCAAAAAAUGCCUCCGUUUAUACGAAGCUGAGGCACCAAAGAUGGUAAAUUGGUUGAGCUACGAAAGCAGUGGGCAUACGAUCUCUUUUGGUACAUCCCACCACUAUUGGGAGAUAACUUAUUAGGUCUUGCGCUCUCGAUUGAUUUAUCAUGCAGAGAGCUGGUUCCUCAUUUGAGCAUUAGAGCUGCACUCAUAAAACAAAUGGUACAACAAAGUGCUGUGUGAUCCCUUUACACUGUAAUGGACCUCAAGUAUAUUCACUGGUGCAAUGCUUAAGUGGAGAUGAAAUCUCAAUAAGAAGUGGAGAUGCAUAUAGAGUUGAUGCACCAGAAGUAAUUUAUUAUGUACAAUUGAAGGUGAAGAUGUACGUUGUUCAUGUGAUACCAAAAACACUCUCCACCCCUGAUUUUUGCUCUGUUUUAAGCAACUUGAUUAACUGAUGUUUUACAUCUUUACAAAGUAUUUGAUUUUAUCUCUCAGUCAGUUCAAUAUAUUUUACUAUAUAUUACAAAUAUUUCAAAUAAGUCUCUGUUUACGUUGCUUCAUGUUUAACAUUUUUCUUUUGAUAAUUUCCUUUUUUCGACUUAUAUUUCAAUUUUAGAAGCUACCAUGUUACUAUAAGAGUAGUAAUUAUUGACGCACAGAACCGAAAUUGGAAUCUGCAGACACAUAUAUCAUUUAUGAAACAAAUUCGAAUAAGACAAAUUUAGAACCUAUCAAAAUAGAGGAGAAAAUUUCUAAAAGUAAAAUUUCAUUUAUUAUAAUAGAAUAUAUACAAUAUUGUUUACGUAGGAAUAGAAUCCUAAAAUUAAAUAUGAUCAAAUCUGAAUAUAUCGAAUGAUGAUAAAUAUAGUUUCACAGUGAAGGCACUCGCAGAAUCUUUACUACUUCACAUCGUUACUAUGCCUUCAAAGAUGAUAAUGCUCUUGAAAAAGGCCUAAUAAAUAUGUAGUUAUUUCUGGGGAUUGGCAUCCACCCCGUCCGGCUCGACCCCAAUUCGACCCACGCCCCGUUCGAGUCGGGGAUUCGAAGAAUUUUCGGGUCGGGGCGAGGAAUGAGGAAAAUGUUAUAAAAAAUUUGGAGAUCAGAGCAGCAGGGUCGGGGAUUCGUGUCUCCCCACCCCGAUCGCCGACUCCAAUUAUAUAUAUAUAUANCGACUAAGAAAAAUGAGGAUUUUGAAUUUAUCAUAUUCUGGCUUAAAAGCUAGAAAUUGACUUAUAAUUUCUUUACCCAAAUCUAGGGAUAGGCAUUUACCCCGCCCCGCUCGACCCCGCUCCGAUCCCCACCCCGUGCGGGUCGGGGAUUCGGAGAAUUUUUCGGGGGCGGGUCGGGAAACGGGGGAAGUUCUAUAAAAAAUUUGGGGGUCGGGGAUUCGUAUCUCCCCUCCCUGCACUUCCACUUGACAGCUAUCGUAAUGAUAAAAAACCCCGAUUGUAUAUAUAAAUAAUAAUAUAUUUAUAUAUAUUAUAUUAAAUAAAUUAUUAAAAUUAGAUAUCUUUUCUAAUCUUAUUAAAAUUAAAAAAAUAAUCUUUAUUUUUAAUAAUCGAUUAAUAUAUUGUAAUAUAAUAUAUUUUAUAAUUUUAAAAUUGUCGUUAUUUAUAUUUUAAAUUAGUUUUAAUAUGAUUUGAUGUUAAAAAUAUGAGAUGAUAUCAUUUUAUUAGUGUAUUAUGAGUUAGUAGUUUUAUUAGUGUAUUAUGAGUUAUUAUAUUGUAUUAUGAGUUAUUAUAAAUUAUAAAAUUAUUUUUUUUUUUGAUUAAAAACUAAAAUGCGAAUUCCCGCAGGGAUCCCCGUUCCUCGUUCGGGGCAGGAAUGGGGAAGGAAAAGAAUCCCCGUUCGGGGUUCGGGACGGGAUCGUGGAUAACUAUCAAAUUCGGGGAUCGGGAGGGGAUAGCUAUCCCCGACCCCGAAAUGCCACACGUCCAUCCCUAUUAUCUCUCAUAGCUAUGCUCAUUCACCCUGGUACCUCAAUGAGCUUGUUGAGAUCCUUAGACGCUAGAAAACGGUUUAUUUAACCUAAGCUAAACGACUCAAAUUACGUUUAAAUUAAAUUUUUGAAGCAAUUAAAUAAAUAGAAAAUUCAUAUUUAUUUAGUACUUAUAAUCUCAUUUUUUUCAUUUUUAGUAAUAAAUAAAUUAUACUCUCUUUAUCCGGGCGAAUUCUUUAUAUUGGGGUUGGAUACGGAGAUAAAAAAAAUGUAUAAAGUAGUAUAAAGAAUAAGAAAAGUGGAGAAAAAUUGGGAAUCAUGAAAAAGUAUGGGUUGGAUUGAGUUUUAUAUUAUUAAAUUUUAUUAUUUUGUGAAAAUUUUGUAAUGUAAAAAAAUGAAAGAGACGUUCAACAAAAAAAAUCGUAAAGAAUGCAGCGGGAGUCUUUUUUCCAACUCCGAAUGGGUCGGGGUCCAAUUCUGAGUGUGCAACCCUCUAAAGCGCCAAAAUAGAUGGUAAUGCAUGAAAGCUUGGUGUUUUUAACUCAACAAUUACUACCAGGCUACUGCCAUUUUGAUGAUGAACUCAUUUUUCUUUACAUUAAUAAGAAUGCUCACUUCAUUACUUCCUUCACAUACCUCCAAUUAAUGUCAUUAACUUGUACUCAUUUCCUUUUCUGCUAAAUGUGAUUAUUAAUAUUAACAAUUAAUAAAACAAAAAUGACUUGAAACUUCCAGGCUCAACGUGUUGUUGACAUAACAUACAAAUGGAAUAGAUAUAAAUUUUUCAGUCCCAUUUUUUGAAAUUGUACCAAGGCAGCUAGCUCUCACUUAAGUCCUCUCUCUGCAUAAAUACAAUUGUGUUAUGUGUAUGCAAACAUCAGACACAGUACUGAAAAGAUUCCUAUAAUAAAUAGUAAUAAAAGCCUCAUAUAACCGAAAUGCUUCAAGAAAUGAAAUGCUCUGCCACUGGUUUGGUGGCACAGUAUAAUCUGAUCAUGGGAGUUACGCUUGUCUCAUUAAUACUCCCUUCUUAUCGCUUUGCUUUUGCUUUAUCUAUCUCUUUCUACGUGCUUCCUCUUCAAUUUUAUUUUCUUUUACUGCUUUACCACAGAUAACGCGUUCUUUGCAUGUCUGUAUUAUUGUUUUCUCAUGUGCGAACAAAUUUAUGUCCUUUCCGGUGUUCUAAAAAUCGGCCUCGACCGAGUAAUUCUUACGAGAGGUUGUACCGAUUAUAAUAUGGAUAAUAGUCCUGGACAAUCGAUUAUUAGCGACAUAUCAUUAGUGAUGAAAAAUAAAUAAUAAAAAUAUUAGGACAGAUGAUUUUUCCGCUGAAAGAUAAUGUAAAUCCUCCUGCUUACAUAAAAAAACUAUAAUUAAUGUCUUUCGGCGGAAAAAGCAUGUUGAUAGUAUGAUGCAUCAUAUGCAUGGUAUUAAUUUUUCGAUAAGAUCUGAUUCUUGAAUUCUACAACAAUGAUACCUGCAGCAACAUUUUAGCUACUUAACUUUAAGAAUGAACUAUAAAUUUACAGUAAUUUGACUAUACGAAAUGACUUGUGUUGAUUUUGGUGUUUGGAAUAUUUUGAAAGAGAAAAAAAAGAGGGAAAAAUAUAGGUGAAGUUGUGCAGAGGUAAGUUGGGGGUUAUAAAUGCAUCUCCUGCCAAAGCUUACUACCAUCUUCUUAAAUAUCACUAGCCCUAGACAAUAUUCUCACAACACUCUCUCCCCUCUCUAAUACUUCCUCUCCAUUCUUUCGAAAAACUCCACAUAUAUCAGUAGCAAUGGGUGUUUUUCAUUCUUGAAGAGUUGGUGUUUGAUGCUAGCUAAUACAUGUUCAUACUUGUGACACAUAUACUAUGAUAUUGGCCGGGCUCACUCAGAUGCGCACAUAUGCACUUGAAUAGUUAUGAACGGUGAGUCUGAUUGAGCCGCGCCAAUAUCUUAGUUUUGUUUCAUUCAAACUUCCGGAAACUCAUCACUAGGUUAAUUGCGUUAUCUAUGUAUAUAUAUUUGUUAAUAUUUACCAAUCAGUUAUAUUUGAUUGGUUUAUAGUUCUUACAAACAAUCACCUCUAUUUUCUAGUUAACAAGAAUAUUGGUUUUUCAGAGACUGGAAAAUGAAUGACCCUUAAUUUUCAUUGCGAGAUGUCCGCACAAAUUUCAUUAUAUUCUCUCGUAUUUUGAUAUCUACUUUUCCAAACAUCACAUUAUGCUAAUUACAAUCAAUAGGAAAAUAGAAGACGGACAUCUGCAUUGUACAACACCAGUUGCUCCUCUAUAUGAUAGUUCAUCAGCUUUGAUUUAUGUCUCAAUUAGUCUUACAAAAAUUUUCAGCAUUCUGGCGCCCGUGUCCAGCGUCUAGCGUCCGGUCAUCUGAUUAUGCAGCAACUUGAAAGUGCUGGUUAGAGGAUCAGGGUGGAAAUGUCAGGUGGUGGUUAAUGUGACAAGGUAUCGGCUGCGGUUAUGGUAAAAAUAUAAUGCUAAAUAACAUUAUACACUUCACUCCAAGGAAACAGGACAAAACCGACCGUGCAAAAGAAAUACCGAAGUGUAAAUGCUACUACACAAAAAUUUACACUUGUAUCAUUGAGCUUCUAGCCUUCGAUCCUACUCGAAGGGUUCAUUAUAGAUGCAAAUCGAGUAGGGUUAAUAUUAAUACUAGUGAAGCAUAGGUAUAUAAGUGAGGCUAAAAUCUCAGCUUUCACUCCAAAAAAUUUCUUCUUUUUUUUUUUGCUAAAUAAAAUUUUCUUUUCUUUUUCUUCCAACUUAAAUUUAUUAAGGAUAAAUUAGGAGAAGAUUAAUAUGAUAGUCCUCUUGAAGUUGCUUUUGUAUAUUCAAAUUUAAGAAAUUAUUAUUAUUUUUACUAUUACAAACGACAUCUGGUAUCUUUAUACUGAACUAGAAUAUGGGGCCGUAAACUUGCUUCUCUCAAGUCUCAUCUGCAUGGGCUAAUUCCUUAGAAGUAAAAAUAAUUUUACCUGUUGUCACAAAAAAAUUACGUACCUUCAAAAAGAGUGAAUUUGAACGUUCUGUUUUCUCAAAAUAUUUUUCGCAACUGCUUUAUAAUUCUUUAAAUACCGUCAAAAACAAUUUGUGUAUGUGAGUAAGUAUGUUAAUUUUUGAAAAAAGUAGGAAAAUUACAUCAUUUUCCAGCUCUAACUUGUUUUUAUCAAUGUGAUAAUCGAUUUAAAGCAAUAUAAAUAUAUUUAUAUCCGAUGAUAAUUUUUAAAAUUAGAUUAUUAUAUAUAGCAAAUAGAAACAACAUGCAAUUGUUAGAAAUUGGAAAUGUAAAAGUUGUUUACUUUGUGUGCAGUGGGAAAAUCAUAAUCUAAAAAUCGAGAUCGGCUAUAUUAUUGUGUUAACGUGGUCUUCUGCCUGCAAAGGACAGUGGCUAAUUUGUAGCAUUCAAUAAGGCGUGUUCGUAAAUUACAGAAACGAUUACAUAUUAUGUGUGAACAUCAGACUAUUAUUGCGCAAAGUCAUGUAAACAGCCAAACUAUCAUCGAUGAUUGUAUAUUCAUUAUGUUACACUUCCCUUGACAGGUCAUAAGCACAGUACUGUUUUUGAUUCUUUUGUCGAUUGCUUCUCGUAUCAAAAAUCGAACCGAACCGAGAGAUCGAAGUAUACGCAUGUUUUAAAGACGAAGCCAAAAAUGGUCCGGUCUGUCUUCGGAUGACAAGUCUAUUAUUCUUGGAUGUCAAUGCUUUUGUUCUGAUUUCUGUCUUGGUCCACCCCCGAAUUCAAGCGGUUAGACCUUACGAAAUCGACAUUAUGCGAAAAAGAAUCUGAAUUUAACCAACUGUGAUAACAUGAGUUUCCUCUUGAGGGUAAAACUAGAAAUCAGUGAUUUCGCUUGCAAUGUACUCCCUCCGUCACCCUCAUUUGUUUACAUUGAGGGACGGGAGUUCGACACGCAUUCUAAUGCUCUUGUAAAACAUAGUUCGAUAAAUUAUUUUGAACUUUUUUUUCAUCUAAAUAAAAAAAUUUGAUGUUUAAAUUUUUAUAAAAAAAUAAAAUUUUUUAAAAUAAAUCAUAGAACUAUGUUUUUUAUACGCCUUAUAAUCCAUGUCGAGUAGUGUGAAAAAAUUAUAAAGAAAUGAGAGAAAGAGCAGGUCAUGCUUUCGGUCGGCUAUCAUGUUUUACACUUACUAGUUACUACUAUGAUUUUGUGUUCAUAUGCUUAUCUGUUUCUGAUGUACUGAGGUUGACCUUGGGGUGUGGCUAAGAUUACAAGAAAAUCAUUAUAAAAUUAGGAAUAUUUUUGUAAAAACAGGAGUGGAUUUUAUAUUUACGGAUUCAUCUUUAAUUUGUUAAAAUAUUGCCUGACCUCGGGUUAGCUUCCUGUGAGCACUUUCGGGCCAAUUUUCUUUUAAUUAAAUCAUUAAAAGUGAUUAUAUUGUAAGCAUGAUUAGAUGAGUGUUCAUAUUUGAGAGAAAUAAAAUCUAGUUAUAUGAUUAUUUUAAUUAUUUUAGUUUAGAAGUCAAUUGUUGCUAGUAUAAAAAUAUUUUUUAUAACACAACUACAAUAUCGGUAGUAUAGAAUACGGACACUCUUUUAUAUUAAAAAUGUCGAUUCUUAAUAUAACCAACAUCAUAGAUACUUAUGAUAGAUUAAGAGUAUCGGUUCUAGCGUUCUACACUUAACCUAAAGUAUAAAUGACUAUUACGUUCUUGAGUGGUUUAUUUAUAUUGUGUUUAUUUCAUCGACGCUGUAAAGCGGGUUAUAUACAUCGGCCAAUUAAUUUCAUUGACUUUGUAAAGUAAUUUAUUUAUAUUAGGUUUGAAUUCGAUGUUAUAUAUCAAAUUUAGUGGUGGGCAUAUUUGACUAUGAUAAAUAAUUUAAUAAAGUUGAAAAUAUUGAAAUUAGAUAUAUAGGGAGUGUUUGAAAACGCUUAUAAGUAUUUUCGGACUUUGUUUUAACACUUUAAAAUAUUUCUACUUUUUACGUAGUAAUUGGCAAAAGAAGUUGAAAUUCUUAUUUUGAAUUUUUUAAGUCAGAAUCUCAAAGUUAGAAAUGUUGACUUUUCUGGACUUUUUUUAAUGAUUUGCAUUUUAUUAUGAAAUUUUUAAAUUUUAAUAUAUAAUAAAAUUUAUUUAUUAAUUAAGUUUCUUUUAUUUCAAAAUUUUAAUAUUUUUAAUUUAUAAAUCUAAAUUAACAAACACUUAAUUAACUAAUAAUUAAAAGUCAUCCAAAUAUUUUUUAAUAAAUUACAAACCAAGUUCAACUCUCACUUUUCUUUUUCUUUUUUUUUUAGAAUGAGUUCAACUCUCACUUAUAAAUUAUAAUCAGACUUUGUUAAUAUAAUCGAUAAAUGAAUUUUUCGAACUCAACCCAACCAGCCCCGUAAUCUCCCAUUACCCAGCUCAGUCGAUACCCAGUCUUCGACUACCAGUCUCCCGAGCAAUCUGUGGUGCAUCGAGACAUCAAAUCCAGCAAUAUAAUCACAAGUAACGCCCACUUUACCGAAUUUACAAGUCACGGUGAGCAGGUUUAGGGGUAAUUCGCCCAAUUGAAGUCACUCUGCUAUUUAGGGUUUGUUUUCAUUCUGCUCUGCUCUGUUUAUGAAUGUAUUUAGGGUAUGUGGUGCUUCAAUUGAUUAUAUAUGUGCUUUCAAUUUGUGUUGUUUUGUAAGCUACUGUUUGAAUAAAUUCUAAUAAACAUCUACUGGAGUUCUGUAACUUGUCUCCAGUAUUGUCAUGGUAAAACCAUUACGAAACUUAUAUUUUCUCCCUAAAAAUCUUCUAUAAAGCCUGAAAUUACUAGGAAGUUGAGGAAUAAAAAUACAUAUGAGGAGCAAAUAGAAGGAAAACUUGAUGCAACUCGUAUGGUAAAUAAGCAGCCCAGCGGUGGACAAUGGACAUCACAGCCUUAACUUAAUUAUAACCACGACAAAUGUUUCUGUGCAGCUGCUCUUCGAUUGAACACAGUUUGGUUAUGUGUAUAACUUCUAUGUUCACUGAAGUGAAAUUUUUAUCCAAAUAAGAUCUAUAAAUAACAUUGAAACCCAUUCUAUUCUAUCUUCACCAAAUCACCAGUAACACUGUAAAAGAGGUCAUGCAUUCUGGAGGAUCUCAGAGCUCUGCUUUUAAGCUAAUGUUUUUUUCUGCAAAUUUUCUCUUGUUUUUUGAAACUGAUUAGACCUAAAUGAGAAAUUUAUAAGUGGAGUUUAGUACGUAAUAGAGCUUAAUUUGAUACAGUACUUUUUAGGUGAAAAGGAUGUAAUUGUCUGUAAAUUGGUUGUGCCUCACUAAGUUGUCUGUUGGCUGCAAUUAUAUACGGCUCUGUUAUACAAUGAGUUCUUAGCCUGCAAAAUGAAAAUGACACACAUUAAGCCCUGAUAUCACUGUUUAUACUUUAUACCUUAUACACACUGAACAUUAAAUAGUAAGUUAUAAAUCAGCAAAAAAGUAACGAUAGUGGUCAGAAAUUAAGCAGAACAACCAUAAUUCUCUCCCUCCCUCCCUUCCCCUCUCCCCUCCCUCCCUCAUAUUUAUUGAUAUGUUUGUUUUUAUGAUUCAUCACAUGCAUAUAUGUAUCAUUACUUGAACUGUAUAUAUCUACACAUGCUCAUUAAUUAAUGUUCUAUUAUUGUUUGUUUGAAUAUAUGCUUCAUUCUUGUUUGAUUUGAUUGAAAAGUUUCCACCUUUAUCUGAUGUUUUAAUACGAGGAUGCCCUUUUUUUUGUGUCUCAUUCACAGAUCUGUACUAUUGUUGUUGAGUAGUAAAGAAACUAUUCAUGGAGUAUUGUUUUUGCAUUUUUUGAAGACUAUAGUUUCAUGAAUUAGCUCAUAAUAAGGUAAUGCUCUUAUUUGACCUUCUGGCAAUAUAAUAUAUCCUGUUUAUGUUCUUAUGUUGCAUAAACCCUCUUAAUUUACUCCCUUUUAUUAAUUUUCCAUGAGUAAUAUCUGUAUCUUUAUUGAUACAGGGCAUAUCGUUGUGAGGUCGGCCUAAAGUUUUCAUUUUGCAGACACUUUCACACUUAUCAGUUAUCAGGUUAGACUUUUCACUUUUAUCCAUCUGUCUGUGCUAAUUAUUUAAUUGGUUCUUUUUAUCAUAUUUGAAUUUAUGAUUUGAAUUUUUGGUUGAAUAUACCUGCACUAUUGAUUUUGCGUUUAAUAUUUGGGGGAUUUUUUUUUUAAAAAAAAAUUGUGUCUCCUUUUUCCAAGGAUCAUUGGUGAAAUUAAAUGAUAGUUUAUGUAGCUAGAUUAAUUUGCAAAGUAUAAAUCUUCACUCAUCUGGGCAGAUUUUUUUUUUUUUAAUUUUAAAUUUUCUCUUCAAUUGUCACAGAUCUUGUUUAUAGCUUUUUUUUUAAAACCAACCAACAGCUAUUGCUAUUUGGAACCAAAUGUGACAAGUACAAUGGAAAAAAUUGUCAAUGUAGGUGAAACAGGCGGUAAAGAAUUAAUGGAAAGCUAAAAGUGUCUUGGUGAAAUCAUAGUUGUUGAGAUUCUUAUCUGUUCUGUUAAAGUUACAGUUGAAAUGUGUCUAUUGCCAAUUAUGCGUAGUGCUGUAGUCUAAUCUCACAGCACCUUCUCAAACUAUUUGAUUGCUAAUUUGUUAAAUGAAUUUAGUUAUUGUAUAAUCAUGGCUGAAGCAGCUCAACCUGAAAGGUAGACAUACAUUUUAUACGGAGAUGAUUCCGUUGAACUAGACAAAAGACCCGUGUGUGCCCUGUGGGAGGAUAUCUGUUAAAGAUGCUUGGGAUUGCUUCCCGAUUUCCAGUUGGGAGUGCCUCUCUUAAUUUUGACACAAGGUCCUUGACGUGAGGCACACACUGACUUGUGAGGUUUGAACUUGGAGGAGUGCAGGAAAAUAGUUAAUACAAAGUCAGGAACAAGCCUUGUGUAGCAUUGAACUUGUAUUUCUGAAACACAUUCAGAUCACUAGAUUGUAUAUACGUUUUUUCAGUUUAAGUAUCAUGACACUUUUUUUCUGAAUUUAUUAUUAUAAAGUGUUUGCAAGAAGUGAUUGACCUGAGUUUUAUUACCACUCAAUUGCCUAAGUCCAUAGUCUCGAAGACUUGGAGAUAGUUUUUGAGCAUAGCAUAAAUAUGGGGGUUCGAUCAUCAGUCGCUUGUUGAUCCACUAGCAGUAGUAUUCUUUAUUAGUAGCGGACUUGAGGUUGAGGAUAGAGUCGUCAGUGGAGUCGUUGCACAUACACGUACCUAAAUUCUUGCAAAAGGCCAUUUCCCUAUAAAAGAAUGUGGACCAUAAACAGUUGUGCAUUAUCAUACAAACAUCUCAUCUCCUUUAGCAACUGUUGGUCCAUAGUUGAAUUGUUCACUAAUUACUAUAUGGUCAUCUGUUUCAGUGAUGAAACGGGUAGACUUCCGUUUUAUAAUCCUAUUUUCAGCAUUUCUUCGAAUCUUUCUAAUUAUAUAUGGAGAAUGGCAAGACACUCAUAUGGAGGUUAGAUACACAGAUGUCGAUUACUUUGUCUUUUCUGAUGCUGCGGCGCUAGUGGUUUCAGGAGUCUCUCCUUACAAAAGGUCUACAUAUCGAUAUUCACCCUUAAUCGCAUAUCUUCUCACACCAAAUUCAAUAGUUCACCGGUCAUGGGGAAAAGUUCUCUUCUCUAUUUCAGGUAUCCCUUAUGUUUUACACUAAUUACAAUGGAUCUGUCAAUAUUUUCUCUUUUUGUGUUUAUUUUUUUUUCAUAUUUUAAAUAUUAAAUCGUAAAUAAACAAGGACAGAGCAAAUUGACAAAAGGCAUUCAUUUUAAUCUAUAUUGGUAACAAGUCAAUACCUUUUCUUUUGGUCUUAAUUUGUUCUCUUUUCUAUAUAUAAUUUGUAUGAGACCAUCUGAAAAUACUAACUGUGUUAUACUUGUUUUGAAGAUCUGCUUGUGGGAUAUUUUAUCCGGUCAAUUCUGAAGCUACAAGGUGUUUCUGAUGAAAUAUGCAUCUACUCCGUAAUGGUAUGGCUUUUUAAUCCGUUCACCUUCACAAUUGGAACCCGUGGGAAUUGCGAGCCUAUUAUAUGUGCUAUGGUUUUGUGGAUUAUUUUAUGUCUCUUGAAAGGUAUUUCAUCUUCUUUGUAAUGACUUCCCCAAUCUACUUGUCCUUUGUGUUUUUUGUUGCUUUGUUAAUUAAUUAAAAUGUGGACAACUCAAGUCCUUGUAAAAUAUAAUCUUCAUUGGGUUGCUGACAGAACUUACAGUUAAAAGGAAGAAAGGAAGCCAUGCAAAAUAAAGGAUAAUAUGCACCAACUUUUGUCAAUAUAUAUGUAUGAAUUCCUUAAGACAUUAAUUUUUUAAUGUGUUGGUAAAAUCACAUGCCCUAAUUUUACCUGGUUAUACAAUUUGUACUGUUUUGAAAUGUAUGAAACUUUUGAACGAAACGGUGCCCUCGGUGUGCAAGUGAAGCAUGGUUUUGAAUUUGCCAGUGACAAGUUGGGAGGACUCCAUAUUGUUAAAAUAUAUUGCUGAGCCCCCACCCACCCACACACACACACAACACACACAGAAUUAUCUCUUGUUACUUCUAGGCAAUUUGUGGUUAGCACUCCCAGUACUAGUCACAUUUCACGUAAAUUGUAUUAGGCUGCUCCUCAAUAGUUUUCUCUUGAGUUACGACAUAUUGUUCUUCAUUCUACAGGCAAGUUGUUACAGGCUGCAUUUUGGUACGGUCUUGUUGUCCACCUGAGAAUAUAUCCUAUUAUUUAUGCACUUCCAAUCGUCUUGGCCCUUGAGCCUUGCAAUUUUCAAUCUGGUAAAAGGCUUAUCCUUCGAAAAUGGAGUUCUAGAGAUAUUAAGGCAGCGCAGAGGUCAAGUACCAAGAAUGUAUCUGACCUAGUUCAGAAAUUGGGAGUUAUUGCAAGGUUGCUCACUAAAGAAAGAAUUCAGUUUGGGCUUCUCUCAGGGACUGUUUUCUUCUUUUUUACAGGAAUUUUCUUUUACCUGUAUGAAUUAGAGUUCUUGCAUGAAGCCCUAUUAUACCAUCUUACACGUACGGAUCCGAGGCAUAACUUUUCUAUAUACUUUUAUCACAUAUAUCUCCAUUAUGAGCGAGAGUUUUCACUUCCAGAGAAGCUUGUCUCUUUUCUGCCUCAAGUUAUAGUGCAGCUUGUUCUCAUAUCCCGCUUUAGGAAGGAUUUGCCUUUCUGUUUCUUCUUGCAAACUGUGGCUUUUGUAGCUUUUAACAAGGUUUGUUAUCUAUAACUCAUAAGUUUCUGAAUCUGUUAUAAUCAGUCAUUUGUCAGCUCGAGUUAUUUGAAGGAAUCUUGAAUUUUGAGUCUACAAAAGCUACACACCCUUGUGUGAACAUAAAGUCCUUGUUGUGCUUCAAAAUCAUGUAAGCAGGCAAAUCAGUCUCUUGGAUUAAUUGAUUCUGAAUUAUACCAUUUUCUCUGACAGGUCAUAACAGCACAGUACUUUGUGUGGUUCUUUUGCCUAUUGCCUCUAAUACUCCCUUGGAGUAAUAUGAAGCCAAAACAAGGCUUAGUAUGCAUUUCUCUGUGGGUUGGAGCACAAACACACUGGCUACUGUGGGGCUACCUUCUUGAGUUUAAAGGCAAGCAAGUUUUUUUGUGUCUCUGGGUGGCAAGUCUAUUAUUCCUGGCCGCCAAUACUUUUGUCCUCAUUUGUGUCAUCACCCAUCAUACCUGUUCCCCGUUAUUCAGACCCUUGGAACAUGUGAAUCGAACGAAAUCAGCAAAAUACAAGCAAUGACCUGGAUCACAAUCUUAACCUGUAUUAAUGAUUUACUAUUGAUUUUAGAAACCCAAUUUUGCUUGAAUUAUAGUUUUUUAGUGUCAAAGUGUCAUUCUUUGAGUUGUAUACAGUGGUAGCGUAAGCCGUCAGGCCAGUUUUGUAUGAUUGUAUAUCUACUAGAUAUUAUGAUGAAGUAGUGUUGAAACUUUAUUAUAACAAGAAACUUGGAACAUGAAUUUGUGAUGAAAAUGCUUUGAUAUCAUAAGAUAAAUCAUUUUCUGGCAGUCUGGCUGAUUAAAGGUCGCUAGUUUUGGUUGCUUCCCUAGAUAAAUUGAUCCCCUACUCCAUUAUCCCAUGUGGUUUACGCCAUACGUACAAUGUGGUGGUAACGGAUAACCCAGUGUCAAAGACAUAUUUAUCCGUGUAAAGACAUAUUUGCGGCUUGUAAGAGCAAGUCUAAUAGGUUACCUAAACUUGCUCUUAAACUUACAUUUAGGUAAUGUAUUAAAAACAAGCACUCCAAUACUAAAUCACUGACACAACCUCAAAUAGCCAUUAUUUAUUUAUAGGUAAUCCCUAGCCAUUACCUAUAUAAUAUUUAUGAAUAAAACAAUCAUUUCUCUCCUUAUUUCUUUGUCUUUUCCCUCCUCCCCCAAAUUUAUUAUUAAAAUAAUCUUAGGAGAACAAAUACAAGGAUUGCUAUUGGAAUUGAAACUAAAAUAAAUUACCUAAAUCACUAAGACUCACUAUGAUUCAUUAUUUUAUAUUAUUAAUAAGUAAUGAGAUAAGUAACCUAUUCAACUCGCUCUACAAGGUCAAUUGAUUUGUUUACAUCAAAAGGUUACAAGGCGGCAAAAAUAGGGAAUUGAAAAUAAUUAAUUGAUAUACCGAUUCAGUGAUUGACAUACCGAUUCAGUAUUUGGAGAGAUUUAUCUGAUUUUUUGAAUAAAUCAGAGAUUUUUAUUCAAAUCGAAAUAUAAUUGAUAAAUUAAUAAAAAAAAUUAUUAGAAUUAAUCGGAGUUUGGAGUCACCAUGUUAUAAUAUUGGCAAAUGGAUGUUUCUUAAUGUGACACCGGACCAAACAUUUGGCAGAAGACCGGAUGGUGAGAAAGUCUAAACUGCGGGAGGGCGCACAGUACCGAAUGUGCCCAACUGAGUAUUAGUUUUUCAUGUGCAGAACAGAUGAAUGUUAUCAACAACUCAACAUAGUCGGGAAAGAAUGGUGAUAGGAGUAUGAUGUAAUAUGAGCCUAGACUCGGACUCUUCCUGUUAUAGUACAGUGAGAUAUAUCUCUUUAAUUCCGGGAUCUUGGAUAUAAACUACUCCCUCUGUCCCUCUCAUUUCUUUACGGUUACUAUUUUGGGAUGUUCCCUCAUUUAUUUACAUUACUAUAAAUAGUAAGUUUUUCUCAUCAUUACACCCACUAUCUUCUUCCACUAUCUCAUAUUUAACAAUAAAAAUUACUAUUACACCCACUACUUUCCUCCACUAUCUCGAAUCUAUUAUUAAAUAUUGAUAGGUCCCACUACUUUACCCACUUUUCAUCUAACUUUACUCAAUUUUCAUACAUGUCUUGGUCUCCGUGUCCCCCUCCAAUGUAAACAAUUGAGGGGGACGGAGGGAGUAGUAAUGAAUGGCACCAAGGUGAGCGAAAACCCGAAUAAAUUCGAAACAGAAAUCGCGAAAAAUUGUAAAAAAUCAAACCGAAAUCGAAAAUAAAAAUUUAAAAACCGAACUGUGUACGUGUGUGCAAAGUAUAACGAAUUAAUUUAAACCAAGCAAUUAAUCCGAAAUCAAAUCAGAAUUAAUUUCCUGCAUUCGUGUCCGCAGGUCGCGCGGAAAAGCCCGAGGCUUGCGAAGCCACACACGCGGGAAAAGCCCGAGGCUUGCGAAGCCACGAAAUUUCCCUCGAAAUCCCACAAUUUGCACCCCUGCGCGCACGUAGGUGGUGGAGCACUAAACAUAAGUUAAACACCUCAUAUGUGUUCUAAUAUAUAAAGCCAUGGAAGGCCCAUUUUCUUUUCUAUGUGGGACACUAGUUUCUUUUCCAACUUUCCACUUCUAAGGAAGCAACUUUGGAUCAUCACAACUCAUCCAUUCCUUAAUCAUUUUGAGUGAAUAAACAUGCAUUGGAAAGUUCUCUCGGAGGAGAACAUAAUCCAAGCAUAACCCGCCACGAACACGUAACUGAGCCUUACUCAAAUUUGUGCUCAAAAUGACAAACUUCCAACAAAAUAUAACAACUGCUAUUUGACAUCUUGUGCCUUGCUAUAUUAACAAAGCAAACAUGCCAUUCAUCAUAGUUGAAGUACGAAGCACUUUUUAAGAAACGGAAUUCUGUGAGUAGGAGCCUUAAAAUUUGAAUGCUUUAGUUGUACCAGAAUGUCACUUAUUUUUAUUUAUAAAUUAUAAAAAGGUAACUCUGUGCUCCCCAAACUGAUGUUUAGUUCUAUGUUUCGGGGUGGGAGGUUUCUUAGUUAAUUUUAUUCUUAAUCUCUAUUGCAAGUGUACGAUAAACAUGUUGUCUCCUUGUGAAAUUCUUAACAAAGCUUCACCUGGUGUUGGAGCUUCGACUCGGAUGAACUGAUUUGUGUUGGAGCUUCACUUAGUGUUGAAGCUUUUCAUGCGAUUUUUAACCGAAACUGAACCAAGAGAAACCGAAUUCGAGGUUUUGAAAUCGAAACCGACAAUGAGAUUAUGGUUGAGAUUUUUUAUUUUUAAAACUGGGGACAUGGGGUUCAGGUAAAAUCGCACCAAACUCACAUCCGCUCUCCCCUAAAUGACAUGACUCUAGCUAUUGGGUGUCGCAAAUUGAUGAUAAACUCGAUUUUAUAUGGAAAAUGUCAGGUACCUCAACAAAAAAUAUUCAAAAAAAUUCCAAAUUUCACGUAUCAUUUUGCAAUUGGAUAUUGAGUCAUUAUUUAAUGGAUCUGCAUUUAGAUCAAUCUCAUCAAUAUAAUUAUCUCAAAUUAAUGUAUCCUAAAAUAUUUUUGAAAAAAUAAUUUGAAUUAUCUAGUAUAGUCCAUUUUAUAUUUUAAAAAUAACAAGAAUAGUUAAAAUUUGUAUAGCUCAGAUCCCGAAACUAGGUGGUCCAAUAAGUGGGAAUAAUUGAUUAUUUAUGUCUGCCACAAAUCUUGGUAACCAUAUGCCAUACAUAGGCAUGUUUGAAUGCUGCUUUUCGCCGGUUUUGUUUUUACAAUUUAGAAUCAGUAUCCUUGUGUAAAGAAGUGAUAGAGAUCAACAUGUGGUUUAUAAAUUAAAAUUUGAUAAGUUGGAAAUUCUAAAAUUUUCAAUUGUUUAUUUUCAAAUAAUAAAUUAAUCACAAUAAAAAAAUUGUUUAUAAUAUCUUAUAAUAAUAAUAGUAAUAGUAAUAGUAAUAGUAAUAAUUUCUAUAGCUAAGAAGUUGUAGAGAUAAAAUAAUUUAUAUAAACAUAUAAAACAAAAAAUUAUUUCUUUUAUUAAUAACAUUUCACUUAUAAGCAAUAAGAACUACUUAUAAGUUAAACCAAACAGCCUUCUGGCUUCCCACCGUUCUAAAUUCUGUUUAAGCAGAUUUUUUUGGCAGCAAAUGUUUUCAUGCUUUUUCCUCUUUCACUUUCAUUUAAGAAUAACCUAAAUCCAUCCAUCUUAAAAGAAGUAGAACUUCUAAUUUUUAUGUGCAUCACGAGAUGUAAUAAUCUUUUAAAAUUUUCUGAAUUAAAAUCCUAUAUUUUUAUUUUAUAAAAUAAAAAAAUAUAUAAAAAAAUGAUCGGAACGGAAAUAGCCCUAGUUACCUAGGUGCAGUACUGAUACUCCCUCCGUCCCCCUGAGUAGGAUACAUUGGGGGACGGAGACGCGGCACGGAUUUUAAUGCUCCUCUAAAGUGUAGUUGUGUAAUAUAUUUUUAAAAUUUUUUUUUUUUGAAUUAAAGUUUGGAUUUUAUAUUUGAAAAAGAAAAUCUCAAAAAUAAAUUACGGAACUAUAUUUCAUAAGAACAUUGAAAUACGUGUCGAGCAGUUGAAAAGAAACGUACACUGUUAGAUGGCAUAGAGGGAGUACUACUUUUGACUUAAUCGACUUGUAAAUGGAGAAAUGACAUCCAAUAUCCAACAUCACUGCAGAGCUGAUACUACUGUUUAAUACUCCAUUUGAUAUGACCGAGUACUGUUUGAAUCCUGCUUUAGUGCUUUAACUUCGUUUUCAAAAUCACAAAAGCAAAAGCCAAAUCAAAUCACACUUUAUUUUAAUCCAUUUUUAUCUUACCAAAGGGGAUGCUCUUGCAAACUAAAUAUUUGCAAUCCAAACCUCUGAAUUUUCGUUCAAAAAUGAUAUUGUACUCAUAAUUUUGUAAACUUAAAUCGCACUCCUUAUAUUUAUAUUUCAAAAACGAUACUCACCCCCUCCGUUAAAUUCUGUUAACUUCUAUUAAAAUAUCUCAUUCGUCUCAAUUUAUAUGUCCCUUUUACUUUUUGAGGAGUCAAAUUGACUAAUUUUUAACCAACUAUUAGAAAGCAUUUAUUUAUUAUUUUAGGAAAUCAAAAGUUACAUAUUAAAAUAGACUAGAUCUACUUUUUGAUGAUAUUUUUUAAAAAAAAUUUGUUCAAUUUUUCAAAGAGAAUAAAUUAAAAUUUAUAUAUUUUAUUCAAUAUAUAAAUUUAUGUGUUAUUUAUAAUAAAUAUCACAUAAUAUUUAUUUUUUAUAUUUAAAAUAGUGUAUAUUUUAAGUACUUAAUACACACACACUAAAAAUUUAAAAUUAUUUGAUAUGUAAAAUUAUUUUGACUUGGGGAUAGCUUAAUUAAACAAAAAUUUAAAAAAAAAUAACGUCAAAAAGUAAAUCUAGUCUAUGUUAAUAUGUAACUUUCUAUUUUCUAAAAUAAUAAAUAAAUAUUUUCUAAUAGUUGGUAACGAAAUUAGUCUAUUUGACUUCUCGAAAAACAAAAAUGACAUGUAAAUUGAGACGGAGGGAUAUUUUAACGGAAUUUAUCGGAGGGGUGCGUAUCGUUCUUGAAAUGUAAAGAUAAGAGGUGCGAUUUGAGUUUUCAAAAGUAUGGCUGCAAUAUCGUUUUCGAACGAAAGUUACAGAGUUUGAAUUGCAAUUAUCUCUUAAAAUAAUAUGAAAUAUUGAUAUAUUAAAUUUAACCUGCGAGAUGUUGUGUUUGUGUCCAUAAUCAUAUCAAAUCAUUCUGCAAAUGAUUAAAUUGAAUUUUAGCCCGGUCAAAAUUGAAUAAAAUAUAAUCCAACAAUUUCAAUUUUUUCUAACUGUAUUUUGAACAUCCCCGCUUUGAAAAUUAUGUUCUAUAAUAUAAUUUAAAAGUUCAAAAAUUACUUUUAUAAAUUGAGAUACACGAUGUGCAUGUUUGGGGAAGGGCAAUUCCGGCUUGUUUUGACAAGGAGGCAUUUCUACUUUUCUUGACCGUUUGGGUAAAAAAUGAGAAGUAUUUAUGAAAAACUAAGAAUGCUAAGUUUUGUUUCAGGAUUUCUAAUUUUUUUCCCAGACAGUUUACUCACUUAUAAGUUUAAUUAUUUCUCACUUCUGAUCAGCUUCUUUACUUUAAAGAAGACAUACUUUUCUUAAGUUUACUCAAACGGCCCCUUCGUUCUAGUAUAUAAUUUAAUGAUUGUUAAAAUCGAUAAAUGUUAACGAUUAAUUGAUAAUGAUGUUUAAGGUACACUAUAAAUUAUAAAUUACAUAAGAUAAUCAAACAUCAAACAUAUUAAUUAUAAUUAAAUUUAAAAACUAUAAACAAUGUUUCUCUAGCUUAAAAACGAAUUUUCACAUAACCCAACUCUACAGCAAUAUUAAUAAGAAAAUAAAUUAUUUAAAAUUUUAGGAUCAAGAGAGGAAGAGGUUCGACAAAUAUAAUUAACAUCAAUAACAAAAAAUAGUAAAGUUUAGAUAAGAAAAAUAUGUGUUGGGGUGGGGACUUUUUUGUACAUAGUCAAUUAUUUUUAUUUAAUAAAUUUUCUUGUCCAUUUUAAUUAAAUUUAUAGUGUCUUGGAGAUGCCGUUAGACUUUGUUAUUUUAAAAUAUUAAAAAUGAAAAAGGUUUUUUCGUCAGAAAUAAAAAUCAAGAAGUUAAAUUUUAACAAAAACUAAUAUUCUUACAACUAUUCAUAAUUGUGUUUGAUGAGCAGUGUUAUAGAAAUCGGAAAUUGAACAUAAUCGGCUGAGCUACCGACUCAGGGAUUAAUUGGAAAUCGGAGAUUAAUCGGAGUGAAAAUCAUAUUUAUUUUAAUAUUAAAAUAGUAUUUAGUUAUUAUGAUAUUAGCUAUUUAGUAACUAAUAUAUUUACUAUAUUCAUAAACUCUCCAAUUAUUCAUAUUUAAAGUAAUAUAGUAUUUUACUUUUAAUAAUUUAUCAUAUACACUUCGAUUAAAAAAUAUAUAUAAAAAUAAAUCGGAUUUCAAAAAUCCCGUCGAUAAAUACCCGUUGUUUCUAAAAGAUUUGCCAUCUACAUCCCUGCCUCCCAAAAAAGUACUUCCCCCCGUCUCUAAAUACUUUUCCUGUUUGUACUUUCACGUUUGCCAACACACACUUUUGAUCGUUAAUAUUUUUCAUUUCAUAGUAGCAUUAAAUAUAAAAAUUUCACCGUAUUAAAGUACUCGUGAAUACGAAUCUAACAAGAUCACUCAUGACUAUAUUUAGUUUUGUAGAUUAGAUGUAAAUUGGUAAUUUAUCUCUUGUUAUGAACAGUACCGACAUUACAAACAGGAAAAGAAAAAAGAAACGGAGGGAGUAUAAAAGUCCAGCAAAUUCCCACAAAACACAAUUACAGAAAUACCUAAAAAGAAAAAUCCCAAUAAAAUAAAAUAAAUUUAUACAGAAACAAAACAAAAGAGGCGGGCCCACAGAAACGAGUAAAGCACGGGGAUGGGCGUAACUGCAUAAGUGAACUACAAAGUCCAGAAGGAAAAAAGAAGAUGCUCCGGAUAUUCCCUCUUACAAUCACUCAUCUCCCAUCCCCAAUCCAAUCCCUUUCCCUAUUCGAUAACUCAUUAUAAUAAUCUUAUUAUUAUUAUUAUAUUACUCAUCUCUUUUUCUCCCUUUAUAAAUUCGAUUAUUUUCAUUCAACCCCUCCUCAAAAACACACACAAAAAACACACACAAACCUUAAUUAAGACAACUGAACAUGCCGCUUUCAACUGACUCCUCAUCGUCUAUGAAUCAACAACAACAACUGCUGGAUAAACUCAAAGUCUUCAAGAUCCAAGGCCGUGACAAACGUGGUCAUAUCAUCCUUCGCAUCCUCGCCAAAUUCUUCCCUGGUAAUUAUUUUAUUUUAUUUUAUUUUUGUUUAUCACAUGCAUGGGCACCAUGUUUUGUAUUCGAUUAAUUUUUUUUUUGAUUUAUUAGCUCGAGAUGUGAGCGUUGACGGGGUGAACAAAUACUUGGAAGACAAGAUAUUCCCGGAGCUUGAGAAACGCUCGUUUUCCGUUCUUUACGUCCACACCGACGUCGAAAAGAGCCAGAAUUUCCCCGGAAUCUCCGCCCUCCGAUCGUUUCACGACGCGAUUCCGGCCACCGUCAUCAACAAUCUCCAGGCUGUCUAUUUUCUCCACCCGGGACUUCAGUCCAGGCUCUUUCUCGCCACUUUUGGCCGCUUCAUGUUCUCCUCAGGGUACGUGAAAUAAUUGUUUUCACGCUAAAAUUGUUCUCGACUUUUUCAAAUUAAUCACACCUAAUUUUCUCUGAAUUAAUUUAAUCAUAUUUGUUAAAAAAAUAUUAGUAAAUAUUAAUGUUAUGUUUUUCGAAAUUCUGAUUCCGUCAGUUACGAAAGAUUUUAAUACGGAUUGAUUUUGUUUUGUACAGGUUGUAUGGGAAACUGAGGUAUGUGAGCAGAGUAGAUUACUUGUGGGACCAUGUAAGGAGGAACGAGAUUGAUCUCCCAGAGUUUGUGCAUGAUCAUGAUGAAGAUCUUGAGUACCGUCCGAUGAUGGACUAUGGAUUGGAAAGUGAUCAUCCGAGGGUGUAUGGUGCGCCUUCAGUGGAUUACUCCCCUUCCACUUACUCCACCAGGUGUAUUUCGUAGUUGGGGGAUGGGACGACGUCGUUUUGAAGUUGCCUGCUUUGAAUUUUGUUGUUAUGGUGGUUUGAAGCUUUAUGGGAAAUAUAGUGAAUGUUAGGUUGUGAAAGAUAGUAAAAAACGAAGUUUGGAAGCAAAGAGAAAAAUGGAAUGCUUCUUGUAGUAUAGUUUUGUUUUCGUAAAUUAAUUUCAUAGUUUUUGUUCAAUCUUUUUAUGGAAUGGUUAUAUACUCGAAUAAAUAUUUCUUUUUUAAUAUCAUUACUAAGAUUUCAUUGGGUAAGCCAAUACACAAUAACUUGUGAAGCUAUAUCAGAUUAUCGAAAAAAUUGAGAAUCGGAAUUAAUAUGAUUUAUGAUUUAUUGGAAUUUUGUCGGACAUUUUAUUAAGAGCAAUGCUAGGUACCCCAAAAGAUUUAAUCUACAAGGGGCCUCAUUAUUUUGGGAGUAAAUGCAACCAAUCAGGAUUAGACACCUCAUUUGGGAAAAAAAUUUGGGACAAUUUUUUGAGGUCCCUAACAUUUUUCUUUUAUUAAUGAAUAGAUAAUUUUUAGUUAAUCAAAAUAUAAAUCGAUGAACAAUUGAAUACGUGCCGAAUUUCCGUCCCCGGUAAACAAUUGAGGGACGGAUCACGGGAGGAGUAUAUUUUUGGCCAAUGAGUAGUGUCCACAAUGUUGUGAUAACUGAUAACGGCAUAACGCUAACUUCUCAUACAAAUAUACAUUUUUUUGACUUUUUUUUUUUUUACAGAUACAUAUUUUUGACUUUGAAAGUUCAAAAUGAUACAAAACAGGCUCUCGUUCAAAAAGUGAAAGCUGGGUCAUCAUCAAAGCAUUAACCCUAUCACUAAGCAAGUGGUAUGAAUGUCAAUAAAAUUAUCUAGCAAAUGAAACAGAUAAUUCAGAUUCAGAGUACUAGUCAUACAAUCAAGCCUUACCGUAGAAAAAAAAAAAUGAAUGAUAAAUUAACAUUGUGGAUUGAACGAGAAACCAAAAAUUUCAUUGACAUUCAUUGUGGAUUAAAAAAAAAAUGAAUGAUAAAUUAACAUUGUGGAUUGAACGAGAAACCAAAAAUUAUCACUAAGCAUUAACCCUAUCACUAAGCAUUAAAAAAAUUGAUGUAAAACAAAAACAAAAAUAUCAAUUUCAUAAACAAAAGAAAGACAUCACAUCGAUUCUCAUAAAAGAAUGAUGUAAAACGUUACGAUACACAUCAGUUUCACAAGUCUUUCGAUAUUAAUAUACCGUUCUAUUAUAUAAUGAUAUUGAUGACAUACGAAUGAAGAACUGAAAUUAUAAUAAAGGUAUAUACUUUUAAAGUGGCUAGAUUAAAGUUGCGAAUAGACAUAAUGAAAUUUAAUUUUCAAUAAUAACAAAAUAGUAUUCUCAUCCCAUUUUAUUUCAGUUAUUUUUUUUUUGGUUGAAUUUUCGAAAGGAAUAAAUCUUUUAUUCACAACCUCUAUAUAAAAUUAUAAAUACACUUUUGUAUAAUAGUGUAAUAAUUAUUUCACUUUUCAUGAUUCAAAUUAAAGGCAAACAUUUCAUUCUUAAAAAAUAUGUUGCUCAAACAGGUUCAUAUAAAACGGGAGAUCGAGGGAAAUGAAAAGGAAAGCAUAAUAUAGCAUUCUAAACAUGUUUUAAAUGUAUGUGAUUUGAAAUAAAAAAAAAUUAUUUAUGAAAAAACUGUUUUAUCAAUUUUUACCGAACAAGAAUAUAAAAUAUUAUUAUAAAAUCAUGAUAAAUUCUAUUAUUCCAAAACUGGCUGCUAAUCUUAUAAAAAAUAAAAUAAAAUUGUCCGCCACUAAAUUCGUGGGCAAGGUUUAUCAAACAGUCCAUAAUUCCACCCUUCAACUACACACUCACUCAGCUCCGCUCACAUUUCCGGUCAGUUUGCGACAAUCUCGCUUAUAUUCACGUCUCUUUACUUUGUUGCCCAAUUAUCUUGGUUUUUUUUUUAUUAUUAAUUGCAGCUUGUAUAUCAAUUAUUACAUUUUUAAUUGUUAAUACACCUGAUGAAAUGAACAUAAUUACACAUGAACAAUUUCCCUCGUGAAAUCAGUUACUAAUUUUGAAGUACAAUUGUGCGAUGCUGAAUUCUGCGGUGCUAAUUGUCGAUUAAUUAACUUAAUAUGACACCUGUAGUUCUGAAUUUCGAUAUUUAUGAGUAAUUUUUAGACUGCAUUUAGGUUAAUGAUGUCCGUGUUUGGAUUAGCCUUGUUAGCCGAAAACAUGUCAAAUGUGUGUCUUGUAAGGGAAUAGAGGCAAUGUAAAAUCUACGGGAUGAUAAUCAUAAUAAAUUAAUAAUAAUGGCGAUAAUGAUUAAGUGGCUGUUUAAGGCCUAAUUGUUUGUUGAUUUCAUUUGUUAGGGUAAUUGUUGGUGGAUGUGAUAGACAUGGAUUUCUUGCGUUGGGCGUGUCCAUCACCGGAAGAACAGAAGUCGUGCAUCAACAAGUAAUGCAAGCAAUUAAGUUGAUUUCUAUAGCUAUGAAUUUAGAGAGUUAAUGAGUGUGAUUGGCGAUUUUUUUCUAGGUCUGUUGCUUUUAAUUACGAUAUUAAAUAUAAAGGAGCUAGUGCGAAGCCCGCGUCUUCGCUUCAAGAAAAUGAGGAGCUUAGUAAAGAUGGUUUCUUUGUUAAUCACGCAAAAGUUUUACUGGGUUCGGGGCCUGAGACUUAUGAGAAAGGCAAGACUGCACUGCAGACUUGGAAGUGAGUAUAUAAAAUUCUGGAUAGUAGCUAAUUUAAUUUAAAGGAUAUUUUGGUAUCUAAUGGAAAUUUGGUUUGUAGGCAUUUCGGAAUGAAUUGGGCUUUUGUUGAUCCUCAGACUCCAGUCCAAACAGGGGAGAAGUUGUGUGUUUGUGUCAAAGAGAUUGUACCAUGGAUCAUGAUGCCCCUGCAGGUUGUGUUUGUAAAUGAAAGCAAAAUGGCUAAUAAGCCUGUGGCCUCUUUCAGUUUCGGUAGCGGUACCCUCAAAGGACACCUACUGGUUAGUGCUUCUUUGCAAGUUCUGAGCAUGUAUUCACUGCAAGUCCUGGGCUUUUAGUCAUGCCAAUAGAUAUGAGUUACUAGAAAAUAGUUUUGUUUUCCAAACUCAUCAUAAUUAUUUUUUACUUGAAUGAGGCCUUGAUCUUCAGUAGUCUUUGGAAAGAAUUCUCAAAUUCACCUUUACUAAAAUCAUCAAGAGGUUCAUUGUCAGAACAUUUAAACUGCAUUGUUUGUUUGUCACAAAGAAGUGUACCUCGUUAAGCACCAAAGUCCCCAUGUAUAUAACUCAACUUGCAUCUACUCUUUAGUCUCAACUGUUAUUACCUUUUUUGCAACCUGAAACCUUUUCCUUGUGCAAGAGGAACGGUGUCCAGUUCGUAAAAAAUGCCAUAGUUUUUUCUAUCAACAGCUACAGUUAUGACAUUUAUGCAUUAAUGCUAUUAGCUAUAUAUAAUUGACUUUCUUUCGGUUUUAGUUGUUUAACAAUUGUUGUUCAUACAUACCAAGUCUGGUAAUGUAGGUUGGUCUAUUGCUCUCGGUCUCGGAUAUUGUAAAUUUUCAAUUAAUGCUAUUCCGAAUUUAUUAGGAAAAUAUUCUGUAGUGCUGCAAAUGGUUGUAAUAAGAACAUUCCAAAGUGAAAAAUUAUUGUUGGAAUCCCACAUUGAUAAAAAGUUUCAUAUCUGAAUAGAUCUCCAAGUGAUAUCAUGCAACUUUUAGACUAUUCAGAGGUGUCAAUCUUAUAAACCAAACCAAAUGUACCCAGUAUGUCCCACUUAUCGCAGAGGGUAAGAUUUUUGGAGUCUUACCUUCAUUCAAAAGAAUGAAGAGGAUGUUUUCAUAAAGACUCCCGGCUUGUGUUUGUACAUGUGUGCGAUUAUGUACAAAGUGAAAAUUACUACACAUAAGAAAACAAGAUAUAUCAAAUACAUGUACAAACAAAAUUUGAUCAUAUAAUUUGUAAAGUGAUCAAGUCAGUAAGUAACCGAGCCCAUAAUUUUCUUGACACGGGACUUACUUGUGAUUUGAAUUGAACCAUAAAAUCUGUAGAUUUCACUGCUCCAUCAAAAAUCCCUAAUUUCUUCAAUUAUUUCCAGGGUCUUAUUCAUCUCUAAAUGUUAAUAAAAUAAUCUCGAUUUCUGUUAGCGUUGUUGAUGUCCCUGUCAUGUGGUUGUGCCUUGGCAGCAAUACACUCACCCACAAUUUUAUACACAAAUUCACACACAUAAUAUACAUAAACCUUAUAAACUAGAUAGAAAGGAAUGGUUAAAGUUUGUUAUUUGUACUUCUGAUUUGACAGUCAGUAAAUAAGGAAGAUGAAAAAUAAUGAUAAUCACAAGUAAUUUGUAUGGAUCCAAGUAGAUUUGAAGAAAUGGAAAUGACAAUGUAAAACAAAUUCUUUUUCACAUUGGUAUUUGGGAUACUAUGGCCCUGUUUGUUUAAGAGAAGCUGAAGCUGCUUCUGGCUUCUGCUUCUCUUGAUCCGUUUGUGUAAAAAAGUAGAAGCACUUUUAAGAAGCUGAGAAUGCUAGCUUCUCUCUCACAACUUCUGCUUCUUUUCCAAACACUUUAUUAACUUAUUUACUUUUCACUUCUGCUCCACUUCUCUAGUUUAAGCAAGAAGUCACUUCUUUUAAGCUUGUCCAAACAGCCCCUAUAACUAUUGGUUCCAUUUUCGUUAAUUGCUGUAAAAUAAAGCAGUCUGAGUUUCUUAUGUACUUUUUAAUGCUACCUGAAAAGCUUAGCAGUUAACCAUUCUAAUGUUAUCUAUCAAUUGGAUAUAAUUUGUUAUAGCUCCAGCUUAUCUGUUGCAUGCAUCAGCCAAGUCUAGUGUUUAAACUAGUGACUAAUUGGUGGGGCUGACAUUCAGAAAUUGUGGUCAUGCUUAUCCUUUCAUUGGUUAUUUGCUAAACUGGUGUGUUCAGUGCAUUUUUAUUGUUUUAACUUUAGCAAUCAAAUCAUUCAUCAAGUUUAUGUAAAUACCUCUAGUACUCUAUAGUUGCUGUAAUAAGUUAUUAGCUUUGUGCUCAAUACCCUCAAACAAUAUAGUUGCAUAAUAAAUAUUAAGAUUUUACUUGGUUGUAUAUCUUUUUAGUAACAAAGAGUUAAUGUAAUAUAUUCCUUUGUUGAAAACAGGCUGGUGAAGAGCGUUUCUCAGUUGAGCUAGACGAGAACAAUCAAGUUUGGUAUGAGAUACUUUCUUUUUCAAAGCCGGACCACUUUAUCUCGCGAAUUGGGUAUCCAUAUGCGCGUCUCAGACAAAAGUACUUUGCUAAUCAAUCUAGUUCUGCAAUGCAAAAUUAUGUAUCUUCCAACUAAAUUACUUAAUAUCCUUGUCACUUUUUAUUUUGAACUUUUAGCAAAUAUUAUGUCCUAUAGAUCUGUAUAAUUUGAAUAUUUUCAGUUAACUUUAUAUACAAAGAUUAAUAGGCUGUUUCUGGAGUCAAUAAUUCUAUAGGUGAACUGUUGACCAUCAUUUCAAUCAGGAAUGCCGUUGUCAAAGUCGCACAUUGGUUGACAUAUAUUGAACGAUAUGGUGGCAUCAACUUUUCACACUUAGUGACUUACAAAUCGGGAUGAACAGAAAGUGUGAUAUAGUGCAAAAGCAAUAAUCAUGUUGAUAAUUAGUUUAAUUACAGGAUUGAUAUGCAUUUUGUUAGUAAGAGUUGGAAACUUGAAUAUUAAAUAUAGUUAUUAGCAUUUUGGUCUCAGUUCUGAAGUGGGGUAGUUGUGGAUAAUGUAGGGAACUAUUAAAUGAGAAUAAUAUGUGAAAAAAACUAAAUAUUAAAUGAGAAAGAAUGAAAAACCAACACGAAAAGAUUUCUCCUUAGGUUUGUAUCGUAAUUCUUAGCAUUUCAGGUCUAUAUUCUUUAAGCACAUAAUGAAACCACUAAACUUCUGAUGCUAUGAAGUUUCUUGUGGAAAUUAGGCUGCUGCCUUCAUCUCGAAGAACUGAGAGAGUUAUAUAAUGGGAAUUUUUAGUUGAUCGGAGUUUUGCAACGCCUAGAGUCUUUUAAAGAUAUUGCUAAGAAGGUUUAUGCAAUUCAUUUUAUGCUUCUAUUCAGUAGCAAAAACAUACCUGUAGGAUCUUGAUGCUGAAGUAUGUCAUGUGUAUCACCUAUUAGAUAUGGUGGAUCCAGAACUGAAAGGAUUUCCUGAGGAUGAAGUCAUUAGAUAUAUCAAAAUUGCAUUUUUCUGCACGCAGGGAUCAGCAAGUAGGAGGCCAACAAUGGGCCAAGUUGUUGACAUGCUCUCAAGAAACACCAGGUUGAAUGAGAAGGAACUGUUGGCCCCAGGUUUUUCCCAAGAUAUGGGUGCACGUUCAUCUUCGAGGAACAAGUCAUCUGAUACCCCAACAAGCACUCAGAUGAGCUCUGUCCCCAUCUCUGUCACUCAAAUCACCCCUAGAUAAAACUCGAGUUUCCUUAUUUUGUAGACAAGAUUUAAAAAGGAAUUCGAAGGCAAAAAUGUGCUACAUAUGCNUAUUUGAAGACCAUAUCUUACACCCUUAAUUAAAACAAUAAACAACGGCAGAUGUGAAGACAUGUGGCAAGUCUUUAAUAUUUUAAUAAAUGUAGAUAACCUCAGUAUAUCAUACUGUAUGAAUUGUAGUUUUGCAAACUUCAGUGAUACAAGACAUUCAAUUGACAGUUAAUUACUCGUCAUUUCUCCUGCUUAAUUUUUUCCGUCAGAUCAAAAUCCACAUGAUCAUAGGAUAAGAUCGACAACGCGAAAUAGUGCAGAACAACUACGACAUAAGUCGGAGAACCGUCUACAAGUAACGUGUUAUUGGGAAACUACAGGACAUGAAUCAAAUGUGAAGAACUAUAAUCUGUUAAUUUUUCGAUUGUUUUGUUGUGUUCUUGUUUAAGCUCGACUGGAUGCUUGCUGCAUGUCAAUGAAAAUAAAAGAAAAUGGGGCCAUUAUAUGACUUUGAUGUUCUUAAAAUGACUGUGUAAUAAAGUAUUAUCGCUUGCUAAUAUGGUGGUGUUGUUUAGUUGUUUAUGCAUGACCAAGCAGUUUGAUAAAUGUUGUAUUGUUCUGUUUGAACUAUGAUCUGCUCUAUUUUGUGUAUUGUUCUUCAGUCGCAGUAUACUGAGGGACAAGUAGACUGAGAAUAAGAAGGAUAAAUAUCAAAGAUAAUCUUGGUGCUUGAAUUCAUGAGAACAGAACAACCGCCUGAUUUCACGCUUGAUUUCUGAGUAACCGUUAUAAUGUAUUUAUACGGUGAAGAGAGUAUAAGAAACAAUAAACAAGUAAACAUUCUUUUUAAAAUAAUAACCACCAUUAGAUUUGAAGAAGAUGGACGGACCAGAUGGGGUCUCCAAUACUCCAAAUAAAUCCGGUCUCCACAGAACUUAAGCCUAUAUAUAUAUACUUCCAUUAUUUGAGAUAAAUAUACAUAGGCCCUCCAUCUCAAAAUACUCAUAUCAGUUGAGAAGUAUAAAUCAGAUCACAUUACUGAGAGACAAUGUUCAAGAGACCCUUAUCCUAGUCAGGAUCCCUGGUAUGUGUUAAAAGUAUAAAUUUCAUUUGGUGUUUUGUUAAAUACAUAUAGGUUCAAGGAGAGUGAUAAUGUAAAUUGGCAUCAGAUUCUAGGUUUAUUUAGAGAGGUCUGUUGUUGCUCCUUGUUACAUUGGGAUUGUGCCCCCUUGAUUAAUAUGUUAUGGUGGCCCCCUUGUGCAUUCGAGGGGAGUAUUAGAGGUAUAAGAUUCAUUUAGUGGAUUCUAUCAACACCUAAUUUUUUUAAGAAUUAGCUAUCUAACAAUAUGCUCUCUAUGCCAUUCUCUGUGACUCAGAUGCCUCCACUCUUUGUUAUUUACAUGAUUCAGUCUGCCCUUCAUUUGACCUGAGUCUCAUUAAUGCUCCAUCUAUGCUAUCUAGUUAAUUAAAACAUAUGUCAUGUUCUCUUCCUGCUUGUGACAAGUGACUACUAUGUUCCCUUGGACUUCAAGUUGGUGUGAAAAUAAAGAUCAGGACAUGCUGUAAGACUUUUGAUGUUCGUGGAAGUAGAAAUAUUUGGUACUAGAAUCACCAUGGCUAGGUGGUCAUCCUGAUUAAUAAAUUGCAAUGUACUCCAUGUUGCACACUUGCCUCAGGGCGGCAAUCAACUUUUUGUGAUCUUUUAACCUCUCUCCGGAAAAUGUGUACUGGGGCAGUGUAGCCUUCAGUGCUUAACUAUCCAUUUCUUCUCCGUAGAACAGACUGUAGGUUUCACAUUCACUCGUGUGGUAACUUAUGACAUGAUAUAUGUUUACAUUCAUAGUUAUCAGAUUUUUGAUGAAUUUGUCAACAAACUUAUCAUAGCAUUACUCAUGUUGGUUCUGAGAGAUGGUUUGUGGCAAAUCGAGAUCAUUUGUCCAUAUGUAAUUUUUUUUUUAAAAUGGUAACAAUUUUCUUGGCCGUUGGCACAGUUGAUACUUCAGUUUCUCAUAUUUUGAGUUUAUUCAGAUCCUCUUAGAUGUCAAGUGUGCUAGGAUGCAACCUACUAGGCAAGCUAGUUUGAGUUGGGCUCUUAUUAAAUUAUAUAGAGUACCUGAAACUUCUAUUUACUGCUGUAUAUACCUUAGUAACCAAGAUGAGCUAUAAACUAGUGUCGGAAGCGUGAUGAUAUGUCUGGAGAUGGUAUUCUCUGAGUUAUAUCUUCUUGUAAAUUGCAGCAGUUAUAGUUAGAUUAAUAUCGAAAACAUUUUAUACAUAAACAUGAUAUACAUGGUAAGCCCUUUUAUAAUGUCUAACGAGCGUCUCUAACUCAACAUAAUAUCAUGGUUUUGUUGAACCAACCGUUUCAGAAAUCCACAUAAAACCAUAAAAAUGGCCUUUGAGUACCGGUAAGCAUGAUAUGCAUAUUAAGUUUUCAUCCUUAGCACAUCUAGAUUUUAAGAGAAUCGGUAUUCUAGCAAAAAUCGUUGGUCAUUUCAUGUUGCCCACACGUAGCCCACACUGACUUCCACAUUUUCCUCCUUCCAACACCUUUACACAAAGUUGCAUCAAUGGGGAAUUCCUCAAGUCACUAAAUUAUUGUAAUCUAUAUACGACAAAAUAGUGCAGAUUCUUGAGAUCUGUUUAGGGAACUAAGAAAUAAGAAUGAAUGAAGAUUAUAUAUAUUAAGAUUAUAUACAUAAGAAGAUAUAGAGAUUGGCAAUUGAUAUUAUAUACUUUCUUUGCACGUAUGGCAUUUUAUAUAUGUGUCUCCACUGCAUUCAUUAUUGUCUAUUGAUAUUUUUAUAAUGCAAGUAGAUGCCUGACUCGCUUAGCUCAUUUGAUAUGUCAUACUUAAUGUCUUAGUUCCUACCUUAAGUUUGUUGCUUGCUACAUUUGUAUUUUAAUGAAAGGAAUAUUCGAGAAUCAUAUAGAUGGAUUCUAAAGAAGAGUCUCCAUUUUCUGCUAUCUUCUUUACUUUUCCAUCUCAUUUGCUUUUCCAAUUGUAGACACGAAUCACAAUUUCUUUUUUCAAGAAAGAAUUCAUUAAUUUGAUGCUGUAAUUGUCUAAUAGGAUUUUGCUUGGGCGAUUCACACGUUGCGACUUACUGACUCUUUUAUUGUUCUUUAAACACAAAAAAUUGCUUUAGGUGGGUUUCACGCCCAUAAGUUUCGUGAGGUUUGUUAUUAUAUAGCAAGGCUCUGUUGUUGCAAUCCAUCAUCAUAGUUUCUCAAGUAAAAUAUUAUAUUUGAUAUUGUAGGUUUGCCUAGUCGUAUAUCUCUGUUUAAAGAGGGAUUUAGCUGUUAAGACAAAUAAUGCAUACUUGAGUCUACCUGUUAUAAUAAAUGUUUGCACGAGUGGUAUGCCUCCUUUGUUUCCGGCACCGGGGUUUUGCUACCUGCCAUAUUAUCUGUAUUUUCUUUAUAUAUUAAUGAUAUCUUAUCAAUGCAGCCAAAUAUGCUUUGUACUACAUGCAUUAUCAUGAUCCUUUUAAAUAUUCAUGUUGUUGCUGCUGUGACCUCCUUGAAUUACUCUUAGAUUAUAAAUGUUACUAGUUAGCAAUAUAUCUAAUUUUUCAGACCCGAAGCCUUUUCAUUCCUACCUUCUCAAUUUUCAUACACUAACUUCCCUUGCCGGCUUGCCAUGCAUUUGAAAAUUUUAUAAAUUAGUUGUGAGAUUUUUCCUUCUUGUUUUGCUGUACACAAUUGUAAAAUAUCAUAGAUUAUUGUUUUUAGUUUUUAUUGAGACUUGAAUAGAAAGUGAGCUGCUAUGCUAGUUACAGUGGCAGGGACGGAACUGAACUGGAGGGGCACGGGUGACGGCCGUCCCCCCAAAAGUUGCUAUUUUUUAUCUAUAAAAUUUCAAAAAUUGUUAUUUGGUCCCCCCAUUUUUUACUUGAUUACUUAUGUUAAAAGGAAGUCGCUGGAAAAAUUGACAAUGAAUCUGUCAUUGAAGUGUUUUACGAGAUGAAAAUGUUGUCAAAUGCAGUUAAAGUAGUAUCUAUGUAUAGUUUGCCUCAUUUGAUGUUUAAAAGUUGCGUAUAUGAAGUGAUAUUUUAUCUAUCCUUUCAGAAUAAAUUAUGCGAUUUAGUUUAAAAGUUCGGCCCCUCCAUUUUUUCUUCAAGUUCCGUCCCUGUUCAGAGACAAUGACUGCUGCUGGCUCUGUCAUUGUCGACUCUCCCAUACUUGAAGUAUUAAAUGGAACAUUGAAUUUAUUUCAUAAUUAAGUAACAGGGGCCGGCCAAGUGCCAACUAUGUACUAUCUAACAGUCCUUUAUGAAUUUUGUCCUAAUGUAUAAUCUAUUUUUUGGUCAUUGAAUUAUGUAUUUUGUUCAAUAAAUUCAUUACUAUAUAUAUUGCUGAGCUUUUCCAAUAAAUGAAGAUCGUUUCGUUUAGUCUAGUUACCAUUAAGAAGGGUAACUGUUGCUCCUAAUUAUGUCUGGAUGGGUGGAACCUUCGUAAGAUUAUACUGGAGAUUGUAGAAAUGAGAUCAAACUGAGAUCACAUGCUUAAUUGUUAAUCAAGAUUCACAUUGAUAUAGUCGCUGAGAUAAACAUUGAAUAAUGUUUUAAUUUGUUUACUUAAAUGUUGCACGAAUGGUAUUUUGUCAGUAUGUCAACACUGAGGUUUGUUACCUAAAACUAUAUUCUUUUUGGAAUCUGGAUAUAUAUUAUCCUCUAAUUAUUGUGUUGUAGCAAUGACUUUCGUUGUGUGUGUGUGCACGCUUUUUGUUUAGCAAGUUUUGUCUAAUGAUUUGUGCUUUCAGACCUCGGUUAAGUUUUCUCUGAUUCUUCCUGACGUUUAUAUAACUUGCUUUUUGAUUAAGCAGUUAUCCGACACUGUGUGACAUGAUAAAACUUAAUCAUCUUAUCAGGUGAAACUCUGAUCAAUUUCUAUCCUGUUACAUUACCAUGGACCUCGAAUGUAGGCCAAAAUUUAGAAUCUGGGAUGGCUGUUUAGAGAUAUUGAUGUGAUAUGGACUAUAAUAAUGCAACUAAUAUACAAUAAUUUGUUUGCAUAUGGGUGGUGGUUUCUACUUUCUAGAUAUUGAAUACUGGUAAAGACAAUAUGAUAUUUGUGCAUGGCUGGCAUGUUUCCAAAGUGUUCCCUUUCAGGUUUGCACUUGGCCAGCCAAAGAAGUGACUACAGCUAAGAUGUUGUAUAAUUAUUUAUUCAUUCCUUCUUUGCUUAGAUCUGUAUUGUUUUUCUAUAUCGAGGUUCAUGGAGACUGACAUUUUCAUCUAUAACUGAGGAAAUAAUUUUUAACUGUUUAGUUAAUUUAUGUUUUUACCAUAAUUAUUUCUUUGAGGAAUGAAGUAGGUUGAUUCUCUGAAUGUCCCUGCAGGCCUGGUUAAUUAUCAGUAGGAGAUGCAGGCAUGCGAUUCCAAAUUUUAUCUGUUUAUAUAAUUUUGAAAUGUUUCUAAAUUAUUAUUUUUUCCUUCGAAAAGGUUAACAGGGAAUCUGCAGAAACUGACUCCCUACUUUAACUUUUUCUAGUAUCAUAAUAUAUGCUCAUAUAUCUUACCCUUUCCAGAUUCUAAUUCAAAUGAGAUAUGCAUUAUAUGCUAUAUGUUUCAGUUACUAUGUCAGAUGGGUUUCAAUUGGUUACUAAUAUACUGAUGGAAUUUUAUAUACGAUGUGGUGAAGAAAUCAUAAAUCAUAAUUUGGAUGUAAUAAUUAUUCACUUCACCAAUUGUUUUGGAUAUGUAGGAACCCAUGAACAUAGAAAUUUAAUGAGAUUAGUGUAUGGGAGAUUAAACUUAGGAUAAGGCUUUUUUGAAGGAUUAUACCAUAUCAUGCUUUGUGAGAUAAAUUUAGUGACAUUGAUUUAAUUCUUAUCAUAUCUGUUGCAAAAUUCCUCCAUGGAUAUGUUUUGCAUUAUCAGAUAAUCCUGGAAAUGAAGAACACAGUGACAGUAUGGUGGAGACCGAGGUAUGUGAAACAUUGAAGUACUAUAUUGGAAUUGUGUAUAUACAUUCGAAAAUGAGCAUGUAAUAGCUAAUAGUUUUGUUUACAUGUUUAUACAAUGCAAAAUUGAGUUCCACAAGCUUAUCCUCUAAUAUUCGGAUACUUUUGCAGAUGUCAAGAAUCACAGAUCAUACUACUUAAUUACUGGGAAACAAUGUUGAGCAGAGACGCUCUUGUUCUAAUGAAGUGCCUAAACAUGCUCUCCAAGCCAUUCUCAAUGCCUUCAACAUCACUCUCCAAGGUCUUUACUCGAUCCACUUCAUUUACAUCAUGCUGUUGAUCUUCACUUGACACAGCACCCUUGUGCAUCAGUUUUGAAACUUGCAACCACUUUGUAGUAGCCUUUGGCUUCAAUAUAGGUGUAGAUAAGAAUAGCAAAACAGAUUGAAAGACAGAAACACUUGCGGCAGUGACUUCUUUUAGUGAUCUAAUCACUGCACCUAGGUGCUGAUCUUGAUCAAAGAUUUCUAAUACACUGCUUUUGGUAUCCACUUGCUUGAGAGAUGCAGUCAAUUUUUUCGAAUCCUUGUUAAUCGCCUUUCUGAAAGCUGCAAAUUCCGCGCUUGAGUCCCCCUUCUUCCUUCUUAAAGCAGACAGAAGCUCUCUGGCAUGAACUUUAAUCUCUGACAUAACAUCUCUUGUAUUCCCACAGAUAUCCAAAAGCCUCACCGAUUUAUCCAUCAACUCAUUGACACACUUCUCGUUCUGAUGGUGAGAAAGCGCUUGCUGGGUCAGUGGCAAAUUCAGAAACUCAUCUGUAUAUUUGUACAACUCCCCAAGCCUGCACAGACCAUCACAAACCGUGUCCGCUGUCAAAACAUCAGAAGCCUCCGCUUCCCAUGAUCUGAUCCUGGUAAGCCCUUCUUCGAUCUUGCAAGCACUCGGAUGCAACGUCGACGGGAAGCUAGUCGAUCGAACAGUGCAACGUUUGUUGAAUUUCAUUGAAGUAGCCAUUUUCUUAACUUGUCAAAACUUUUGAUCUGCCAAGCUCUGAAAAUAUUUGAUACCUCAACCUUCAACUCUCUGCUAUUUAUAUGCUGAUACCCUAGGAUAUUAUACAAAUGUAUCUAGAUAUUAUUAUAAAAAUAUCGGCAACUAGCGGAUGAAAAGGACGUAUUUAAAAUUUCACGGGUAACUCUUCGCACAAGAUGGCUCCGCCCCUGUCGAUAGUAACGUGGCUGGCAUUUCAUGUGAAAUGGACUUAUUUAUUUCAAUUAUUUCAUCUUUGUCCCCAGCAAGCUCAACAAUAAUUUGCCACAUUUUUUUAGCAUUUUUAUAAAAAUGCAUUAGUCACGCCAAUUUGGCCUCCCAAUUAUUGCUCUUCGAGUGCCACAUUUCACUUUUUUCCUACCAUCCACAUACGUGUAACUUUUUGCAUCAAUGUGGAAAAAAGAUGGUAUUAUAAUCGCAACAGUGGAGAUCUGGAGAUCUUUCAGCAGAUUAAAUAAGCUACGGCUAUGGUUUAUUUGCAAACGUGUUUCCACCGUUUCAUCUGCCUUGCUGCCUAACUUGCUUACUCUAGUUUUGAUCUUUUUGUACAAGUCAGAGCAAGAUGCCUAAUCCGCUUAAUUUUUCUGGCGAGUUAUCGUUUCCACUUGUUUAUCAUUUUCGUCGUGUAUUCGGACUCUCAAAUUCUCGACCUCUUGUUAUUAUCACUAAUCGGGUUGAAACGGGGAUUUUUCGCGUAAAUUUGAAAAUUUGGCUUCUAAUUAUAUAAAAUUGUUUAAAUUAUAUUAUCCAAGCUGUUUAACGUAAUUAUUUGUAUUAAUUCUAAAUCAUGUUUAUGUUGGUGUGCUAAUUGUUGGUUGUAUGAUUAGGAAAAAAACAGGUAGAGUGGGAUCUAAGGUGAUUAAUAAGCUAAUUAUUGAUAGAUAUGGGUUUACAAACUUACAAUGAAUGCAGACACAUGUUUAAUAAAUGUAUACACGAGUGCUAUGUUCCACAUUGUCUGCGCUAAGGUUUGCUACUAGCUGGCUUUCACUUGUCUCGUCCUUCAAGUGUUCUCUCUAGUCUCUACCGUUGGAAAAAAUUCUAUUGAAUAAUUUUUUAAUCGUAAGUGUUCAAGAGCUUAAUAAGGGUAAUUUUGCGAUAAAACCAGAUUAGCUGCGCUUAAAAAGUUAAAAUUACUGGUUUGUUGUUGUGGGCCUCUACUUAAUAGGUUUAAAUCAUUUGAGUAGCUUUAAAAAUUUUGUGGGCUUAAAAGUGGGCUCUGCAUGCACCACAUGGCAAGAUAGUGUUAAUAGAAAAACAACUUGUCAAGAUAAUUAUUAUUUAGUUUAUGUUAGUUUAAUCAAUCAAUUAUAAGUUUAAUAAAUUAUUAAAUUCUAAUCAAUAUCUAUUUUUUGUUUUUUUAAACUUAUAUUAACUAAUAUAUCAGUCAAUUCCAUUAAAAAUACUCUGAUUUCUAAUUAUAAUUUCUACCUAGUAACCUAGAAGAAGAUUAGAUUAUAUAAUUAGAUUUUCAGGAGCCGUAAAACAUCGUUGUGAGAUGGAAAAUUAGUUGGAAUAUAAAUAAUAAAAUAAAUCUAUUAAUAUGAGAUCUUUUAAGAUGCGCUCGAAAAUAAAUUUGCAUAAAUUCAGUCUAAAAUAAAUAAUAUUAUAUUAUUUUGAAUUAUGACUCACUCAACAGCUUAAUAAACAGUUCACAAUUUCAGAUUAAUAAUAAGUCCGACUCUCCCAGAAUGGCCACGAGAUAGACGAGUCAUCCUGCAUUUUAUUUUUGAGCUCAUCUCGAAAAAUUUCACAAUAACAAAAUUAUUUGACCUUAAUAUUCUAACUACCUGCCCAGGUGUGCCAACUCCCCACACUUGCUAGUAUGUUUAAUACAAAACCUACAUAGUGGUAUCUUCUUGUUGAAAGAAUAUUAUAUAUUAUUUACAAAGUAAGGACCAGUUGAUUUGUCUGAUUAUGAAAUUCUUGAGAAAACAGAUAACUUUUUUUAUUUAAUAAUAAUAAUAAAAAACAAAAAUACUUUUUCACAGCUAAUAUAUAAAAUUGUUACAUACUUGGCCUAAUUAUUGUAAAUCUAACUAAUUAUGGUUCCAAGAAAAGGACAUUUUUUAAAUAAAUCUAAUAAUGUGAUAAUUAGAACGCACUCCAUGACAUGGUUCACACAAAUAAGAUCUGAAUAACUUCAAACUUGGGUAUUUAUAUACGACUAUAAGAGUAUUAUAGGCGCAAAAAAAAUGACAUAAUAAUUGAGUGGAAAAAUUUAAUUGAUAUUAUUAAUAGAUGUUUGGACUUUUUUUUAAUAAAAUAUUAACACAUACUUACUUUGUGAAUCUGGUGGUACACAAUUUCAUAUAUCAAAUAUUUUUCAUUGUAUAUACAGACGUACAUUUCUCACACUGUCGCACAGAUUCUUAACAUACCGAUACAAAAUUACAUGCUGAAGCUCCUUUCCACCAACAAGGCCUGAAACCGUCUAAUAUCCAAAACAUUCAAUCAAAAUCUUUUCUAUUCCCUUUUGUAAUAUCAGCAAAAAGUCGAAGAAAAAAUAUAUACAGCCUAGAUACAUCUUCCUAUAAAAGAUUUCAUCCUAGAUUUUCUACAGGCUAAUUUAUAAUUUGGUACCACCGUCAACUUAUUAUUCUUGUAAAAGGGUUCAUGAACCCAUGAAAGUCGGUUGCUAAUUUAAAUGAAAUGCAGAACUUGUACGUACAUUUGUCUGCAUAGGAUGUACCUUCAGUACACAAUAACAUUGAGAUUUUUGUUUAGAUUAAUUGUCUGGGGAUAUUACAUGUUUUUAAAGAAAGAGCAAUAGGAUAAGAUUAUAUAUGUCAUAUGUAUGUAUGGGUUCUUAUAUUAAAGUUAUUAAUAUAUUAUUAUAAAGCAUGCAGGCUUAACUUUGGCAGAGAAGAUGGAGUUAUAUUCUAACUUGUGCAUGGCUGUCAAUGUUUAAGCAAUGUCCCCUGUUAAGGUUUGUAGCCGUAGAUAAAAAUUUGAUCUAAGAUGGCCUGAAUAAGAAUCAGAAUAUUUUCCAAUAAUAUUAACUUAGUCCAAAACUGGUGUUAAUUUUAAUGAAUAAAGGCAGCUGACUCGUGCAAGAGCAACUUAGAUUUACUUUUAACAAAAAUAAGUUCCUUUUAUUCAAGAAAAAUACACUUCUAUUCUGUUAAUAUAUAUCAAUAUUUGCUGACUCUAUAUGAACAUAAUCAACAUACUUAUAACUAGAAAUACUUGAUUAUUGUAUGUAACUGCUCCAAAACAAUACAUCAUUUAAAAAAGUGAAAUUUUUCCAAAAUAAUUGUUCAACACUUUCUUAACAAAUGCAAAACAAUUGGUCCCACUGUUCUCACAUGAACCACUAUCUAAAUCUAUAUAUAAAUACGAUUCUAAUACAUGUAUAAUAGAACCAUUAAAGACUCACUCAUAUUGGGUUCACACAAUUCUUAAAUAAUAUAAGAGAUAGGAAGUUUAAAAGGAUGCAUUUCAUUUUAUAUAAUAAAUUUUAAAUGACAGUAUUUGAGUUGUUAUUUCAAAUAUCCAUAUGAUGAAACCGGGUUUCCAAACAAAUUAUAAAUAUAGUGAUAUUAUUAAAUAACCUUGAUCUCUGAACCUAAACGUGUUAUCAUUAAGAAACCGGCUAAGGUUAUGAAAUUAGGUUAGUUUGUUUCAUGAAAUUAUAAUUUGUGUAAUUAGUCUCCUCAUUAUUAAUUUUAAACAUCAUACAUUGUUAUAAACUUAUUCAUUUUUCUAAUAUAGUAGGAAUGUGAAUUGGGAGGGAAGGAAUUGAAAGGAUCCUCUGAAACAGUUUCACGUGAUUUAAUUUUGAAACAAAUAUAAAGAUCUUUAAGCUUAUCGGUUUAGAUAUAACACUUUGGAUCUUAGUUGCAUUCAUUAUUUAUACAUAUAGAAGCAAAGAAGAAGAAAUCAUGGAAUAGAGAAGAGACUAUAUGUGAUGGAACUCAAAUGUUUGUAUAUAUUUACUCAUGGAAAGAACUAAUACAGUUCUUUCUCUUUACAUUUCAAUCAGCAUCUAUAAACUAAUCAAUCCUCUAAAAUUCGGAUAGUUUUGUCAAAACAUCUAAUCACUGCGAAACAAUGUUAAGCAGAGAAGUUCUUAUUCUAACAAUGUGCCUAAACAUGCAUUCCAGUUCGUUUUCAAUUCCUUCAACUCCGGCCUCCAAUGCCUCUAGUCUUUGCUUCAGCAAACCAGACUCUUUAGUUGAACCCGAUGUUAUACUUGAUAAUUCCGCGUCCACCUUCUCCAUUUCAUUCAUUUGUUGAUGAUCUUCACAUGCAACUCUGUUUUUGUGCAUGAAUCUUGAAACUAAUGACCACUUUGUGGAUUUCACCUUUGUGGAUGUUGCUAAGAACACGAGUACGUAGUUGAAUACAGAAAUAGUGGUGGCAGUAACUUCAUUGAGUACUCGAAUAACUGAAAUUAAGUGUUGAUCUGAAUCAGCAAAUUGAGAGCCACUUGUUCUGUUAUCUAGUUGGUUAAGAACUGCGGCUAGUCUUUUGGCAUCUUUGUUUAUUUUCUUUCUGAACAAUGUGUACUUGGUAAAGCUACUUGGAUCGCCUUUAGGCCUCCUUCGUAGACAUGAAUGAAGAUCUGCAGCGUUUACUUUAACUUGUGACAUAAUAUCUUUUGCACUUCCACAGAUAUCUAGGAAUCUGAUGGAUCCAUCCAGCAACUCGUUGAAUGGGUCGUCGUGUUGAAGGGCAGAGAGGGCUUGUUGAGUCAGUGGCAGAUUGAGAAGAUCGUCCGUGCAUCUAUACAACUCGCCUAAUCCAGAUAGGCCGUUGCAGAUGGUCUCUGCUGUUGGUGCAUUUGUUGAUACUUCAGCUUCCCAUGUUUUAAGCUUGUUCAGCUCCUGAUCCAUCUUGUAAGUACUCGAAUGUGGCCUGCAAGGUAAGCUAAUUGAUCGAAUGCCACCACGGGGUUUGUUGCAUCUCAUUGAAGCAGCCAUUGUUUGUUUCUGUGUUAAGAAUAUGAAGUUAUGUGAAGUGUUGAUAUCCAAACCUCUGUUGCAUUUUGUUAUAUAUAGACAAAUGCUAAGACAAGAGCAAGAUUAGUUUUAAAAUUAUGGGACAAAGUAAUGGGCAUGUGAUCAAGAUGACCUUUGCUAUUUUUUAAGUCUUGGUAUUUGGUGAAAUUCAUUGGUCAUUUUUGGUGUGGCAUGCUCUUUGAGUGCCACAUUGCCAUCUUUUGCGCAGCUUCAUCUACGUGCAUUCUGCAUAUGCAAAAGUUGAAUCAAAGGGGAGAUUUCAAGUCAUCAAGAAAGUAUUUAACAAUAGAUUUUAAUAUGAUGCUGCAGAUUGUGUGAUCUUUCUGGGGAUUAAUAAAUAAUUACAGAUGCAGAUGAGAUUUCUGGAGUAGGAUUGAAGAUACAUACCAGAUUAGUUUAAGUGAUUGGCCAUAAAUAUUCUAAAAUGGUUGCAGGUAUGUGUCUUUUGUAGACGUGUCUCCACCGUAUUGCUCGAUUUUCUCUCUUAUUGGAUGUCAGUUGCUGCCCAACUUGCUAACUCUUAGGUGAGUCAUGUCUCUUUCUAUUUUUUAUGUCUAGCUCCCACUUAUUGGUAAUGCAGUGCUCAUCUUAGGCCCUUGUUAUUGUUACAACUCACCGUCAGAAGUAAGGCAUGCGUACAUCUUAGUCAUCGGACCUCCGAAAAAUAGUAUAUUCAGUUUGAUCUUGUAACACAAUCUUCUUUCACUAAUACAGAGUUCUCAUCCAUUUGACUUUAGAACAUGGUAAAUUUUUAACAUAGCUUCAGGUACAAGAAGGCCCCAGACCAAUGCACCAGGGAUUAUCCUAAAUGCAUGUAUUAGGACAACUAAACUAUUGAGAUUAACAACAAUCUUGGUAACAUAUAUCUCAUUAAUGAUUGGUUUUUGUUUUAUCUGGAGCUAUAGUGCUCAUUGUUUAUUUUGGCGCCCACAUAUGUGUAAGGGACUAAGGGUCAUAUUGAUUGGUCUAUUUCAUGCAUGCAUCUAUUAAUGACACUCUCACCCUUGUGCUUAUACAUAGAUCUUCUUGGAUUUAUCAAAGUCGGCAGCCAUUAAAUUUGCAGACGGUGGCUUGCAUUUAAGUUGUCUAAAUGAGAAGAACCUUGUACAAAUAAUGCAGAGAAUUACUAGUACCAGUACUCUGUGGAUUUAGCUAGAUCAUUAAGUUCUUAAAUUAUUGAUCUAAGAUUAUGAUGGAUAUGGUUGUUAAUUCUACAUGUUUGCAAGAGUGGCAUGUUUUACAAUAAUGUCUGCACUGAGGUUUGCUUGGAUUAUUGUACCUUUCCAUAUGCAAAGUACAUUAGUACUAAACUACAAGAUCUACAGCUAAUAUAUACGUUUUCAGAUUAAUCAAUCUUGACAAAGUCUUCCUUUUGUUGAUGAAUUUUAAUGGGUGCAAUUAUGUUUUUGUUGUUAAUCAUCAAUUUUAUGAUUAAGAAGCUUACGAAAUAAUCAUGUACAGAUGUGUAUAAGAUAAUCAUGUUCUGAGUGAAAAUUAUUUUAGACUAAAAUUAAUCAUGCACAAAUUACCGGUUACAGUGGUGAGAAAAUAACAAUAGUGCAGAUCACUUGAACCAUUGAACUUUGUUAGAAUAUAAUAUGAUCCUGGUAAGCCCUUCUUCUAACACCUCGAGGUUUUAGGAGAAUUGAUCACUUAACAUGGUAUUAGAGCUCUGUAUAAUAGAGAGUUGUGAAGAGUUUCUAGUUUCUAUUCAAGCCCAGACAUGUACAUAUAUGAUACUGAAUAUGGUUUAAACCUGGUAACUUAGCAAAAUUUCUGCCUAAACCUUUUACCCGUCUAAAUCAAGUUAUCAUGUGUGCGUUUUAUUUGUUUUUUUUACUUAAUCUCGUGGGUCUUCUUGAUCCUGAUGAACCUUUGGCAUAACUGAACCAAGUCUGUAGUUACUUAUUAGUAAUAGUAUUGCAAAAACCAUAAGAAAGCACAAUACCAUAGUCUACAGGCUGAUAUAAGUUUAUAUUUGAUGAAACACUUCAGCAAAAUGAAUGGAAUAAAUCCAAAGAAGAGAAAAUGUUACACUGAGCUAGCUUGAGCUUGAUGGAGAUCUUAAUAUUUACUUUUUAAUAAGUUGUAGAACAAGGAUUGCAUGCAAUAUUAUGAUGUUCGAAGAGCCAAAGGUAUUCUGAGAAUAAACAAAAGCAAAUAUAUAUGUAGCCGUAGAAGAUUAAUCUUGUAAAUGUUCCAGUAUAAGUAUAAAUAUCCCUCAUUUACAUUUCAGUUGAACUAAUAAAUGAAUAUGUAAAACUAAGGCACUUUCUGAUGCUAGAUCUAUAAGCUGGAGAUGAUAUUUAGAAAAGAUGCUCUUGUUCUAAUCAAUCUUCUGGACAUGCACUCGCUUGCAGAUUCAACGAGUUCAAUGCCAUCAUGGAGUGCCUUUAGCCUUUCUUGCGCGAUUUCAAUCUUUUCACUUUCACACGAAUCAUAUGAGUCUAGUGCAGAAUCAACUUUUUCCAACUCAUUCUUGUUUUGGAGUUGCUCUUCACAGGUUACAGUUCCCUUUUGUAUUAAUUUUGAAACUAAUGACCAUUUAGUUGACUUGGAUUUGGAAACUGGUGAAGAAAAGAACAACAGGAGGGACUGGAAAACUGAUAUGGCCACUGAGCUAACUUCCUUUAGUACUCUGAUCACCUCUGACAAGUGGUAAUCUAAGUCGAAGAUUGCUGAGCAUGUGAUUUUGAUAUCCACCUGCUUUAAAUCUGCAAUCAAUUUUCUAGCUUGUUUUUUCAUCUUUCUUCUGAAUGAAUUAAAUUUUGAUAUGCUGGUGGCAAGGGUCAAGUCUCCCUUCUUUCUUCUUAUCGCAGAUUGAAGAUCCACAACGUGUUCUUUAAUCUGCGACGUGAAGUCCCUUGUGGUGCCACAUAUAUCUAAAAGCCUCACAGAUCCAUCCAACAACUCAUCAACCCAUUUCUCUUGGCGAUGGUUAGAAAGGGCUUGUUGCGUAAGUUGCAAGUUUAGAAGAUCAGCAAUACACUUAUACAGACCUUCAAGUGUCAAUAGGUCACUGGAGACCGCAGAUGCAUUACAAGAUGAUGAUACAUCGCGGGUUUUGAGCUUCCUAAGCUCCUCAUCAAUUUCAACUAUAUUUGGAUGUGAUCUUGAAGGCAAGCUAAUCGAUCUGAUAUGAUGACUGUUGUUGGCUUCUGAUGCACAAGCCAUUUUUGCUAUAUUGUCAAAAAAUUCAGAAGAUUUGAACUUUGAAUGGUAUGUAAAAACUGCAGACUUUGCUAUUUAUAUCACCACAAUGCAGGGGACAGAAGAUCAAAAAAAUGAUGCUAGUGUGGGCUCUCCCUUAAAACUUGUUAAUCUGUUACAACUUGUCUUACAAAAUGCACUAAAAUUUGACAAAAAUUGCAUGAUUCAUCUCCUUGUAGCUUCCUCAUAAUGUGGUAUGAUUGACACCAUUACAAAAUGUUAACUAAUAAAAAAUUGCAGCUGCAUCACCUCCAUAUAAAUUAGCUGGCAAUGCUGUCUCUGUCUCAUCCAGAACAUACUCAUGUCAUUGUAACAGCAACACAGCAUAUUUCUUUAUUAGAUAUGAUAAUGCAGGGAGAUACAUGAAAUUUCAGAGAGAUUUUCAUUAGCCAUUGCAGAAAAUUAGCACACGAAUUGUUUGUCUGCAUCGUACAACAAUCUUUCAUUUCGUGCUACUGCAUUGUUAUUUGGAUGUCGAUGAGAAUAUGAGAUUGGGGAUCAUGCAUAGACAAAAUCAAUCUAGCUCUUUCUUUAAUAAUGCAUGAUUAUAAUGCAGGCUAACAGGCCUAAUGAGGGAUUAUAUUAAGUUUUAGCAAGCGUCCAGGGGCUCUAAAUUUCCGGGAAAUUUCAGUGGAAUUAUUGGGAUCAUACGGAGAUGAUGUACCAUAUUCAUAUAUUAAGGAUCAUAUUGAAAAUAAUUAAAAGAUUCCAAUGGAUUUAGUUGGUAAGAUGGUCUUUGUUUUUAAUAUCUGUACACGAGUGGUUUGCUGUCAUAAUUCAGUGGGUGUUCUUUGGAUCAGGGUGAUUCUAUUGCAUUGUCAGAUGAUUCAAAAUCUGCUUGUUUUUCGUUUAAAAUUAGAUCUCAGCAAAACGAAAGAAUCAAAAUAGUUGCAAGAACCUCAAAAAUAAGAAUGACUUCUCCCUCUUCUUUUUUCUAAUAUACCUGAUAGGGAUAAGUUAUAAUGAUUCUGACUUCUCAUCCGUUGAGACGAAAUUUAACGAUCAGGUUUUAAAUUGAACAUAGUACAUUAUUGGGAAAAAAAAGUUGAAGCAGUUUAAUUUUAUUACUACAUGGAAGCGUAUAAUACAAAUUAUUUUUGGCCCUCACUAGACCAAAACUUUAUCACAGAAUAUUAAUUUUUUUUAUUUUUAUUAUUAGCCUCACGACACUAAUUUUCUGACUCCACCAUAGAUUACAAAUUUUCUGUAUUUUCUAUUUGCUUCAAUCUUUCAUUUCAUACCUUUGAUCCCUAACAAACUGCCAGGCUCUAUUUCUGAAACAUGGCUAAAGAGAUCUCGUGUUUUCAUAUUGUUCUUGAUGUUGGUGCGGCUUGGUGGUAGAGCCAAGAUUCCUCUGACAUAUAAUCUUCACACCGGCACCAGAAAAAGUAUUAAUGCAUUCUAAGUUUGUAACGAAACUAUGAGAGCACAUUGUAAUGAAGGCAACCACUCGUAUUAAGACAAAAUCUAAUGUAUUCAAAGUUUGUAAUGGAACUAUGAGAACACAUAGUAAUGAAGACAAUCAACUCUGAAAGUUAGUAAAGAAAUCAUAAGAAGACAUUGUAAUCAAGGCAACUAACUCAUUUUAAGAUAAAAAAAUUUAAAACAUUGCAACUAAACUAUGAUAGCACAUAGUAAUGGAGGCAACCAACUCAUACUAAGAAGCAGCAAGCAAAGAAAUAGAAAAUUGUUAGAGCCUUGUUGGCCAAAUGCAUAACAAGAUAAUCAGAUCACAGAGGAGCCCACAUGGUAAUCAUACUGCAUCCUGUGACACAUCUUGUCUCCUCUCCUGUCUUUUGUGCAUGCAUAUAUAGCAAUGCCUAUAGCAAGUAGUUCUCAUCAAAAAAACUACAGUUGAUAAAAAAUCAAAACACAGAAAACUAAAGCCAUGGCUAGUACUAGCUACCAUGUUAGAUCAAUAAGCUUGCCUUGCAGAUCACAUCCUGCGAUAAUCAGAGUCAAAGAGGAGCUUAGCAAGCUCAAAACAUUGGAAACUCCAUGCUGCCAGACAUCAGAAGCAAUUUGCAACAGUCUGUCUGGCUUGGCAGAGCUGUAUGAUUGCACAAAUGAUCUUCUUGGCCUUAAGUUAACCAAACAGUCCGCUCUGAUGGAUUGUCUGUUAGACGGGUCUGUGAGGCUUCUUGAUAUAUGUGGUGGAACAAGGGAUAUUGUUUCACAAAUUAAGGAACACACAAGAGACCUUGAAUCAUCUAUUCGAAGGAGAAAAGGAGACAUAAGCAUUGAAAGUAGCGUUGUGAAAUUCAAUUCCUUUAGGAGGCGAAUGAAGAAGGAAGCCAAAAGAUUGAUUGCAUCUUUGAAACAAAUAAAAAAACAAUAUGAGGCUUUGGCAAUGUUGGAUUCAGAUCAGAAACACUCAUCAGUGAUAGGAUUGCUGACAGAAGUUACAUUGUCAAGCAUUUCGGUUUAUCAAUCCUUGUUGAUGUUUGUGACGGUACCAGUUUCAAAGACAAAGGGAAGGAGAUGGUCAGCUAUAACAAAGCUGAUCCACACAGAACGAGUGUCGUGUGAAGAGGAAAACAUGAAUGAGUUGGAAAGGAUUGAUGCAGCAUUGAUAAGUCUUUGUAGAUCAAGGAAAGGGGAGAAGAUUGAAAGUGCACAACGAGGUCUAGUAGCACUGGAGACUCAUUUUGAAGGCAUAGAGAGUAAUUUAGAGUGUCUGUUUAGGCGCUUGAUCAAAACCAGAACCUUAUUCCUAAACAUGGCAUCAGACUGAUGUUCUUUAAGAUGCUUCACUUGAAAUUUUCCCAGAGGCAACCAAAUUUUAGAGGAUAUGCAUAUGGAUAUGUAAUUUUCAAGAGUUGUGUACAUUAUAAUAUAAUUUUCGGAAACAUAAUGUGAAUCAAUGCUUUCAUCCAUCUGUUUUACAAGUCCAGUUACUUUUCUUUUAAUCUCCCAAGCCCCACUACUUCAAUUUUGUUACUAAAAUAAAUAUCAGUUAAGUAGUUAAGUAGUUAACUAAUAACAAGAACAUAGCUUAUUGACAAAAACCUGAUACAUAAGCAUCACACAGUGCCACAAAGAUCUUAUUCUAUUAGACAACUUAUAAGCUUCCUUCCACCAAUGCUCGCUGACAGCCUGAGGAGAAGAUGGUGGUGAUUAAUGCAUUACACCCGGAGUAACUUCCAGGACAGAAUACACUUAUCCAACAAUGCAAUUUACAUAAAUAUUUAAAGGCCUCUCUGAGAACUGGUAUUACAUAUAAUUAGAGGUCAGUUUUUUAAGUAAAAUCCACAAAUAUUGAGUAGUAGCAGGUUCAAAAUUUGCUCACAUGUAAAUAAUAGGCCAAGUGGCGGAUUAACAAUUGGUCAGCUAUUUCCUAUAAAAUGGUUCUUGUGGAUAGAGAGAUUUUUAGUUGUGUUGCAAACAAGGACAACCAUCUUUACGUGUACAUGUACUUAUUGAAUUCAAAAUCUCUAUCACAACUUAAGAAUCAUAGCUAUGCACAAACAACCCUUCAAUCCAAAUCAGCUUCAGAUUUCUUAAUCACCUUCUCACACAAAUCUUUUAAUUUGUAGUAAGUUUGGCUGUGGUAGAUGUUUGUGAUGAUUGAUGACAGUGUCCUCUUACGCAUGAAACACCUAAAUUUGCAAUUUGGAGUUUGUGAAGGCUGAUAAGUCAUUCAUACGAAGCAACCAACACAGUUUUGCCUUCUUCCAGAAUGAAAAUAAGAAAAAUUUAAAAGAUUGAUUGCAUCUCUGCUGAAACAAGUAAAUAACCAAAUUGAGGCCUCGCUAUUGACCUAUCUAGAUCAGCAACACUUAAAAUGUUAAGAUCAAUUAGUUUUGAGAGCAUCACAGUGCUGGAGAAGAAAUCAAAAAGACUGAAUGCGUAUUUAAAGCAUAUAAGGAACCAUUAUUGGAUUAUUCCGCAGAAGUUAAUAGCAGUAGCAUACAAAUAAUUCCAGUACAACCAACUGGACAGCAUACAACACCUCGACAAAUUAUUCAGGAUUGCACUGUCCAUUUCUCUAAUUUGCUCGACUAUAAAGGAUCAGUGAACUUAUAACCGAGUAAAACGAAUACAUAAUCAUGUACUUUAGAUUAUUGGAAGCCAUUCUGUGCAAAAAAUAUAACUGGCACGAUAGAUUAUUGGAAGCCAUUAUGUGCAAAAUAAAGCCAGGAUGAAUUUAUAGGCAUGGAUCAAUUAAGCAAUGUGAGGAAAUCAAGUCCAAAAUGUCAGAAGUGGGAUUUGAACCCACGCCCUCUCUCGAAGACCAGAACUUGAGUCUGGCGCCUUAGACCACUCGGCCAUCCUGACAAUGUUGAAAUAUUAUGCUCUACUAGCUACUUGACUCCUGACUAGUUGCUUGAAAACUAGUAGGACAAAGAUAUGUAAUAAUAUCACAAGCAUAAUAAAGCAAAGACUAUCUCCCUGUUUGUCAAGAUAUACUUAUGUUCUCUACAUAUGCAAAAAUCUGCAGUAUCAGUGUAUUACAGUGUACUAACGUCUAUGAUAAAAGAGAAAAAAUAUAACCAUCAAUGAGUCUGCUUUGUAUAAUGCAGAGUUAAUCGCCAUUCUGAUAACUAGGAUACAGUUAUAAGUUGUUGCUAAAAGACAAUUCCUGCGAAAACCACAUUUUUAUAUACUAAUUUAUCUUAGUUUGACCUUAUUGUAGGUAACAAAUUUGGCUGAAACUCUCAGGAUUCUUGGAAACAAAAGAAGCAAAGCUACUCAUUCACAGAUGCUGAAGGUACCACCAGUAGUAGAAGUAGAUGGGAGGUUCAUGCAUAAAAGCAGGGCAUUAGUGAUAGUUUGUAGUAAUAAUUGGCAUAAUCAGUGAGUAAUCAGUGAAAUAAGAGUUGCAAAGUUCAGGUUGUGUUCCAGGAAAUUAGAUGCUGCAGAAAAUAAUCUGAAUUUAAUAAUUUUAGAGAUGUAGCAAUCCUUUUAAUUUAUAAAUCGGUUACAACUCAGAUUUCUUAACUGACAUUUUUCUCGGUGUAUUUGUUCUUUUACAUAUAGCGCGGUAAGUGAGAAUUGAAAUCUAGACCUCUUUUACCAGUAGGAGCAACUCUGCCACCGCUGAGCCUGUCCUAAUUCUUUUGUAACUCAGUUUUUCAUAAUAUAAACAUCAAAAUCCUAUCGAAAAUUAGCGUGAAGGAAAUGCUGGAGUAACUUAAUCUAAAAAAAUUAACAUGCAAGACAGGUGCAUGAGCACUGAUUAAUGAUUUUUGGGCUUAGCUUCCUUGAUAAAUUAAGAUUGAGCUGAACGUUUAAUAUAAAUAUUUGCAGCAGGAGUCGAAAUCAGAAGUAUUUUAACUGUACUCUUCUUAUAUCAUAUUUUUGUACAAGCAGAUUCUGUAAACAAGUAUAAUCCUAUGACCCCUAGAGAAUAAGGGGGUGAUUGAGAAACUAGCAAGUAAGAACAUUAAGGAGAGACACUCUAUACUGGAUAAGUCGCCUAAUUGCAGCGUCUAUUCCAGACUCGAGUCCAUCAAUGCUGACUGCAAGUGCCUCUAACUUAUUUUGUACAGUUCGAACUUCAUCUGUAACACCAGUACCUCGAGCAUGUGCACUAAGGCUGCAAAGGGCAACAUCAACUCUCCCUACUUCGUUAUUGAUCUUCUUUCCCUUCUCAAUAACGACUAAACCUACUGGCAUCAGUUUGGAGAUCAAGGAGCAUCCUCCAAGCUUGGUUUUCAAAAGGGAUGGUGUGGACAAAAACAAUAAGAGAUGUCGAAAAAUUACAUUUGUAAUACUGCUUAGUUCUCUAAGCACUCUGAUCACCAUCAACAAAUGAGGAUCUAAUUCUAAUAGAGGCAAAAACACAAAUUUGCCUUCGGCUCUCUUUAGUAAUCUAAUACACUUCAAAGCAUCCUUCUUUGCCUUCUUCCUGAAGGUGGUGUAUGCAUUUACAUCUUGUUGGAUGGAACCUCCACCUCUUCUACGCAAAGAUGACUGAAGUCCUUGCACAUGUUCUUUCAUCUUCGACAACAAAUCUUUAGCACAGCUACCCGCAUCAAGAAGAGUCACUGAACCUUCAAGUGCCUCUUCAAAAACUUUACUAUCUUGAUGGUGUAAAAUGGAUUCUUGAGUGCGGCUAGUCUGAAGAAGCUCCUCGACACUAUUGUACAGCUCAGCUAGCCCAACCAGACCUUUUAGGAUAGUCUGGCCACUAAUCGAUUCUUCCAAGGAUGGCAAUGAGGCUUCCCAAAUUUUAAGCUUGUCAAACUCUGUAUCAACUUUGAGGGAAGUAGGGUGCAAUCUAGAGGGCAAGCUAAUGGACCUCACUGGGUGCAACCCAAAGGAGCAAUUCAUGGUCUAGUGUUUGUUUUUCACAAAUGGUUACAAGUACUCUGUGUCUGAGAUAUGUCGGAAUGCAAAUUAAGGAUCAAUCUAUAUAUAGAAGACACAACAAAAGCAAGCUAGAGAAUCAAGUUAAACAACUUCCAUGUGAGGCCAAAUUGAGUGUACCUACUGGUUUAAUGAACUUGUAACAAAUUUGGAGUACAACAAAAUUCUUUAAUCUUUUCUCUAAUUGUGGUCAUUAAAUGAACAACGCUCAUCCCUGAUUAUCUUUCAUUAUCCACCCACCGAUGUAUGUAGAAUUGAUAUAAAAAUUAACCAUUAGUUCGGAUUUCUGCCUACAUGCCCAACUUCUCCCCAUGAUCAAUUCACAAUCUACUACAGAAUAUUCCUUAAUAAAAUACACCAAUUGAGCAAUGAUAAAUCACUGACCCUGCUGAUAAUAGCCUUGUUACAAAGAAUCACAGAGGUGCAUAGAGGAGUAGGUAAUAUAAUUUCGACAAGGUUACGACAAGAAAUAGUAGCUUAAAAAAAGUUCUUAGGUCGUACAACCCUAGGAUUUAGGGACGCCACAUCAAGUAAAAUUAAACAGGAUCAGAAAAUUAUGCCUAUGGUUAUUUUAAAAUGCCAUUUUAAUAAUGUUGGCUGGCAUGUUUAGGAGACAAGGAGGCAUAAGCCAUUAUCAUUUCCUUGUCAAAUGGCAAAUACAGUUUAAUAAUAAACCUGCAUCUUAGAAUUGAGAAUGUGACCUCAUUGGUUAGGGGAGGUGGAAUGACUGACACAUAAACAUAAGAUCGGCACUUCUGUGUAUAAGACAUGUUACUUACAUAUGGUUCAGAGGGUCCAUAACUUAGCAUGAAUCUCGAAAAUUGAUAUAUGUUUUACUGAAAUUGAGGCUAGUUUCAGACCACAAUCAUGAACGGAGACAGCAUAUUCUUUGGCCUUUUCUUGCCUGUAAAAAAUUGAGACUAGAGAUUUUUAGAAGUCUUUGAAUGAACAUUUAGGUAUUGAAACAAUAUAUGUAAGAGAAUUAUAUAAUGCAUGUUUAGUAGACAAGGAGACAUAGUAUAAGGUUUUUAUAAGGUCGGGUAACUUGGAAAUUGGAGUGAGUCACAUAAAAAAAAUUCAUGAAACGUUAAAACCAUAAUCUGCUGUUCAAGAAUCCGGGGAAAUCGAAUGACAAAAAUGAUUAACACAACAUGGGCAACAUUUUGUAUUACUAUGAGAUGUACAUUGAACUUGUAGUAUUCAUGUUUGCGUAAAAUGUCUUCAGUUAAGCUGCUUGUCACAUUGUCUGAUAACAUUGUGGACUAGUAGUUCUUGCAUAGCAGAAAAGAAACGCAGGUUAAGACAUGUAUUUAACGAAUGAUCAAGCAAACAAUAUUAAACAUAAUGAUGCAAACCUAUAAUUAUUUUAUAGUCUAACUAAAUAAUGAUGGCAAACUUCAUUUUUUGAUUUUUUUUUUCCUUUAUUUCUCUAUCGUCAUCACUAAUUCCACGUAACUACGUGAGUUACGUGAUUAUUUCUCUCAGACAUUUGAUUCCUCACAAGUGAUUCUUGCAACCAUCUAUCAACGAUUUUUAAAGUUGAUUGGACACUGAACGCGGAUGAAGUGUCCCUUCCGUUCACACAAGAUACCUCAUAGAUGGUUGAAUACUCAAAUCAGCCGCUUGUCAGGAAUCGAGACCCAUCAGUUUUUUUUGUAGGUUUAUAUAAUGCUCAACUUACCGGUUAGAGUCAGACUGAAAUUUCAGAGUGCAUCAUAUAAUAUAACCCAAUCUCCAAUGUCAUGGCCGUCCCAACUCCCAACCCAACUUCAGAGUUCACCUUAAAGUUAAAUUUUAAUGACAAGCGUCACAAGCCCUCAUAUCAUACUGGACCCUAUUGCAACUAUAGCAGUCCGAGAACCCAGUCAAGCCCAAUGAUGGACUCAAUUGAAUGCCAGGAGUUUUCUUUUUCUGAAGAAAAAAAUGAUACAUUUAAAAACACCAAAUUUAACUGCAUAUCACAUAUAUGUUCAAAUAUUGCAUGCUACAUCAGUAAAACAUGUAGAAAGAAAAAUGUUCAGAUUCUGCAUGUCCUGGUCUUCUCCCUCAGAACAAACUUCUGAAUCUUUCCUGUUGAAUUAACUGGUAAAUCAUACAUAAAAACCAUCUGAGGGACCAUGUGAAGGGGCAGUAGUUCCCUGCAAUACUUGAUAAUCUCUUCACCACUCACAUUAUCAUCAUAUUCAUCCCUUAACUUUACAAAAGCACAAGGUGUCUCACCAUUGACACUGUCAGGCCUUGCCACAACCGCAGCUUCGAGAACCAUAGGAUGAUUUAACAAGACAGCUUCAAUUUCAAGUGUCCCUAUGAUUUCUUUCCUAAACUUUAUCACAUCCACUGCGCGAUCCUUCACCUGUAUACAACCAUCAGGGAGUCUAGUGCCAAGGUCCCCGGUUCUGUACCACCCAUCUUCAAAAGCCUUUCUAGUCAUAUCCGAAUCUCCGAGGUAACCGGACAUCAUAGUAUUGCUCCUAAACAUCACUUCCCCAAUGGUUCUUCCAUCAGAUGGUACACUUUUCAUUGUUACUGAGUCUUUGACAUCAACUUCUUCCAUGAUUCCUUGUCUAAACUUUAGGCUUAUUGUUGACAUACUCAACUCUGCAUUGGACAACUUAUUAACAAUCACGGGUCCGAGAGCCUCUGUCAUUCCAUAUCCAUACGUGAUGUUAAAUCCCAAUUCUUGAACUCUGGACAAAAUUUCAAUUGCUGGCAGUGCUCCAGCAAUUACUGCUUCCACUUUGUAGGCAUUUUUCCGCGUAUAGUUAGCUGGCGCCUCUGCAAUCUUGUUCAGGAUUGAUGGCGCCCCGCAUAAAUGCGUUACUUGAUGAAGCUCUAUAGCAUCAAAAAUGACUUCUGUUGUGACAUUUCGGGUGCAAAUAUUCGUGCCACCUAGCGCAGCCAUUGCCCAAGGUAAGCACCAACCAUUGCAGCGAAACAUGUCAACUGUCCAUAAGAACACCGGAAAUUUUCUCAUCUCAAAUCGAAAAAUUGCAGCCAGAGUAUUGAGAUAGGUUGCUCUGUGGCUGUAGAUUACUCCCUUAGGCUUCCCUGUUGAGCCAGAAGUGUAACUCACUGAUAUGGGAUCAAUUUCGUUCUUCGGUUUAACUACUUGAAAAUCAUUUUGGCCCAUAGCAAACAGGGAACUAUAAUUUAGGCAACCAUUAGGAAGUUUUUCGAAAUGUGAAACUUCUUGAUCCGAAUCUGGUAUCAGAAUUAGGAUGGGGAGCUUGGUUUGUGCCAACGACAAAGUUUCGAAUGCUGAAUGCACAACUUCGACGAAUUCAGAGUCUACGAAAAUCACUUUGGCUUCCAGUUGCGUUAGUAUUGAAGCCAACAUUGUUGUGUCCAACUUUGUGUUAAGUGCAGAAAGCACACCUCCACUCAUGGGAACUGCAAAAUGUAACUCAUAGAGUGCUGGGAUAUUUGGUGCCACAGCUGCAACCUGUCAAAUUUAACAAGAUCUAUACUUACAGUAACUCAUUUAACGGUUUUUCUAGUCUGUGUCCAUAAUCACACAAUAAUAACCGUUUUUUAGUUAUGUGUCGGAUUUCUAAUGACAAGUGUCUUUGCCGAGGCAAUUCGGGUUUGGUACAAUUUUUGAUGCCUAAUUUGGAGUAAUUAAGAUGUCAAAGAUGAAAUGUUAGCUUUACACUUGCAAGUUGCAGGGAGAUAUUAAUUUUGUACUCCCUUUGUCCUAUUUAAUUGUAUACAUUUCUUUUCAACUGCUCGACACGCAUUUCAAUGCUUUUAUAAAAUAUAGUUCUGUAACUUAUUUUUGAAAUUUUCUUUUUCUGAAUAAAAAUAUAACAUCCAAACUUUAAUUCAAAAAAAGAAAAUUUUAAAAAUAAAUUACACAACUACACUUUACGGGAGCAUUAAAGUCCGUGCCGCGUCCCGGUCCCCCAAUGUAUACAAUUCAAGGGGACGGAGGGAGUAUUAGAUAAACUCAACGGUGUAUAAAGUCAAAAUAUAAAAUAGUCUAAACUACUCAACUUCAAAUUGUCAUUCCCUGAACUAGAAUUAGGAAGCGUAAACAACGUUAAAGAAAUAAAAAAGUCAGACCUCAUAUAUUCCACAGAUGUAAUAUUUGAUGGCCGUCGUCAUAGGUUUAGUCUGGAGUGUAAACGAAUCUUAACCGACGAGUACUUUGGAAGGACAAUCCCUCCAUUGUUUUCCAGACAGGCAGAGCAGAUUUUUUAUUCGAAUAAAGAUGUCUGAGCUCGAGCUCGUUAAUUUUUUAAACUUGAAUUUUUAAAAAAUAAAUCUGAUUGUUCAGAAAUAAUUAUUUUUUUAAUAUAAAUACUUAUACGUUAUAAAUAGAAUACAUAAAUAUAAAUAUUACUUGAAUAUGUUAUUUAACAAAUAUAAAUGAUAUUUUUCAAAUGAGCCGAUCUCCACACACAGAAAUCAUUAUUCUCAAAUGAGCCGACCAUAGUCGGAAGAAUGGGUCAUAAAUAUCAUCAAACAAAUACUUAACUCAUAUUAGUACAAUAUAAUGUGUUUUAAGUUAAGAAUAAAGUUCAUCCUUGAAUAUCUUCAAAAUAUUUUCAUAUUAACGAAGUUGAUUGAUCGGUAUUCAAGUCGUAUAAAGUUUAGACUAAAUAUCAUAAUACAUAAAUUAUCGUUUUUUGUUCUAAUUUUAUCGAAGUUGAUAAUUUAUGUAUGAGAGCUAAAUCAAAUAUUCUUACAUUUAUAUACAACUCGAUAAUUCUCGAAUUAUCGAGAAUUGAUAGUUUAGUCUCGAUAUAUGCAAGUUCAGUUUAUAUAUAAGAACUUAAUUAUGAGAACUAAAUCAAAUACUCCUACACUUGUAUAUAACUCAAUUAAAUUGAGAGUUGAUAAUUUAGUCUUGAUAUAUGAGAGCUCGAUUCUAAAUCAUGUUCUUAUGUAUAGGAACUUAAUUAUGAGAACUAAAUCAAAUACUCCUACACUUGUAUAUAACUCAAUUAAAUUGGGAGUUGAUAAUUUAGUCUUGAUAUAUGAGAGCUCGAUUUUAAGUCAUGUUCUCAUUGCAAGUGAGUAAUACUCCCUCCGUCCCUUUUUAUCUGUCCAUUUUGGAAAGAAAAACACAUACCAAGGAAUACUUAAUUGUAUAAACUUUUUCAUUAAAUACCUCUAAUUAAUAUCUUGAAAAUGGUGGAAUACCCCUACUUUAUGUCUUGAAAACAUGAAUUCAACCAAGUUUUAAAUAAGUCAAGUCUUGAAAAUUGAAAUUAUGGAGAUAUAUUUGAAAAACUAUCAUUAAAUUAGUUUUGAAAGUAUAAAUGGACAAAUAAAUAAGGACAAAUCACUUCAAGAUAAAACAUAUCACUUCAAGAUUUCGAGGAGAGUUAAAGCUUAAAUUUACGAGAAUAAUCAAAGCAAACUAACGUCGAACUUUGUCCUUCAUUAACGAGCAACAAAGUACUGAAGCCUUGAAAAACAUGUAACGGCAAUCAAUUAGUAGAAGCUAAUUAAGGAAAUGAGAAAACUUACAACAUCACCACGGUUAACUCCCAAAACAUGUAGAGCAGACGCGAUCUUGAGGCAUCUUUGACGCGUUUCACGCCACGAAAAUUUAGUGUUUCGAUAAACGAUAGAGACCCUUUCGGCAUGAACCAAUGCUGCUUGUUCCAGGAAGUUGAUCGGAGACAAAGGCAUGAUCAUGUUGUUUGCUGAGCAUUGAAUCACACACUUCAUUUUCUCAAUCUUCUCGUCAAUGGUAGCUACAUAUACAUGCACAAACCAUAUAAAAUAUUAACCUGAGAAGCACUAACUCUUUUAUAUUCUAGAAUUUACAUUAUAUUAUUAAUAUAUCAUACGAUAGGAUGAACUCUUGAAAUACAGCGCAAAAACACAAGACCUGCGCUAAUGGUUCAUACUUGGUUAUGACGUUUAUUUUUGCCGUCAUCCAUUAAUUGUCAGUUUUCUGUGACAAGUACGAAUACGACUUAAUAUUAGGGGUGUACUUCAUGAAAUUCGAGUAUAUUUAAUUGUGAUUAUUCAAAUUCAUUAAAAUCUUUUGCUAUUCAAUUAAGAUUUUAAAUUAUGCUACAAAAUAUGGUGAUAUUUAAUUGAGAUUGUUUGAAAUCAACUAAAAUAUGGUGAUAUUUAAGUGAUAUUUUUUGAAAUCCCACCAAAAUUCAUGAAAUUUGAAAUAUUAUGCUUAAAUCCUAAAGAAUCUGCAUAAACUCUACAACAUUAAAAUCCGCACAAAAUCAAAAUCACAUACAAUACAUUAAAAUCUAUAGAUUAAAAUCCUAAUUAAAUGCACCCCUCUUAACAUUUCAAAUAUAAAAUGUGAGAAAUUCUUAAAAAUACAGGAACAAUGAGGUAAUUACGUAACAUAUUUAACAAAACUAGACCAAGCCACCCGUUAACAAAACAAUCUACGAAGAUGAAAAACAAAUCAAUGAAAUACAAUGUAUUAAUGAAGACGGUAAAAGAAGUGUACCGUUCACUAUAGUCAAUUAGUCAUAACCGUGUACAAUCAACAAGGCAUGAAUGGCUGAAUUGUCAGGCCUUCAAAAAACAAGUCCCGACUGCUAAAUAGAUUUUUGCCCACUUACACUAUGAUAGUGUGAUCGUUGGAGCUAGUUUAGAGAAAAAGGAAAGAGUUUAUGAUUUGUGAGUUGCAUACAGGAGUACCAUCUUAUGAGUUGUUCUUCUAUUUAUAAGACGAGAAUAGGAAGUGUAACGGCUGCAGAUUUAAAUUGUUGUAACUCAGCCGUUAUAAAUUAUUCAAUUAAUUCUCAUCCGUUACAGAAUAUAUAUAUCUUAAUUCUCAACUGUUACAGAAUAUUUAUAAUUAAUAUAUACUCACCUGAUAAAUAUACAUAUUAAUUCUCGAUUGUUACAAAAUAUUUAAAUUCAGUUCUUAGCUGUUAUAUUUUUUGCUGUUGUAGAUUAUAUGUUCUAUGGUAGUUCACUAUUUUAUUGGAGUUCUUGGAGUUCAUAUAUGUUUUGCAAGUAAAAUAUAGCUUAAAAUUUUGCAAAACAUAUUAUUUUUCAAAUAAUGUUCUACAAAAUCACUAUUAUAUUAAAAAUAUUGCGGAUCUCAUACAUUUUACGAGUAGAAAGCAAAAUAUAUUAUUCUAUAGAACAUGUUUAGUUUGUAGACAUACGUAUUUUACUUAUAAAUGUAUGAGAUUUGUAAUAUUUUAUUAAAGUAAUGAUAUUUAUGAAAUAUCUUUUGCAAGAUAACAUUUUUUACAAGAUAUUUUAUUUGUAGAACAUCCCGAGAACUCCAAUAAAAUGGUGGACUCAAUGGAACUCUAUCCCCAUACAUAUUUUGAUAAAUUUAAUUUAAUCAGAUUCGACUGUUACAGAAUAUAUAUAUAAUAUAUUUAAAUAAUUCUGAUUUUGAAUUUCUUUUUUAGUUUAUUCAAUUAUAUUUAUAUUAAUUAAUCAAUUAAAUAAGCAAAUAACAAAAAUUUCUCGCCAGAUCGCCUCACGUAUGCAAGAUAUUCACACAAAUGACCCCGAGUCGAGAUGUGGCAUGGCAAUGUGACUACAGGUGGCAAUCGUUUUGUUUCGUAUACUUUCGUUUCGUGUAAUUUCGUGUUUCGUGUACUCGAAGGUGAAACCCGUAUCCGCCCGUUAUUAAUUUCGUGUACCUAAUUUGAAACCCGUAUCCGAUCCGAAUCGUUUCGUAUAUAUUUCGUGUACUUUUCGUGUAUAUUAUAUAUAAAAAUAUUAAUAUAUUUUUUCAUCAAAAAAUGGAUUUAAUAUAUAUUUUCCUUUAUAAAUUUAUUAAAUGUGGAUGAUAUAUUUAUUUACAAUUCUCUAUAAAUUUGUUAAUGUAUCUACAAUAUAUAUCCACACAUACAUAUAAAUAUAUACUUUUUACUCAAUUAUAUAUCUAAUAUAUCAUAACAUAUAUAUAAUAAAUAUUAUCUACAAAUAUUUCGUGUACUUUCGUGUAUUUCGUGUACCCCAGAUGAAAACCCAUAUCCGACACGAAAUCUAUCAUGUAAUUUCGUGUUCGUGUAUUUUUGUGUUUCGUGUAUCAAAAAUUGAAACCCAUAUCCAUUUUUUUCGUGUCGUUUCGUUUCGUUUCAUGUUAGCGUGUCACGUGUCAAAUUCACAUAUCAUGCACAUGAUAUCUAAUAAAAUCACAUAUCACAUACCGCUCUUUAUUAUUUAAAUGUCACACAAGUCAAAUUACUCAUUUCAAACUUUUUAAUGUUCCUAUUUUAAUCAAUUUCUCCAAUAAAUUACAUUACAAAAAAUUAUUAGAUUCAAAUAUGAUAAUUUAAGUUUUCAGUUUUAGAAAAAACCUCUAAUUAUCAGAAUUCAAAAAUUACAUAAAGAGCAUAAUAUAUAUAGCCUAAUUUUUUUUUAUCUUUCUAAUAUAAAAUACGUGUGGUAAUAAAUGAAAAUCAUACAGAGAAGCUAAAUCUCAGAAUAGGGUAGUGUAAAUGAACACUUUGAAAUUCAUAAAACAUUUUGAUUCUGAUUGAUGUGAAUGCGAACGUUAUUACUUAUUUAUAAGAUAAUUUUAUCCACGGAAUGUAUUAGGCGCUUGAUUUGUUUGACACCAAUUUCGAUCAUGAUUCAAAUCUAAAUUUAGAAAAAAUUUAAAUAAUUAAAAUAUUUAACAUAAAUGAAAAUUUCCUUUUAUAUUAAUCGAAUUAAAAUCUCAUAAUCGAAUAUAAACAAUCAUUUUCUUUCAGCUGAAAGAAUGAUAGAAAUGACUUUUCUCCGCUGCCAAACAGGAUGGCCUCAGGCUACGCACAUAAACUGAUAAACAUAUAAAACCCUGACACUGCAAAUUUAACUAAAAUAAUCGAUAAGUGAGCUAAUAAAUUUUCUUAACUAAAGCUAUAUAUAUUACUUAAAGAUUUAAAGAUAUAAUAUAUUAUUAAAAUAAUAAUUUCAUAAAUUACAAACAUGUACAUUCCGUGUAUACCGAGUCAGACCAUUUACUGAAUUAAAAAAUAACUCUGCGUGUUUUGGCCGGUGACGACCGACUUUAAACGAGCAAAGUCAGUCCACCAUCAUAAUUUAGACAAGCAUGUAUACAACUGCGUCUGCAAGUCUAGGUCUUUUUAGCGCACUAUUUAAUAUUGCAUAUUACAAUUGUGGUAAACAUCGGUGCAUAAAUUCGAAUCAAUGAGGUAUCUUAAUUGUCCAUCUGUGGAGCAUGAUCGAAUCAUCCGGUCCUGGUUUCGAUUUUUGAUAACUUAACAACUGAAGUUCUCAAGUCAAUAUCAGGAACAUUAUUCUCAUACAUCACAAGACAAACCGCAUAUUAAGAAAAUACUUGAAACACAAUUACAUAGCAACCAACCUCUCUAUGAAAGAAGAAGGAAAUAGCGCCAGGGCGAAAACCACAACAUAUUCAGUAUUCAUUCAGCUUUCCACGAUGAAAAGGGUGGAGUAUCCGAGUUCAGAUAAGAGGCUGCUCCGGUUGGGUAUCUUUCACCCUGGACAGAAUUAGCAAUGGAUUCAAGUUCCGCCAUUUCGUGAGUUGUUAAUUUUAUCUUUAAAGCUCCAAUAUUUUGGUCAAAAUUUUCAAUUUUGGUGGUUCCGGGAAUAGGACACACAUCCGAUCCCUGAUGAUGGACCCAAGCCAGUGCUAGUUGUGAUGGAGUACACCCUUUAUUUGAUGCAAUCGCAUUAACUCGAUCAGAUAAGAUUUUAUUACGCUCUAUAUUUUCCUUCUGGAACCUUGGUAGAGCCUGCGCAGAAAGAAAGAAUUAUACAAAUUGAUCCAAGGAGCCAAGAACUAAUAUUUAAAACAUAUUAGUUCAGAAUACGGAUUAUUAUAAAUAAAUAUUCUGAUUUAUGAAGUAUGUUAAGCAAUUGCAACUUUUGCAUUCCUUCACGGGUUUACAUAAUCUAUUUUAUACAGCUAGUACUAGCAGUACGAGGUUCAGAAUAGUUACUAGCAACCAAACCUUCAAAACAAAUCAGAUUGUUAAAGUUUCUUUAACGAAAGAGUUUCAGACAGUUAGAUUGUAGUUGUUCAUGAAUUGUUUUAACUUUGCUUGCUGUGUUUUCAUGAAGAUCCAAGCUACUAAAAGAGAACUCGGCACUCUGCAAAUAGUGAUCAGUUUCUUCAAUAAACUUGAUUUUAUUUACUUUUUGGCUAAUUUAGACAAUAAAACUGAAUUUUAGAUUUUGAAAUUAAAAUACAAGCUUGAUACUUAGUAUAAUAGAGAAAACAACCUUUCUGUAGUCAUCUUUUGCUAAGCUGUCAACCAAAUUUGAACCUCCAGACAAGAAUCCCCGUCCCAGAGGACUAUAUGCAACAAUCCCAAUGCCUAGUUCUCUGAAAAAUACAAACCAGUGAACUAAGUUUCUGAUUUUUUUUAUAGGUAGUUGGAAAAUAUGAUGAUUUAAACAGAUACCAUACCUGCAAGUAGGAAUUAUAUCUUCCUCCACGCCCCUCGACCACAAAGAACACUCCAGCUGCACGGCAGUGAUGGGAUGAACAGCAUGAGCUCUUCUGAUUGUAGAUGCAGAGGCCUCAGAAAGCCCUACAUACUUGAUCUUACCUUCUUCAACCAGUUUUUUCAGUUCUCCCAUCUUCCAAACAAAUGCACAUUUUUAAGGCACAAUGGGUAAAAGGAGAAAUAGGAAGAAACAACAUAUUAUGGUACCAUCAUCACAUAAAUCAACAUUUCUUUGCACUAUCAUGGUUAAUGGCAUCAACUUACAACUGUAUAAUAAAAACAUAGCACUUUGACCUCCCGGACGACUAUGCGCCCCAACUGAGUCGAUGAAGAUAGUAGUCAAAUGAUUAAAUAACAGUUUUUUGAUGGACUACUGGCCUAGAGCUCUCACAGAUAGUCUUCUAAGUUGGAAAUGAUUUAAUACAAAGUGAAACUGACGAAUUCUCGACACAAUCAGAUCCUUUCGCAAAUCCUGCUAUCAUGAGAGUUGCUAUUUAACAUUUAACUGGCCACUGUGUGCACACACUUUCACAAAUGAAAUAUCACAGAUAUGCUCACUGCAGCCAUUCCAACAGCACACCAAGAAAGACUCAUCUAGGAUUUGGGUAAAAGCAGCAAAAUCAUUCAUUUGUCUAUUGUUGAUUUAUGAAAAUAACAUUUUUUAAUUAAUCAAAUUACCAGUAAUGAGGACAGAUUAAUACAACAGCUAUAAAAUUUUUAGCAGAAAACUUAAAAACAGGGCAAGUAAUUUGGGACACGACAACUAUGUAUUGACAUACCGUAACUUCAAUUGGCACUUGAGUGUCAAUACGGUGCUGAUAGUACAAAUCGAUAAAAUCAAUCUCAAGCCUCUUCAAGCUAGCCUCACAACACGCCCGCACGUAUUCUGGAUCGCCUUGCACUACUCUGAUUUCUCCAUCCAUCCUGAUCCCAAACUUGGUAGCCAGCUGAACUUUGUCCCUAACACCGUCCUUUAAAGCCUACAUUCACACAAUCUCAUUCAAAUCCUUUACACAUUUUGAACUCAAGAUUCAUUUACAUAUUGAACGGGUGUCAACCCAAGUCCCACGUCAUAAAAAUAAAGAAGAUUUAUCUUGAAUAUAAACAGUCAACGAACUCUAUUAAUAUGAAGCGUUUUGGAAGUAGCCCCAAAACAAAUCCUUGCGGGCUUGCCAUAAUCAUCCCCUUAAUCAUAUCGAGAUGAUGAAAAAAAGGCACAUAAAAAGAAAAACGGACCUUAGAAAUGAGGAUUUCGUUGGUGUGAGGUCCAUAAAAAUCUGAAGUGUCGAGAAGAGUGACACCGCUUUGGACAGCAUGGUGGAUGAGUCGAAUCAUGUCGGAAUCAGGCUUGGUCUGACCGUAGAAGUAGGACAUUCCCAUGCAGCCAAGACCCUGAGCUGAAACUUCAAGACCUUGUGAACCCAACUUCAUUCUGGGGACUGCAUCACCCAUUGUAAGGCUAGUAUAAUUUGGAAUUAUUUAUGUGUAUCAGAGAGUUGAGCCGAGAUUUUCCUUGACAAAAGAGAGAGUCUAGUAGAGAUGAUUUUAAGCAUGAGUCUGGAGAUCUAUGUUAUUUAUAGGUGCAGGACCGGAAGCACAGAACCGAAUGGAAUCCAACCAAAAAUCAAAAGUUAUGGAAUUCAUGGACCUAGUAGAGGACUACUAUAGUCUGCACUAAGACCAGACCAUGACCAAAUAGAUAAUCACUUAUGACUUAUGACUUAUCUAUGAAAAACAAAAAAGGGCUGCCGGACGUAAAAUCAGGACAAAGACGAGUAGUGUUAGGUAAUCAAAAUUUAUUUUUUAAAUAAAAUGUGAUAGUUAAAUAAUUUGGUUCGAUUUAUUGAUGUAUGUAUAUACAUAAAAAAUCUCAUAUUAACUUAAAAAUAAUACUCCCUCCGUUCCAUUUUAACUGUUUUUGACUUUUUUACACGUAUUUUAAAGUGUAAAAAAAAUCACAUCUAUAUAUAAUUAUUCUUUAUAAAAUUUAUAUCAAAUAAAAGUUUAGAAUCUAAACUUUUAUUUGAUAUAAGAAUUGAAUUUUUUAAUUAAGCGUAGACAUUGUCUUUUUACACCUCAAUAUACGUGUUAAAAAGUCAAACAUCACUUAAAAUGGGACAGAGGGAGUAUAACUUAUAUGCAUAUGAUUGUUAGAAUAUAAUAAGAUUUUGGUAAGUUCUCUUCCAUUUAAAAUUUUAGAACAAUUGCUCACUUAACUUAAUACUAUCAAAGUAUAGUCUGGUGGAGCCUUUUUGAGAUUUUGAGAGAAUUGAUUAUUUAACGGACACAGUUUGGAAUCAUUUAUUAAUACUUUACAUUUUUUUUUGUGACAGAAAUACAUUGCAUUUUCCAAUCAGGACAAUAAGUGCAGUUUUUAUAGUAACAAAUUCAAGCCACCAAACGUCAUUGCUUGCGUUUUAAUAUUUUCCACUCUACUUUCCAAAUAUGGAAACAUUAUAAUAACUCAGCUUUAAAUUUAUGUCAGGCCGCCGGGGACAAAAUCACAAAAUACAGCAAAGUUAUAGUAAUGUAUAGCAAACUUCUUCAAUUAUAGCGCUCCGAUAUGUAGAAUAUGGUGGCCCGUUGGGUAGAAAACUAGAUACAACAAACUAAUAUCAAUUGAUGCAGCCACUAGUCAUGUGGAAUCCAGAAACUAUUUUAAUUCUGAUUAUAUUAUUCAGUUUAAAAGCGGAGCAAAGUUUAAUUGACCACUUUUUUGAAAAUUUGGAACUCAUUUCUGCCCGUCUGUUACUCCCGUUAGUAAUAUUUAAUGAGAGCCACAUUUUUAAAAGAUUAAUUGAAAUUAUUAAUCAUGAUAUUAAACAAAUAUAUUAAAUAAUAUAAAAUAUCUAAUUUAUUAAGAUUAUUAUAUUAAUUUUAGAAAGAUAUGUUAUGAUUAAUGGGAUUUAAAAGAUCGAAUCAACUAAAUAUCUUGUAAGGUGAUUUUUAGAAAUAUCCUAAAACGUUUUACAUACAGGUGAUAUUAAGGAGAGUAAUGUCAGGGACAUCAGAAUUUGUACCGAAAUUCUGUUCUCAAAUUACAUGGCAGACAUAUGACGGAUUUUAGUUGAGUGGUUUAUGCAGAGACGGAAUCAGAAAAAUAAUUUGAAGGGGCGAAAAAUUUUUAUGUAAAAAAUACAUUCCGACAAUUUAGAUUUUAUUGAUAAGUUUAUGAAUUUGUAUGCACAAAAUUCAUAUUUACAUGAGAAUUGGGAACAUAUUUUGGGUUACUUAGUAUCUUCCUGUUUAGAACUAUGCUACAAGGUUUUACAUGCUGGACUGCUGGAGUCUAGAUCAGCACUCCUGAUUAACAUGUGACCCCAAUUUCUUGUAUUAUACCUAUUUGGAUUAGAAAUCAUAACUUAGCUAGGAACAUAGAUUUUAUUUCCAGAAGGAUUAGGAUUUAAGAAUGUGAAUCUGAUUCGGACAGCAAGCUUCUUACACUUGUUGCUGUUUUUUAUAAACGAACAUGGUGGUUUUGAAAGUCUUGAAAACAUACGAAACAACAAUGGGAAAUUUUGUACUUGAUGCUCUAAGAACAUCAACUCUGUCAAUACAAACAUCAUUCCAUGAAAUCAAAGUAUCUUUCGGGUCCAUCAAAUCAUUAUUAGUACCCUGGACAAGAUCAAACAGUAACAAUUCCAGCCCUGUCAUCUCGAAAACAAAGUUGCGCGAAGAUAUCAAAGAGUUUGAUGAGUCUAAGGUUGGCGUAAAAGGCCUAGUUGACGCAGGAAUCACAUCGAUUCCACGUAUCUUCUACCAGCCACCUGAGAAUCUAAUUGAUUCGCGCUCUCUCACGCGAACCUUGGAUAUCCCUGUCAUUGACCUGGCUGCGUCUGACAGGGCUAUUGUUGUGAGACAAGUUCAAGAAGCAUCGUCUAAGUUUGGAUUCUUUCAAUUAAUCAAUCAUGGAAUUCCUUUGUGUCGUAUGGAUGAUGUGAUUUUGUCGAUCAAGGCUUUCAAUGAGCUUGAAACAGAGCUGAAAUCGCAGUAUUAUAGUCGUGAAGGAAAUGAGAAGAGAGUACUUUACUAUGGUUCAAGUUUGCAUUUAAAUGAAUUAGAAGGCGCCAGCUGGAACGACACGUUGCUGGUAGCAUUGGGACCGGAGCCAGCAGAAUCAUGUUAUGUUCCGGAGGUAUGCAGGAUGGCGGUGGCUGAGUGGGAUGAAGAGAUGAAGAAACUAGGGGGUGCUUUAUUAGGUUUAAUGAGUGAAGGACUCGGGUUGAAGAGGGAAGCACUAGAGGAGAAGUUGUGCAUGGAUGCUAGAAUCAUGGCUGGAAAUUAUUACCCUCAUUGUCCACAGCCAGAUUUAACUCUGGGCUUAAAAUCGCAUACUGAUCCUUCUAUUUUUACUCUGUUGUUGUCUAAUCAUGUACCUGGCCUCCACGUUAAAGUUGAAGGACAUGAGUGGGCUAAUCUGGUGGCUCAUCCGGGGGCUCUUGUGGUAAACAUUGGUGAUGUUCUUCAGGUAAAAUCAAAUAUUUCGUAUUACAUCAGGUCUUGUUUUUAUAUUUUGCAAAGUUGUGAAACUAUGUGUCCCUGAUAUGAAUAUUUUUUUUUGCAGAUUAUUUCAAACGACAAGUACAGAAGUGUUGAACAUCGGGUGUUGGCCAACUCAUUACAAGAACCACGAAUAUCAGUUGCAGUUUUUUUCAACCCAGCUAACGAUGCAGACACUUAUGGACCGUUACCUGAAAUUACAUCACUGGAUGAACCAGCUCGUUAUCGCGACUUUGAUUUACUAGAGUUGAGACAACAAAUGAAAAAGGAAGUGGGUGUCAAAAGUUUGAUUAACAACUGCAGGAUUGGUCCAAAUUUGAAGUGGAGAGAUUGGAAUCCGCUCAGGCUUCUACAGUCUUAUGUAGGUUCUAGUCAGAAUUAGAUAGAUAUUCAGUUUCAUCAAUUUUCAGGACUCGCUGUUCCCUGUAGUUUAUCACAUUUUGAUUCCCGUCACUGGUAAUCCGGCUAGGAGGUCUUUUAACCAAGAAUUUCAUAUGUUAAUCAGAUCUUAUCUCUGCGGCUAGUUGUAACUGUUAAUUACCAGCUUCAGAAUAGUUCUUUUGAUUGUUUUGUCAUGUGCUUAAUUGUGCAAAAUUUUAAAAAAUGGUUUUGAUUGUUUCAAUCAGCAUGUUAUUGAGUCAAUCCUACAGAGGUUCUUUUCAUUUACAUGUAACUGCUCAGUUAUCUUAGCCUUUUUUUUCUUUAGGUAAACCAAACCAAGAAUGUAAUACUUUGUCAAAUAUUUUUAAUACACACGAGUUUAUACUAGAUGAGCAUCUCUAACAAGGGUUGUCAAAAUAAUUGUCAAUAUUGUCAAAUCAUCAUAUAUUAAUAUUUAUUUCACUCAUUUUUUAUCAACUUGACAACAUUCUAAUUCAAUAAUUAGCAAAUUUUGAAAGUUGUCUAUGUGGUCCUCUCAAUUGAAUUAUAAAUGACUCAUGAACUAAUAGAAGUAUUAAUAAUCUACAUUUUCGGCACUUAUAUAUGUAUUUUAACUAUUUUGGAAAGUUACGAAGUUUUGACGAUGGUGAUAGGCAGCCUCUUGGCAAUCAUACAACUUCAAUAGAUUGCAAUGAAGAUUGUCCUACCACAUAAGAUUUAACAACCUCUUAGCAAUUUCUAUCGGAGAUGCUCUAAGAUAGAUUUGACACCCCUUUGACAAAAUCUCUAUCGGAGAUAUCAUAAGAUGAACAAAUUUUUUUAAUAAUUAUAUAUUUAAAAAAAUUAUUGAGUAUAUAUAUUUAUAAUUUUUAAGUAAAUAAUUUAUUAUAAUAUCAGUCAGUCGAAUACUCAACCCCCACCGCCGCAUAGGGUUUGCAAGUUGUAACUGAAGAGAAAAUAAAAGCAAGACAAGAUCGGUGCUGCUUAUUACAAAGAGAAUACCCAGUUAAACACACUCUCUCUCGUAACGUUUAAACAGGUUACUUAGCAAAUGGCGAACAGCAGUAAAAUUCUUCUUGAUUUGGAGGCUGAAAAAUCUCCCGCAGGUCUUUUUUCUAUCUCUUUCCAUCCCUGUUAAUUUUUAUAUAACUUAUUUGUUUGUGUUUGCUGAUACUGUUUCGGGGUUUUACAUUAUUUGCAGAAUCCAAGUUUCUGUUUUGUAUGAAUCAUGAUUUCCCGCGGCAGCCUAAGCCUACAAAAUAUGAAUUGCCUCAGAAAAAGCCUAUAAUUACCUCGGUUCCGAAAAGCCAAGGUAACCAUUUUCAUUCUUUGUGCUUUAUUUGUUUUGUUUUAACACUGUGUGGUAAAAACUCGUUAAAUUAAUACUCGAUUAUGUGAUAACAUCUGUUAAUUGAUACUCUACUAAAAUUUGUAGAAAUUGCAGUAGAGGGUACUGUAGGGGUGUAAACAAACCAAACUAUUCGUGAGCUACUCGAGCUCGGCUCGUAAAAUAUUUGAAUUUGAUUCGGUAAUAAUCGAGCCGAGCUCGAGCUCGAGCUAUUUGGAAGUUUUACCGAGCCGAGCUCGAGCUUCAAAUUACUCGGGUCGUAAAGUUCGCGAGCCUUAUCGAGCCUCUUUUAUUUUUUAAUUUUUUUAUUAUAAAUAUAUUUUUACAAAUAUUUUUAAUAUUUUAUUUAUAAUUUAUAUAUUUAAUCGAAUCGAACUCGAGUCGAACCGAACAUAUUUCGAGUUUUUGUCAAUAUUUGGUGACUCGAUUCGAGCUUUCGAGCCGAACUCGAGCUUAUCGAACUAUUUACGAGCCGAGCUUCGAACUUGAAAUUAAAGGCUCGGUCGAACUCGAGCUCGAACCCCGAAUUUUUCAGUCGAGUUCGAGCCGAGCCUGCCAGUGUUCGACUCGGCUCGGCUCGAUUACACCCUUAGAGGGUAGUAUGCCUAAUUAUAGUUACUUAAUAUCACCUGGAGUAUUAUUGUGUUUAUUGCUGAUUCACAUUAUGAUGAUUGGUUCCCUAUUAAAUUAAUAUGCAAUUAAAAAAAGGUUUAAAAGAAAUGGUUCAAGGAUUGCCUCAGUCAUGUCUUGCUUUAAAUUAUUGAUACAUUCAGUUUGCUUAAAGGAUUGUAACUCAUUUGUUUGAUGUAUAGAUGUUUGAGGGAUAGGGGAGCAGUGGGAAAAAUAUUUUGAUUGUAUAUUUUUGUUAUGAUUGUAGACUGUUGUUUAUCACCUAACUGAUUGAGCUUUCGUUACCCUUUUGGUGGGCAAGGUUGUGUUAUGGUUGGGAUGGUGGGAAGGCUGCACAUUGGUUGUAGGGUGUGAUGUUUCUAGUUUCUAAAUUGUAAAAACUACAAUACUAUGUUUUUGAAGUAUUAGAAUAGGUGGAGUUAACUAAGCAUGAAAAUAGUAUCUUUUAUGGUGAACUGAUCUCUGCAUACCCAUUGGUUGGUAGCAGAGAAAGGCGAUGAAAUGUGAAUUAUAUGGAGGGUUGUAUAUAAAAUGGUGGAAGACCUUAGCUGGGGCACGGGGCAAAUCUUGUCAGUGUUGGUAUGUUAUAUUGUUGCUAGAUGUUGGGGAAGAACAAGUGAGUGGUUUUUCAGGGUGAUAUUAGUCAAUGAAAUAAGUCUGCAAACACCAUUAUGUGUAAAGUUAUAGUUUCUUAGUGCUUUAGUGUAGCAUCCAUAAUUACUAUACUUGAUUUCAACACGGUAUUAUAGUGUGUAUUACAGAUGCACAUAUUAAAUUUGACUGAAAGUAUGAUUACUUUAUAGAAACUUCAGGUUAUGACAUUUUUCUUGCUUAAGUAUCUAGAUAUUAAAAAUGACUUUGACGUCUAAGUUAAUGUAGGAAUAUACUUAUAAACUAUUGUUCUGCAUACUUUAACCCCGUUUUAACAGUUCUGGGAAAAUUGAAGGAUUUCUUACCAGUUAUGUCAGAUGCAAAUAAAAAACUGCAGCUCGCUGCCAUGGUACGCUAUUGACUGUAGAUGUAAUCAGAUUGUUUGUCCAAUUACUUUCUUUCCCCACCUUAAAUUAUCAGGACCAAUAUGUUAAAUGUAGGACAAUGCGAAGGUAUUUGAUAUUGAAUCACUUGAAGACAAUGAUUCUGCACACAUUGAAAUGGUAUAUUUCUCUUACACCUAAUGAUGAUUCUAGCAACCAAUUUCUGUACUUAAUUUUGGGGGUAACCUAAUAGGAUCUGAUGCUGGGGGUAGCUGACCUCCAUACCCCUGAAGCUAUUGCUGCUGCCGAGUCUGCUAUCAAUGGUAUUCAGCCAGUUUUACCAUUUGCAACUACUAGUAAUAGUGAUGAAGACACUGAUGAAUACGAUGACAGUGAGAGUGACAGUGAGAGCACUUAUGAUGAUGAGGAUGGGGGAGAAAAUAAGCGUGACUCUGACAAACAUGAUCAGGGCAAUGAUGGUAUUGAACUAGCAUGCUCUCUUGCAAACACAAAAAGAGCCAAAUCCGUCUGCAAGGAAUCAUCUGAAGAUUUGGGAAAUGCAAAAUCAAGCAAGCGACCAAAGAUUGUCGAGCUUUCAUGAAACCUUUCCGGACAUAAAAAAAAAUGAGGUCUGAACUCUGAAGAUGUAUCUUCCAGAAUCAUGGAAUAGGAUGGAGCUAGAAGAACUAUUACCCCAAGUUCACUGAUAUCAAGCACGGAUGAAACCAGCCUGUUGGGAAGCUUGUUGGAGGACUGUAACAUGUUGAGUGUAAAAUAUAUCUGAUGGGUUAUACAUUUUGUUGCUACAAAUUUGUGGUGUUGAAUUCACAGUUCAAUUUGAUUAUUGUACCAUGUGAUAAGUUUUUUUCUCAGUUUAUCAAUUGAAUUUACUCAUGAUGAGGAUGGUAUUUUGGAAAAGCUUUAUUUCCUGAUCGGAAUGUGGUGGCGUGGUGCAGUCAAUUUGGGUGGUGUGGCACCCUGCACCACCCCUGCUUACCGCAGUAACUUCUGAAGCCAUUUAAUCUAAUUAUGUUAUGAUAAUCGAUCAACAUUAAUCACUUCAUCUAAAUACUAGCAGAAAACUGUUAAUAAAACCGAAGAAUGACCCAUAAGUAUUAAUAGUAUGUACAGCUGAAAGGUAAAUUUCUUGCUGCUGUUGGUUGUAAGUGGUCGAAAGAAAAAAUUGACAACAUGAAAUUAAAUUUAAGCGUGUACAAUUGUGUACAGCUGAAAGUGAAAACAGAUGGUCUCACCAUUCCUGUGACAAUAUAUUUAAAUGUGAUUUGUAUAUAUAACAGUUCACGGUGACCUUCCGCCCUUUUCAUGACUAUCUUGAUCGAGAUGAAUGAAAUCAUUUCAAACUACUUUCACUGGCAUUGUUGUCCAGUGAGCGGGUAUCGGAACUUGUGUGCGUCAGUAUUUAAAUUAAGGAUCUUUCUACUUUUAAUUUAGACGAAAGAGAAAUUUGUUGUGUACACAGACACAUAUCAGAAAAUCCGUUAAAUUAAAACGCUUGUUAGUGUAGGAAGUGUUUCUGUUUCAUACGUGGAUGAAUAUUAUAUGAAGGUGGAGAUUAGAGUAGUGUUCUGGCUUUGACAUACGUGUCUUCGGGAAUCAGGUCUCUACUCAAUUCCCAGUAAAACAGUGGUUACUGUCUCAAAUUCUGCAGACUGAAUCACUCUGCUUUUCACCCUUGUAUCUUCUUUAAUUCCAUUGUGCAACUCAAGAAGUUUUAGUGCCAUAAAUUAUGAGAUUUCUUAGAAAUACUCGUUUCCUUCAAGGAAAUGAAUGUCUGUCAGACCUAUACUUUUACUACCACAAUUUGCAUCGCCGUGACUGAUUAACUAAUAAGAGGUCGAGAUUUAAGUGUCGGGAAAUUACACUAGCAAGUGAAUUUUCCAGCAGAGCAGUGCUACAGGGACAAAAUUGGAUACAAAAUUUUGUACAAAAUGACACAGCACGUUCCAAACAAAACUUAACACAUGUCAUUUUGUGAAAGAUUUUGUACAUAAUUUUAUGCCCGAAGCACCAAAUUGAUUAUAUCUGUUCUGUUGUUCUUACUGCAUUAAUGUAAAAACUAGUGACUCCAAUACUAGGUAAAGUUAAAAUGAUACCUUGGCAUCUAAUAAAGCAGGCUCCUUUAUAUCAAAAGGUUGACAUUUUGUAUAAUCAAUGGACGACUAAACAAAUUAAAGAAAAAUAUAUUUAAAAAAAUUAAGGAGAGAUAUAGACAUGCUUAGCUAAUGAGCCAUGGCAACCGGAGCUGCAUAAUUGAUAGACCUCUGGUUGGGCAUUGCAAGCAUAAAAGUGUGAUCCAAGAAAUCAUUCAACGCGACCACAUGUUCCAGUACGAACCUAAGCUCAUCAGCACACGAAAACGCCAUGUUUCCAGCUCUCCUCACUGCAUACACAUAAAAUGUUAAGCACCCUUUCCUGAAUUUGAAUCUUGCCAUCUCACAACCGGUUAGACCCCGGAUGAUCUUUCGGUUUACUUCUCCCAGCGGUAUUUCCUGUGGCCAUAUCCUGUCAACUGCAUUCUUCAAAUUCUCAGACUCGAACACAAAAAUAAGUACCUUGGAUUUUUUGGUGCCUAGGCCUAGUGUAAGAGUGUGCCAUGCAUGGUGUGCUAAGAUAGUAAAAUUUGUUGGUAAAAAUGCAGAGGUGGACCGGAAACUUGUUGAUGUUCUUGAAUUCCCUGCUGGGCUUUUUUCGUCUAGGGAGAGGAGGUGCAGAAGCUGCAAUGGCCGCGCUUGGCGGAUAGUGAAUGAUUUUACAAUAAAUUGGCCUCCAAAACGGAGGCCUUUAACAUCAGAAGAGGGCUUGAAUGAGAAAUCUGAGGCAUUGGUGGCAAUCUUGGUGGUAUGAUCCUGAUUUGGAUGCUGAUAUUUUUGCUUCUUGGCCUUCUUUUUUUCUUUUUCUCCCAUGAAUUUGGUAUUUGUCUUGAGAAAUAGUGUGAGUGGUUAGAGGUGCACUGGUUAUAUUUUUGUAGGGUGGGGUUGAAUUAUAGCCUUUUAGGGAGUAUGAUAUGAUAACAAACCAAUUUUUGAGAGGUGGCUAGUGGGUUUCAUGAUGUUUGUGUUUAUGUUUCCAGCUUUGGGCUUUAAAUUUUAGGUGAAAGUUGAACCGUGAAACUAAUCAUACAAUGACUAGAAAUUGUUUUUUAAAACAUUUAUAUAAUUCAUAUGUUGUACAGUAGGUUGGAGGGUUGAAGUUAUUACAAGUCCCUACAUAUUUAUGACAUAUAUCUCAAGAUGUUGGCAGUUCAUUCACUGCAAUUUAUGAUUCUCUUCAAAAGUUUUGAUUUCUAAAAACAAAAAGAGAAAAAAAAAACAAUUUUUCUUAUCUGCAAAACCGCAUAAUUAUUAGUACAUAGUAAAUGUAUAAUGUAGUACAGUAGAACAUUUUAUAAGAGAACUCAGCUCUUGUCCUAUCUUAAGCAAAUGAAGUGUCUAUCUACCAUCUCAAUCAAAUGGAAAUUAGGAAUUUAAGAGGUUUUAUGCAUGAUAUAUAAACAAGUCUUCCCAAUAAAGUUGUUUCCUACCAAAGGAAACCCCACUGCCUUUAAUCAUUUCAUGGAAAAUUUUAUACACUGUUGGGUAGACCAGGCUGUGAUUGUCCCACAAAUGGUCCCAUAUAUAUUCUUGCAGAUUAUAUGUCCUUGGAUAUUUACAUAUAUAAUAUCUUCUUAUUGAUCAAAAUGAAAGACAUCUCCUACCAAACUUAGGUAGGACACUAAUUAGAUUGUAUCCAUUUAACAAUAAUGUGUCUGAUUAAUGCCUCCUAAUUCAAACCGGUAAGAGUUAAAUGAUAUUGAUUUGAAUAUGUAUCUUUCAACAUAUUGUCAAUUACAGGUUGCACAUGAAGGUGGUAAUAUGAUUUUAACAUUCACUAUAAAUCCAGAAGCCACGUAUAGCUUCAAAUGACUCGCUAACAAUGUUUAGCAAAAACAUUAUCUCAAACCAAACUAACAUUAGCUGCUUUAUCUCAAACCAAACUAACGUUACAUCAAACUAGCAUCAGAGUGCAGAUUACCUACAUUAUUAAUCAACAUAAAGAAAGCAGUAUUCGCCAAGAUGUCAAAAACAGUGAAUAUCCUCCGAUGACAUUCCACAAUGCUCGGGCAAAAACUUUAUUAAAUCUUAUUUCAACCCGACAUUGCCCAUACAUAUUACAACUCUUUCAAGAACUUAUUCAUGCUCAAAAAUAACACAAGACAAAAGUCAACCCCCAUGCAUCAUCACCAAUUCACCAUACACAGGUUACAUAUACAAAUCGACAAACAAAAAAGAGGGAAGAAAAAAAAAAGAAUAACAAAAGCAGAACAUAGAACAAAUUUGUAAUAGACUGAUGCUCCAUGUUCCAGCGUUAUCCAAGAAGCCCGACUAUCUCAAGAAACUGAUGCUGUAGAAAACUACACCCUUCAACAAUUUCCAAGUCCAACCAUCUUGCAAUAUCUGAUGAAAAUAGGUCAACAACCUGACACCCAAACAUGGGAUGGGGAACAAAAACAACCCCACAUAAUGUGUUUUAGCUACUUAUUUGAUGUAAAUAUGAACCCAUUAUCCCUGGUCCAUAACAACUUAUUAUCUCCCCCAAAACAAUUAAAAAAAAAAAAUCUAACAGGUCCUCACUGGUAAAAUUUAUGUAAAACGAAUUUUAUGUAUCCUAAAAAAUUAAUUUCCUCGCGGACAAAAUUUGUAAGACUCAGAGAGUCUUGUAUGAUAUGAGCCUACGCCGGUCAAGCUUCAAUAUACGACUCUUGUCACUGUUUCUUGGCUUCAGUAAUCGCUGCACUUCCAUUUCAGAUUGAAUUGAAGCUUGCAGUCUCUUUAAAUGCCCAUAACAUUGCCUGUGAUCAGACCUCGCAGUGGCCCUCAGUUUCUCAACUUUCUCUUCAAUUGGACAAUAAUGCCUCUGAUAUGGAGACUGCCACUUCGCUUGCAAAUAAGCAAGGGAUCUCCAUGGAGGGAAAGGCAUCGAGUUCUGCUUGAGAGAAGACCUUGCAGCUUCAACCAUGACUUGAAGGUAUUGUUUCAAUUUGCUCAAAGAGCCCACAUAAACAACUGGAAGGGUAUUCAAUAUCCUGUCAUAUGAGUCAACAGCUCUAGCUAUUUCAAAGUGACUCCUAAAGUCUAUAUCAAUGAUCAGACGCUCAGAGCUUCGAGCAUCAUUGUGAUUAACAACAUCAAUAUACUCAUGGUCCCCUGGAUAAAAAAGUUAAUAGAGGAAUAUCAGUAGCAACAAAAAAUGUAAUUAACUCUACAACAGUACCCGAGCUUACAAAAUUAUAAAUUACUUAGUCAAACCCAAGAAUAAACUCUACAUAUCCAACAAGUCACAAUUAAACAUGCAACAUCAUCUGAGUAAAAUCAUUUGUGCAACACCACCAUAUUGCUACCAUUACCAUAUAAGAUAGCAUGCUUCCCUUUCAUUUAUUCAUUCCUGAAUUCAUUAUCUUAUAUUUUAACUUUCUUACAUACUCUGCUAAAGCCUAGGAAUCUAGCUUCUUACAAGUUUAAAGCAAAAAAAUGGAUUCAAGAACAUACCCCCAGGAACCUUUCCACUACCCUGCCACUUAGAUGAGCACACAGCAGCAUCAUAACCAGAAAGUCUCAGAAGCUUUACAAGGGAAUAUCUGAUACAACUAGCAUUACAUGGACCUGGCUUGACAAGGUGUAGGUCUAUCUCACUGAUAGAUUGCAUCAAAGAAUCCACAACAGACAACAAGUCACGUUCAUACUGAUCCAUUGACAGCUUAUAACACUGUGGAACAAGAAAUCAAGACUAGAAGUCAGAAACUUUAGAGAUAAUCUUCAGUACAAACUUUCCUCUUCUAUUUAGAAGGAUAGAGAUAGAGGGAGAAAUUCAAAGUGCAGCCAUAAAUAUUUAGGUUGGCAAUGACAACGUAACAUAUUUAAUUAAAACCCCAAAUACAACUUAUUAGACUUAUUCUAUCUGAUGUUCAUUUUCAAUUACCUUAACAAUUUCAUCACAACAUAACCACCACAAAAUAUUUUCAAAAUGUUCAUUGUUACCUUCUUCCAUGUUAGAUUACUUCCUUUUACACUUAUAUAUGAUUUCCACUCAAUUCUAAUCAUGAAGGAAGGUAUAAUCAAUGACAAAUCAUAUAUCAAGAAAUUAUUCCAUAGACAAGACAAAGCUCGAAAAAAUUUCAAUAUAGAUCUGGUUAGUGAUCACUCUACCCUGUCAGGGACUAAGUAGUCCAAUAAACUUUAUAUGUAAUUUAGAGAGAAUAAGUACUAUAAUUUAGAAGUACAUUUACAUCUUCCCUGCACCCUAUGGCGUAUAGAUUAAGCCGCUCACUCAUCAUAUAAAAUAGCAACAACAAAUCAAUAAAAAUCAUCACUAGAAAAUAAAAGACAGUCAAUCAAAAGACUUCAAAACACAUUAAAGAAUUGUGUAGACCAUAAAAACAACUUAACAGCUGCCUCUGAAUGAAUAACGACAGUGCACACACAUUUCAUAUGUGCACUGGAAAUUUAAUAACUUAAACCAGUAAAUUAUUCUUCUAAUGUUUCAAAAAAUUAAUAAGAAUUUCAAAAAUGUAGUUUAUGUGCUUACUAUGAACCUUCAAUAUCUUAGUCCAUUCUAAAAGAGGGAGUUCUUAAUUACAAUUUGUUGUCUUCAUAAAAUACCAUCUCCUGUUACAUUGAUUACAAAUGUCUCCGUACAUCAAAUACAGACAUCUCGUAACAACGGUAAGUCACCACUUUUGGCCAAUUACAAUCAAUUUUUUCAAAUGAACGAUUUGAAGACCCUGAAACCUUGCUUCGUGCCUUUCUACGGAAAGAAAAAAGACAAGCUCAAUCUAUGCUCAAAUCAGAUUACGAAAAGCCUGUCUCGAAUUAUUAGCAUCAUAAAGCCUUACAUUUAUGCAUUACAUAAAAGUGAUAAAUCCAUAUUAUAAACACCUUAAUACUCAUCAUCAUAAUAGAAUUAUUAGUAUACCAAUUAGGUAGUCUCUUAAUUUAUUACAACACACAUGACACAACACAUACAAAAUGCACAUAAACUUACGUAUAUUAAAUUAAACUUUUAUUCAAUUAAAGUCAAUAAAAUUAGGCAUUCAUUUAAAUCGCAUUACGAAUUUACAACCAAUCAACCACCUAAUCCACAUAGACACAACAUGGCCAGUUCCGCAAAAUCAACACACGCAAAAUUCACAAAAAAAUAAACACAAAAUUCACCGAAACACGAAAUACGAAACCGAAAAAACCUUGAUGUUAUCGGCCAGGCUGGGAAGAUCGGAGAAGCCGGAAUCACUAUCACUACUAUUAUGACACCGAUGCGAAUCACCGCUCCCGUUCUCCAAAAAAUCACUAACCAUCACCGCGAGAUCAUGCUCGCUCUCGUGACUAUAACCUCCGUCACCGCCGGCCGCCAUUCUGAUAAUCGAUAAUAAUUCUCCNCCCUCCGUCACCGCCGGCCGCCAUUCUGAUAAUCGAUAAUAAUUCUCCCCGAGUCGCAUAGACUCCACAAUCCAUACUCACCGCCAAACACAGCCUUACAAAAACAAUUAUCACAACCUAAUUAACAUAAAAUCGAUAACAUAUUAAAGUUUCGAAACGAAAUGAUUGAUGAAAUAUUAAAAUUUCAUUUGUUUGGGCGCCGAGCCCUAGAAAAUAUCGAAUUGGACGAAAAAAUGCCAAUUAUUAGAUAUUAAAUAUAUACGAUUGAAUUAUUGAGUUUCGGUGAUUUGUGUGUAUAGGUGUAUGUAUAGGUUUGGUGGUGGAAAAACCCAACGCGGAGAGGAAGGAUGAAGGGGAGGGGGAAAUGGUGGGAAUAUAAAGGGGAGGGGGGGAUGGGGGAGUGAAAAGACGAAAAGGGGCUUAGGGAGUGUCGUAAUGACCAAGGAAACGUGUUGAAAUGUGACAGGGGGAUGGGGACGAGAAAGUGGAUAAAGCUGGAGAUGAACCUGGACGCUGUGAACAAACCAGGGGCUGGGCUUGGGUUUGGGCUGGAUUGGGUUAUUUACGGCGGUGAUUUUGUUGGUUUUAUUGGCAUCGUGGACGGCAACUGGUUUUUUACCGUUUCAAAUUUAUGGAGGAGUUCACUUUACUAAUUAUCUUAUCUCCUUGAUAUAUUUAUAUUAUCAUUUUCAUUGGUAAAAUUAGUUACAAAAUCAGGCGGUUUUCAAUUUUUUCCAAAAUAAAAUAAGUUCAAAUCAAGUGUUAGAACAAAUACUAAUUCGGUUUGGCUAGUGUGUGCCCAUGGGCACAUGCUAAGCGCGUAAAUUUUUGUAUUUGGGACAUUUUGAUGUGUGUGGUCGGUGUAUUUGCAGGGGGGUCCACCAUUAUCAUGAGAUAGGAGCCAAUCAAAAUGAUUUUCCGCGCUUAGCAUGUGCCCAUGGGCACACCAUAGAAAAACCGAUACUAAUUCAUAAAAUAUAUAUGUGUCAAUAGUCAAAAAAGAUAAAGCUCAAAGUAUUUUCAAAACACAAUCUUCCGUGUAUCAUGCAAAUGUUGGAUUAAAAAAAUAGUUUUAUCAGGAGAAUUUUAAUCUAUUAAAUAUAUGUUUCAUAUAUUUGGAAAUUUGAAUUUUUCAUGUUUUUUCUUUCCAAAAAUUAAUUGUUUGGUCACAGUGGAAUAAGCUUUUAAAUUCACUUAAAAAUUCUAUACAUUUCACUUUCCGAAAAAUAUAUAGGAUUAAAAUAAUUUUGGAGAUAAACACAAAUGUGGAUAUCCAUUAUCCGGUGGCGCAACUUUAUCCUGGUCAUGGAUUAAUAUAAUAAUAUAUGAAGAACGAGUUGGGGACCAAGCCAAAACAUGACGGGGUACUUGUGAGUUGUGAGCUGUAACAGGAAAAUUCAUAUGAUCAUAUGUUAUCCGUAUUCGGCUUCCUAAUAUGAUUGUGGAUCUUUCAUGUGAACAUCCGCAACUGGUAUCCUUUUUUAGUCACCUCUUUUUCAUUUCUUUAUUGCUCCAUAAUGCCAUCUCUCUCGUAAUUCUCUCUCCCAUCUCUCUCGUAACACUCUCUCUCCUCCCCCAAUGGUUUAUUCGGAUUUUCGUAAGAUUCUUUUGACAACUCAAAGUAUAAUGAUUAAUUAUUUUAAUCAUAAAAUAAUAUUUUAUAAAAAAAUUGAAAUAUAGGAAUUGAUUAAACUAACUAAAAUGUAAAUCAUAAAACAUUAUUACAAUGGUAGGCCACUUGCUUGGCCCAUGGCACAUUAUCAAAGAUACCAGUUGUACUUCCUCUCCAAAGAAAUUAUACUACUAGUUGUACUAUUAUAUUCAAGUACAUGAGAAUAAAGUUAUUACAGUACUACUAUAACUCACGAGGGCCUGAUUUUGACUCUUGACUUGAGAUGAAUGGAUGGUACUUGGUACUAGUAUGGUAAUAUAUCUUGGUCAACCAGAGCUGCUAACCUUGGAUUUAUCCUACAUGUCCUGGUCAAGGUUCAAAUGUGAUGACUUUGCAUUUUAUACAUCAGUUCCAUUACAAUCACCGUCUUGUUCUUUCUCGACUCAUAAUUAAUACACUGCCCUGCUCGUUAGUUUGCUUGGCUCAGUCGGCCAGAUGAACAAUUCAGGGGUGACAAUUUUGGUAACAGGUCGUGUUCGUGUCAACAAUCGAGUCGAUUUCGGGUCAAAUUAAAAUCAUUUAAAAUUGAAUAAAACUUGAAAUUGAAGUUUUUAGAAAUGAAAUUCUAAUUUCAGGUCAUUUCGGAUCAAUCAGGUGAUUUUCAGGUCACUUUCGGAUUUUGUCUCAGUAAAUCGGGUUACGGGUUCGUGUCGGUUUUGAGUCGUGUCUGAUAUUGCCAGUAAACCCUGUUUAAACACUCUAUUUUAUCUAUUAGUCAUGCUAAUUCAUAAAAUAUAUAUGUGUCAAUAGUCAAAAAAGAUAAAGCUCAAAGUAUUUUCAAAACACAAUCUUCCGUGUAUCAUGCAAAUGUUGGAUUAAAAAAAUAGUUUUAUCAGGAGAAUUUUAAUCUAUUAAAUAUAUGUUUCAUAUAUUUGGAAAUUUGAAUUUUUCAUGUUUUUUCUUUCCAAAAAUUAAUUGUUUGGUCACAGUGGAAUAAGCUUUUAAAUUCACUUAAAAAUUCUAUACAUUUCACUUUCCGAAAAAUAUAUAGGAUUAAAAUAAUUUUGGAGAUAAACACAAAUGUGGAUAUCCAUUAUCCGGUGGCGCAACUUUAUCCUGGUCAUGGAUUAAUAUAAUAAUAUAUGAAGAACGAGUUGGGGACCAAGCCAAAACAUGACGGGGUACUUGUGAGUUGUGAGCUGUAACAGGAAAAUUCAUAUGAUCAUAUGUUAUCCGUAUUCGGCUUCCUAAUAUGAUUGUGGAUCUUUCAUGUGAACAUCCGCAACUGGUAUCCUUUUUUAGUCACCUCUUUUUCAUUUCUUUAUUGCUCCAUAAUGCCAUCUCUCUCGUAAUUCUCUCUCCCAUCUCUCUCGUAACACUCUCUCUCCUCCCCCAAUGGUUUAUUCGGAUUUUCGUAAGAUUCUUUUGACAACUCAAAGUAUAAUGAUUAAUUAUUUUAAUCAUAAAAUAAUAUUUUAUAAAAAAAUUGAAAUAUAGGAAUUGAUUAAACUAACUAAAAUGUAAAUCAUAAAACAUUAUUACAAUGGUAGGCCACUUGCUUGGCCCAUGGCACAUUAUCAAAGAUACCAGUUGUACUUCCUCUCCAAAGAAAUUAUACUACUAGUUGUACUAUUAUAUUCAAGUACAUGAGAAUAAAGUUAUUACAGUACUACUAUAACUCACGAGGGCCUGAUUUUGACUCUUGACUUGAGAUGAAUGGAUGGUACUUGGUACUAGUAUGGUAAUAUAUCUUGGUCAACCAGAGCUGCUAACCUUGGAUUUAUCCUACAUGUCCUGGUCAAGGUUCAAAUGUGAUGACUUUGCAUUUUAUACAUCAGUUCCAUUACAAUCACCGUCUUGUUCUUUCUCGACUCAUAAUUAAUACACUGCCCUGCUCGUUAGUUUGCUUGGCUCAGUCGGCCAGAUGAACAAUUCAGGGGUGACAAUUUUGGUAACAGGUCGUGUUCGUGUCAACAAUCGAGUCGAUUUCGGGUCAAAUUAAAAUCAUUUAAAAUUGAAUAAAACUUGAAAUUGAAGUUUUUAGAAAUGAAAUUCUAAUUUCAGGUCAUUUCGGAUCAAUCAGGUGAUUUUCAGGUCACUUUCGGAUUUUGUCUCAGUAAAUCGGGUUACGGGUUCGUGUCGGUUUUGAGUCGUGUCUGAUAUUGCCAGUAAACCCUGUUUAAACACUCUAUUUUAUCUAUUAGUCAUUGCCUAUAAGAAAAACAGGCUCAAUCCCAUUUUUCAGCAAUAUCAAGUUAUUGAAGCUCACCCUUACCAACUGCACCCACAAUCUUUAUACAAUAAACCAGCUUACGCACAAUGCUAUAAGCAAAUUUUGAAAUGAAAUUGUGUGCAACAUGUAUGACAAUAUUAGUAGCCGACUGGAUCAAGAAGUUAAAGGUGGAUUUGCCUUGCAAGUAUGUGAAACCUUCACCCACUAAAAUCUUACUCUUCGGAGUGAAGCAAAAGUAAAGAAUCCCCUCCCCCCUCCUUAUUUUGUGCCCCAAACAAAAUGAAGUUUACUUUCUGAUAUCAUAGUGUCGCAAGUGGAGAGCAGGAGGAGAAAAUUACCAACAAAAAACAGCAUCUUUCUUAUUAAUCAAUUAAAGAGUCAAAUCCACAUAAUCUUGGCUCCUAAAUCAUGUCAAUACCUCCAAGCCUAACACUCUUAUUCAAUAGUUCUACAUAAACUAGUAGAAGGGCCAUCAGUCAUUACACUUGCAUCUCAAGAGCAAGAGAAGCUUUAUGAAUCAAAUAAAAACUUGAUCCAAAUCAACUUAUUGUAUAACAAAAUUGCUAUGUCAUUAGAAAAUGCAAGAGAUCAACAUUGUUACAUGGUCAUCAUUCAAGAUAAAGAAAACAUGACAGAUGAUAAAGGGUGCUCCACUGAAAUUUGAGAGUACAAAGUCACCCAAAUAUUCUAUGGGAAACUGAAUGUUCUAUUAAAUAUUUAACAACAUUACAGGACAUAACGAAUAUAUUCCCAAACCUAUCCCAGUGUACUGUCCGUUGUUUCCUCGAGUCAUAAUCAAUGGUCUUCCAUCUUUUUCAAUCCUUUCAUAUCAGUUGUCUCCACCCUGUAUUAAAAGCAAGGUCAUAACUUAUACUCGAUGCCACAAAUACACUUGCAAAUUUAAUUACUACAAGAUAUUCUAGGAAAGUAUGUUCGCCAAGGCAUGGUGCAUCUGUCCUAUGCUAUUUUUAAUCAAGCCUUAGAUUACACACAGAGCUUAGAAACAAUUUAUGUUAUCUCUGCCCAAUUAAGUUGUGUAUAUUACAGGUCCACUGGAUUUCCAAAUUUAAUGGGAAGUAAAAAAAUCAAUAAUGUGCCUAAGCCUUUAAGGGAUAGGAUUAUAUCAGAAAACAUUGACAAAUUCCGAUAUCCGCAUAUAAACAAAGUUGUUAGACCAUGUAGUGAAGUUCCACAAAAGGACUGAAGUGAACAGAGCCCAUGCUUAAAAAUCGAGCUUGACGAACUACGUUACUAAAUAGAAAAGAAAAUGUAAUAACAAAAUUAUACAGUAGCAUAAAGCAAUUAUCAAACUAGAUUCAAAAGCACCAACACAACUUAAUACAUACCAAGUCUUCAAGCAAAAUAACAAUUGAAUCCGCAGCAAUGUAACAAUGUAUUAUGGAUAAUAAGUCUACCACACGGCAAAUUAACAUAUUAAAACAAGAGAGUAAACUCAUAUUCGUCAAGCUUCAAAUUUUCCUUAUGUUUGUGAUUUUUCAUGAGCAACCCUCUCAGUGUUAGUAGGUUGGUGGGGGAUAUGUACGUACUUCCGCAUCAUCAUUAUCAUCAAAAAAUAUCCAAAAUUCAGCCUAAUUUACUUUUUUUAGCUUUAGCAACUGAAAAAAUAUUAAUCAAUUAAUAAAGACUGUAUACUACACUUGUGUAUAUAAUAUAUAGAAUAAUAGAAUGCAUUACUUUAACCAAAAAGAUACACCAACUCCUACAUCAUAGUUUCUGGAUACACUAUAAGUAGCAAGACAGCUGGGUUAGCAAUUAGGCAUCUAAGAGCAAGUCCAACACUAUGCUAAGAGGUUCCCUAAAAAUAUUAUAAAAUAAUAUGUCUUAUUGAUUUAGCACACGCUUUAGUACAUGAGCUCCAAUAGUACUCCCUAUAUCCAUUCCCUAUUAUUAUAAUAAUAGGGAAUGGAUAUAGGGAGUACUAUUGGAGCUCAUGUACUAAAGCGUGUGCUAAAUCAAUAAGACAUAUUAUUUUAUAAUAUUUUUAGGGAACCUCUUAGCAUAGUGUUGGAAUACAAUUUUAUCCCAUAUUCUCUAUUUUCGGAUUUAAGACUUGAUUUAGCACACCUAUUGGACUUGCUCUAAGGAGAUAGACCUCUAGUCAAAAGUCAACUAAGUGCAAAAUUAAAAGCUGAACAAUGAGGGCUUAUAUGGUCCAUCUGUGACUAAGAAUGAAGUUGCAGCUAUGUAGAAUAUCUGAAGUCUUUAGCCACAAAAGCUAUCACUGUGUCUUUUGGCAAGCAAACAUCGUAAGUUAACUCUGUUUCACUUACCAAUCGCAUCCUUCGGCCACUGUCCAAGUGGUCAACUAGUCACCAACCACACAACCGUGCAGUUGACAAGUAUAAAAGAAGCAAAAUGAAAUCAGGAACACACACACGCGCGCAUAUUCAUCCAAUUUCAGGUAAAUUUGGUUUAUAAUUUGUGGAAAACGAUUCAAAAGGAUUAGAAGGAGUAUCAUCAACAUAAUAACUUGAUAGCGUUGCUGUGCUAUGGAUACUCACUGUACACUCAUGGAUAUCUAAUACUAUAGUCAUAUAGGCUUACUACUAUGCAAUAUUUUACAUAGAACACAAAAAGAAGUACACAUACACGACAGGAGAAGUGAUUUGAAAAUAUAUGCACUAUCAGUUCCUAGCUAGCAGCAUAACAUAUGCACUAAUUUAGUUUGUAGUUACCAUUUUAACACACAAAUAUAUAAGUAGGCAGAUUGUUUUGGUUGAGCAGAGCCUGGUAAGAAAACUAGACCAACUGCUUAGUUCUAUAUUCAAUAGUUAACUACCACUUUGCUUGAAUCACAUGAAGGAUUUCAGGUAAUUCGGGUAAAUUCACGAGGUUCAUUAGAAUUAAUAACACUUGGUCCAGUCUUGUUGCAAGGAACUUAAAGUCCUCUCAGAUAUACUCAAAAGGUACUAAAAGCUCAGUCACAACACAGUAUUGUCACUUGGUCAAAUAAAAUUAUUUGUUGCAUUUGAUUCUCCCCUAAAAAACUAAACAGAUUUAAGAAUAUGAUUGAUCAAACACAAAGAGAGCGUAAAAGUACUAAAGAAAUUUAAGUAAUCAAUUUCAACUGAUAAAUAUUUUUAUAGAGCUUAUCAUAUUUGAUCACAUCUAAACUAUUAGGUAAAAAAAAAAACUAUCUGACCAAAAAUGGCUCAAAAAUAUUGUGUAUGUAGAGGAUUCAGUAAAGUCUCCUAUAAACAUGGGUCCUGCUCCCCAGCAUCAGCAUGUGUAUGCUGGGGAGCGCUUAUCUGCCAUACAAAUUUCAGACCGUUGGAUGAGAUACCAACAGCCAGGAUUAUAACAAAAUUUCACCUCAUCCAGCGCUUUUUAACCGCUAGACACCUAAAUCAGACAAUUUGGGGAGCUGUUUUUUUCACUAAACCAGACAAUUUUCUGGAAAAUAUUAUGAAACUGCCAUUAGUAUGUUCAGCGCAAAAAAGCACUUAACGUCCAAAAUUUGAAAAAAGAAAAUACUCGGAUGUCCAGUACUUUUUAAUCACGGAGCAUAUUGAACAUAUUAAAAACAUUAACACAUCCAGUGGAAAAUAACCGCUUGAUGCUAGGUGUUCAGCAGUAAAUUGUGCUGGACGUAGCUUAAAAAUCUUAUAAUCCUGGAAUGUGUAUGGCAGAUAGGAGCUCCCCAGCAUACACCUGCUGGGGACCAGGAGUCCAGGACCCUAUAAUCAUUCGCUGGAAGUCUUUAUUAAAGAUGUGAAAUAUCAGAAGACAAAGUGAUAAGGUGGAAUUUACUGGUCAGUAAACUAUAUAGUAUUGGACAAAUUUAUUAUCCAAGAAGAAGAACAAGAAGCAUUUCUCUACAAUGUACUUGUAUGAAACACAUAACAGCCCAUUUGAUACUUACGUAGUUCCAUAUAAGACAAUCUUUUGAACUUUUGUUGUCUCGCAUUCAGAUUGGUUAUCCUCGAUAAAAAUUGUCAAGCUGAUACAAUGUCCAGAGACAAAACAGUGAGAUCAUUUCAAAAGAUAAGUAAAAAACAUUGAAAGGCUAAAAUGCAAUUCUGAAACUUACCUGCGAACAUUCUGAAACUUGACAUACUUUAAAGCAACUGGUUUUCCCUAUAUGUGCAAGUAUACAAUAUUUGUAUGUUAGCAUUUACAACAUUGUCUGAAACAUGCAAUGGCUUUCACAAAGGAUUCAUCAUAUCACUGGAAACUCUUACCUUGUUAUCUUCAGAGGAUAAUACUAUGGUGUCAUUUGGAGCAUAGUCGUUAACAUUACUGCAAAUUACAUCAUUUUGGCAUGGUAAUAAGGUGCACGAAAAUUAAACUAUGACAUAAUUACUGCGUGCAACUACAAAUCCACAAAUCAGUUACCUGAAUCCCAUAUGCUCCCUAUUUGUAUACAGUUUAACUGUUUUUGGACCUGGAAAUUGACACAAAGUUCCAAAUUUGAAGACAAAUUCCAGUAUGAAGGUAUAUGCACCCAUGGUUCCAAGUUAUCACAAUUAAUUAGUGGAGACCCUUUUACGCAGUUUCUAUUAUACACAAAAGGGAUGCACAAACACAGUAAAUCACUGCAACAAUCCAGGAAGUAACUGGCAAUCCCGGUGGGUUGUGACAUAGGGGAAAAAUGUAUUGACAUCUAAUCAAUGUGCAUGAUUAUGAAGUUUUAGCAAUUAGCAUACUAUCACUUAUUACCAUAUUCACAGAGUAGGCACAAUUUAAAAAAACUAAAGCUAGAAUAUGUAAGACUAACUAGAAUAAAUGCUAAAAAGCAAACAAUUGUAAGAAACAAGUUCACGAAAAUAUAUACCUUCCUCGUCAAGUCCUUGAAUGGCAAUUGAGUGUAGUUUGAUGACUUGGGUGAAAGGUAUAUAAAUCAAAAGUUGUUCAUCUGCAUCACUCUCUAAAUUCAACCCAUCAUCUUCUCUAUAACCCUAAUGCACAAAAAAAAAAAAAGCAAAAGCCAGUUUAAGUCACUGAUACAAUUACUAAAUGGCUGAAGAAAAAACUGCCAGAAUAUUCGAUAUUUUCCAAUAAAUAUCAUUUAAAAUUCUUAUGUAAAGGUUUCUACUUCCAAACAAGAAAAUGUAUAGAAGCAAGGUAUUCCCAGCUUCUUGAUAAUUUCCACUACCACAAAGUCUGCAUACAGAACGAUUUUGUCUCUCACAGUUAUGAACAUACACUUGAACUCAAAUAUUUUUCUCAAUACAGAUUGAACCUAUGGUAACAAAAGCGUGUCAAAUGCUGCCUUUAUUCUUUCAGUACAAAUUUCACCCACAUGAAUCAUGGACGUUAAUUACGUUGCAGCAGUGAAUGAUGAAAUUUUCCGCAACUCUGCAAAACCACUGUUUUCUAAUCAUUCAAAUUGUGCACUAUAUGGAACACCGCCCCACACUUCUACUAAAAAAAGAUCAUUUAGUUUUCAACCCCCUAGCUUACAUGAAUAGCCCAUUUCUAAGAUCAAUUCGAGUUUGCUGGAAGGCAUCGCAUCACCGUAAAGAUGACAAGCUACUUCCUUAAGGUUUCCAAUUGAGUUAUUUGGUGUUUCCUUUGAUGCUUGAACAAUAGCAGUAUAUAUUAAUUAAUUUAAUAAUUUUAGAUCCAUAUUAGAUUACAAGGAAAAAGGAGGUGUUUUUCUUUGUAGAAAUAUAGCAGAUUACUUUUAAAAACUAGAGUACUAGACCAUAAUGAUUAGCUUUUUUUUAGUUAGGAAAGUACUUAGCUUUGAAACAAUAAGAUCUCUGUAUAAAUUCUUGUAAUGCUGAAAACAGUUCUACCUAAAGAUGAUUGACGAUUAUCACUUAUUUGAUGGAAUUUUUUGAAACUACGAGGCUCGCCUCCAUCAAUUCCCAGCAGAGGUAGAUUUUAUCCCUUAAAUAUGUACCACAAGUUUUUAUGACUUCACAAAGUUAUAUAUCAUAUUCAUCACUGAGUUCAAAAAUACUCAUAUCAAGAACAAGAAAACCAUUAACAAGUUGCUCUAAUUUGCAUUGUAAACUAGUACUAUUAUACUAUGUUCAGCAUAUAUAUUAACUAGUAUGAUCGCCCCAAUCCCAAAACACGAGUAUUAUGCAAUCAAAAAACCACCAAAUGUAUCACACAAUAAAACCCCUUGCGAGAAACAUAUACAACCAAAUACAAGUCAAUACAAGUAAAAUUGGAAACAAAUUUUAAAAAAAAAGGGGGGGGGGGGGGGGGGGGGGNNNNNNNNNNNNNNNNNNNNNNNNNNNNNNNNNNNNNNNNNNNNNNNNNNNNNNNNNNNNNNNNNNNNNNNNNNNNNNNNNNNNNNNNNNNNNNNNNNNNNNNNNNNNNNNNNNNNNNNNNNNNNNNNNNNNNNNNNNNNNNNNNNNNNNNNNNNNNNNNNNNNNNNNNNNNNNNNNNNNNNNNNNNNNNNNNNNNNNNNNNNNNNNNNNNNNNNNNNNNNNNNNNNNNNNNCGGUAUAUAUGAAGACCUUUUUGAGAGCAUUGGCAUAAGCCUGGGUUGAAGUUUGAUUCAGACAUUCGACUCCAGUCCAAUCUAUGAAGUCCACUAGAUCAACCUAAGACGGCAACAGAAAUCAGACAUAUAUACAUACAUACACAUAUCGAUACAGAUGUAAUAACGAAAAGACAGAAGAAAACAUACUUGGUUUCUUUGAAUUGCAGAGGCGGGUUCUCCAGACAUUGUGAAACGGACCAAAGAGAAAACCCCUCUUCUGUGUGUACGAGAGUCAAACGUAUGUAUGUAUCUUGUGUAUAAAGUCCGAGGUAGUGGGCGCGGCGCGGGUGUCUCACGCAAGGAAUAACUCAAUUGGAUUAUUGUGCCUGUUUGUCGAUCAAUUUUUUUAAAAAAUAAGUUUUUACUUUAAAAAAAAUUAUUUUUUAAAUAUAAAUGUCAAGAAGUUGUUUUAUAUUUAUUAUACUUAGUAAAAAAGUAAGGACUUAUUUCAGAAAAAAUAGAGAUUACUCACAUCAUAUUUUAUUAAAGAUUAGUAAAACAAAAGUUUUAUUUUGUUAAAGUAAACGUUUCAAAACAAAAGUUCUAUUUUGUUAAAGAUUUACUAAUUUCGUGGGAUAUCACACAUGAACUUGCGUGUUUUAUGAGAAUAUAAUUAUUACUAGUAUUAAUCUGUCACUGGUGAGUGCAUCUUCUCGAUGAGGUUCAUAAGAAUUAAGCACAUAUGAGAAGUGAUAAGUUGAAAUUGCAUUCAUGAAGAAUACGCAAAGGCACGCUAGUUUUUAAUACAAGAUGAGAUAUAUUAACCUGCAUCAACUUAAUAUUUAGAGUGACAACUUCAAUUUUCGCUUUAUCUUUUGAAAAUGAACUUGGACGUACUUUCUAGAAUUGGGGUUUUGCAAAUAUAACGUUCAAGCAAUCUACAGGUGUGGGAGUGAUCAUUAAGAAUGCAGAUGGCCCGUAUAGUUGUCAUGGUCUUAGGAAUCCUAGGGCCUCUGAAUCAGAGGACCAAUGAAAUAUAGGCAAUUGUACUUGGCACUAUUUAAGAAUGAGAAAACGGACUGAGCUGGAGACAGAAUCAACUGAGGCACUGCGUGAAUGAGAGGAUUGGCGAUGUUUAUUGAUGUUUACCAUUAUUGAUUGGUUGAGUAACUGAACCAGCGCCUUAAAGACAACUACCUAGUGCUUCAUAAGAAAGUUAUCGCGGCUAGUCAGAAUUGCUUGGCUAAAUACUUGGCUAAGAACAUUGUAGAAAUCCGAAAAAGUCCUCGAAGGAUCUUCGGGCCAUUUGAUCGAGUUAGGGGUAUUUGGUACCUUGAUAUGUUUCUAGGUUUUGUGAGGGAUGGAUUCAUGAAGAUGAUUAAAAAGAACAACAGUAACAGCAAAAUGAGUGGGUCAUGCAAGCGGACGCGCGCAGUAGUCUCAAGCACCAAUGAUUCAUCGGUUGGCAACGAAAACAACAAUCUGAUCAUCAUUGACUAAUGUGCUAGUUCGAUCACCCUGCUCGUGUAUUUAAACCAUGCCCCUCUCUCAGUUCAGGUAACUAAUUUUAGUUAUAUUAUGUUUUAGAUUAGUAUGUUCUCAGCAUUAGUUCUUAACCUGCUUUGAAUAGCAUUUAUAUGUGAUGAUGUUGGUGCAUGGAAGUUUGCCUUGGAGACCAUGAGGUUCCCAGGUCUUCUUCCAUUUUGAUUCCAAUGAAAAUGUUUAUCCGGAAAUGAAUCUGUUAGAAUUUUUAAGAAUUAAGUAAUUUGCCUUAAACAUUAGUUGGAAAUGAAGGAUGUUCAGUUUUGAGUUGGUAGUAAAGCUCUGUAUUGAUUUGCAUACUAAUGAUAUUGCACGCUCACACCCACCACUCACUCUUCUCUACUUCGAUACACAGUACCUGGUAUAAUAUUUGAUCAAAAAAGUGUUUGAGGCCAUAAUAUUUAAAAUGAGCGAAUGGUCUGUGUGAAGUAACCAGGUUGUUACAAUUGUUGCAAAAUUAUUUGCAGAUGUUGUGACAGAGAGUCUGUCUCACAUGAGUCCAUGUUGGGUUCUUUUCGUGAGUUAUGAUCGAGGAGUUCAUUUGUCCAAAAUUUGAUGGUCAUAUCAUUUUUUAAAAUUGGAUGGUAAGCGUGUAUAAUGACCCAAACUUCAAAGACAUGAAGGUAAUUAAGCCUAAAUUUCAAAGGCGACAACCAACAUUGAUAAGUCCAUCUUCUAAUAAUUUUUACUUUCUCUGUCAAUUUUUUUUAUAUAUCAAUAUUAAAACAUUGAAUUAUAUUUGAAUAUGGUUAACAGUUUAUCGAAAAUGCUCAAUUUUAUACGAAAUUAUAACAACACGUCGCACUACGAAGUAAUAAAUCAGAUGUCAAAAUGAUUUUUUUUCCACAUAUAGCAUAUUUGAUCUAUAAUAUCAUCAUGUUCUAGUGUGUACUAUUCUAUUUUUGACUUCUCGAAUAUCUUUCUAUUUUUGUCUUGUGAAUAAUACCUUUAUAUUUUAAAUUUAAUGUAUAUCAUAUCAUUAUCUUACUUAAAUAUUAAAUAAAUGUUGAAAUUUAAUUAAAUCAUCUAAUUUUUCAUUUAAACUUCAUUUUUUUCACAUUUUCAACACUCGUAACAAGUUACUACUUAAAAUAUCUUAGAACAAAACGUAGUUUAAAACUUCUGUAUAGUGUUUUCAAAAUAUUCUUUUUAAAUUCCUGUACAAUCAACUUUUUCAACUAACAUCAUUACUUUUUGAUAUAUGUGGUACUUUAUAAUUUAAUUUUAAAUUAACUUUUGUGUAACAUAAAAGUAAAUAUAAAAAUACCAUUCAUAAGUAGUCGAAAAUAUGAAAUGCACCACGCAUAAAAUAAAAAAUAAAAAGGUAUUUAACUAAAUAGAUAUAUAUUUUUUAUAUUAUUUUCAUCAUUUAUUUGAAAUUAAAUAAUUAAUUUAACUAAGUAUGGCAUAUUAUUCUUAAUAUGAUAAUUUUUAUAGAUUAAAUAAAUUAAAACGCUUAUCUUGAUGGAUUUUAUUAUAAACGUGAUUAUUAAUUUUUAGAUUGAUAAGAUGAAUAUGUUCGUCUUGAUUCUUGAGUUUUUUUGUGAUUUUUUAUGGACCUAUAUGAUUUGACAGUUUGUCCAAUUUGAAUUAUGACUAGUUAUUACUCCCUCCGUCCUCCUGAGAUAUAUACAUUGGGGGACGGGGACGCGGCACGGACUUUAAUGCUCCCGUAAAGUAUAGUUCCAUAACUUAUUUUUAGAAUUUUUUUUUCUGAAUAAAAAUUUGAAUGUUAUAUUUUUAUACAGAAAAAGAAAAUUUUAAAAAUAAGUUAUAGAACUAUAUUUUAUAAGAGCAUUGAAGUGCGUGUCGAGCAAUGAAAAAGAAACGUAUACAAUUAAAUGGGACAGAGGGAGUAUCAACGUAUAGAUAAUGUUAUACUUUCUCCGUUAAUUAGUCAUUAUAUUGGGGGUGUUUGGCAUUGAGAAGCAGAGCUUCUUUUCCAUGAAAAAGCAACUUCUACAUUUUGAUGACUGUUUGGGUAAAAAAGUAAUGCCAAAUUUUCUUGAGCUUUUGCAGAAGAAUUGAGAAGUUAGGAAGUCUAACUUCUCUUCCCCGGCUUUCAGCUUCUUUUUUUUAACUUGUAUGUAAAACAAAAACUUACCUACUUGCAUGUAAAACAAAACUCACCUAUCUUUUCGUUAGUAAUUUAUUUUUUGAUAUGUACUUUAAAUAAUGAUUUUUAUAUUAAUAAUAGUUUGAUAUUUUUAAAUAGAAAAAAAAAAUUAUGUUUAAAAUUAUCAAAUCUACCAUUUAUUAUAAGUCAAGUUAUCCAAACACCUAAGUACUUAAAAUUCACGGCAUCCAAACACCUCUAAUCCGAACCAACUUCUCACUCCUCUUCCACUUCUUUACUUUUAAGUAGAAGUCACUUCUUUUAAGCUUAGCCAAACGGCCCCAUUGUCCAUUAAUUUUGCAUUACACUUCAUGCGUUGUGUUAUGCCUAGGGCUGUUAACGAAACGAAUUCGAAACGAAUAUCUUAAUUUUCGUAUUUGUAUACGGUUUAAAUACAUAUAUUCGGAUUUGUAUUCGUUUAUUAUCCGAAUAAUUAUUUGUUUUUUAUUCGGAUUCGGUUAGAUUCACUAACUAUUCAUAUUCGUUUAAGGUACUCUUUUAAAACAAAAUGGAACUAAAUAACUGAAGUGCUAGCUCGUGACAAAAGUAAUAAACUCUUAUACUACACCAAUUCAAGCAAACUAUAAAAUACUAAUUACACAGACUACAAUCAUCCAAUUCAAAGAAACAAAAUUCAAUUACAACCAAAAUGUAAAAUUUAAUAUGUCUUAAUUAACUCUAAGAUCAUGCAACAGAACUUUCACUGGCUCAACCUUUUAGUAUAUGGACGGGUAGGGGUGAGCAAAAAUUCUCCAAACCGACCGAAACCGGCCGAUCCAGUCCGCUCAAACCGAAUUUAACGGUUUAAUAACGGUUUGGUUUGGUUAUGGUUUCAAAUUAUAAAAACCGAAUUAUUUCGGUUUGGUUUCGGUUUUUACCUCCAAACCAACCGAUAAAUCCGAACCGAACCGAUUAACCGAAUGUGUAAAUUUAAAUAUUAUAAAUAUACAUGUACGAAUAAUGUAUUAUUAAUAAUAAAAUUAUAAUCUACGAAAAAAUGUAAAAUCUUAAAAAUAUAAAAGGUAUCCUAGUAAAGAUUUUUUUUAAAAAUAUUAUUUAUUCUAUUUUAUGAUAUUAAUUUCGAUGUAUGUAUAAUAUUUCCAUUCUUUUUAUUUAUAUUUUUGUAAAAAUAUACGAAUCACAUUUUUUUUAAUUUUCUUCCGUCUCUUUUUAUCUAUCAAGCUAAUAUAUUCUUGUAUCCUCUUUAAAUAUGAUUAAAUAGAAAAUAUAAAUUGAAUUUUUCAUUCCUUAUUUUCAAGUUAAAAUUUAAUUUUGUUGCUAACUUUGUUUUACAUAUAAAAAACGGUUUAAACCGAAACCAAACCGAACCGAACCGUUUUAAACAGAUUGGUUUGGUCUGGAUUUUAAACAUAAUGGUUUGGUUUUGGAUUGAGAUUUUGAAAAACCGAUUAUUUCGGUUUGGUUUGGUUUAGACCUUUCAAACCGCCCAAACCGCCCGAUGCUCACCACUAUGGACGGGGCUGGUUUAAUUUAAUAUCUGGUCUCAAAAUAAUCUAUAAUCCUAUUAAAUAAGAAAUAUAAUAUUUUUAUAUAAUAUAUAUAUAUAUAUAAUAUUUAAUUUCCGAAUAAUUAAGUGAAUAGCGAAUACGAAUAUUUAUCUACUCGAAUUUGUAUUUGUUAAUGAACCGAAUAUUUUUUAAGAUUUGAAUUCGUAUUUGUAUUUGUUAAUAAACGAACACGAAUAAUACUAAACGAAUUCGAAUACCGAACAUUUCAUUAAAUAUUCGUUUCGUUAACAGCUCUAACUUAUGCCCUGAAUUUUACAAACGUGACUUGAAAUAUUAAUUACAAGAAUUUGGAUAAUGGAUGGUAUAAAAAUAAAUAUUAAUAUAUUUAUUUUUGUUACAUUUAUUUUUCCUAACAUGGCUGCACUUGAUAAACAAAAAAGAAUGGGCCUGAAAUACAAACUGGACCACGAUAAUUAUUUUGGACUACGGCUAGAGGAUCUUCAGCCCACAUGGAGUCAUAAAGCAGUUGAAAGUUGUUGGAUAAGUCAUGGAAUGGAUCGUAACUCGUAACAAUCUGCAGGAUUACAGAAGUACAAUUCAAAUAAGAAAAUGAGAUAAGGAGGCACCAAAAUUGGAGGCGGUUACAUGCACGUGGGUUGGUGGAGCAAAAGUAGGAAGGCUGGAGUUGUGGAAUAAACAGGAUUCUCAGCAAAAUAAUCACGAAAUAGGCGCUCAUGCCCCCUGGUUAUGAUUUCGACGAAUGAACUUGCGAUGUCGCCUGUUUUCAGAAUACUGUCUAUAAGCCCUUUCACUUUCAACAUCUGUAUCAUCUUUUGAAGAAAAGUAUGCUAAGAUUUUGCGAAACAAUGAUCUAACCAUUUAAUGAUAUGUGAUACCACAAAGAAAUUUCUACAAAUAUUUGAAAGAAUUACAAGUUAUUGAUGAACUGAUGAAAGAAAGGAGUAUAUGAGAUAGGAAUAUAUAUUACCGUUAUACAAAUUUAAAUUUUGUAAAAGAAGGAUACAUAAAAAAAAUAUUAAAAAAACAAUAUAGAGAUGGAGAUAAGGACUGGAAUGUGAUAACGUCUUAACAGAAAACUAAACUUUUGGGAUAAUUAUGGGAAAUUACUAUAUAUAGUAAGUUUUUGGGGUUAAAGAAAGAGACCCCAAUGAGAAUGCUCUAAAUAGUAGGUGUGUAAACGAAGAGAGGACAACAAUUCUUACUCGAAUUACAAUUUCAUCUUCAUCUCCUGUAAACCAUUCAUAUAGUGAAUAUUUUCUUUCGGCUGGGUAACCAAUCCCAUCCGCGGUUUUUACCCUACAUCGGGGGUUUUCCGCGUCACCAAAUAUUUGUCUCGUUUUAUUCAUUUUAUCGCUCAAAUUAAUUCACAUAUCAUUCACCCGUAUAAAAUUUCGUUAAAACACGUUGAUACACUUUAUUCUUCAUUUAUUGAUACUCAUGAAGUUAUUUGUUGGUCUUCCUUUCACUUGUGAGAAUUUCAUGCUUUAGAAUAGUUAUCAUUUGACUAAAUGUUCUUUCCAUCCGGACCGUUUCAUUCAUGAUUUAUUUGACAAUCAACUGUUAUUUUAAGAUCACUUCACUUGUUACGAAAUCUUAUCCGUUAAUAUAUAAAAUUUACUUUAAAAUAUUUUUAUAAUACUAUCAACUAGUAAGUAACCUAAUCAACAAAUACUCUUAUGAAUAUCACUCGCUGACUGGUUAAAAAUAAUUAUAAUUUAAUGCUAAUUAGUGAAUUAUUAUCAUUAAACCCAAGAUUAAGAUUGGCGAUUUCGGGUUUGGGACUGGGUACGGGUCGGGUUAACAGGCGCAAGUCGGUUUUUUAGCCAACUCGAACCUGACCGGAAUUUUAAUGGGUCACAAUAUUCAACUUGAACCGGACCCGAUCCAUAAUAUUUAUUAAUAAGAAUAUUUUUCAAAUAAUAAAUAAUUGUCAUUUUAAUUCAAGUAAAUUAAUUUCUAAUAAAUCAAAUAGUAUUUUAUUGAAUUUAACUAAUAGAUAUUAAAAAAUAAUAUAAAUAUAUGUAUUUUAUAUAAAUAUGUAGGAUUUUUAAAAAAUGUAUUCAUUUUCGGGUUAUUUCGGGUUAAUUUCGGGUAACCCGAUUUCAACCCGAAAAUGACCCGUUUUUUCUGGUUGAUUUUGGGUCAACCUGAAUAAUCAACCCGAAUUCUACCCAAAUCCGAAAAACUCCAACCUGAAUUCGUAUUUUAUGGGUCAAAUUCGUGUCGGUUACCAUAUUGCCACCCCUACUUAACAUAUAUUCCCAACAUAAUCCAUAUGAUAUAUAUGAUGCCCAUGAACCUAUAACCUCAUACCUUUUUAAAAAAAAAUAAUUGAUCACUUAGCAUAUACAAGUAUUUGUGUUUUGAACACACAAAAAAUCAUAAUAUACUACACCACUUUAUUAUUAUACCCUGACAUUGUGACCAACCAAAAAAAAAUAGAAAUUCAUAUAAAAAAUAUAAAUAUCUAGUUGACCUAUAUUUCUUACCUUUGCCUCACUUUUUAUUGAUUUGUUUUAUUUACGUACUUCAUUUUUAGGAUUGAAAAUUUUGCAUGACACUAAAGUUAACAAGAAGAUGUAUUAUUUGAGUUUGCGAUUUUAAAAUUCAAGCCCGUAUGAGUCAUUUAAAACUAAACCACAAAAUUAAUUCAUUUUUGUGUCAAAUCGAUCUAAAUCUAAAUAAUAUAAUAUUAAAUGUUAUAUGUAUAUGUUAUAGCGUUCUAUUUGUAAGCCCAUCCCACGGUCCAGCCCAAAUAUAUUGGCAAAAACCCUAUUUUUCUUCGAUCAUAUCUAUAUAUAUCCGCCGCCUCAUCAUUUUUAUGUGUUCUUAUAUCUUAACAUCUCUAUGAUUGUUUUCUCAGUUUUUUUCUUUUCAAACAUCUCUUCUCCAGUCUAUAUCAAGUGCUCAUAUCCAUGGUGAUACUACAUAUGCACACAAACAAAAUACUUAGCGUCACAAUAAUUUUGAUAUAUCGGUAAGUUACUGCUUUGACUUUUGAAACAAUAAUAUAUGAAUACAUACAUAUGCUGAUAUAGUAAAAAAUGUGCUAGAUCUAUCAACAACGUUGAAUACUUACUCAAUUUUCAUUGAAAUAAAAGCAAGUUUCAGAUUUGUUAUUUUAAAAUUGAAACGAAACAAGUUUGUGUAUGAUCCAAUUCGCAACACGCGCACACACGCACAUUGUUUGAAAUUAUUUUAUUUUAAAUUUUAGAUAUGUUUAGAUUUUAGUAAGUUACGGUUUUAAAUGAGUUUUGGGUAUUUAAUCUAGAAUUAAAUUGAAUCACAUUAUAACCCUGUAGUUUGAUAAUUAUUUAAAUUUUAAAUUUUUAUUAAAUCAAUUUCGGUUAAGAUUUUUAGUUUGCCGACAAUAAAAGAUUAGUUGACAACUCCAACAUAACACAUAACACAUAAGUUUAACCAUAUUUGAUAUCAUUUUUCUCCUCCAAAAUAUUUAUUGGCAUUAUUUUUACUAUCUCCAAUUUGGUUUAUGAAAUUUAUAUGAUUUAUAUACAUGAAUCUCUUGCAGUAAACAAUGAAGAAAGUGCUCCACGAAAGAUUAAAGUCUUCAUUUGAUUGGAUACAAUUUGCGGGUAAUAUUUUUUUCCUUUCAUAUACAUUUGUAUGACUUAUGAGUUAUUCAAAAUAUACGAUUUAGCAACCAAAUGCAAUUGGAUGGAACCAAGACCAGCCUUUGAUGCAAUUAAAAUUGACUUCGAUUUUUUUCAAAAAAAAAAUUGUAUUAGGGGGUUACAAUUAUAUAAGAAAAAUGGAAAAUAGUUUUUUAUUUACAAACCAUAUUUUUGUUAAUAUUUUAAUAAAAUCACAAAAAAAAUCUAAAAAUAAUAUUUUUGAUAAUUCUUCUUGUUUAUUCUCUUUAUAAUAGUUCAGAACAUUAUAUAAGUCAUAUAUAUAAUCAUAUUUUAAUUAUUUAUUAAUUCAUCUAAAUUUUAUAUAUUUAUAUCCAAAAUUGAUUUGUUACAUUUUCAUUAACAGGCAUUCGACCAAUAAUGAACCAAUUCUAGCCAGAUUUAGACAAUCCAUGAUACAUAACCUUUUAGUUUUAGUUACUCCGGGACCUAAAAAUGAUGUCAUUCACUAGAAAACCCUAGUGGACUCCAAGCAGUGCUGAUGAUGCAACAAGCGAGCUAGAUGAGAUGGAACAUCUAGCACAGAUUCUGAAUCUAUUUGAACCAACAAGACGUGAAGCUUCACGCCAUGUAGCUAGAGAAUUACUGAACCCCACACAAUUGCUUGAUAUAUUCAUGAACAAGAUAGUAUAAUGCUAUACAGGUGAAGCUUCGCGACAUAUAACAUUAUACUUACCAUGUUCAUAAUAUAUCAAGCAACUGUCUAGGGUUCAGUAAAUCUCUGGCUACAUAGCGUAAAUUUUCACGUGUAUAGGCUAAUCUUGUUGGUUCAAAUAGAUUUGGAAUCUGUGCUAGGUAUUCCAUCUCAUCUAGCUCGCUAGUUGCACCAUCAGCACAACCUGGAGUCGACAAGAGUUUUCUAGUGAAUGACAUCACUUUUAACUCCUCCGUAGCUGAAACUACAAGGUUCUGUAUCAUAGACUGUCUAAACCUGACUGGAGUUGGUUCAUUAUUGGCCGAGUCGAGGACAGCUCCUAAAGUAGUAAUACGAGUGACUGCAUCCCCUAGACACUUGGAGAAAGACAACAUAUAUCAAUUGGGAGAUUGAGACUGAAGUAACAUCACAAUGAUUUUAAUUAUCUUUCUUUCAUCUUCUUAAUUUUAUUGUUGUGUUAAUCUUUGAGAUGUUGAACUAAUUGUUAUUCAAGGCCUUGAUGGAUUCUUGAGUUAUAUAUAUAUAUAUAGGCUCAUGAUCAAAUAGAAACCACUUUUAAAAUAAAAACUAGAAACCAAUACAAGUUAGUGAUAUCCUCAGUACAAUUUAGUGAUAUUCUCUUUACGAUUUAGUGAUAUGUGUUGCACGAAUUAGUGAAAACUUGCGGAAACUGCCCAGAAUUUCUGAAUCUGUUCUAGUUGCCGAUUCAGGUGGUGGUUGCGGUGGUGGAGAUAAUGGAGGUGAAGGUGGAGAUGGAGGUGGUGGACAUGGAAGGAGCCUUUAGCUUUGUCCGGCAGAUUUUUGGCAAAGAUCUGGAAUUUAAAUCGGUAUUAAGCUAGAUAUACGGUACUGUAGGUGAGGAAGACCGAGGUGGAGGUGAGGACGAAGGUGCAGGUGGAGGUGGAGGUGGGGGUGGAAUGGAAGGGGCGGUGGAGGCCGGAGGGGGGUUGGAUUUGGUGGUGAUAUAAAUAAUGGAGGCCGACAUGGAGGUGGUGGCUAUGGAGGGUCGGGCGGCAUGGAGGUGGAGAGAGUAGCAGAGACUUGGCGGGGGUGGUAGGGUGAAGCUGCCGGAAGCGGGGUGGAGGGUUGGUGGGUUGGAGAAGAAGAAGGCAGAAAAUGGGGUUGUUUGAGAAUUUAGUGAUAUUCUCUUAGAAAUUUAGUGAUAGUUUCUAGUUUCUAGAAUAAGGAGGUUUCUAUUGGAGUAAAGCUCUCUCUCUCUCUAUAUAUAUAUAUAAGUGUGCGUUCUUCUUGAUUCUUAGAUUUAGUGUUCAUGUAAUUGAUUAUGUUGGUUUGUGUAUAAUGCUUCUGAAGGAGUAAUUAACUUUGAGAUUGAUUCAAUAAUCUUGGUGAUGCUUGGAAGAGACAACCUUAAUUAGACCCGAUCAAUUUAACUUGGGAUUGACAUAUUGUUAGUUUGUGUUCAUGAUAGGAAUGUACUUGAUCACCCCCAAAUAGUCAAAUUAGGAUCAUGUAUUCAUGCUGCUCAUGGAUUUAACACGUGAGAUACAGAAGGUCCUUGUGAAUAUAUGUGUACCUUAGACUAGCGGUUUGAACAUGAAAAUAGAGAUGAUGGAAGGUGCUUGUAAACUCAAGAUGGAGUUAAAGGUCUAGAUUUAAAUCUUGUUUCAUUCUUAGUCUUGUGUGUAUUUUCAUAUUAGUACUCCCUCUGUCCCAGUCAUUUGUAUACAAAUGGCUGGGACACGGAGACCAAGAAAUUGUUUAAGAAAUUAGUAAAGUUAGAUGAAAAGUGGGUAUAGUGGUGGGACCCAUGUAUAUUUAAUAAUAGAUUUGAGAUAGUGGAGAAAAGUAGUGGGUGUAAUAGUGUUUAUAUUAUUAUAGAAUGAAGAUAGUGGAGGAAAGUAGUUGGUGUAAUGAUAUUUUAUAGUAUUAUAAAAGUUUACUAUUUUUGGAAUGUAUACAAUUGAUGGGACGUCUCAAAAAGGAAACUGUAUACAAUUCACUGGGACGGAGGGAGUAGUAGUUUAUGAUAAAAUUUUCAUCAUAGUUUAUUUAACUUGGAUUGGGCGAACGAUAGUGAAUGGUAAUUAGCACUUAGCAGCUCAAAUUAAACUCGUGAGAAUGAAUUAAUAUACUACUUGUUGGGAUAAGUACACUUGAGUUAAAGUUGCAAAAUCGCUAACACCUACAAAAUAUAAUUGUAAGAGAUAAAUCUUUGUAAUUGUCGUUUAUUCAAAUUAUCCAUCACUCGUUGAUUGAUCUUAAUAUAGAUGAACGAUGAGCUCAAUGAAUCCACGAUCUGCUAUCUAGGAAAGGAAUUAAGAAACUUCUUUAACAUGAAUACAUGAUGACAAAUAGAAAAACUUGAUGAACUCCUUUUCAGUUAAAUUUAAAUAUCCUUUUUGUACCAGUAGACUCCUUUAGUCUCACCUUCAUCUUUCUCCACGUAAAUGCAUUCCUUCAUUUCUCUGUACAUUGCCUUGAGAAUUGGAGUUCCAUCAUACUGAUAAUAAUCACCCAAUAGAGGCUUCAUGGCCUCUGUGGCUUCGAGUCCGUGGUAAUGUGGGAUCAUGGAGAAUAUGUGGUGACAGACAUGAGCAUUGCAGACAUUGUGGAACACCUUGUUCAAUAUUCCAUAGUCUCUGUCGACAGUGCAUAGAGCUCCCCUCAACCAAUCCCAUUCGGUUGAAUCGUAGUAAGGCACAGAGGGAUGAGUAUGGUUGAGGAUGGUGAUCAAUGUGAACCAUCCAUUGACAACAAGCAAUGGACCUCCAUAAACACAGAAAACCCAGACAAAUCCUUUGGCUAAUACUAGAUUGUAUAGGCCAUAGAUGACUGCAAGAAUGGCAACAUCAGAAACAAUGAUUUGUUUGCGUUCACGUUCUGUGUAAAGAGGGCUAUGGGGAUCAUAGUGUGAAGUCCACCUCUCAUACUUGUGUCCAGAAACAUUGAACAUCAGGUACAAAGGGAAGCCUAUGAGGAGUGUGGUAACCCACACAAGGACACGGCCAGGUGGGUUGUUGAAAAUUUUGUAGUAAUUCCUGAUGUUGGACUUGAACCUCGGGACAUAAACCUCGUCGUUCUCAAGAGAUUGAGUGUUGGCGUGGUGACGUCUGUGGCUAAUUUUCCAAGAGAAGUAAGGGACCAUGAGAGAAGAGUGGACAACAAGGCCGACAAGGUCAUUGAUCCAGCCAUAGUCACUGAAGGCAUCAUGAUCACACUCAUGGCCUACGACCCAAGCCCCAGUCAAGACACAACCUUGGACAGCAAUGUAAGCCGCCCAUCCCAAGUAAUUAAGAGGAUGCGGAAGGUACUGGUCUAUGUAAUUCGUGGCAACAUAGUAAAGGGCAUAGGCCAUGAGGAGAUCUUGAAUGAGAUAACGAAAAGAAGUGAUGAGGGAUUUUUCAAAGCAAUGAGCAGGAAUGGCUUUCUUAAGGUCACCUAUGGUGAAAGGAGGUUUCUCAUGAGGAGCACGUCGAAGUGCUUCUGUUUCAGUUUUUUUGGCCUUAGGAGGAUCCGACAUUCGACCACCUGCACCCAUUGUUCCUGAUUACUGAAUGCCUUCAAUAUAAUCAGGAAGUAAAAUAAUUGAGUUGUGUUGGCUGUUUGAUGAAGUUUGGUGGUGUUUAGUUGAAGCUGAAGCUCUGAGUAUUUAUAAUGAAGAUAUCAUUGUAAAAUUUUAUUGGAACGGCUCGUGUUGUGGACUGUGGUGGCCUAUAGCGCCCGCCACACUUGAGUUUUCAACGUGCAAAAUAUUAUUCUUCUACUUGAAUCUGGUGUUCUGCAAGAUAUUAGUUGCCCUGUCAUGAUAAUUUGCAAAUAAGGUCAAAUAAAUUCUCAGUCUCAUAAGGCUACUCCAGGACACCACUCUUGAGUCCUUAUUGGCAGCUAUUCUUUAUUGAUUAAUGCAUUGGUAGAUUUACUUUUAGAAUAUAAAAAUAUAAUUUUAAAGUAAAGGGAUAGUGGGAUUUUAUACUAAAAGCUUAAAAAGAUUGCACUUUGCUAUCUUUGUAUCAUUUAUCAACUUCUUGCAGGUUACUUAGCAUGCCUCGUAUAGAACUCCCGCUGUUAAGAAAUACUAAACUUAAAGUGUUUUUAAUUUCAAUUUUAUUAAAAAAUUUGAUUACAUCAACAUAUUAUGAAAAACAGUUUCGAAUUUGAUGUUAUCAAGACUAGUUGGUAUUAUUAGGAAAAAUUGUUAGUAUUGCCUUUUGGGAUAUAUAUCAUGGAUUGGUUGAGCAUGACUAAACAAGACUGUUUUCUCAUAAUAUAUAGUUUUUCCCAUUUUAUGAAUGGCCAAGUAGCAAAACAUAUUGUUCAGAUUUUCUUGCAGAAGCACAAGACAAUGGUAGAUGUGUGGUGUGAAAUUCGAGGGAUUCCAGACCUCUUCUGGUGAGAUUCGCUCAUCAUCUUUAUUAACAGUUACUCUUAUGUGACAACAAAUCAGCUCCGCACAUAUGUGUUGAGAGGACUAAUAAGUGGUUUUAGUUUUAAUUUUAUUAGUGAUUACAUCAACAUAUUUGUGAAAUACAGUUUUGAAUUUGAUGUUAUCCAGACUAGUUAGUAUUAUUAGGAAAAAAGAAGUUAGUAUUACCUUUUGGGAUAUAUCAUGCAUUGGUUCAGCAUGACUAAACCAGUCUGUUUUUUCAUAAUAUAUCAUUUUUCCCAAUUUAUGAAUGGCUAAGAAACAAAACAUAUUGUUUAGAUUUUCUUAUAGAGCAUAAGGCAAUGGUAGAUGUGUGGUGUAAACUUCAAGUGAUUCCGGACCUCUUCUUCUAGUGAGAUCUGCUUAUCAAUUUUAUCAACGGUUACUCUUAUGUGACAACAAAUCAGCUCUGCAUUGCUCAUAAUCAUAUAUACGUAUUUAGAGGACUAAUAAUUUUUUUAUCAUGUUGCAAGCUAUAAAUUAACAAAAUGAUAUCACCAUUGCUGCUGAUAUAAGCAUUCAUCAAUAGGUUGUUCAUCUGUUCUGGCACCAAAACUUUAUAUAUUACUUGGUGCUCUGUGGCAGGCUACUUUCUAAGAUUGGAAUUUUCAAUCUCUUUUAACCCUCAAAUCUUUACAUGAAAUGAUACGAUCGAUUAAUCAUGUCAAACAUUAACAAGACUAGUGAAGCAAAAGCAAGAGUAGCUGAUCUCUCUCAAUUUCUUUAUAUAAACAAAUUAUAUAUUAGAUAUAAUCAUCUUUAACAUUUUUAAGUUUUUCAACACAUAAUGAGAUUGUCCUUGUUCAAUAAAUAAACCAGCAUGCUCUAAGAUGUUUCUGAAUCUUAAUCAUCCACUGGAAGAAGGAUUACUGUAUCAGGCAUAUUAAAGGCACAUGCUCUUUCCCACAGACUAAAUCACUAAGAUCAUAGUUUUUAAUAAUGUCAAUAUUUCAUAAAUUUUCAUAAAUGGAAUUUUCUUUUUUGCCAAAUUAAUUUUUAUUAUGUCUCAUAAAACUAUCUGUUACUCCUUUUGCAAAUAAGGAAAAAUUCAACCAGGGACUAUGAACGGGCAAGCAUGGAAAGGCCUCAUCUUUAAAACUCUGAAUCAUCUCUUCCUAAAAACUUCAACUCUUCUGGAAAACUUUCUGAAAAUGGAAAAAAAAAAAUAAAAAUAUUUUACCUUCGAGUUAACUAAGCGAACUCAAAUGCACCAUUGGUUGCCUUUUCGAUACAGAACUACCUUUAUCCUUCUAAAUUUUAGUUUCAUGCAAAGCACAAAAAUGUUUUGAGAUUAUACACACAUUCAACAUAAGUAAUUUAUUUUUGUAGAGUACUAAUUGUAUUAACCCCACAAACAAAAUACACAGGGCAUGCCCUACUAAAAGUGGAGCAAACUCAUCCUACAAGAGGUCUCACAAGAAAGCCUGUGAGAGUGAGACCACCUUGACAGAGAACCAUAUCUCUUUGUCUUGAACUUAAAGGAAAUUUUAUCAUUGUUUAAAUUCCCAUAUUAUUUUGAAACAUUUGAAAAGCAUUUCUUAAUAUUUUAGUUACAUUUAUUUUCUAUCUUUGUACAAGAUUCCAGCCUGCCUUUUAAGGGAAAUGAGCUUUUCUUCCUGAUACAGUUCUGGCCUUUAAGCUUAGGAAAGUUUUUGGUCAAUAAUCAAAGGUGCUCUCCCUCUCAGGUGUUUGAUUAAAUUUCAUAUCUUUCUUUUUUUUUAUGUUGGUUUGUAGUACUUUGUGUUUGAUUGUCUCAGAAAAACUGAGGUUCACUGUAAUAUGUUUCAUGGAAUAUUUGCAGCAUCCACAAUGGGGACCUCCACUCAUUUUACAAAGUAUGUUCUUGGACAAUCAUAAUUUCAUUGAUGCAAUCAUACUAGGCUACAUUACAACUUACAAAUUAUCCACUGCUUGUGGACUCAUCUUAUUCAAAAUGAGCAAUAAACUAAUGAACCUACAACAUGCUAUCUAAGGAAAUGUAGAAAAUUGCAACAUGGGAAUGAGUAGAGAAAGGAGUCAAUAUCGUUUUCAGUUUCAAAUGUCCUUUCUGUACCAGUAGACCCCUUUGGUCUCUCCUUCAUCUUUCUCGACGUAAAUGCAUUCCUUCAUUUCUCUGUACAUUGCCUUAAGAAUCGGAGUUCCAUCGUAUUGAUAAUAAUCACCCAAUACAGGCUUCAUGGCCUCUGUGGCUUCGAGUCCGUGGUAAUGUGGGAUCAUGGAGAAAAUGUGGUGGCAAACAUGAGCAUUGCAUACAUUGUGGAAUACCUUGUUCAAAAUCCCAUAGUCUCUGUCAACGGUACAGAGAGCUCCCCUCAACCAAUCCCAUUCUGAUGAAUCGUAGUAAGGGACAGAUGGAUGAGUAUGAUUGAGGAUUGUGAUCAGUGUGAACCAUCCGUUAACAACUAGCAAUGGACCUCCAUAAACACAGAAGACCCAUGCAAAUCCUUUGAUUAAUACGAGACGGUAUAGACCAUAGAUGACAGUAAGAAUGGCAACAUCAGAAACAAUGAUCUGUUUACGCUCACGUUCUGUGUACAGAGGGCUAUGGGGAUCAUAGUGUGAAGUCCACCUCUCAUACUUGUGUCCCGAAACAUUGAACAUCAAGUAUAAAGGAAAACCUAUGAGGAGAGUGGUAACCCACACAAGCACACGGCCAGGAGGAUUGUUGAAAAUUUUGUAGUAGUUCCUGAUGUUAUACUUAAAUCUAGGGACAUAAACCUCAUCGUUCUCAAGGGAUUGAGUGUUGGCGUGGUGACGUCUAUGGCUAAUUUUCCAAGAGAAGUAAGGGACCAUGAGAGAAGAGUGGACAACAAGGCCAACAAGGUCAUUCACCCAACCAUAAUCACUGAAGGCAUCAUGAUCACACUCGUGGCCUACGACCCAAGCCCCGGUUAAGACACAACCUUGGACAGCAAUGUAAGCUGCCCAACCUAAGUAAUUAAGAGGAUGUGGAAGGUACUGGUCUAUGUAAUUUGUGGCAACAUAGUAAAGGGCAUAGGCCAUGAGGAGAUCUUGAAUGAG
rnacentral:lncRNA from 1 species